rnacentral:lncRNA from 1 species
GCUGUGGCUAAACGACCUUCCCAAACUCACAAGUUCGUGCUUUGAAAAUUACUUUGAAUUUCACUGUUUAGCAGAUUUAACACUAAGAAAUUGUCCAUUGCUAAAAACAUUCAUCUCUAAAUGUGUACCCGGAGAUGAACCUCAAAUUGGCCAACAUGUACAGGCAAGUAACUUGGAGGUUCAUAACUCAUCUCUCCUCAAUGAAAAGGUCAUUUCUUCACGGAUUCUCCUUUUAAUUUAUUUUACUUCGAUUUAUCUUAUUCAUUUGAAGUUCUUUCUUUUUCAUACAUAUUUCAGUAUUAACCUAAUGAUAUGAUUUAUUAGGUUGUUUUCCCUAGUUUGAAGAGGCUGCAAAUUCAAAAUUGUGAUUUGUUAGAAGAAAUUAUCGAGCUGCAAGGAGUCAUUGCUGAUGAGUCACAGUCAACAUCAGCUGCUCAAUCUAUUGUGGCUGAAACAGUGACGACCAAGUUUGUAUUUCCCAAACUAAUAAACCUGGGAUUGGAUAAGGUGCCAAGAUUGAAAAGUUUCUACUCUAGGAUGCAUACCACCCACUGGCCUUCAUUGAAAAAAAUGGACAUUAUUGAAUGCCCCAAAGUACAGAUAUUUACUCCACAAUGUCCCGGGAGUCAGGUUGGAAUCUCAAACCAACAACCCUUGUUUUGCGUCAAUGAGGUAAGCUCGCGAACAGUUUCAUAUUCCAUGAUCAUUACUUGAGAUUACCUAUAAAAUGCUUUUUGAAAAAACUAAUAUUCUCUCCUCUUUUAAUUUUAUGAGAGUCUAGUUCUUACUAAUUUAAAACUCUUUCAUCGAUGUCUAAUAUAUUCUUUGCCAUCCAGGACACUUUCCCUGUAUUAGAAGAACUAACUCUGAAGACGAAUGAUAUGGGGAAGGGGAUAUGUGAUGGACAACUCUCAUUGCAGUGUUUCCAAAACCUUAAGCAUCUUAACCUCCAAUUCUUUCCCGAGACAUCCACUACUCUUCCGUAUUCCUUCAUUCGGUCACUACCAGUGCUUCAUAAGCUUGUUAUAGACAAUGCUUCCAUUUGUCAAAUAGUACAAUCUGAAGGACUCAGCGACUAGGAAUGGCAUACAUCAGCAUUCUAUCAGCUAAAGGAAUUAAGUUUGUCUCAACUUCCAGAGUUGACGUUAAAGACUUUUGAACCAUCUUUGCUGUCUUUCAAAAAUCUAACAACACUGAAAGUUUCAAGAUGCCAUGGGUUCAUCAAUUUAAUCGCAUGCUCAACAGCUAAGUGCCUGACGCUACUGGAAAGAUUGAUCAUAGAUGAUUGUGAGAUGAUAGAGGAAAUCAUAGCGUGUGAGGCUGAAGAAAUACAAGGCGGCAUUGUAUUUCCCAAACUGAAGUAUUUGCAACUAAGUUGUCUGCCAUGUCUAGCAAUCUUUUCCUUGGCCCAUCACUUGUUGGAAUUCCCAGUCUUGCUAAUGUUGAUGGUGACAAAGUGCCCCCAAAUGAGGAAUUUCUGCCAAGGAGAUUUAAGCACGCCAAGGCUGGAACAAAUGCACUUAACAAGAGAUGAGGAAGGUGAACUGAAGUGGGAAGGCGACCUUAACACUACCAUAAAACAUAUGUUCGAUGAAAUGGUACAAAUCAUUUAAAGGAUUUAAAUUCAUGUGUUUUUACAUACAUACAUACAUAGUUAAUUGAACAAUUCCUGGUUUGUUAUGAUCAUGCACAGAAUGUGCAAAAUUCUGAGGUGACGGAGGUUACUGAUCAGUUGCCCAAUCUGGAAUAAGGAAAUAUGUUUGGGUGCUUAUGCGAAAAGCUCAAUUUCGUUUGAAUUCAAAACAAACGGUAAUUGACUCCUCUAUUUUCAUCAUGGCUUAACUAAUGCUUUAUAAAGUGACCAUAGAGACGCCCUUUUCAUUGUAGGUUGAGUUGCUCUACUGAAGUACGAGGCUGCAACUUUUGGUAAAAUGUGAAAGGUUAUUUCAGUUUUUGUAAAACUACCAUUUGAACUGUUCCAUUUCACAUUAUACCCUCAAAAUUGAACUUCAAGUGCAUCAUGCUUGGCAUUGGGCUACAAACAUGUAAACUUUUACUAGUAAGGUUGACCCCUGUUUUAAGGAUUUGCCAACUUUUGAUGGUUACCAUAUCAAUGUCAGCUUAAAGCUAUCAAGUAUCUUUACAAAUAUAAUAUAUAUAUAUUAUUCCUUAAUGAAGGAUAAAAGUAGGCAGCUAUCUAUUAAUGGUACGGCUGAUUCUGAAAAGACGGCUGAAAUUGAAUCAAUGGGUUGUUGGUAAUUGCCUGAUGGAAGAACAGGGCCUAAUGUUACGUGGAUCCUGAUCAAGUUUUAAAUUUUCAGUUGUAGGCAUUACUGAUUAUUGCCAUUUGGUUGUUGAUCCUCUGAUUUUACGGUUGACUGUCUUGCUUAUACGUUGCAAGGUUGGCGGGUCUCAAGUAUGAAUUUCCAAGCCGGCUGUCAUCCAUAAUUAACUAAGUGUUCCAAUCUGUUGAAAGGUGGUUAGCAUGCAGCAUUGAAGACCACCAUGCAGAAGCAGCAGUUUGCACGAGAAAGCAAGGAUGUUUAGUUUCAUUUGAAUUUUUUUUUUUGUUUAUGUAAUGUAAUCUAGUUCAUUUUGAACUAUGAUAAGAUGAUAUUUGAUGUAAACUUGAUGGUGAUUGAGCUGUUUACCAGCUUUAUUCAUUUGCACAAGUUAUCAUUCCAAUUUACUAGGAAACUUAGUGGUAGUAGGUAUAGUUUUGGUUAACCUACUGUCUUGACAAGCUAGAAGCUUGAUUUAUGUAUUGGCAUUAAGCCUUUUUUUGAUGAAUGAAUUUAAUCAAGUUUUCAUUCAAAAACUCUCACCAUUCUCCUUGCUUUAUUCUUUUUAGUUUUCUGCUUGUUUCUGCUGCAAGUCACGACACUUGCUGCUCAAGCAAUAGGCUGAAACUUGUUGUUAGUUGCUCUCAGCUCCAACAGAAUCCAUGGAGUUUAUGGUUUAUUAGUGUAACUGUCCAUUUGGUUGUGGAUUGGUUCUUAAGGUGUUUUGAUGCUUGUAUGUUACAGUGCCUGCUCCAAGCAACACCCUUUAAUUUCUAAUGAAUUUUAUUUGUUGAGGAAAAAAAUAUGAGGAUUAAUCUGAUAUUUUAUGUUUGGGUUUAUGAAGAUUUUUGUACCUUUAAUGAAAAAAGCAAAUAAAAUAGAGAGGUACAAGAUCACAUCCAUAGAUCAACAAAGGGGUUUAAUAUUUCUAUAAAAAAAGUUGUCCCAAAAAGGCCUUCUAAUGGGAAUUGAAAAAAAAGCUUGUAAAAAUUUACAAAAGGAAUUGAUGAGAAUCUGAUACAGCCAUCACAUGCGACAGCUUUCCCUUAAAAGCAUUCGUGGCUGAGUCUAGUCUUAAUUUUUAUUUGUAUCUUUUAUAUCCGUUUUAUAAUUCAUAUUUAAGAUUUGUAUUAUGCGCUUAAUAUUUCAUUAUUUGUUGUCUAUGAUGCUCAUUCUUGAAAAAAAAAACAAACAAACAAAUGCAAUGCAUGCAUAAACCAUAAAAAAAAUAAAGAACAUAAGCAACUAAUAAUGAAAUAUAUUAAAAUGAAGACCGGUAAUUGAUUUAAGAAUUACCCUAAUUUCGGUAAAUAUAUUAAAACAUGUGUCCCUAAUCUUUUUCAAUUUUGAUAUUGAAAAAAUUGGUAUUCUUAAAAUUAUGAGAGUUAUUCAAUUAUUUUCAUUUUUGAAAUUGAUAAAUUAAGGACAAUUAAUCACAACGUUAAUGUUUUUAUCAAUUAUAUAUGAUUUUCUUGAUAUAAUGAUAAAUUUAGUCCUCAAAGUUUACACAUUCUAUCAAUUUGUUAUUGAUUUAACAAAUUUAACCCACAAUAUUUACACAUUUCGUCAAUUUGAUCAUGAUUUAACAUAUUUAACCCGUAAUAAUUAUACAUUCUAUCAACAUUUACGCAAAAUAUAUAAUCAUCAAGGAUUAAAUUUGUUUUUAUACUAAUCAAAAUUAUGUAUAAUUAACAGAAACUAUUAGCGCUUGAUUAAUUGUUCGUGGUUACUUUCAAAAAAGAUAAGGAUUAAUUUGUUCAAUAUCAAAAAGAUGUUUUUUAUUUUUAUUUUUUAAUUUCAUAGGUAAGAAAAUCUCAAAAAAAAGAAAAUCUUUGAAAUAAAAAAUAGAAUGUUUUAUAUAAUUAUUUGAAGUUACUCUCACGUUAUUUUUACCCAUUCAAAGCUAGCAAGUCUUUAUGUACAAAAUGGUAUAGCUCUGCAAUUUGGAUUAACAUUUUGGUGACCUCCAUGUGAAGUGAAAGAAAAUUGAGAAUGUCACACAAUUAUUAUUUUUGCCUCCAUACCCCUAUGCCACCAAAGAAAGUUGAAUUAUUAAGGCACAAAAGUACUAAGGAGUAGGAGCUAGAAAAAGAGGGGCAUGAAAAUAAAGAGACUUACAUUUAUUAUUUGCAUAAUACAAAAUCAGUCUUUAAUAUUUACAUAUUUUAUUAAUUUGAAUUUUAUUUUUAUUUAGUUAAAUUUAACUUUAAACCCUUUAAAAAAAGUUAAAUUUGAUCAUCAACAUUUUAAAAAGAGUCAAAUUAUUAUUUAACGGAAAUGUUAAAUUUUGAAAUACAUAUAACAAUUCGCGUGUAUUUCAUAUUAUUUUUUUAAAUUUUUUAUAUUUUUUUGAAAUUUUUAUUUUUGAAUAUUGUUAGAAAAAUAUUUGGAACAUUGUUAGUGGAGUUUUUAACCUCCACCAACAAAAUUAAUGGGUUAAUAAGUGUCUUACAGGGAUAUAAUAAAAUAUUAAUAUAUAUAUAUUAAAAUAUAUAUAUAUAUGUUAAUUUUUUUAAAGUUGUGGAAUAAAAAUAAUAUAUUAUUGGCAUACCAAAUACUCACCUUUUUAAUUAAGAUUUAAAAAUAAAAAAUAGUUAGUAAAAUGAAUGGAUUGCAAAUUGAGAAAUUUGAUAUUGAAUAUUAAAAUUUUCUUAAAAAGAAGACAUAUAGCAAGAUAAGAAAGUUAGUGAUUUAUUUGAUUUAAUUUUAAUUUUUAAAUUGAUGCAUUUUAUUAUGAAUUUUUAUUCUUUGUGUAUUUUGUAUAAUUUGUUUGAAAUUUUCAAUUUUCAAUUUCUCACAUGAGUUUGAGAUAUAAAAAAAAUUACUCUUAGGAUUGGUGAAACAGUGGAUACAAGAGUUCAGCUUAUCAUAUAUUGAUGAUUUUGUUCUUCGAAAUAUUGUCUACAGAUAGGAUAUCAGAGUUCUAUUAAUUAGAGUUCCGUUAAAAAGUCGAAAUUUCUAUUUUAGCCUAGGACUCUAGGAGUUCUGUUAUCGAUAUUCUAAUUAUGAUCAUGAUCUAUAAAAAAUAUGAGUAACAUGUGAUACGUAAAUGAAAAUUUUUAUGAUAUGAUAAGUCAUAAAUUAAGUGAAAAUGUAUGAAAGUGUAUGAUUAUAUGAAAGACAAAAAUAAUUAAUUUAAUUUAAUGAUCUGUAAAAUUGAAAAAUGAAAUACAUGAAUUAUAUAAGAGAAUGUUGACGAUCAAUAUGUGGUAUGUAAAUGAGAAGGAAAAAAUUAUAUGACCAAAUACUAAAAUAAAUGAAUAAUGAAAUUAACUAAAUACUUUGUAAGUUCAAUAAUUUAAAAAAUUGUUAUUUUUCCCAUUCAAAGUUGAAAAGUCUUUUAUGUGAAAAAUAGUGUAGCUCUUCAAUUUGGGUAUAACAUUUUGGUCUUCUCCAUGUGAUGUGGAGGAAAAUUGACAACAUCACACAAUCAAAUCCAUUUUUUCUGCCAUACCCUUGUGCCUCCGAAGAAAGUUAAAUUAUUAAGGCACAAAAGUACCAAGGAGUAGAAGCUACCAAAAGAGGAGCAUGAAAAUAAAGAGAGAUACAUAUAUUACUGGCAUGAAAUAUUUACAUUUUUUAUUAAUUUGGAACUUCUUGCCUUUUACUACUAGCUUGAUUUGUAUCAUCGCUCUCACCUUUUUGAGCUUGUAUCUGAUAGUGAAACCAAAGAUUAGUGAAAGCCUUCGCACCAAAACUGAGUUCUAGGAACUGCAAUAGGAUCAAUUUCAACAACUCUAAUGGGAUAUUAAACAUUCCCAACUCUUAAGAUCACCAUCUCAUCAAUUUUACACAAUUAAAAUGAAUGUUUCCCUUCACAAAAGGUUUAGGAUGAGCAGCACCAUCGUCCACACUAAUAAAACUUCCCCAGUGAUUGGCGAUGUUUUUAAAUGUAGAGAUCGGACAAGCAUGGAUCGGAACCCCUAAAGUUGUUCUAUAAUUAACCAAAAUGUUUUCAGACCAUGACUCAACUUUUGUGAACCACCUCAUCGAAAUUUCAAUAAACUCUUUUAUAACCUUCUCCACCGUUAAACUCCAUUAGCAACUUGGAGGCCACCCUCUUCUAACCGCAGAGCAAGGUUCUCAAGAGUACAUAAAUCUCUACACCAUCCCAUAAUACAAAUUGUAGCUUAGAAAGUUUUUCUUCCUCGAUAAUCCCAUCUAUAGGAAUUGACUCUAUCUCUUUCUUACCUGUAGCCACCUCCUCCAUGAAACAAUUCUUGUUUAUAGCUUUUUCACCUCCGAGGGUUCCACUCGUAUCUAGAGAAUCCUUUGAUACCUCCAGAGCCUUUGAAGCGUGCAAAGUUGACCCAUAUUCUAUGUCCAAAUAAAUGGAACCGUUCAGACGAAGCGUCGCCCUUCUUGCAUCAGUAAAGUUUGCGAAUCUCACAAAACCAAAUCUUUCUCCUUUUUAUGAAGACAUCCAUAACCCUGCCGUGAUACUCGAAUAUCUUCCAAAGACCUGUCCAUUGCAUUCGUGGAGGACGAUUCACUACAAAAACAGUAACACAACUCUGUCCAGUGUCCACCACCCAACCCAUUACUCAUUAAUAAAACUCCUACUUCAUCACUUAACUAAAGCUUUCUUUUUGAUAUUUUUAUAUAUUUUAAUUUUGUUUUGUAUUCAAAUAAUUUGAUAAUUAACUUUUAACAAUUAUCCCAUAGUUUUUACUAUAAAUUUAAGGAAGACAAUCUUGAUAAAAUUAGUUUGAGGUAGGAACAGUUUAUUGGAACAGCGUAGUCUUUUAUAGGAUUAAAAAUAUUAAUGCAAGAAAUAAAAAACAAGUGAUUAAAGGUUUAGAACAAGCAAUCAAACUUAUUUUAUGUUAAAAUUUUCGAACAAUAUGAAAAUAUAUAAUUUUAAUUGUUCUUUUACCAAUUAAAUUGAUUUUUGACAGGUUUAACUAUUGACUUAAAAAAGAGUGUUAAUUUGAAUGGUUAAAUGUAAUGAUGCAUGGUUUGUCUGACAUCGUCACAUGGAAAAUGGGAUUAAAAAUGGAAAUUAAGCAAAGGCAAAAUGAAUAUAUUUAUUGUUUUCUAAUUUGGUGUAGGGUGCCAUAUUUGUUGAUAGCCACUCACUAAUACAUUAUAAAUGGAAUAAUUGCCUAUUUUACCUUUUUCAUGAAAUUUAUUGACAUCACCAGCUCAUUUUUCAACCACAUUACUCAAAUGAUUGACAGAGAGAGGUAAAAGUAAUUUAUAAAUGUAUUUCUUUUUUUUCGAGUAUAAUUUGUAUUUAUUUCUAGCCAUUUUUAUAAAGUUAUUGUUUAAAAAAGGGGUAAUUAUCAAAUUCAUAUAUGAUUUGGAUCCAAUGUACAAUUUGAUACAAACUACAAUUUGGUGUAAUUAUACACAUAAACUUGAAUUGUGAUUCAUAUGAGCACAUGAAACUUUGAUUUUGAUUCAAUUGUAUGCAUUUAAUGAAUGUAUACGUUUAAAAAAAAUGAAUAUUUACAUUUAUUUUCAUAUUUGAUUAUAUACAGGGGCGAAACCAGAAAAUUCUUUUAGGGGGCUGAAAUUAAAUUGUAAUUUUUACGAUAGCAAAAAUGUAAUUUCACCAUUUUAAUGGCCUAUAUCUUUAUAAUUUUUAAAUGAUUAAAUCAAAUUUUAUAUUUUUAGCGGAGCAAAGUACAAUUUUACCUUUACUAAUUUAAAAUUUUAAAAGGCCUAAAUAGAAAAUUCACCAUUUCAAGGGGACUGAGACUAGAGGUGAUCAUGGGUUGGGCCCACCCGAAAAAUAGGAGGGUCCAAGUAAAAAUAUAGACCCAAAAUAUGGGUUUCGGCAAAAAAAGAAGCCCGUUUAAAAAACGGGCCGGGCUCGGGUAAAAAUUUUUUGGCCUAGGCCCAACCCGACCCGGCCCGAAUUAUAUAUUAAAUAUAUAUAGUUUUUAUUUUUAAUCAAAUAUGUAUUAAAUAUAUACUUUUUUGGUGUUGUACAAUUUGAUAUGGGUUGGGCUCGGGCUUAGCAAUUUUCUUUUGGGCCGAGCUUGGAUAAAUUUUUAGGCCCAUAUUUUGGGCCCAGCCAAGCCCGAGCCUAAAAAAUGGGCCUAAAAUUUUGUCUGGGCCCUGCUCAGCCCAUGAUCACCUCUAACUGGAACCCCUGUCAGCCCCUUAGUUUCGCCCCAAAUUAUAUAAUAGUUUGUAUAUGCAAUAUAUCAACGUAAAAUUGUGCUAAUUCAAUAAUAUUGUUAGUGAUUUCUGAAAAUUGAAUCAAAUCAAUAUUUCAUAUAUAAAAUUGUACAAAAUCAAAGUUCAUAUACAACAUAAAUAAAUAAAUAAAAAGUUCAUAUAGAACAAUAUACAUUAAAUCAAAAUUUAUAUAUAAUUUUGAUAUUUAUCUCAUUCUUUAUUAAUUAUAACGUGUGAACGAGGUGAAUCCAAAUUUUGUCAUUUAUUUUCCUACCAUCUUUGCGAAAUAAAUUUCAACUUAAGAAGGAAAAAAUAAUUAACAUUUUCAAAUUCUAUCAAGAUAGACAUGUUCAUAGGUCAGACUCUCGGCUUAGGUUCAAAAGUUCACUAAAAUUUUGGGAGGGUUUGGAUAAAAAUAUCAUACCCAAAGAAUGGACUCGAGCAAAAAAAAAAGACCUGUUUAAAAUAUGGGUCGGGCUCGGGCUUGAAUAUUUAAGGCUAGACCCGUUUUAAGUUUAUAAUUUUUUAUAUUAUGUUAUUUUUUAUAUAUUAUGUAAUUUAGAACACAAUAAAAAAUAAACAUAUAGUAAAUAUAUAAUAUAACUCUAAUGUAAACAUUAAAAUAAUAUUAAAAUGACUAUAUAAAAAAUUUCAAUAAAUAAAAAUGUAUAAAUAUUAAAAUAAUAUAAUAUAAAUACUUUUUAAAAAAAUUAAAAAAUAAUAUAAGCGAACCUAAAAUGGGUUUAGAUUAGUUUUUUGUAAAUAUGGGAGUGUUUUGACAAAAUUUUAGGCCUAAAUUUCAAACCGGACCGAACUUAAACAAAUAUAAAAUAUCUUAAUAUCAUGCUUAAACCAACCUAUGAACACUUCUACAUAAAAAUAAUAUAGACGAAUUGAUGUCGUUUAGUUCCACAAGGUCAAACUUCAAAUUAAUACGAGUGUAUUAUUAAAAGUUUUCGUCCUCGCAUUACUUGUAAUUAGUUUAUGUCUUUUAAUUCAUUGAGAAGUAACAAGCAUGUAUGGAUGUCCAUUGUACAGGCCCAUUUUGACCUAAUCCAUUACAACCCAUAACCCAAGCAAAAACAAAACCUACCCAGGCCCAACUAAGCCUAACCCACCAAAACCAAAGCCCAAAUCAGCAACCCAAUUCAGCCCAAUCUACCUAACCCUAGCCAAUUUGUAGAAAAAAGAAACAGCAGCCACCCUAGGUGCGCCGCACCUAGGGCCUUCGUCCACCUACCCCCUGCCACCGCCUCUGACCAGCGCCGCACCUGCUCUCUGCCAUCGCCCAACUGCACCUGCAAGAAGAGAAACCAACACGCAACAACAAAUAGUAGACAUAGAUAAAAAAAAUGUUAAAAUCGGCUAUAAAAGCCGAAACCAGAGGAAUGUAAAGGGUUCGGCCCCUCUUUGACGAUUAAAAGAAAUAAAAGUUUUUUGAAAAUCUUAAAGGUGACUACUACCUUUUUAGAUCUGUUUUUUUUUGUUCUUUUAAAUAUUAUUUUUGUUUUUAAAUACAAACAAAUUAAAAAUAAGAAUAAAGGAGAAGGCUUUUUACCUUACCUGCGCCGCGACGGAGGUGGAGGAAGGCGAACGGUUUCGCCCCAUUUUUUGGGUCUUCGGCUUUCUAUUCAGGAGAUUCAGCCCCGGAUCUGUGGCCUGGAGGCCAUGGACUUCAAAAAAGGACGAAAAAGGUCCGAUUUUGAACCUCCGGCGGCCACACACGGUGGCUCUGCGGCGGAGACUCGUCGGAAAUCUCGAGCCGGACCAUGGCCGGACCUGAGAGAAAAAGAGAGAGUUUUCUCUCUGUUUUUUUAAAAAGAAGAUGAAACUGUUUCUUUUAGCUUUUUUUAGUAUUUAUAUUAAACGUGAAACGACGCCGUUUUAGCAAAAGGAUCCGCGCGUCGACCCGACCCGACCCGGAGGAUCCGCGUGUUUUCAGUUUUUGGGAUAUUUCGCGUGCAGUCCCCCUGAUUUUGCAGCGUAUUACAAUUUUAUCCUUUUGUUAUUUUCUCUUAUUUUUAAUUUAGCCCCUGCAAUUUUAUUUUUAUUUCGACUUGGUCCAUUUCAACGCUGCGUUUUGGGGCUGUGGUUUAUUUGCAGUUUUGGCCCUUUCCUUUUCAGCGCGCGUUGCAAUUCGGUCCUUCUUGUUUUUUUAUUUCAAAUUUGCCUAGUAUAUUUGUUUUUAUUUUGAUUUAGUCCCUUUUUAGCAAUCUUAUUUAUUUUGAUUAAUUAUUUUAAUGUAUUAUCAUUUAUUAUUAUUAUUGUUGCAUUUAUUAUUCUGAUUAUCAUUUACCCAUUCGCAUCGUUUUUGGAUUUGGUUAUACAUACAUACUUAUAUAUAUUUUUAUAUUUUAUAACUUAUAUACAUAUAUCUAUAUUUAUAUUCUUUACCUUCACAAAUAUAUGUAUACGUACCUAUAUAUAUAUAUUAUUUUAUAUAUAUACAUCCUUUUACAUUUUUAGGUUUUUAUAUUUUGUUCAUUAUUUAUUUAUUUAUUUACAAUUUUGUUAUUAUUUUAAAAGAAUGCUUUAACUUUAUUUGCUUAUAUAUUCAUUUUGUAUGCUAUUGAUUUGUCUUUUUUUAUUUAUCUUAUCUUUGAUGCUAUUGCUCGUGUUAUUUUACUUGCAUUAUCAUCAUCAUUUCAUUAUACCCAUUUUUAUUUAGAUUUCGAAAAAGAAAUUUUAGAAAUAAGUAAUAUUCGGUAUUUUGGAUCUUCGAGAGAAUCGAGCCCUAACGUAUUGGGUUCCGACUUUCUUCGUUGAACUUAAAUAAUUGAGAUUAUUCUUUUAAAAAUGAUAAAAAGCUCGUUACCGAGAAUUCAAUAUGUUGUGUCCUAACGCAUUGGAUGUGACACGUUAUUUUUUCGAAACGAGAAUUUUUCUAAAUAAAUGUAAUAUUCAAUGUUUAAUAUUUUGAGAAAUUGUGCCCUAACGUAUUGGGUUGCGAUUUCUUCAUUUGAUUUAAACAAUUGAAUAUUCUUUUAAACUUUAUUACACGAAUUUUUUCAAACUCAAGUUAAACGAUAUCGGGAAUUAAAAAAAGGAUCGUGUCCUAACUUACUGGUCGCGAUAUCUUUUUUUAAUCCAAGAUAGUUAAAUAUCUUUUAAAUAAGCAUUUUUCAUUCGCGUAUCGGGAAUUCGAGACAUUGUGUCCUAACUUAUUAGAUAUGAUUCUCUUUCUCGAAUAGCGUGAAAUAUGCCCCUUUUUCAGAAAUUUUUCAACGUUUUAAUACAAGGAUCGUAUUUUUAAAAUUCUUCAAAGUUCUCAAUUUUCGACAUUAAGACAUUAAGUAGUCAAUUAGGUACCAAUUUUGGGCGUAUCGAGGGUGCUAAUCCUUCCUCGUGCGUAACCGACUCCCGAACCCGUUUUUCUGAAUUUCGUGGACCAAACUUGUUGUUUUAAUAAAAUCAAACCGUUUAUUAAAAACAACUAAUUUUAAGGUGAUCCAAUCACACCUCAUAAAAAAGGAUUGGUAGCGACUCCCGUUUCUUUUUUCAAAACCCAAGUCGACCCCGUUUUCCAUCCAAAAAAUGGUGUCAACAUCCAUCUUCUACCAUAGUUGUCUUCUAAAGAACUUUAUAAAGGGAAGCUAUGCCACUCUAUUUAAGGGUUGGUUUUGGAGAUUAAAGUGUAAUUUUAUCAUCAUAUUAACUUAAGUUUUUUUUUUAAAUUUAAAAACGUGUAAAUGGUAAAUUUACUAUUUUUGGAAGGUCAAGGCUAUUGCUUCCCCUUAUCUUUGCCCUGCUAGUAGUUGACUAACACGGUCUCAUACAGUAAUACUCUUAUCGAAUAUAAAGCCUUGUUUAAAUGGAGAUAUUUAUAAGAGGAAAAAUACUAAAUAAUGCAAGCUCGCCCAUGCCUGGUCACUGUGAGCCCCUUUGUGAGGAAGCACCUGAUCUUCUCUCGAAGUUACGAGGUUAUUUUGUCAAGUUCUUUAGAGAGAGUUGUCUCACACCCCUAGGUAUUCUCUACCUACCCACUUGUGUCGGUUUUGGGUACACGUACCCUUUUGAUGAAGGUCGUUCAAGCUUUUCCUGGAAGUAUAAUUUUUACUUCCACUUACAAUUUCAUAAAAUAAUAAUUUAUCAAAUCAAAAUUAUUCAAAUACAAAUUCAAAAUAUUUGAAUCAAAAUUAAAUUGGAGCUCCUCACUCAGGCUUCUACUUUUGUGCAUUGAUAAUUCAGUGGCAGCACUUCCCCCUUGCCUUAAUUGUUGAAAAUUGAAUAAAAAUUGUACCUUUCAUUUCCUUCCCUCAGACAAGUUGUUCAUUGUUGCUCCCACUCUUCAGUCUUCUCUAAAAUAAUGUAGGAAUCCCAAGUCACUAUAAUUAGGUGAUGAGGAUGGUACUUACUUUUUUUCCAAUAUCAGGGUAUUUAUCGUUAAUAAUAGUGAUUGAUUUUUUUUGUUGCGAAUUUGUACAAGAGCUUAUGUAAGAGUUUAAUAUAGUUCAAUGAUUAUUUUAUAAUUUUUUAAAGUUAAAUAAUCAAAAUAGAAAUUAAUUAACAAUUUAGCUAGAGAGCUUACACGUAGUUUACCCAAAAACAUAUCGACAUGAUCCCCCAUUGGAGUCCGAAGCCAAAGCUCACAAAUUGGGUUAACAUUUGACAUUUGGGGUUUCAAAUUGAGAAUUAAUUGAAAUAGAUAACAAUUAGCAAUUAAUUGAGAAUAAACAAAUUAUAUUCCAUAUAGUGUAGUAUUGAAUAUAUGUUUACUUCAUUAAAGGUCUCUUUUUUAUUCAAUUAAUUUCUCCAACUCAAAUUUAGCAACUUAUUAUGGUACUAUGAGAUUAUAAGAAUGGUUUUUGGAAGUAAAUCAGUGAGUGAAGUUGUAAAAUUACUGAUUUUCGAUUUAAUUACUUUAAUCAUUGGUCUAGUUUCAAUUAAAAAAUUUAUUCAUGAUUUAGCCUAUAAAUUAUAUAUAUUCUCUCACUUUAGUCUAGUUUAGACUUGCCUAUGGCCCUGCUCGAAUGUCCACCUGAAAAGCGAGAUGAUUUAGGUAAAUAUAUAUGCCCAAAAAGUUGGUCUGGAUAAAAAAAUAAUGCUCGUUUUCUAAACGGAUUGGGUCUCAGGUAAGCUUUUCUUGCUCAACCUGGCCCGAAUUUGCAAAAAAAAAAACUAUUGUUGUUUUUUUUACUAUUUUAUCAUUGUUUUUCUAUCAUUUCGUUAUUAUAUUGCUACUAUUUUAUUAUUAUUGUUUGAAUAAUGCAUAACUCUUGUUUUAUUACUAAUUUUGCUACUAUUUUAGGGAUAUUUACUUUUUAAGUUACACUUAUCUCAGUGUUAUAUAUUUAAGUAUUUUUUUUUAAUUUUCAUUUGUUCGGAAACAUUUAUUUCAAAUUUUUUAGUGUAUUUGAUGAAUUAUUUUUUAAAAUUUAUUUUUAUAUUAAAAAUAUAAAAAAUUAAUAUGGGCAGACUAGGCUUUUAACAUUUUAAUCUAAGUUGGGCUUGGAUAAAAUUUUAAGCCUAUUUUUCGAGCUGAACCGAGCUCAGGCCUAGAAAUUAGGCCUAAAUUUUUUACUUGGCCCUAUCAACCCAUGGACAACCCCAGUCUAGUUUCAGUUGGGAAUGAGAAUUACUACUAUUUUGUUGUUAUUAAAUUGUUAAACCAUUGUUUUUUUUUUUUGGUGCCACUUCAAAAAGCCAUUGGGCCUUAGUCAAGACGAGGUAACAUAGAAUAGUUCAGGGUCCUAACUGGAAAAUAUCCCACAUUGAUUAUUGUGAUGUAGAAAGUGGAAAAUAUGUAACGAGCGUCAUUGGAAAGAUGUAUGUCAAACUAGUGGAGCCAUAAAUUGGUAGUUUUCUAAGGUUGGUUUCAAAAUGAAGGGGGAGCUCCCAAGUCAAAAUAAAAUUGUUUAGUAUUUUUUAGUGUUUCCCUUUUAGACAGGUUAAAUUGUGUAUUUAUAUGUAGGGGUGUUCAUUCGGUUAACCGAUCGGUUAAUCGAAUCGAACUUUUUUAAAAAAAAUUAACCGAACGAAAUUUUUUCGGUUAAUUCGGUCGGUUAAUCGAAAAUUAUAUGUUUUUUUAUUUUUGGUUAAAAAUUAACCGAAUUAACCGAAUUAACCGAAUUCCCGAAUUACCCGAAUUAACCUAAUUGAAUCAUACAUAAUUAAAUUAUUUUUAGACUUUAAUACUUUAGUUUUAGUUUUAGUUUUAGAAUUUGUUUUUAUUUAUUAAAUUAUUUGUAAAUUUUAUGAUUGGGUUGGUUUGGGUAAUUGGGUUGGAUUGAAUACUUGGAUUUGGAUUGGGUUUAGGUGAAUAGUGGACCUAUUUAUAUAUUAAUAAUUUUAUUUAUUAAUUUUUUCGGUUAACCGACCGGUUUCGAACCGAAUUAACCGUUAACUGAAAAUUCAUAAAAAAAUUAACCGACCCCCGACCGAAAAAAUUCGGUUAACCGACCGAUUACCGAAUUUUUUCGGUUUUACCCGAAUUAUGCACACCCCUAUUUAUAUGAUAUGAUUACUGUUCACAGAUAUGAUAUCGUAGGUAGGUUCCCAUGCAAAUCAACGUAUACCCUACUUUAGGUUAACAUGUAUUUAUAUGAGGUGGAUUUACAUAGUGCAAACCCACAUCAUGCUGUCUCGUAGAAGGUUGCAAACACCUUACAUGCGAACUCAAAGUGCGAACUGUAAUGGAUCAGUAAUAGUGAAUAUCAUAACAAAAGUAAAUUAAAAUAUUUAAUUCCUUCCAAAUAUUAAUUUCAAUAAUUAUUCAACUCCUAUUAUUUUAUCCUUUUGUAUAUUGAAUUCCUCUAAGCAAAGAAAAUAUCCAAAUUAAAAUUUUUAAUUUUUUUAGACAUAAUAUCAAAUUUAACCUUCAACGUUUACAUUUUUUUGUCAAUUUGGCAAUUAUUCUUUUUUGAGCUAAAUUUGACCCUUAAUCUUUCAAAAAAGAGUCAAAUAUUUUUUUAUGAAAUCUUUUUUUAAUGAAAACAUUAAUAAAAACAUUAAUUUUUUUAACAAUAAUGGUGUGGCAACCCGCAUGGUAGUCCACGUAUACUUCCAUACUAGUAUGACACUAUUUGUAUUAUAUGUCAUGUCAACAAAUAAUUUUAAAAAAGUAUUUAAAAUUCAAAAAAUUAUAAAAAGCUCAUAAUAUGUAAAAUAAAAAAGCAUGAAGUACAUAUAGAUUGUCAUUCAAACUAUCAUAUUUGAAAAUUUAAUGUUAUAAUCGAAAUUUUUUUUAAAAAAAUAACAAUUUAACUCUUUUAAAAUAUUAAUGGUUAAAUUUAACUUUUUAAAAAAAAUUGAAAGUCAAAUUUAGCUCAAAAAAUAAAGAUUAAACUGACAAAAAAUAUAAAUGUUAAAAGGUUAAAUUUCAAAUUAUAUCAUUAUUUUAUUAAACAAACCUUAUUAAAAAUGUAUUUAAAUUUUAUAAAUCUUAUUAAAAUAAUAUUAAUAAUUAUUCAACUCCUCCACACAAAGAAGCAUCCAAAUUAAAAAUAUAUAUUUAAUUCCUUUCAAAUAUUAAUUUGUUCAACUUCUUAAAUUAAGUAAUUAAUCAAUUUUCGUUUUAAACAAAAAACCGGAUAGGAAAACCAUCAUUUUCUCGGGAAACAAACAGAGAAAGCUGCAAACUUUCCAAAUAUAUACCUUACUCGAAAAUCUGCCACGUCUUAUCCUUGAUAUGAUGGUUUCUAACAUUGCCACUUGGCAAGUUAUUCAGUAACAAUGCCAAUCUGCCACCAUUAUGCUUUUCCUUGCAGUACAAAAUUCCAGGAUGCCUUUACUUCUUUUGCCUCUUGGAUCAGCAUUUACUAUCACCAAAAUCAAAAUCCCAACUUUGAAAAAAAAAAAGUUUAAUUUUUAUCCUUUUUUUAAAAAAAUUUAACAAUUUUUUAUUUUCCAUUGUCAACCUUGUAAAAUUCUUUUAUAUUUUUAUGUUUUUAGUGGGAUUUUUACAUUUGUUCCAAAUUAUCAGUUUGUCAAGUUCUUCAUGCUUUCCAUGUCCCAAAGGAUCACAUUUUAUUUAAGAAAUAGAAAAAGACAUUAUUUUUGUUCUUCAUGCAACUUAUAAGUUAUAGAGAAUGAAUUUCUUUGAUUUUAGCAACUAAUAUUAUGAUUCCAACAUUUAGGGUUUUAUAUGUUUUUUUUUCUGUAUGAAUUUGAACUUGAGUUAGCCAUAAAAACCCCACCUUUAAUCUCAAUAUAUGAACUUGGCUUUGCUUCUUAUGGUUAUUAUUGUUUAAUUUAAUUAAUGUCUUGAAAGGGUAUUCUAGUUUAAUUUAAUUAACUAGUCCAUUUAUUUUGAUUGAUAAUGAUGUUGCAGGUGCUUAAUCUUUCCAUUGAAAUGGAGAAAAUCAACUACCAGGACGAGCUGAAGAAAGAGCGUAGGCUUGUUCGGAGUCUCGUAUACGAGAUCGGUUACAGGAAGGAACAGGUGUCCGAAAUGGAACAUAAAUAUGACAAGACAACCACGGCUUUUCAAGAACUCGUUGAUGGCCUUGUAGCGAAAAUUGACUCCAAGGACAGUAGUUUGCGGGAUUGGGAGCUUCGAUAUAAGGAAAUGGGGAAAUGGUACAUAAAUAUGAUGAGACGACCGCAGCUCUUCAAGGACUCGUCGAUGGCCUUGUAGAGAAAAUUGACUCCAAGGACAGUAGUUUACGGGAUUGGGAGCUUCGAUAUAACGAAACCGUGAGACAAUUGAAGGGCGAGAACGCGGUGUUUCACCUUGUGUUUGCUAAAGGUAUACUUUAGAUUAUAUAUUGCAUACAUAGCGAGCAGAAGACUAUGCAUUAAUCCAAUCGUGUACGAUGAACAACAUGUCGUUUUCGAAGUUCCAAGGUUUGCAUUUAGAGCUUUGAUUGAUCUUUAGGCUAUUUUACACAUCUAGUUGCUUAGUAUUAGAUUCGGUGAAGAAGUUGCAACUUUAGGAUAGUGAAGGAGACAUAAAUGUCAGGAUUCGAACCCCAAACUCUGCUUUUAUAUCUGUUAUCACGGGAACCGGAUGAACUUAUGGAAACGAGGCUUGGAACCUAAAAGGAAGCAUAUAUAUUUGAGAUAUUCCGAUUUUCUUCCUGUUGCUAAUGCUUCUAUCAUACACAUUAGGAUUAUGUGAUCUUAUAUAUAUACACACGCAUAUAUACGAGAUACUGAUGAAUUUCUGCCUCCUGUUAUUGCUUAUAUCAUAUGCUUUAUGGACUGUUGCUUUACAUUUUUUAUGCAGAAAUUCAGAAGGAAAGGGAUGAAAAUCUUAAGCUGAAGUGCCAACCUGGCUUUCGAACCAAGUUGGUCGAAGAUUAUAUAUCUCGUAAUGAUAACGAUAUGGAACGAAGUAGCUUGUUGAAUGAAAUGGAAGGGGUUAGCAUACUCAUCUUAAUUUUGGUUUUCGAUAUAUGAACUAUCUUUUGUCGAGUUUGUACCUUUGUGUAAAUGAAUCCUGUUAUCAUGUUUAGGUUCAACGUUUUUAAUGGUUAUGAUUUGCCGAGUAGACUUUUAACAAUUCGGAUUAUAUCUGAUAUAGCCGAAAGAGAAUGUGGCUUGCCAAAAUCUUAUUGAACUCGAGAAAACUACAAGCGAGCAGAUUACUGCUCUAAAGAAAGAGUUGGAGGAAAAAUCAGAAGCGUUGAAAGAUAUGGAAAACCGAAACAGUUGUCUAACGGUGAAACAAGUCCUAACUAAUCAAGAGCUGCAAGAUGUUCGAAAAGAAUCCAUACGUGUAUUUUUCAUGUUUUCCUUUGCUUCCUCCUAUGUUUCCUCUUCGAAAUCGGGUUUAAACUUGAAAGUGUUAAACCCAAGACUUCUCUGGUUUUUGAUGUGCAGGGUUUGAACGAUUUUCUGAAUAACCAGACUAAUCUUAAGAGUGAAAAGAACGGGAGAGAUUGAUCAAAAAGCAUUCAAAGUUGCUUGCUCGUUGAAGUUCCAGGACGAAGAUUGGCGAGAACCGUGUGCUAAAACAUGUUCAUUAUGUUGUUCCAAUAGGGUCGGAAGCGUGUAAAUUAUUGUACUAAAAAAUCACAAAAAGUUCAAUUCCCAGGGAAGAGAGGUGGAUCACAUGGAUCUCUUAAAUACCAAGUCUUUUCUUAGACAGAAUAUCCCUUCUAUAGUAAUUUAAUAGCACAAUUAAAUACUACUAUUAUACCCUCAAAUAUUGAAAGAAAAAUAGGACAAGAAAGAACACAAGAGAUUUAACGAGGUUCGGUAAAUUAUACCUACGUCCUCGGGCACUAACACCAGAUGAUAACUUUACUAUCCCCAAAGUAUUACAAACAAAUAGAAUUCCUUAAGAAUUCUCAAAUGGGAGAAGAGAGAAAACUAAGAGAGAAAGAUUGGUUGGGAUGAAUUGAAAUGAGAAAUGAGAAGGCCUAUUUAUAGUUGAGGUUCAAGGACCAAACAAUAAAUAGCACAUUAUCUCAAGGACCAAAAAAAAAUUAUCCCUUGCCACUUUUCCAAAGUUGGUGGUUGUCAUUAUUGAUUGUCUCCCAUUAAUGUUAAUGGCAACCAUUAUUAAUUGUCUAUCAUUAAUGUUAACAAUCUCCACCUUGAAGAUUUGAUUAGGAUAAUCACAUCUUCACACACUUCCUUCAACUCCCUAAAUUCGAUAAAGCUAUCUUUUGUAGUGCCUACAAAUGCGCUCUCGAGCGCCAUACACCUGAAGGUGCUCAAAUUCUCAGGAUGUUAAUCAAGUUCAAACAAUGAUUAAACUUGAUUGUUGUUACCACCUUGGUCAUCAUAUCUGCGGGAUUAUCUGCUGUCGGAAUCUUCUAAAGUAGAAUUUUUCCUUUUUCAAAGACUUCUCGCACAAAGUGAUAUCUUACGUCAAUAUGCUUGGUUCUUGAAUGAUAGACUUGAUUUUUCGCUAAAUGAAUAGCGCUCUGACUGUCACAAUAUAAACUUAUGUGACUUUGAACAACUCCUAAGUCUUUCAACAAUCCAUUAAGCCAAAUAGCCUCCUUAACAGCUUCUGUAACUGCCAUAUAUUCUGCCUCUAUAGUAGAUACAGCUACUGUAGACUGUAAGGUAGACUUCCAACUCACUGGGGCUUUCGCAAGAGUAAACAAAUACCCCGUAGUUGAACGACGUUUAUCUAAAUCACCAGCAAAGUCGGAAUCAACAUAUCCAACUACAAACUGACCAAGUGCUUCAUCCUGUUCAAAAAUUAAACCAACAUCUACGAUUUUUCAAAGAUACCGUAGAAUCCAUUUCACAGCUUGCCAAUGUCCUUUUCUAGGAUCAUGCAUAUACCUGCUCACAACUCCAACAGCUUGUGAAAUGUCAGGCCUCGUACACACCAUCACAUACAUCAAACUCCCAACUGCAUUAGUAUAUGGGACUUUCGCCAUAUAUUCUCUUUCUUCUUCAGUUUUCAGAGAUAAUUGAGCACUAAGUUUCAAAUGAGAAGCAAGUGGGGUACUUACAUGUUUUGUGUUUUCAUUUACACCAAAACAUUGUAAUACCUUUUUCAGAUAUUGCUUCUGAUUCAAACAAAGCUUGCCUCUCUGUCUAUCUCUACUUAUCUCCAUGCCGAGAAUCUUCUUGGCCUCACUUAGAUCUUUCAUCUCGAACUCUUGAUUCAACUGAGCCUUCAGCUUAUCUAUCUCUUUUUGGCUCUUCGAAGCGAUUAACAUAUCAUCAACAUACAAGAGUAGAUAAAUGAAAGAUCCGUCAUGCAGCUUCUGCAAAUACACACAAUUGUCAUAUUUGCUUCUUGUGUAUUUCUGCCUUCUCAUAAAGCUAUCAAAUCGCUUGUACCACUGCCUCGGGGAUUGCUUCAAUCCAUAUAGCGAUUUGUUAAGCUUACAAACCCAAUUUCUACCACCAGCAUCUGUGUAUCCUUCUGGCUGAGUCAUAUAGAUCUCCUCUUCUAACUCACCAUGCAAGAAAGUCGUCUUAACAUCAAGUUGAGCUAGCUCUAAAUUCAACUGUGCUACCAAGGCCAACAAAAUUCUAAUGGAGGAAUGCUUCACAACAGGGGAAAAUACAUCAUUGUAGUCAAUUCCCUCCUUCUGAGCGUAGCCUUUAGCUACCAAUCUUACCUUGUAGCGAAUAUCCUUCUUGCUAGGAGAUCCAUCUUUCUUUGCGAAUACCCACUUGCAUCCGAUUUCCCUUUUACCUUUCGGUAAUUGCGCCAACUCCCAAGUAUUGUUCUUCCGGAGAGACUGCAUUUCUUCAUCCAUGGCGCUUUUCCAUUUAUCACUUUCUAAGCUUUGCAUUGCUUCUUGAUAAGUGAUAGGAAUAUCAUCAACAACGGGAAGGGCGUAGGCCACCAUAUCAGUAAAUCGAGCAGGUUUACGAAUUUCUCUCCAUGGCCUUGCAACUGCAACUGGUUCUGGUGUACUUAGUGGUUCUUGGGUCAGAACCUCUUCAACCUCUAAUUCCUCCAUUGUGGCUGGAGAAUUAGACUUAUUAACUGGGCAAAUCCCCAUCUGCUCAAACUCCACCUAUUUUGGAGUACACUCCACCUGCUGUGGAGUAUUGCUCGUCUGAAUAUCUUUAUCUGCUACCUUUUUCAAUGUGGCAGAUUCAUCAAAGGUAACAUCUCUGCUACAGAUCAUUUUCUUUGUGCUUAAGCACCAAAGACGAAAUCCCUUCACUCCAGAAGUGAUUCCCAUAAAGAGAGCUUUUUUUGCCCUCGGAUCUAACUUUGACUCCUUCACAUGGUAAUAUGCAGUGGUUCCAAACACAUGUAAGGAAUCAUAAUCUGUAGCCGGUUUUCCAGACCAUACCUCCAUAGGAGUUUUUCUUUCUAAUGCAGAUGAUGGCAAACGAUUAACAAGAUGGCCAGUGUAUGUCACAGCCUCAACCCAAAAUUGCUUGCCCAACCCAGCAUUGGACAACAUACAUCAAACUUUCUCCAGCAAUGUUCGAUUCAUACGCUCUGCCACUCCAUUCUGUUGUGGUGUAUCCCUAACUGUGAAGUGUUGAACAAUACCAUACUCUUGGCACACAUCGAAGAACGGAUCACUUUUAUAUUCCCCUCCAUUGUCCGUCCUAAGCCGCUUGAUUUUCUUGCCAGUCUGGUUUUCGAUCAUAGUUUUCCAUUUAAGAAAAACUCCAAGCACUUCAUCUUUAGUUUUCAUGGUAUACACCCAAACUCUUCUGGAAAAGUCAUCAACAAAAGUAACAAAGUAGUGUUUUCCUCCCAACGAAGGUGUUUUGGAAGGCCCCCACACAUCUGAGUGAAUAUAUUCCAAAAUACCUUUUGUAUUAUGGAUAGCAGUGCCGAAUUUCACUCUCUUUUGCUUUCCCAGAACACAGUGCUCACAAAAUUUUAAUUUGCAAGCCUUUGCACCUUUCAACAAUCCUUGUUUUGCCAGAAUUUGUAAGGAUUUUUCGCUGGCAUGUCCCAACUUCAUAUGCCACAACUGCAUUGAGUCCAAGUCUUUGUUACCGGAAGCUGCAGCGACUGCUCCAAUAACUGUACUACCUUGGUAGUAAUACAAGUUAUUUUUCCUGAUGCCCUUCAAUAUCACAAGUGCGCCAGAUGUCACUUUCAAAACCCCAUCUCUCAUAGUAACAACUGAACCAUUGGAUUCCAAGGCUCCCAAUGAGAUGAGAUUUUUCUUCAAACUGGGCACGUACUGAACAUCAGUCAGAACUCUGGUUGAUCCAUCUUUAUUCUUUAAUUGGAUUGAACCUAUCCCAACAAUUUUACAGGCAUUGUCAUUGCUCAUAUAAACAACUCCUCCAUUUAGUUCUACUAAAUCAGAGAACCACUCCCGGUUAGGGGACAUAUGAUAGGUACAACCCGAAUCCAAUAUCCACUCAUCUGAAUGGAACGACGAUGAUGAUGCAACCAGUGAUAGUUCAGAGUCACUAGUAUCAUGCUUAGCAACACAAGCAUCUACAGCAGCUUUUCCCUUAUUCUUCAGCUUUGGACAAUUUUUCUUCCAGUGGCCUUUCUCAUGACAAAAAGCACAUUCAUCUUUCCCGAGUCUGGACUUUGACUUUGAUAUCCCCUUUUGAGUUUUCUUCCGAGUGUAUGAACGACCUCGGACUACUAAAGCUUCUGUAUCUCUGAUUGAGUUUUUCUGUUUGUCCUUCUUUCUCUGUUCAUAACUGUAUAAGGCCGCACAGACUUCGCUCAGAGAUAUAUCACUCCUGCCAUGAAGUAGAGUAGUUUCUAGGAACUCAAACUCCUCAGGAAGUGACCCCAACAGCAUCAAAGCCAAAUCUUCAUCUUUGAAUGUCUCAUCCAUAUUCAGCAAAUCAGUGACUAACUGAUUAAAUUUGGUGAUGUGAUCAUUCAUUGUGGUACUUACGUAUGUGAAGCGAAACAGUCUUUUCUUCAAGUGGAGCUUAUUUUGACUGUUUUUCUUCAAAAAAAUUUCUUCAAGUGCCACCCACAACUUAUUUGCAGAAGUCUCCUUUGAAAAAGCAUACAUCUGCUCUCGAGAAAGGCAUGAUCGAAUUGUGCCACAUGCCAACCGAUUGAUCGCCUUCCAAUCUUUCUCCUGUACAUCAUCUGGUUUCUCUUCAUCAAUGGCAAUGUCUAGACCCUGCUGAAAAAGGGCAUCUAGAACCUCACUUUGCCACAUACCAAAAUGGCCCGUGCCAUCAAAGAUUUCCACGGCCAAUCUUGCAUUUGCAAUUGUCGGUCUUGUCCACAUGGACGAUGUUGAAGCUCCUACACCGACCGUUUUCUCCAUAAUCUUUCAAUAUAUCUAAGGAAAUCUUUUCUGAUGUGGAAGAUCAGUUUAAACUGCAACCACAGAGCAUACUACGAUUAACCUUCGGCUCUUGAUACCACUUGUUGUUCCAAUAGGGUCGGAAGCGUGUAAAUUAUUGUACUAAAAAAUCACACAAAGUUCAAUUCCCAGGGAAGAGAGGUGGAUCACAUGGAUCUCUUAAAUACCAAGUCUUUCCUUAGACAGAAUAUCCCUUCUAUAGUAAUUUAAUAGCACAAUUAAAUACUACUAUUAUACCCUCAAAUAUUGAAAGAAAAAUAGGACAAAAAAGAACACAAGAGAUUUAACGAGGUUCGGUAAAUUAUACCUACGUCCUCGGGCACUAACACCAGAUGAUAACUUUACUAUCUCCAAAGUAUUACAAACAAAUAGAAUUUCUUAAGAAUUCUCAAAUGGGAGAAGAGAGAAAACUAAGAGAGAAAGAUUGGUUGGGAUGAAUUGAAAUGAGAAAUGAGAAGGCCUAUUUAUAGUUGAGGUUCAAGGACCAAACAAUAAAUAGCCCAUUAUCUCAAGGACCAAAAAAAAUUAUCCCUUGCCACUUUUCCAAAGUUGGUGGUUGUCAUUAUUGAUUGUCUCCCAUUAAUGUUAAUGGCAACCAUUAUUAAUUGUCUUCCAUUAAUGUUAACACAUUAUGGCAACAUAAUGUGCAGGAUCCGAAUUGGCACCCGUAUAAGAUGAUCAACAUCCGAGGCAACUUGCAUACACCGAUUGCUCAGAAAACCGUACUGUUAUCAAACAUCUGUUGUUCUACGAAAUGCGAGCUGGUUCAUUACUCAAAACUUACAUAUUAAUGGGAUGCCUUCUCGGUAAUGCAGGAAAUAAUAGACAAGGAUGAUGAGAAGCUGAAGGAGUUGAGAAAUGAAUAUAGUGACACAGCGUACGAGGCUGUCAGCACCGCACUGAUGGAAAUGAACGAAUAUAAUGCCAGCGGAAGGUAUGCGAUCCCGGAAGUUUGGAACAGAAAGGAGGGAAGGAGCGCUACCAUGAAAGAAAUCGUUCAGUACGUCGAGCAACUGAAGAUUCACAAGCGUAAGCGAUUUUCUUAAUGCUGAGCUUAGCAGUCCAUUGCUUUCAUGGAAAAUAAGUAGAAUUAUACACAAUCCUUAGGUAGGUAUUAAAUUUUAGAAUUAUAUUUGACAUUAAAAAGAGCUAUUUGUUCAUUCCAGCAUGAGCUCCAAAAUUAGGCUCCAUAUUUACAAACCUAAAUUAAACUUACUCCAUAUUUACAAACAGAAAUUAAACCUACCUACGAUAGUUGCAUAAAAAAAUAUUAUCAAUUUAAAAAAAAAAGUAAUUAAGUUGUUGGUAUUUUUCAUUUAAUUAAAUACUUCACUUUUUAAAAUGUAUCAAAAACUUUCUUUAAAUUUUAAAAAAUAAUAAUUAAAUCUUUGUUUUUCUUUUACAUACUCAAUGGCUACUUCAACUAUCAAAAAAAAAAAAAAAAGAAAAGACUUUUUGACAAUUAAAAGUAACUGCUUUAAUUUUUUUAGUUAAAGUCAUUCAGCGUCACAACCAUACAGGCGUGAUGUGUAAUAAAAAAUUAUAAAAAAUAAAAAUUAAUAAAAUUAUUAAAUUCUAAUAAAAAAUAUAAAAAUAUUUAAAAUUUAUUUAAAAUGUCAUAAAUGUAUAAAUAAAAUAUAUUAAAAAUGUUAUUUAACCACUAACUUUAAUUGUUGACUAGUAAAGUCCAUAAUUUUUUUUUCAAUUAAAGCCAUCAUGUGUCGCAAUGCAAUGUGACCUGUGAUGAAAAAUUAUAAAAAUAAAAAUCAAUAAAAGUUACAGAAAAAUUAAAAAAUAUUUCUUUUGGUACAAUAAUUUUUAUAAUUUUUUUAUAAAUUUUAUAUUUUUAAAUUUUUAUAAUUUUCUUACUAUUUUAUAAAAUUUUAUAACUUUUGCAUUUUUUUAUAAUUUUAAAUAUUUUAUAAUUUUUAAAUUGUUUAUAAAUUUUAACUCUUUUUUAUUAAAAUUUAAUAAUUUUUUAACUUUGAUUUAUUUUUAUUUUUUUUAUAUUUUUUUACAUGUCACACUAUAAUUGUGACCUUUAGUGUUUUACCAAAAUAUUAGGAGUGGUUAAUUUUAACAUUCAACCGCUAAAAUUAACAAUCACAAGACUUUUAACAGUUCAAAUAUUCAAUUGGAUAAAAAAAUUUAUUAUUUAAUAAAAUAUAUUAAAAUAAGGGUUUCGACUCAAAUCAUGAUGAAUUGAGCCAUCGAACUUGAGAAAUUAAAAUGUGAACAGAAAUGGGCUCUUCAAAAACCCUUACCCGAGCCCAAGAAGAUCCCCCAAAAACCUUCAACUUAUAACCCUAAUUUGCCUCUCAACUACACUAUAAAUCCUAUCUUCAACAAGACUCAUUCAGCAUUUAUAUCUUCUAAAAAACCCUUCGUUCGUCUAAGGUUUCUCUUUAGAAAUUUUCUCUUCGCAGAGAGUAAUUUUUGCCUUCAUUUUUUUUUCUCUUUAUUUUCCCAUUUUCAAUCUGGGGUUUUUUCCAAAAUGAGUUAAAAAUCCAAUCUUUACACUAGAUGUGAACCCUAAUCACAUUUAUUUUAUCUGGGUUUUGAAUAAAAUCUACACUUGUUUGUAUACUUAUGAAAUAAAAGAACCAUUUUUAAUGCUUUGUUUCUUAACAAGAGUGCAGAAAUAAAAAGCUUGAUUUUUUGCUUCUUUUAAAACAAAGAAACCAAGGAUUAAGCAGCGGCCAGACAACCGUAGCGAUGAUAUCCACAGAUGAAGGGCUAAUUUCUUCUUUAAUCCCUUUUUUGUCUACUGAUUCCAUCUCACAUUUCGUUUUUUAAGUUUUUAGGGUUCAUCACUUUUGAAUUGAUUGAAAAAGCUCUAAUCAAAGUUGAAACUUGGUUAAAAAAUGGGUUUUUUUAUAUGAUUUUACCAUUUUCAAUGCUUUUUUUUUAUGUUUUUUCAAUUUGUAAAAUCAAAUGAGAAACAAUCUCAAAAAAGAAAAAACGACAUUAAUCUAUCAAUCAAUCAAACUGAUUUUGAUUUGAUCAGAUAAAAAAUCAUUAAAUAUCAUAUUCAUGGGAAUUGCAGAGGUUUACUGUUGUAAUUCUUACGAUAUUUUAUCAGAUAUAUUUUACAUCUUAAUAUAUCAUUAAUAUAAAGUCAAAUUUUUUUAACAGGUUAUAUUUUGAUAUUAGUCCCUAUAUUUUGUUGAAGUUAUGAAUUUAGUCUCUAUAUUUUUUAAAUUUUAAUAUUUUAGUCUUUAUUAAAUGAUAAUUGUUAAAAGUUAAAGUUUUGUUAUUUUUAAAAUCUAUUGCAUCAAACAUAUUAUCACAUGCUCAAUGUCAUGUCAACUUGUUAUUUUCAUGUAUUCUUUACUAAAAAUUUAAGGGUAAAUUAUCAAAAUAGUCACUUUUGUUUGACUCAGGUUACAUUUUAGUUACUUACGUUUGAAAUGUUACGUUUUAGUCACUUAUGUUAUCACGUUGUAACAUUUUAGUCACUGAGCCGUUAGUUUUUGUUAACGGUGCAACAGUAAACUGAUGUGGCACGUUAAAUCAUCAUUUCAAACAAAAAUUCUAGGUUAACUUAUACAAUCGGUCCUCAUAUUUUUUCGUUUUGAGCAAUUUAAUUUUUUUCUUUUAUGUUUUUUUUAACUUUCUUUCUUUUCCAUUCUCUUAUGCUUCUCUCUUUGUUUUCCUCCCUUCUCCAUUUCUUUCAACGUAGUUUUUCUAUGUUUUAUUUUUUUGAACAAUUUAAUUUUUUCGAGUGAGGCGAGCUUGUGGACUAGUUACAAAUGGAAAGCAUAGAAAAACUAUGUUAAAAGAAAUAAAGAAGGGAGGAAAAUAGAGGGAGAAGAAUAAGAGAAUGGGAAAAAAAGUUAGAAGAACAAAAAAGAAAAUUUUUAAAUUGUUGAAAAUGAAAAAAUAUAGGAACCAAUUGUAGAAUUUAACCUAAAAUUUUCGUUUGAAAUGAUGAUUUAAUGUGCCACAUCAACUUAUCGUCCAUUGUCGACAAUUAACGACUCAGUGACUAAAAUGUUACAACACGAUAACGUAAGUGACUAAAAUGUAACAUUUCAAACAUAAGUGACUAAAAUGUAACCUGAGUCAAACAAAAGUGACUAUUUUGGUAGUUUACCUAAAAUUUAAUUAAUAGAUUAACAACUGUUAUUUGAGUCGAAACUAAAAUAUAAAAAAUUACGACUUAAACUGAUCCAAUUAAAACAUAUGGACUAAAUCUACAACUGUGCUUACAAUACAUAAUUAGCAAUUGAAUUUAAACAAUUAGAUUUAACAAUAACUAUUUGUGUUAAAAGACUAAAAUUUAAAAAAGUACAGAGAGUAAAUUUGAAAUUUUGACCAAUUUGAAAAGUACAGAGACUAAAACUAACUAAAUUAAAGUACAAUGACUAAAUCCAUAAUUUUUAUAAAGUACAAGGAUUAAUAGAAAAUUGUAACCUUUUUAAUAAAGUAAUUUUGAUUUUUAUUAAUUUAUUUAUAUCUUUUGCUUUUGUAAAUAUAAUAUUUUUAAAUAUUAUUUUGAUUUUUUAUUAUUUUUCAAAAGUUUUUACUUUUAGAAUGAAUGGUCUAAUUUAACCUUCAGUCCAAUUCUUACAAAAUUGAUAAACACUAACAAUGCAUAAUUUAAUAAAACUUUUCAAGUAAUUUAUAAAAAAACACUCAAAUUAAGUAAAUUAAACACACAUUUCAUUUUAAAUUAAAAUUAUAAAUAUUUAUGUGUUAAAAAAUAAAAAUAAAGUAUCAUCGAAGCUGCGGGCUGCAAUCUUCCCAAGCAACUUCAGCCCCCAUUACUUCCCCACUCUUUUUUUUCUCUUUUUACCAACACUCAGAAAAUCAAAAUUUUACCACACUUUCCCUCAUUUUCCCGGAAAAUAAAAUAAAGAUAUUAAAACCAAACAAAAAUCCAAAAAAGGAACUCGGUGAAGAUUUAGAUUUAGACCCUGAAAUUUUUGCCAGUGAAAGUUUGACCAAAUUGCCAAUGAGAAGGGACAAUGUUCCACGAAGUAGAGGUCCGAUGGUCGCUGCCGGUGACCCUAGACGACAGAGAUUGGCCGACUAAAACGGCGUUGGAUUGCCAGUUUUGGCCUCAGUUUCGGCUCAUGCUCAUCCACUCCGUUUUCGACCCUUUAAUGCUUGCUUUCACGAUAUCGCCGGCGCCGGCCACGUUUGUGAUUAGGACCAAGUUGAAGUAUCGGAAACCGUUGAUUGUGAAUCUGAUUCCUCCUCGUUUCUGGCAUGGCACCCUGAAGAAUCAUACGAAAAAGGAAAUGAAGAUUGGGUCAAAUCUAUUGACACUAAUUGUUGAAGUUCGAAAAUCGGUCUAAUAUUUAAGAAGGUAAAAGCGUUUGAACGGGAUGAGAUCAUCUCAACAUAUUGGUUAGACCGCGAAUCGAUUAAAAUAUCGGAGAAAGUAACUUGAUCAAUUAACUCGAAACUAAUACAAAUCAAGAAAAUUACUAGACAAGUUAACUCGGGAUUUGAUACAUCUAAGUUUGAUUUUUAUUAUAUAUAAUUUUAAUUUCGGUUUUAAAAAUAAAAAGCUAAGGGAAUAUACCUUCUAAAAUAGAGAAUAAAAGGGGCGCAACUGGCUAAUCCUUUGUUCUAUUGGCUAUUGCUAAUGCCUUGGAAGUUGAAAGUGUACCUUACUUUGAUUAGUGAAUGGCCGAAUAUGCUUACAAGAAUAAAUUAAGAAAUUCAACGUGGCUUAACAUACAUUUGUAUUUACUGUCACAUGAAUUUGGAUAACAACGAUUGAGAUGGAGAGAAAAAUCAUAUCCAAUUAUGUUUAACACUAGCAUUACGUACAUAAGCUCACACCGACUGAAGAAAACUUUACAUAUACAAGUAGAAGAAAUUUCCGAAUGAACAAAGUCAGUCUUCGCAUCCUAGUUGUUGUUCCAUUCAAUCUCUGUAUGCCCAAAAGAAAAUGAGAGAAAACAAUUACUACGACUAAUGACAUUGUUGAUAACAGGAAAUAUCAUUGUCAGAGAAUUCAAGACUCAAGAGGGAGCAUAUAUAAUUAAUCUAUACUAUAUUACCAUACAUAUGCCCUCAAAUAUUUUUAAAAUUAAUCGUUCAAAUCUAAAUAUAUAUUUGAAAAGAGUAUACGAUAUUAUAAAGGAUCGUAAAAAUCGAAAUAAUAUUUAAUUCUAUAUCGUCUUCUAGAAAGAACAUGAGCUAUGGUGAUAAAAUAUUCGAAUUAUUCCUCUAAUCUCAUUUAUAUCAUAAUUUAAAUUUGAAGAACUUACGAGUAUCGAUGAGAAAACCCACAGGGUCUUUAAUGAGGGAGUUGUUUUAAUUUCUUGACUUAAAUUCAUUGAUUCUAAGGAAGCCUUUACAAACAGACAUAAUUAUUAAUUGAUCCAAUUUCAACAGCAUAAAGUAGGAUCAUAGGAUAAGGGCUUAGACAGAAACAACUUUAUUCUUUUUCUUUUAUGAGCGAAUCCAAAAAUUUUAUGUUGGGAGUUGUUUUUCCGCAAGUGGUGGGAACGGGCAUCAAUUAUUGCUUAAAAGUUAAGCUUGUAAUUUACAAUCAAGGCAUCCAUCAUUUUCUUCAUCCUGGUUAAUGAUAAUUCGAGAUAAAUGUUCCAUUUCCAGUUAAAAUAAAAAUUUUCUCAAGUUAAUUGUUUGAGGAGUAAAUUUAAAAAUAAUAAUAAGAUUGUUUUCUAAAUUAUAAAAAUAAAGAUACAUCAAAAUUAAAAUUUUAAAAAUAUAAAAAUUUUAAAAAUUAACAUAGAAUACACAUAGAUUGCUAUGUAGGUUGUCGUGUUUAAAAAUUUAACAUUUUAAUUAGUAUUCUAGUUUUUUUUUAAAAAAAACAUCAUUUCAGCUCUUUUUCAAAACUAAUAAAUAAGAUUAGAAAACUAAAAAUCGAAUAAAGAAUCGAAUUUAACUAGAUGUUGAGGCUUGUUUUACACAGUUUCCUUAACACAAAUUUGUCCGCUUCUACGGUACUUGGAGAAACAUUGGUCGACUGUCUCCCAUGAUACAAUAACACGAUGACUGAAAUAGCAUCACCUUUACAUGAAAUUGGCUGAUAUUAUGACGAUACUAGGUAGCAUAGAUAUCAUUAUGGGAGAAGUGGAUCGUUGAAAUGAUAAUUUAUACGACAGAAGUAGAAUAUAUCAAUUCCUUUUACACAUUGGAAUCUUUAAAAGAGGUCUAUGGGAUCAUAUGGAUGUUGGUCCCUAUUUUGACUCUUGUUUUGGGAAUCACAAUAGGUGUACUAGUAAUUGUAUGGUUAGAAAGAGAAAUAUCUGCAGCAAUACAACAACGUAUUGGGCCUGAAUACGCCGGUCCUUUGGGCAUUCUUCAAGCGCUAGCAGAUGGAACAAAACUGCUUUUCAAAGAAAAUAUUUUUCCAUCUAGAGGCAAUACUCGUUUAUUUAGUAUUGGACCGGCUAUAGCAGUCAUAAGAGACCAAUGAACAAACCUUGCAUUUUUCUGUCACCGGAACGUUGGAAAAUAUAGAGAGGAAAAGAGAAGAAUUUUCGAGAGCAAAAUAAACUUGGUUUUAGAGAGUCUUUUAGUGUAAAAAAUUUGAAGAAUUCUUAAGCAUUCAAGAUGGAGGAAUUUUGGAAAUAUCCAUAAUUAAAUAUAUAAAAUUUGUAUUAAAUGAGCAAUUAAAUCAUAAUAUAUGUCUUUUUUAAAUUAGAUUUUAUAUAUAUUUGCUGAGAAAAAUAAAUUUUGUGUUGGGCUUAAAAUAUCUAUCCCUUUUUGGGCCUGACCAGUUUAGACAUUUCACGUUGCCUACGUCGUGCGAGUGCGCUCCAACCCCGAUGGGUUUGGAUCUACACCCCUGCGCGUGAGACAAAGUUUCAAACUUAGUCAUUCAAUCAUCCUUCAAGUGGGUUCUCAUAUAUAGAGACAUCUCACACUUGGUAUUCAAUCAAUGUGAGAUCUAAGCUUUUCUUUUCCUCAACAAAUAUUCACAAGUAACUUACUUUGAGCAUUAAUUUCUCACUUAUCACUCAACCAUUUUGAGCAUACGAUAUACUGUUGUAAAGAUAUCAUUGAGUAGAAUAUAAAAUCAUAAUUUUAUGAUUCAAUUCUCCACCUUUACCAAUUGAGAAUAUGCUUUAAAGUUUCCAAAAAUUACAAUUUUUUCAACAUUUUAUACAUCUAUUUUAAAGGCAUAAUUGAGCCAAGUAGAGCCCGAAUAAUGACAAGUUGAACUUGACUCGAACAUCACUUUUUAAGGUCAAUCUUGAUUUAGAACAUAAUUGAGUUGAUUAAGCUCGUUUAUCAAUUUUUAUAAUCAAACCCAUUCAUAAUUAAGCUCUUUCUAUAUAUCAAGGAUAAAAAUGUAACUUCAUAAAUAAAAAUAUAUUUAAAUGGAAUGCUUAAUUAGGUUUGUGGCCUACUUGAAUCAAGUAUUACAAUAUUUAAAUUCGACUCAACCAAUAGCUCGAGCUCUACUCAAUAAUUUUCAAUAAAAUUUUGAGAUUUUUUGAAUCCAACUCGAAUUGCUUGCAAAUAUUAAUGUAUCACUUAUGCUUUUAAUUUUAAAUUUACAUUUUUAAUUCUUAAAAUAUUAUUAAAACCCAAUCAAUUGAAGGCUUUGUAGAAAGUGGUGGCAAAGUGCAUCCUUUACUUUAGGUCUCACUAUAUCUAAAAAGAAAUUAAUGCGAACCGUAGAAAGUGGUAGGAAUGUGCAUCAUUAUUGCUUUAAAAGAAUUUAAAUCUUUAAACGGAUAGAAUUAAAUUUUCAUAAUUUGGAGGAGUUAAAGUGUACUUCUUUUUACUAUUUUAAAAUUUUAAAAUUUUAAAAUUUUUUAAAGAGUUAAAAUAACAUUUUUUAUUUUAAGAGGGCCGAGCUCCCUGUCAACCUCUAGAUUUACCUCCGUAAAUUUCAAAAUUCAGUUAAAUUAUGUUAUUUUGAAUAAAACGUUAAUUGAUAAAGAAAUUCUUUUAGUUUCAAAAAUUCAAUUUUUCUGUUUUAAAAAAAUAUAUAUUAAAAUUUAAAAUUUAAAAUAUUAAAGUAAUAAAAUUUAAAUAUAUCAAUGUCUUUUUGAUACAUGCAUGAAUGGGGUGAAACUUAUUAGAUUCCAAUCAUCAAAACUGCCAAUUUUCAGGCUCGGAAAAUCAGCAGACUUGCGGCGACUGGAUCCUGGUAUUUUUGGGUUGAGAUGUCUCAUGGCGUUUAAAGAUCUAUCUCUUAGCUUUGAAACGCAUUUUGAAUAACUCGAUUUUGAGUUCGGGAGCUCAAGUUAUGACCGUUUUAGUGAAGACUACGCGAGAAGAAUUUCUGAACGGGAUUAUGACGGGAAUUACAAAUUUCGGGCUUUUAAUUCGAGUUUAAAUCAUAUUGGAUUCGGGUUUUAGACUUAAUUUUUAUUAUAUAUGAGCCCAAUAUUAUAUUUGUCAGAUCUUAUUAUUUUAUUAUUAUUUUAUUCUAAUUUUUUUUAUAAUUAUUAAGUAUUUUAAGUUAUUAGAGUUCUAGUAUUUUAAGCUAUAAAGGCCAGAAAAAUGUAUUCUUGGGGGUGAUUUUUGAAGGUAAAAAAGCAACAGAAAAUCAAUACAAAAUAAUCAAAAAUUUCAAACAAAAAAAGAGAGAUUUAGAAGGUAGUUUUUUUUUCUCUGUUUUUGUUUGUUUUAUUUAUUAUUUUUUCUUUCUUUUUCUAAACAGAAACACAGAAAAUAAAACGGGACCGAAAACUCACCUUUUUAGAGGGAGGGCUGAGAGAGAGUUGAGCAAGAAGAGAAGGAUUUUUUUUUUAAAAAAAUGAGGUUACCAAUGAUUUUUUAAAGUUUUUUUAAAUUAUAUAAACACCCCAAAACGACGUCGUUUUGAGUUUGGCUUCUGACACUUAAAACGGCGUCGUUUCACCCUUGACCCGCGUGCGACCUGACUCGCUCCAUGGGGAUCCUCGUGUUUUCAAUUUUUAGGCUAUUUACGCCUCUGGUCAUCCCGCGUUUUCCGGUUGUUUUAAUUUAGUCCCUUUUUUACUUUUUUUCUCUUUAUAUAUUUGGCCAUUGAUUUUGUGGCGUGUUUUAAUUUAGUCUCUGGCUCGCUAAAAAGGACGCGUGUCAAGGAGAUCGGGUUAUUUUCCCAUUUGGUUCUCGUUUGUUUUCGGGCCUUUCGAAUUAGUCCUUUGUUCUUUUUUUAUCUUAAUUUAUCCUGCUAAUUUAAUUUGAGUAGCAAUCGGGUCCUUUAUUCAUUUAUUUUUGUGUAUCUUUAUUGUGUAUCUUUAUUUAUUUUGCUUUAUUAUUUUUACUUUAUUACUCCUUUUUAUAUAUUUGUUUAAAAUUGGAUUGUGUAUAUGUUUAUUAGUUUUUUUUUUCUUUUGGUUAUCAUUCUUUUACUUUUUAAAUAUUUAAAUCUAAUAUUAUGAACAUUUACUUUAUCUAUUUACUUAUUUAUUUAUUAUUCUUUUACUUUUCAAACGCUUAAAUUUAAUAUUAUUUACAUUUGUUUUAUCUAUUAUUCACUUAUUUUUUCUUUUACUUCUAAAGAAAUUUUAAAUUCGAUAUUAUUCGUAUUUGUUUUAUUAAUUUAUUUUUUAUAUUUCAAUUUAAUGAUAUUUGUUUUAUCUAUCCAUCAAUUUAUUAUAUAUAUAUAUAAUUAGAUACCACUUAUAUUCAUUAAGCAACUUUCAUUUUCAUUUAUAUUUUGAAUUAUUUUAUUUAUUGUGUUGUGGUGUUAUAAAUUGAUUUUUUUAUUAUUGCUAUAUUCACUGUUAUUGCCAUAGUAUUUGGUCAUUUAGUUGUCAUUUAGUAUCCUAAUAUAAAUCGUACUCAUAGUCAUAUCACAUUAUUUCAUUACCAUUGUAUUAUACACUAGGUUCACACAUAUUUAUCCAUUUUUUUAUAGACGAUGCCCGAAUUAAACAUGUAUGCCUUGUAAGUGUUACAUUAAUAUUUUAUUCGGUGCACAAAAAGAAAAUUAUUUUAAAUAAGUAAUAUUUCGUAUUUUAGAAUUCGUAAAUUCGUUCCUUAACUUACGGAGUUUCGAUCUUCUCGAUAAAUCUAAAUAAAUGAACCUUUUUUAAAAACAUAAGUUUUUAAAUAAUCUCAGGAAUUAAGAAGAGAUCGUGUUCUAACUUAAUGGAUAUGGUUUCAUUCUAAAACUGAGAUAAUCGAAUAUCUUUUAAAAUAAAUAAAUUUUCGGUGUUUAUUCUCGUUUCGAGGAUUUAAGGUAUUGCGUCCUAACUUACGGGAAGUAAUCCUUUUUCUCGAUUAACGUAAAAUAUUUUUUUGUAAAAAUUCAAUUAAGCGAUAUUGUAACAAAGGAUGGUAUUUUAAAUCUCUUUAAAGUUUUUAAUUUUCGACAUUAAAACAUUAAUUCAUCAAUUAGGUACCAAUUUUUGGCGAGACGAGUGUGCUAAUCUUUCUUCGCACAUAACCGACUCCCGAACCCGUUUUUCUUAAAUUUCAUAGACCAAAAUCAUUAUUUAAGUAAAAUCGAAACGUUUUAUUAAAAUGAUUAAAUUACAAGGUGAUCCGAUCACAUCUCGAAAAAAUAUCGGUGGCAACUCCAGUUUUUUCAUUUUCAUUUUUAAAAUAAAAGUAGACCCCUUUUGUUUCAAAAAUGGAGAAAGUGUGUUCCUAUCUUUUGUCAGCUUUACCAAAAGGGAAAAUAAUUGGCGAUAGAAUGUUGCUUUCUUUUGUCAACUUUUUAGCUGUAUCCACUAAAUGAUAAGAACUGCAUUCUCAAGUAUUUGUGUUUCUUUAGGAUUCUAUUGUUUACAUCUCAAUUUUUUUUUUACAUUGAGUUGCACUUUGUCAAAUUACUUCUCGCAUUACUCUGUUAAGAAAAUUAUCUUUUCGCUCGUUCGUAACUACGAGAACUAAUCGCUGAAUCCUUCUCUUAUUCGUUGGAAAGGUACGCCAUCUGCUUUCAUUUUGGUUGAUUUGGUCUUACUUCUUGGUUUACAGAAGCUUUACUUUUUGCUCAUUUGAUUUGUAACUUUUUCUUCUGAUUUUGUUUUAAUCUUUGUUGUCGCUGUGGUUAUUCAGUUUACUUCUUGUUUGACCUCUCAAUGGAGUCUGUUACUACCCUAGUUGGCUCUAUUGUCACUAAAGCUGUAGAGUAUACGAUCUCUCCUAUCAAAAACCAUGUCAAAUACCUUUCCAAUCAUCAGCAAUAUGUUGAGACCCUCAAGGACCGAGCUGAGAGGCUGAAAGAUGCAAGGGACAGAGUGCAGCAUUCUGUUGAUGCAGCUCAACGAAACGGUGAAGAGAUCGAAGGGGAUGUUGGCAAAUGGUUGUCUGCAGUCGACAAAAAGAUUCUUGAACAAGCAGAGAAAGUGAUGCAAGAUGAAGAAAAAGCAAAGAAAAAGUGUUUCAUUGGUUUGUGUCCUAAUUUCAGGACUCGUUACAAGCUUAGCCUGAAAGCCGAAGAGGAGGCAAAGGCUGUUGCCGAGCUACUUGAACAUGGCAAGUUUGAAAGGGUUUCCUAUCGUGCAGCUCCGCAAGGUAUCGUGGUUGCACCAGUUAAAGGUUAUGAGGAAUUCGAGUCAAGAACGUCCAUUUUCAAUGGAAUAAUGGAGGCACUAAAAGAUGAUAGCGUCAGCGUUGUUGGGGUGCAUGGUAUAGGUGGGAUUGGAAAAACAACGCUGGUCAAAGAAAUUGCUAGAAAGGUCAAGGACAAGUUGUUUGAUUCGGUUGUCAUAGCAACCGUAACUCAAGCCAUCGAUAUUGAGAAGAUUCAGAACCAAAUUGCAGACUUCUUGGGCUUGAAAUUUGAGGAACAGAGUAUGGUUGGAAAGGCAUUUCGACUACGAGAAAGAUUGAAGAAAGAGGAGAGGAUUCUGGUUGUCUUGGAUGACAUUUGGGGAAAGGUUGAUAUUGAGGAAGUAGGGAUUCCUUUGGGAGAUGAACACAAGGGCUGCAAAUUACUAUUAACUUCUAGAGAGCUCAAUGUUUUAUCAAAUGGGACGGAUGCUCAGAAAAAUUUUCCCAUUGGGUUUUUAAAUGAAAAGGAAGCCUGGGACCUGUUCAAGAAGAAGGCUGGCGACUGUGAUGAAAGUUGCGAUUUGAAGCCUAUAGCUAUGGGGGUAGCCAAAAAAUGUGCAGGACUGCCGAUAGCUAUUGCGACAGUUGCAGGGGCUUUGAGAAACAAAAGAUUGUUUGAAUGGAAGAAUGCUUUACGAGAACUGGAGAGGCCUUCGUCAAGCAACUUCACGGGGAUAACUGCGGCAUAUUCAGCUAUAGAGUGGAGUUUUAAUUAUUUAGAAAGCGAGGAAGUUAAGCGGACUUUCUUGCUUUGCAGUGUAAUAGGCCAUAAUGGUCUCGUUGAGGACUUGGUAAGAUACACUCUAGGUUUGGGUUUAUUUGAUGGUGUCAACACUAUGGAAGAAGCUAGAAAUAAAGUAUUGACGGUUGCGGCUAAUCUCAAAGCGUCUGCCUUGUUGCUUGAUAGUUAUAAUGAUAAGCGCUUUGAUAUCCAUGAUGUUGUUUGGGAUGCUGCUAUAGCUAUUGCAUUGAAGGACUACCGUAUGCUUGUUUUGAGAGAUCAUGCUCCAAAGGAGUGGUCCGAUAAGGAGAAAAUGAAGACGUGGAGUGUGAUCAGCUUACGUUGUCCUCAGAUUAUAGCUAACCUUCCUAAGGAGAUGGAGUGCUCAGGACUUUCCUUUUUCCACAUGGCCUAUAAUGGCGCGGUUAAAAUUCCUCUCAAUUUCUUCAAACAAACCGUAGGCCUGAAAGCCUUAGAUUUGGUCGGAAUGCAGUUUCCAUCCCUCCCUGAAUCAAUUAUUCACCUUGCAGAGCUUCACAUGUUGUGUCUAAAAGGAUAUGCAGUUGAUGACAUAACCAUCCUUGGAGAGCUCAAGAGUUUAGAAGUACCCAACCUUUCUCGCUUAGGUAUCAAAGAACUACCUAAGGAGAUGGCACAAUCGACUCAAUUAAGGUUGUUAGAUUUGCGUGGGUGUAGAGAACUCAAAAUCAUCCCACCGAAUGUCUUAUCAGGUUUGUCUAAAUUAGAAGAAUUAUAUAUGAGUAGGAGCUUUGUUGAAUGGGAAAAGGGAGGAGUAGUUGAAAAUGAGAGGAAAAAUGCAAGCCUUGAUGAAUUAAACAAUUUGCCUUGUCUAACUACUUUAUAUGUUGAUAUUCUUGAUGUCCAAAUGAUACCAAAACACCGGUUUGUAGAAACAUUGGACAGAUUCAGGAUUUUCGUAGGUAAUUAUGGAGGAUAUAAUUGUUGCCAGAAUUAUGAAUCUCCGAAAGCAUUGAAGCUCAAGUUAUAUACAAACAUUGAUUUGGACAAUGGGAUGAAAAUGUUGUUGAUAAAGACAGAAGAUUUGUGCCUAGAGGGACUUGAAGGCGUCAAGAAUGUACUUGUGGAGUUAAAUAAUGGGAAAGAUCUUUCAAAUUUAAAGAGAUUUCAUGUCAAAAAUGGUAGGCACGUCCAACAUAUCAAAAUGAACAAAAUUGGAUUUUCUGAAUUAUGCUUCGUUAAACUUGAAAAUCUACCGCAACUCGUUAGCUUUUGCUCUCCAGACGAAAGGUGUUCCACUAAGCCCUUAUUACUUUUCAAUAAACAGGUAUUUGUUUGGCUUUACUUAUAUUUUCUUAUACUACUUUUAUUUAUAUGCCCAUUAAUACUUCUAAUAGUAGAAAUAAAUAAUAUUGUGUAAUGGUUUCUCCGGAGCUCAAAAAUAAAUUUCAAAUCCAAAACAAAUUAAAAUUUAAUUUUUAAUCCAAACCGAUUCAAAAUCAAUUCAAUAAUCUAAAUUUAAAUCCAACAAUUUUUUUUAAUUCUGAGAAUAAAAUUUGAGCCCACAAAUCGAACUAAAAUUAUCUUUAAAAUAAAAAAUCAUAUUUUCAAAUUAUGUUACAUACUAUCUUUCCCUAUGGAAAAAGAAUUGUGUAAAUAUGUGCAAUUUAUUUUCCCUCACUUGGAAAGCUUGUAAUUGUGUUCCAUUAACACGAAAAGAAUAUGGCACAACCAGACAUGUCAUUGGGUUACGAAUUUGAGGAGCUUGAUCAUCAAAGGAUGCGGCAAGUUGGAGCAUCUGUUAUCACCCUCUCUCGCUAGAAGUCUGGUGCAGCUCCAAUGCUUUGAGAUAGAGGAUUGCAAUUGCUUAAGGGACAUAAUACUUACAGAGGAAAUUGAAGAAGCAAGGAAAGAUGUGAUUUGUUUCCCUCGAUUAAACUCCCUGCAUAUAGAUCGUCUUCCAAACCUCAUCUUCUUCAACUCAGGAAACCACAAUAUUGAGUUCCCAUUGUUGAAAGUGCUAAAGAUUCAGCGUUGCCCCAAGUUAAUAGAAUUCAUUAGUCAGAAUAGUAAUCAGUCCGGCAUGCACGCUCUCUUCAGUGAGAAGGUGAUUUAUUUCAUUAGUCUUACAUUCUUGCAUAAAUCUGUUGAUUUGUCCUUGUUUUUUUUUCUGCCUUCAUUAUUUGAGCUAACCUUAUCAUGGGCAUGGAUUAUAUAUAUAUAUAUAUAUGAAUAUAUAUGAAUAGGUUGCAGUUCCUAGCUUGGAAGACAUCAAUAUCUGGGACUUGAGUAAUGUGAAGAUGAUAUUUUAUAAUGACCUAGCACCAGGUUCCUUUAAAAAUAUACGAAAAAUAAAUGUUUGGGGAUGUGGGAGUUUGAAAAAUCUAUUUCCAGUAUCAAUAGCCAAAGAUCUUCCACAACUUGAACAUUUAAGCAUCACUGAUUGUGGAGUUGAGGAGAUUGUAUCGAAAGGGGAUGGAGUGGAGGAGCAGCCUGUGAGGUUUGAGUUUCCGCAAGUAUCUUUCCUUGAGGUUACAUGGGUAGAAAAGCUCAAAUGUUUCUAUGAAGGGCAACAUACAAUAGUCUGGCCGAUGUUGAAAAAAUUGAGAACAGAUAGUUCUGCUUUGCUAAAGAUAGUGGCAUCGGAACAUCUUAGAUUAAUCCAAGGAAAUAAGCAGCCAGUUUUGUUGGGUGAAGAGGUAUGUAUAUCAUUACAACUAUAUUUCAUUUUAUGAUUUAAACCACUGCCACAAGCAUCUCAAGUUGAAAUAUGCCACGAUAAUGCAUUUCUAAUUUUUAUAUUUUGUUUUAUUUGGAUUUUUUUUUCGUAUUUUUGAAUUUUCAAUAUAUAUUUUAAAUUUUUUGUUACAUUUAUAAUUAUUUUUUCAUUUUUUUUAAAAACAAGACUGAAUAAACAUAAUAAGUAAAUAUUGAGUGAAUGCAAUUCAAUUUAAUAAAAUGUAUAAAUAUUGAGAGUUAAAUUUAUUAUUAUGUAAAAAAAAAGCUUAAAAAAAUGAAAAUAUUUUAUUUGUUUUUAAGUAUCCAAAAUGAAAAUAUUUUAACACUAAGUGACUGUAUAUGUAAUUUACCCUGCAUUUAAGUAGUGGGUCAAAACUAAAUAGAACGUUUAAUUUGCUAAAAACAAUUGCCACUCAAUAAAAAAUCAAAACUUUAAAAGUUAAUUACACUAGACAUCUCAAACUAUGACCUUCAUUUUAAAUUAGUCUUAAAAUUUAAAAUAUUCUAAUUACAUUCUUAAACUAUUGAGGUUAUAUCAAUUACGUCUUUCUCUUAUUAAAUUCGUUAAUUUAACCAUCAAAUUAAAUCAAUGUAAUAUUUUAAAACCUUGGUGUUUUAUCUCCACUAUUCUGCUUAUAUUUUUUGUCAUAGAAAAAUAUAUAUAUAUAACAAUGGUUGUUUAUCUAUUUUAAUCUAGAUUUGCUACUCUUCUUUCGGCUUUCAUGUUCUGUAAUUUUUAUCAGUUUUUAUUCUCAAGGUAUUGUGUUUUCUUAAAACAAAAAAUUCAUCUACUCUGGAUUCAUUUGAUUUAAUAUUGAUUUUGUUGGGAUUUAAUCAUCAAAAUCAAACACUAAAAUUGUAAAUCUCUUUUUUUUGUUUGUUUGUUUUUUUAAAGCAUAUACAUCAACAUUGAGCCUAACUUGUAUAUGUUUAAUUGGUUUCCAAGGUCAUUCCCAAAUUAGAGGAACUUGAGUUACGAAAUUUUGGUGAUAUGGACCAAUUUCCACCAGACUUGUUUCAACAUAUUAAAGUUUUUGCACUGAGUGGUGGCUCUCCAUUUUCUUUGUUUCCUUUCGUCCGAAGAUUCUACAAUCUGAAAAGACUUGAGGUUUCUAAUUUUGAUUUCAAACAUGUAGUCCCUUGUAAAGGAGACGUCGGGACUCUCCCAUCAAUUAGAAAUCUGAAAUUGGUUUCUGCCAGAAAUCUUAAGCGUAUUUGGAGGAAAGAUUCGGAGCUUGACCAUAUUCUUUCUGAUCUUCAAACACUCACAAUUCACAAUUGUGAUGAUUGGAUAAACAUUAGAGUCUUCUCAUCAUCUUUACAAAAUCUCACAAUUUUGAAUGUGUCACUUUGUAAAAUGAUGACAAACUUAGUUACACCCUCAGUACUUCAGAAUCUUGUGCAAUUAACGACAAUGAUCGUAAGAGGGUGCACUAAAAUGACAGAAAUAGUGGGAAACGAGGGAGACUGUCAUCAGACAAUAGUUGUUAGUAAAUUGAAAUGUUUACAACUAUGCAAUUUGAAGAGCCUCACAAGCUUUUGUCCAUGGUAUUACAACUUCGAGUUUCCUUGUUUGGAAGAAUUAGUUGUGGAACAUUGUCCUUGGUUAAAGAUCUUUUCUGAGGGAGUUUUAAGCACCCCACAAUUACAGAGAAUAAAACAGUCGCAUUACGGUGAGAAAUGGAGUUGCAAGUGAGAGUGGUGAUGCAAGUGAAAGCGUGGUUGGCGAAGGGGGCAUCUAUGAUAACACUGCAACUUUUUUCAGCAAUAAGGUAAGUUUGGUAUUCAAUAUUUAUCUGCACAACUUAUUUCACAUUUUCUUUUGAUUUGAUCAACAUGAGUGUGUCUGGUCUAUAUAUACAUACUAGUGCUACACCUUGUCAAAAUUGAAUAUAAUAAAAUCCAUAAAAAUAUUAAUAAAUAAGACAAUAUUUAAAAGAAAAACUGGAGUUUAAAAGUAUAAAUAAAUAUAUAAAAUAAGAAUUGAAGGAAAAACUUAAAGUGAAAUACUAAAAAACAAUAAGAAUUUAAGAGAAGUUUAAAAUUAAAUAGUAAUAGACAAUAAAUAAUAAAAUAACAAUAGAAAAAAGAAAACUAAUCUUCCUUUAUUUUAAUUUGUGGGUGUAUAAGAAGGAGAUAAUUGUGGAAGACCUUCACAAAGGUCAUUUGAGAUCAAAGGAGAAGAAGCAUGAAAACAAAAGGUGAGGAGUUUGAAGAAGAAAGAACCAAAUAUAUGGGUUUGAUUUAAAGAUUUAAUGUUUUUUUUUUAAUUUCAUAUAUAGAAAAAAUCAUUGAAAGAAAAAAAAAGUUCAAUAUAAUUACUUAAAUUUACCUGUCGGUUUUUAUAAAAGUAACUUAAAUUUUUGAUUAAUUAUGAAAAUGACUCAAUUUAAAAAUUAUGUACAUAAAUUAUUCGAUUUCUAUAGUGUUUGUCGGUGCCCCCAGACACAAUGGCGAUAUCAGACUGAAGUGUGAUUAUAUAAAAUGAUUGUAUUUAUGUACAUAAUUUUUAGUAGUGUUGUUGGAAAAAUUGGCGAUAUCAGACUGAAGUGUGAUUAUAUAAAAUGUUCAUGGACUUAACGAAGUAAUUACCCUUUUUUAAUUAGCGGAAAAAGGGGUCUUCCGGUGAAUAUGGGGCACCAAAUUAAAUGAUUUUCAUCUUUUGGUCUAUUUGCAUGUUUCCCUUUUUGAAAUUAAAUUUAGAUAACCCUUAAGAAAUAUAAGAAUAACAAAAAGAAAUCAUUCUCAUUUAUUUUAUUUUAUUUUUAAAAAAUAAACUUAAAAAAUUAUAUAAAAUGCUUAUUUAAAUUACCCAAAUAUAUCCCUCACACAACUUCCUCAAGUUUAUCUAAAUUCAAGCAUUUUCAAUUCAUUCCCUAGAAUAUUUAAAUUUAGAUAAACUUAAGGAAAUUUUUUGAGGAAUAUAUUUGGGUAAUUUGAAUAAGAAUUUUAUAUAAUUUUUUAAGUAUUUUUUUUCAAAAAAAAUGAAAAUGUUAUAGUUUUGUUAUUAUUAUAUUUUUAAGUGCUAUUUAAAUCUAACUUCAAAAGAGGACAAACGUAACAUGCAAAUAGGUCAAAUGUUGAAAAACAUUUAAUUUGGUUCAGAUACCAACGACACCCCUUUUUCAACCAAUCUAAAACCGUUAACCGCUUCAAAAGAUCCCUGCACGUUUUAUAUAAUCACAUUCAGUCUGGUGCCGUCAAUUUAUUAGGCAAAACCACUACAAUCUUUUUUAAAAAGCAAUCAUUGGCUGAUGAUGGAGGUCAAUGCAAUAAGCACGAUAGAUAUCAAGUCAUUUACGUAUAUGAUUUUUAAGUUGGAUCAUUUUCGUAAUUAACCAAAAAAUUUUGGUUACUUUUAACUGCCUAGUUGAUAUGUGAAUAUUAACCUUUAGAUCAGUUUAUAAAUCUUCAUACUCAUCUACUCAUUUUGAUUGUCUUUCAAAGUACAGAAGGAAGACUGAUACUAUCUUAUAAUAAUAUUUAUGUCAACAGGUUGUCGUUCCUCGUUUGGAGCGUCUGGAUUUGUCCUCGAUCAACAUUCAUAAGAUAUGGCACCACUCAUCCUCCCCAUCUAUCGGAUACCUAAAUUUCUUGCGGGUGAAGAGGUGUCACAAUUUGAAAUACCUGUUCCCGUUUUUCUUAGCAAAAGAUCUUGAGCAACUCCGAUUCCUUGGAAUUUUGGACUGUAAUAUGAUGGAACAAGUAAUAUUCACGGAUGGAUUGGUUGAGGAACAUCAAGGGAGGAAUCAGAUGUUUUUCUUUAAUCUACAUUCGCUGUGGCUAAACGACCUUCCCAAAACUCACAAGUUUGUGCUUUGAAAAUUACUUUGAAUUUCACUGUUUAGCAGAUUUAACACUAAGAAAUUGUCCAUUGCUAAAAACAUUCAUCUCUAAAUGUGUACCCGGAGAUGAACCUCAAAUUGGCCAACAUGUACAGGCAAGUAACUUGGAGGUUCAUAACUCAUCUCUCCUCAAUGAAAAGGUAAUUUCUUCAAGGAUCCUCCUUUUAAUUUAUGUUACUUCGAUUGAUUUUAUUCAUUUGAAGUUCUUUCUUUUUCAUACAUAUUUCAGUUAUUAGCCUAAUGAAAUGAUUUAUUAGAUUGUUUUCUCUAGUUUGAAGUACUUGUCGAUUCAGAAUUGUGAUUCGUUAGAAGAAAUUAUUGAGCUGGAAGGACUCAUUGCUGAUGAGUCACAGUCAACAUCAGCUGCUCAAUCUACUGUGGCUGAAACAGUGACGACCAAGUUUGUAUUUCCCAAACUAAUAAACCUUGGAUUGGAUAAGGUGCCAAGAUUGAAAAGUUUCUACUCUAGGAUGCAUACCACCCAGUGGCCUUCAUUGAAACGAAUGAGCAUUAUUGAAUGCCCCAAAGUACAGAUAUUUACUCGACAAUGUCCUGUGAGUCAGGUUGGAAUCUCAAACCAACAACCCUUGUUUUGCGUCAAUAAGGUAAGCUCACGAACAGUUUCAUAUUCCAUGAUCAUUACUUGAGAUUACCUAUAAAAUGCUUUUUGAAAAAACUAAUAUUCUCUCCUCUUUUAAUUUUAUGAGAGUCUAGUUCUUACUAAUUUAAAACUCUUUCAUCGAUGUCUAAUAUAUUCGUUGCCAUCCAGGACACUUUCCCUGUAUUAGAAGAACUAACACUGAAGACGAAUGAUAUGGGGAAGGGGAUAUGUGAUGGACAACUCUCAUUGCAGUGUUUCCAAAACCUUAAGCAUCUUAACCUCCAAUUCUUUCCUGAGACAUCCACUACUCUUCCGUAUUCCUUCAUUCGGUCACUACCAAUGCUUCAUAAGCUUGUUAUAGACAAUGCUUCCAUUUGUCAAAUAGUACAAUCUGAAGGACUCAGCGACCAGGAAUGGCAUACAGCAGCAUUCUAUCAGCUAAAGGAAUUAAGUUUGUCUCAACUUCCAGAGUUGACGUUAAAGACUUUUGAACCAUCAUUGCUGUCUUUCAAAAAUCUAACAACACUGAAAGUUUCAAGAUGCCAUGGGUUCAUCAAUUUAAUCGCAUGCUCAACAGCUAAGUGCCUGAGGCUACUGGAAAGUUUGAGCAUAGAUGAUUGUGAGAUGAUAGAGGAAAUCUUAGCGUGUGAGGCUGAAGAAAUACAAGGCGGCAUUGUAUUUCCCAAACUGAAGUAUUUGCAACUAAGCUGUCUGCCAUGUCUAGCAAGCUUUUCCUCGGCCCAUCACUCGUUGGAAUUCCCAGUCUUGCUAAUGGUGAAGGUGACAAAGUGCCCCAAAAUGAGGAAUUUCUGCCAAGGAGAUUUAAGCACACCAAGGCUGGAACAAAUGCACUUAACAAGAGAUGAGGAAGGUGAGCUGCAGUGGGAAGGCGACCUUAACACUACCAUAAAACAUAUGUUCGAUGAAAUGGUACAAAUCAUUUAAAGGAUUUAAAUUCAUGGGUUUUUACAUACAUACAUACAUACAUACAUAGUUAAUUGAACAAUUCUUGGUUUGUUAUGAUCAUGCACAGAAUGUGCAAAAUUCUGAGGUGACGGAGGUUACUGAUCAAUUGCCCAAGCUGGAAUAAGGAAAUAUGUAUGGGUGCUUAUGCGAAAAGCUCAAUUUCGUUUGAAUUCAAAACAAAUGGUAAUUGACUCUUCUAUUUUCAUCAUGGCUUAACUAAUGCUUUAUAAAGUGACCAUAGAGACGCCCUUUUCAUUGUAGGUUGAGUUGCUCUACUGAAGUACGAGGCUGCAACUUUUGGUAAAAUGUGAAAGGUUAUUUCAGUUUUGGUAAAACUACUAUUUGAACUGUUCCAUUUCACAUUAUACCCUCAAAAUUGAACUUCAUUGGGCUACAAACAUGUAAACUUUUACUAGUAAGGUUGAGCCCUGUUUUAAGUAUUUGCCAACUUUUGAUGGUUGCCAUAUCAAUGUCAGCUUAAAGCUAUCAAGUAUCUUUACAAAUAUAAGAUAUAUAUAUAUUAUUCCUUAAUGAGGGAUAAAAGUAGGCAGCUAUGUACUAAUGAUACGGUUGAUUCUGAAAAGACGGCCGAAAUUGAAUCAAUGGGUUGUUGGUAUUUGCCUGAUGGAAGAACAGGGCCUAAUGUUGCGUGGAUUCUGGUCAAGUUUUAAAUUUUCAGUUGUGGGCAUUACUGAUUGUUGUCAUUUGGUUGUUGAUCCUCUGAUUUUACGAUUGACUGUCUUGCUUAUUCGUUGCAAGGUUGGCGGGUCUCAAGUAUGAAUUUCCAAACCGGCUUUCAUCCAUAAUUAACUAAGUGUUCCAAUCCAUGGAGUUUAUGGUUUAUUAGCGUAACUGUCCAUUUUAUUUGUUGAGGAAAAAAAAUAUGAGGAUUAAUCUGAUAUUUAAUGUUUGGGUUUUUGAAUAUUUUUGUGCCUUUAAUGAAAGAAAGCAAAUAAAAUAGAGACGUACAAGAUCACAUCCAUAGAUCAACAAAAGGGUUUAAUAUUUCUAUAAAAAAUUGUCCCAAAAAGGCCUUAUGGGAAUUGAUCAUAUAAACUAAUGAAGGCCAUUGAAAAUAAAGCUUGUAAAAGUUUACAGAAGGAAUUGAUGAGAAUCUGAUACACUAUUCAUUUUGUUGCGAUAAGAGUUUAUGGCCUUGUAGGAGCCUCUCCCCAAAUUGCUAGCAAAAGAAACAAAAGGAUUAAUGCACGUCGAUAAUGGCAGAUUUAUAUUUGCUACAAAAGGUGAAGAGCCCAAGACCCUCCAACCUCCUCGGAACAGUUUGAAAUCGUUCCAAAAUAUGCUCUAGCAAAUGUUCCAAGCCAUCUCAUGCGACAGUUUUCCCUUAAAAGCAUUAGUGGCUGAGUCUAGUCUUAAUUUUUAUUUGUAUCUUUUAUAUCCGUUUUAUAAUUCAUAUUUAGGAUUUGUAUUAUUUAAAAAAGGAAAAUCUUUGAAAUAAAAAAAAACAGUAUGUUUUAUAUAAUUAUUUAAAGUUACUCUCACAUUAUUUUUACCCAUUCAAAGCUAGCAAGUCUUUUAUGUACAAAAUCGUAUAGCUCUGCAAUUUGGAAUAACAUUUUGGUCACCUCCAUGUGAAGUGAGAGAAAAUUGAGAAUGUCACACAAUUAUUAUUUUUCCCUCCAUACCCCUAUGCCACCAAAGAAACUUGAAUUAUUAAGGCACAAAAGCACUAAGGAGUAGGAGCUAGAAAAAGAGGGGCAUGAAAAUAAAGAGAGUUACAUUUAUUAUUUGCAUAAUACAAAAUUAGUCUUUAAUAUUUACACAUUUUAUUAUUUUUAUUUUUUAUUAAUUAAAUUUGGCUUUAAACUCUUUAAAAAGAGUUGAAUUUGAACAUCAACCUUUUAAAAAGAGUUAUAUUAUUAUUUAACGGAAAUGUUAAAUUUUGAAAUACAUAUAAGAAUAUAAUUUUAUUAAAUUAUAUAUUUUUAUUAAAUUAUAUUAAAUUAUAUUUAAUAAUAAUUAUUUUAAAUUAUAUUUUAUAGUAUUAUAUAUUAUGAUUUUAGUAAAUUCAUAUAUUUUAUUAAAUUAUAUAUUUUUAUUAAAUUAUAUUUAAUAAUAAUUAUGUUAAAAUAUGAUUAAAUUAUUUAUUAUUUAUAUUAAUAACCUUAUUAAAAUUUAAUAACAAUAACAAUAAUCAUCGACCUAAAAAAAAUUCUACUAAGGGUAUUCUCGUCAUUUUAGCUUUUUUCCUUAUGCUAUUACACCAUCAUUCCCUUCAACCAAACACAAGAAUAUUAUUACGCCUCUAUUCCAUUCCAUUCAACCAAACAAAAGGAUUACCUAUUACGCCUUUAUUCCAUUACGCCUCUAUUCCAUUACGCCUCUAUUCCAUUACAGCGAACCAAACGUGCCCUAAAGGUUCAAAGAUUUCUGCUUAAAUUUGGACUUCACUCCUUAAGCUUCAAGUUCAAGUUUUUUGGUAUAUAAAUUUUGGACCUUAAUUUGGUAUGUAUUUAAGCUUAUUAGUAAUAAUGUGAAUUAUGUACGAAAGAUAAUGUUUUGUGUUAUAAAGUAUCUCGGUUAUAAUGAAAUAAGAAUAAAUUGAAGUGAUGAGUUUAGUGUUAAAUGUAGCAUCUCUUACUCAAAUUUGUUAUCGAAUCGGGUGAGAGGUGUUACUACUAGAAUAUAAAUUACCCUUUCUUUUUUCUUAAGAUAAAUGUAUUUUUUUUAAUUAAAUUCGUACAUAAAAUGAUAUUUUUACUAAAAUAUUAAAUUCGAAAAAGAAAUUUAAGACAAAAACAUUUUAGCCAACAACAUAUUCAUUGUAGGAUCAAAAACAUUAAUGCAAGAAACUUAAAACAAGGAAUCAAAAGUCUAGAACAAGCAAUCAAACUUAUUUUAUAUGAUCCACCAUUAAAAUUUUAGAAUAUGAUAAACAAGCAAUCAAAUAUUAAGUGCACAAUUUUAGAUUCACUAUACAAGAGCUGAGAACGAGAAAGCUAUCACAUCAGAUGGCUUGGUACAAUUAAUUAGACCGUGUUGCAGUACCUCUCUGGCAUCAACUUCGCUUGUAAAUUUCUAUAAGCUGUCACUUCAAUGGCCUUCAUCAACUUGCAGCUCUAAUCUAAAUUGUACAAAACCAAUUGAUAACAAAUUCACAAUCCACAGAUUGUGGGCUCAUAAUGCUAAUGACAAAUCAAUGUCUCGUUAUGAUUCAAGUAAUCCAUACACCGUUGGAUAGGUGCAAGGAUUGUUUGGAUCAUAAGAGAGCAUUGGUUUGUUCUUAGAAUUAUGUGUCCAUAUACCAUGGAUCUUGAACUCAUUAAGGAUUGGUGGUGUACAACUCAGACUAAAGCUAUAGGCUAAUAAAGGCCAUUGAAGAAAAAGCUUACGAAAAUUACAAGCGAAGUUGAUGCCGGUAGGGGUGCUGCAAAUGCUGCUCAAAAUGAAAAGAGAAGAACAAGAGGAGUACUCUCUCUCUCUCUCUAUAUAUAUAAGUAUAUACUCUUCUCCAUGCUGCACAUUAUUGCAAAAAAAGAAAACACACAAGGGACCAAUCUUAGAUCUUCACAAAGGUCAUUUGAGAUCAAAGGAGAAGAACAAGAAAAACAAAGGUGAGGGGUUUGAAGAAAGAGCCAAAUAUAUAAAGGAAAAAUUAAGUGAGAGAGAGGAUGGGUUUAAUUUAAAGAUUAAAUGUUUCUUUUUUGGUAAACACAUUUCUUUGGUCCCUCUCAAUUUUGAUGUUGAGCAAAUUAGCCCAUUUCUAAAAAUUUUGGAGAAAUUUGAUCAUUGUUGAUUUUGAAAGUGAGCAACUAAAUACAAUUAAUCAUAACGUUUAUGUUUUUCAUCAGUUCUACAAUUUUUUUCUUGGUAUAAUAAAAAAUAUAACUUUCAAAGUUUACACAUUUUGUCAAUUUGAUCUUGAUAUAACAAAUAUAACUCAUAACAUUUUCACAAUAUUCCAUCAAUUUGGUCCUAAUUUAACAAAUUUAGCCCGUAAUAUUUACACUUUUUGUCAAUAGUUACGCAGAAUAUAUAAACAUCAAUGGCUAAAUUUAUUAUUAUACCAAUCAAAAUUAUGUAGAAUCGAUGGAAAACAUUAAAGCUAUAAUUAAUUGUCCGUAGUUACUCACAUUUAAAAUUGACAGGAAUUAAAUUGUUCUGAUUUUUUAAAAAGAUCGAUUUACUUAAUAUCAAAAUUGAGAGAAAUCAUAAAGAUAAUUUUACUUUUCUUAAUUUAAUAGGUAAGAAAAUUUAAAAUCAUUGAAAAAAAAAAGUAAGUUGUAUAGAUUUAUUUAAAGUCACACUCACAUUAUUAUUUUUCCCAUUCAAAGUUGAAAAGUCUUUUAUGUAAAAAAUAGUAUAGCUCUUCAAUUUGGGUUAACAUUUUGGUCCCCGCCAUGUGAUGUGAAGGAAAAUUGACAACAUCACAACAAUCAAAUCUAUUUUUUCUGCCAUACCCCUGUGCCUCCGAAGAAAGUUAAAUUAUUAAGGCACAAAAGUACCAAGGAGUAGAAGCUACCAAAAGAGGAGCAUGAAAAUAAAGAGAGAUACAUAUAUUACUGGCAUGGAAUAUUUACAUCUUUUAUUAAUUUAGAUUUUUUUAGUUAAUUUUAAUUUUAAAUCCUUUAAAAAAAAGUUGAAUUUGAUCAUCAACGUUUAAAAAGAGUUGAAUUAUUAUUUUUUAAUAAAAAUAUUAACCAAAAUGUUAAAUUUUGAAACAUGGCAAUCCGUAAAACAAUCCAAGUGUAGUUCAUGCUUGUUUUUAUUUGAUUUUUUAUGAACUCUUUUUGUGGGAAAUUUUUAUUUUUUUAAUAUUUUUAUAAUUUUUAAUUUAUUGGCGUGACAUAUAAGAUAAAUAAUACUAUGUCAACAUAAAUGACAUGUAGACUGCCACAUGGGUUGCCAUGCCAACUUCGUUAAAAAUUAAUAUUUUAGUCAACAUUUAAAAAAACACGAUUUGACUCUUUUUUAAAGGUUAAUUGUCAAAUUUAAAUUAAGAAAUAAUAAUAAUCAAAUUGACAAAAGAUGUAAAUAUUAAGUGUUGAAUUUAUUAUUAUACUUUUAAGUAAAAUUUUUGGAUUUGAAUUUGAAUUAUUUUGGGAAAUUUAAAUAGUUUUGAGCUCAGAACAUUUCAAGAGAAAAUUAGCAAGUCAAAUUACAAUUAUAAAAUAAUAUAUGUCAUUUAUAUGUUUGUCUAUAUAAGUUUAAAUUACAAAUUAAUUACUAAAAGUGAUUAGGGCAUUAGUAUUUGUGUUGUCACAUGGGAGUUUAGGUUCAAUCUCUUGAUUGAAAUAAUAUUUUUAAAAUAUUUAUUUAAUAUUUCUAUAUACAUCAAAAUCCUUGUUAAAUUUUAAUUUUGUUUUUGUUAUUAGAAUACUUGAAUCAAUAAAAUUUUAAGGCACAUAUCAAACCCAACAAUCAAAAUUAAAUCACACCAAAAUAAGGCCAAGAAAUUCUUAAACAGCUCACCAAGCAACAUUCAAAUAUCAUAACUUAACCCCCUUGCAAAUAAUAAGAGCAUAGACGCUUGCUGCAGACAAAAGGUCCCAUGCCCAUUACAAGCUCUGCCCAUCAGUUCCUGCCAGAGGAGCCAUGGCCAAGAAAACUAUUAGUCUUAAUGCAAUCCACAAAACGUGUGGGACUUUUCCUUAAGGUCAGCUCUUUUGAGUUCAAGUCCUUUUCGCUGGCAAAUUUGUUGAUAUAGGAGCAACAUUGGUCAUCACAAUCAACAAAGGUCUUGUGAAAAAAAAUAGAAUGUCGGUAAUGAUAAUAUACCGCAAAGAAAAGAGAAAUAAAAAUAAAGAACAUAGAUUUUACGUGGAAACCCUUUCGGGAAAAAACCACGGGUAGAGGAGAAGUAAAUUCACUAUGUCGAAUUCGAAUGAUUACAAGAGGAGCUUCGACUACAUCUAUUUAUAGGUUGAAAAAAACCUAAUUCUAAUCAAAGUCGAAUAUAUUAUGCUAAUAAAUGCUAAAUAUAUUAUACUCAUAAAUACUAAAUAUUCUAGAAAGAAGAUAUAUUUUGUUCAACUUGACUUGCAAGCAAUCUCUUAGAAUUUGGGUUACACAACUCUAACAAUCUCCACCUUGACACAAAUUCUCAAUGAAUAAGUUCUUCAUCGCGAACUCUCAACGAACAAGUUCUCUAGCUCUUCCAUAAAACCCCUUAAGGGUUUAACUUCAACAAUGAACACCAAUCAAGUCUAAGAAAUGCUUAAACUUGGUUAUAGGAAGUGACUUAGUCAUCAUAUCUGCAGGAUAUUCAUGAGUACUAAUUUUACUCACAACAAUAUCUCCACGGGCAAUAGUAUCACGAACAAAAUAAUACCGAACAUCAAUGUGUUUUGUUUUCUCAUGAAACAUUUGAUAUUUUGUAAGGAAGAUGACACUCUGACUGUCACAAAUACUGUACUGAUUUGAAGGUUUUCAUUGAGUUCACUAAAGAGUCCCUUCAACCAAAUAGCUUCUUUACAAGCCUCAGUAAUUACCAUGUACUCAGCUUCAGUGGUAGACAAAUCGAUUGUAGUUUGCAAAGUGGCUUUCCAACUUAUUGCACAACCUCUGAUUGUAAAGACAUAACCUAUGAGAGAUCUUCUUCUAUCAAGGUCUCCAGCAAAAUCAGCACCAACAUACCCAAUGACUCUAUCUCUAGUUCUUUCAAACUGUAAGCAAACAUCAGUAGUACCUUGUAAGUAUCUUAAAAUCCACUGAAUUGCUUUAUAAUGUUCUUUACCGGGAUUCGCCAUGUAUCUGCUAACUGCACUGACUGUAUAUGAUAAAUUUGAACGAGAACAAACCAUAGCAUACAUAAAAGAUCCCACUGCACUAGAGUAUGAAGCAUGUGACAUGUACUCAAUCUCAUCAUCUGAUUGUGGAGACAAAGCUGAUGAAAGUCUGAAAUAGGCUGCUAAAAGAGUACUAACAGACUUAGCAUUCUGCAUAUUAAAUCUGCAAAGAACUUUCUCAUGUACCCUUUCUGACUUAGGUACAAUUUACUUGCUUUUCUAUCUCUGAGAAUCUUCAUACUUUUUUGCUGGUCCCAAAUAUUUUAUCUCAAAUUUUUCACUUAGUUAGGCUUUGACCUUUCUCAUCUCUCCUUUAUCUUUCGCUGCUAUCAACAUGUCAUCAACAUAAAGGAGUAGAUACAUAAAAGAACCAUCAUUGUUUUUCUUAAAGUAAACACAACUGUCAAAACUACUUCGUUUAAAAUCAUGAGAAGUUAUAAAGGAAUCAAAUCUCUUGUACCACUAUCUUGGUGACUAUUUCAAACCGUAAAUGGACUUUUUCAACAAGCAAACAUAGUCCUCUUUUUCUGAAACUAUAAAAUCCUCUGGUUGUUGCAUGUAAAUAUCCUCCUCAAGUUCUCCAUGUAAAAAAGCAGCUUUUACAUCUAACUGCUCAAGCUCCAAAUCAUGCAUGGCCACAAUACCAAGCAAAGCUCGAAUCGAGGUAUGCUUCACAGCUAGGGAGAAUACAUAUGUGAAGUCUACUCUUGGAAUUUGACUGUAACCCUUUGCAAUAAGCCUUACUUUAUAUCUAGGUUAUUGAACUCCUUGAGUCCCCUCUUUCUUUUUAAACAUCCAUUUACAACGAACAACCUUUUUACCUUUAGAAAGUUUCACAAGAUCCCAUAUUUUAUUUUUGUGGAGUGAUUCCAUCUCCUCUUGCAUAGCAAACAUCCACUUUUCUAAGUCUUCAUGGUUAACUGCAUCAGAAUAAUUAGAUGGCUCUUGGUUUGCAUUUAUAUCUUCAGCCACGUUUAAAGCAUAAGCAACUAGAUCAGCCUUGGCAUACUUCUUUAGAGGUUUAAUUUCUCUUGUAGUUCUGUUUUUGGCGAUAGAGUAUUGUGGUGAAGAAGCAACUCUAUUUUGAAUUUUUGUACUGGCUUGAGGAGUUGACUCCAUUGUAGAUUCUGGAUUAAUCUGAUGCUCUACUUGCUUUUGAUUUUUCUUUAUUAGAAGAGUCUUUAAGAUAUAAGUUAGGUAGCAUAACAAUUUCAUCAAAAACAACAUCUCUUCUAAUCACAACUUUUCUAAUUUCAGGACACCAUAACUUAUACCCUUUUACACCAGCUUUAUAACCAAGAAAAACACAUUUAAUGUAUCUCGGUUCCAAUUUUCAUGAUCAAUAUGAGCAUACGCAGGUCACUCAAAAAUCUUUAAAUCAGAAUAGUCAACAGGAUUACCAGACCAUACCUCUUGUGGAGUCUUUUUCUCAAUGGCAAUGGAUAGAGAUCGGUUGAUUAAAAACAUGCAGUAGAGGCUGUUUCGGCCAAAAUAACUUUGGUAAGUUGGCAUUUGACAACAUACAUCGAACCUUCUCCAUGAUCGUUCUGUUCAUUCGUUCUACAACGCCGUUUUACUGUGGAGUAUGACGAACUGUCAAGUGUCUCACGAUUCCUUCUGACUUGCACAGUUUAUUAAACUCAUCAGAACAGAAAUCUAAGCCAUUGUCUGUACGGAGAUAUUUUAUUUGUUUUCCCGUCUAUUUUUCAAUCAUAGUUUUCCAAGAAGCUGCUUGCCACCAAUGCAGCUCAGUUGAAAUAUUUAGAGUCACGAGCGGAAAAUGUAGAGCAGAAGGCCAAGGAUGCUGAAAAAAAAAUAGUUGAACUCGAAAGGUAGCUUAAGGCUAAGGUAAAGGAAGCUACACAAUGGAGCAAUAAGCUUGAGGAGGUUGGUAACUCAUUGAUGGACUAGAUGAUAAAAAUUCAGAAAACACUAGGAUCCUUUGACUCAACAGGUAUCAACUUUGAUAGAGCAAAGAUAUCUAAGGCUUGUUCUGUGUGCCUUUUUGAUACUAUGAUACUUCUAUAUUGGUUUUAGAUCGUUGAGAAUCGAAAAUAUGGCUGGGCUAUGGAUUACGCAGGAAGAGGAACUUCAAGGUAAGAUAAUGAAGGAUUGAAGGAAUUGAGAAAUGAAUGGGGUGAAAUGAUCUACAGGGCCGUUGUUGUUGCAUUACUGGAAAUGGAAGAGUACAAUCCAAGUGGGAGAUACAUAGUUUUUGAACUUUGGAAUUUCAAAGAUGAUGAAAAGCCAGCUUAAAAGAAGCUAUUGAGAUCUUCAUCUACCAUUUACAGAACAAAUUGAGUCAAUCCCUGUACUCAUUGAACUGAUGGUAAGCUGAGUUGUUCCUGGUACUAGACUAUGUAACAGCCCGAUUCUGGGCCUAGUCGGAAUAGUGGUUUCGGGACCACAAAUCCGACGAGAGAAAAUAUUAUUAUCAUUAUAUUUUUAUGGUCUACAAUUUCACGGAAUGAUUUCGUGAAAAUUUCGUUCGAAAAUUUCAACGUUUGAGCACUCAAUUUAGUCAAAAAGGACUAAAUUGUAAAAAGUGCAAAAGUUGAGUUCUAGAAGCUAGAGGUGUUAAAUUGCUAUGAAAUUUUAAAUUGGAGGUCCUUAAAUGGUAAUUAAACCAUUAGUUAUUUAUGGACAAAAAUAGACAUGGUUAGUAAGUAAGCUAUUUAAGGGCAUUUUGAUAAAAUGCCUUAAUUAAUGAAUAAAGACAAAAUAACAUGAAAUAAGUUAUCAUCUUCUUCAAUUCUUUUCUCCAUGGCCGAAUGUAGCAAGGAAAUACCAUGGCUAGGGUUUUUUCAUCUUCCAAGCUUCAUGGUAAGUCCGUUCUAGCCCCAUUUUUCUUGUUAUUUAUAUUUUUAGAAUCCCGGUAACUUGCUUAAUCUAAUUCUACUAUUAAUUUGAGCUAGAAUUUAUGUUUGAAAAAUUACCCAUAGGUGAAAAGUGUGAACUUUGAUGUUUCAUGAUAGAAUAUGAAGCUUAGAAUUAUGUUAAACGAUUUUUGCUAAUCGAUUUUCAGUAAAAACGAGUAAAACGACAUAAUCAGUAAAAAUAUCUAAUGUUCAUAAGUAAGUGUUGAGUGGGAAUUUGAUGUUUCCAUAGAAGAGAAAAAUGUUCAGAAUGUCAUAAAAAAUAAGAAUAAGAGAUGAAAUUUAAUUUCCGAGCUUUGGGGCAAAAGUGUAAAUAUGCAAAAGUUUAGGGGCAAAAAUGUAAUUUUGUAAAAAUAUGAUUUUUGGACUGAAUUGAAUAAUGUGAGUGUUAAAUAAGUUAAAUGUGUUAUUAUAAGUCAAGAAAGACAAGGAAUUGACUUUGAUUAGUAAAAAAAUGAGAAAAAGUGAGAAAUUUCUCGAUUGAACAUUCAGAAUAAAAAGGGAUACGAAUGAAAUGACAGAAAUGAUCACAUAUGUGGCAUGGACUGUGUGUAGGCCACUAUGUGAAAGUGAAAGUGAUGGUCACAUGUGUAGUACUAUGUGAAGGCUACUACGUGUACCAGAAUGAUAGGUCGCAUGUGUAGUACUAUGUACAGGCUACUAUGCGUAUCGGAUAGCUUCGAUCACGUGUGUAGUACUAUGUGCAGGCUACUACGUGUAUCGGAUAGUGAUGGUCACAUGUGUAGUACUAUGUGCAGGCUACUAUGUGAACCCAUAUCAUUGAUUAUAAGGUGGUUGCUAAGUGCUGAUUCCACCAUAUCUUAAAUGUGAAAGGGGUUGCUAAGUGCUGAUUCCCCGAAUCACUGGUGGUUGCUAAGUGCUGAUUCCACUGUAUCCUUGAUUGUGAAAGGGGUUGCUAUGUGCUGAUUCCCCGUAUCAUUGAUUAUAAGGUGGUUGCUAAGUGAUGAUUCCACCGGGAUCCUUUGAACAUGAGGUGGUUGCUAAGUGCUGAUUCCACCAUGUAACGGUUAAUAUUCCGAAGUGUUCAUCGGGGAAAUUGGAUAAGUGAAAAUAUAUGUGAAUCGAAUAAGGUUACGGGAUGAAUAUUGGAUUCGAUAUUUAAUCGACCCUUGAGUAAGAUGAAAAGAAGUAAUGAAAUUGUGAAAAAGAAAAAUGUGCAACAAAACAGUUUUGGACAGUAACAAUAAUGUGACUUUGAAAAAUCACCAAAAAUGGUGGAAAUUGAAUUAGAGAGUUAAUAAGAUAUUAAAUGAAAGCUUAAGGAGUCUAUUUUUAUGUAAAAGAAACAGAGCAAGUAAAAGAGUUAGACAUUCUGAGAUAUUUGAAUUUUAGUGAGGCAGGGUAGGAUUGAUUUCGGAAUCCCCUGUUCUGAAUUUGGAAAAUAAUUAAAAAUUGUAAAAAAAUAAUUACUAGAUAUAAUUUAUACGAUUAGAAUCCUUAAUGAGUCUAUUUUUAAGGGAAACAAACAGAAAAAUCAUCCAAAUUCUGUACAAUGAGAUAAUUCAUUUUUAGUGAAGAGAGGUCAGAGAUGUUGAGCAGUGAAACAGGGGUGACUUUAAAGAAUAAACUGUACUAAUUGGAAAAGUCAAAAAUUCUGAAAAUUUUAUGGUAAGAAGAUAUGUGAGUCUAGAUUCGGGGAAAAUUAACGGAUCUUAAUUUGGAGCUCUGUAGCUUUGGAUAAAUAUAAUUUAGUGACUCUGACUCGAAUAGACAGCUUUGGAUAUACAUGUGAAUGAAUAGUGAAAUUAUGUAUAAUGCUAUUUAAGCAUGUUUUAUACAUAAAGGAUGUGGAAUGGAGAGGGGGAGGAGGAAAAUUAAUUAUAUAUAUGAAUGAUUUGUGUAUAAAUGGUUAUAUGCUCAAUUAUAAUCGAUAAACGUUAAAAUAGAAAUGAUGCUUACAUUUGCGUAUUAUUGAUCAUGGUUUAAGCUCAUAUGGGAAAAUAAAGUUUCAUAGUAUGUGAGUGUGGUUUAUUUGAUAUAUGGGUUGGUAUGAAGUAAGGCCAUGAAUGGUUUAUGGAUUAAUUCAUGUUGGUAGGUUUGGUACAUGAAUAAAUGUUGAACUUGGCCAUACUUAUAAUGCUUAUGCUAUAUGUUUAUUUGGCUAACAUGUGUAGUGUACAUGCUUAAGCUUUGGCCAAUUGGUGGCUGAAUUAUGCCACGUUAAAUUUAUAAGUUAUGCAUUGAAAUGGUAAGUGCCUAGAUGGGAAUAUGCUUAUGAUCAUGGAAAGGGUGGUAACGUUUAAAUUAUGUAAACUUACUUGGAAUGGUUUAUCAUGUGGUUAAUUCCAAAAAAGAAUUAUGUUUAAUGUACUAGCUUGUGACUAUGGUUGAAUGAUAUGUUAUUGUUUUGUGUGAUAUUUGUAGGAAAUGGGUGUGGAAAGGAAAUGAAAUACUAAGUUCAUACUUGAAGAAUAAAAUGACGAAAAAGGGAAUGAUGAGUUGAUUUGAUGUUGUUAUUUAAGCUUAAGUGAUGUUUUCAUUGUAAUACUAAGAAUUUUAUAAAUGUGUUAAUGAAUGGUAUAAUUGAUAAACGUUGAGUUAAAUGAUGAACACGUAUUAGUAUUGAACUUAACAAUAUUGAAUUGUACAUGAAUUAAAUGGAAGUUUUUAGUGAUAUGAUUUGAAUUAAAAGAAUUGUUGUGGUAUUGAAAUAUAUAUAUUGGAUUGAGAAAUUGAUUUGAAUUGUGAACAUGAAAGAUUUUGAAAUGAAUAAAAUAGAAAUGAAGCAUUGAAUUACAUGAGUAAGUAUCGGGUCUUGUAGGCCCAAUUUGUUAUGAAUAUAAUAUUUCAAGGAUAUGUUAUAAAGAAUUAUAAAAUCAUGUUAAAAAUUUGAAAAGUUUAAAUUUGAAUGAAAUUUUGUAACUCGGUUUAAUACGUUUACAUGUGUAAGUGUUCUAGUAAUGCCUCAUUCCCUAUUCCGGAGUUGAAUACGGGUAAGGGGUGUUACAGACUAUCAACAAGCCAAGUUAAUCCCAGUAUUCUGCGUAACAUUUCCAUGUAGUUAAUCUUAUUUUGCUAAUAUAUAAUCAAAUGACCAGUAUUUUGUUUAACCCUCAAACAUCCUGCGUGGAAGCAAGUUAUUCAUAUGAAUUGCUUGAAUUGCUCAUAUGUCCAAUGAAUUAUAAAGGAAUGCUGUUGAAUUCCCAUCGAUACAUACAUGCAUACAUAUUAGUGAAGUAUAUUCCAAUAUAAUAUCAAUAUUGGGAUUUACGUUUUAUAGAGCAGCAUUAAUGAUUGGUAAUAUACAUUCGUUCCAAGGCAAACCCAAAUAUUGUAACCUACAACUGUGGCAAAUCAAAUUUUACAGUAACCCAAUUAUAAUGUGAAGUCAAAUAUGAAAGUAACAUUGGUUUAUAUUUUUUUUUCUCAAAAUUCUAAUAAUCAAGUUGGGAUAAGUGAUAAACACUGAGCUUGCCACGUGUGUUAAACCACAUUUUUGUUAUGUGCCACUCCAAAGAUAUCGGGCCUCUAUUCAGGCUGGCAUAGUCAGGACGUGGUAGCAUACUUCAGGACCCUGGUUAGAAAAUAUCCCACAUCCGAUAAAAUUGGAACGAUACAGAGAAGAUUAGCAUGGCCCUGCGCAAGGAUGACAUGCACAAAUCGAGAAGUCCAAUUUUUUUCCCUUUUUUUCCCCACAUUUUAACAGCUCUGCUUCUUCUUCUUUUUUUCCCCUGGGUUUGAUGUUCAUAUUCAUGGGUUUUUGUGCACUUAAGAUUGCAAUUAGAGUUUUCUUUCUUUCUUUUACUGGGUUCGGUCUGUUUUACUCUCUUGAACUGUGAAUUUGAUUUUUUUUUCCAUUUUUUCAGCUUUGUUGCUUUUUUCCCCCUGGGUUUAGUUUUCAUGUUCAUGGGUUCCGCCCACUUAAGAUUGCAUUGGAGUUUUUUUUUUCCUUUUUACUGGGUUUUGGCCAGUUUUACUCUGUUGAACCGUGAAUACCUCUGGGAAAAAAAUUGUUGCUUAUAUAUUUGCUAGUCAACAGUGCUAAUUUUCUGAUAUAUUGGCCAGAAUUGAGGGAAGAAGGUCCAAUUUUGCUUUUGAUUCUUCUACUACUAUCUUAAGAUUUAAAAGAAAUUCAAUUAAACAAUUUCUUCCAAUAAAAUUAAACAAGAAGGGACCUGCACACUUAGACAUGUUUCUCUUUGAAAAAAAUUCAAACAGGGUUUUAAAAUUUGCAAUGUGUUUUAUGUAAAUCAAAUGAUACCCUGAAUUUUGCUAAGGGUGUUUCAUAUCCUUGAAUCCUUUUUUUGCUUGGCAAGUGAUUCAUUGAGUUUUUGUGAUAAAUUUCAUGUUUCUUUUUUUAGUAUGGGAAUUUGUGGGAAAAUGCUUGGCAAUAUGGAAAUGAAACCAGUUUCCAUUUCCAAAGGCAACAGCAAAGUGGUGAAGCUUAUUGUUGAAAAAUUCUUCAAUAAUGUCAAUAAUGAAAAAGUAGAAAAUGGAAAAACUGAUAAGUACAUGCCUUUCUUGAAUAAAGGAAUGUGAAUCUGUGUGAACUUCCAUUUCCCUUGAAUUAUGCCUAAGUAAACCUUGACUAAGGAAACAAAUAAGCAGAGACCUUACAAGAAGAAAUUUGUGUUUAAUUCAGUCACACACAAUUUUCAAAGAAUCUUACUUCAUUUUCUUCAUAAAUUGUUGCGUAAGAUACUAACACUUGAAAAACUAAUAACAUUAGACCCAACCAUUUUAAACAGGAUGUAAUAGCACCAUACAAAUACAAAACCAAAAUGAAACAACGACCAACACUAUAUAAAUAUACACCAUUGAUCAAAAUAUACACUAACAACAAUUAUGAUAAGAUAACAUAGAUGAACAUGAUACAAUUUGUUAAAUCUAAGGUACUGACCAAUCAUUUUAUUGGAGCAUUACUUAAUGUAUAAGGCUCAAUCCCCCCCCGAUGCUAGAUACUGAUACACUCAAACGAAUAUGAUUUUCUUCCAUUCAUUUCAAUAUGGUAAUGUUGUUUUUACCCUAAGUUAAAAUCCUUUUUUUUUACUGCACAGAAAUCUGAAUUCACCAACCCUGAUGGAAGGCUUGUGAUUGUGACCAACUUUACAGGCAAAAAUGAAAAAGGAUCUACAACCUUUGUUAACUGUUUUGUAAAAUACAAGAAAAUCCCAUACCCAAGCAUGAUUUUAUAUACACCCUGCUACAAAAACACGUUUUUUCCUGCAAAAACAUCAUUCAUGGCAAGAUGUCAAGAGAUUGGUGAAAAAGAAAAACAUCCAACAUUUGGGGUUUUAAUCUCAAUAUAUGAACUUGGCUUUAUUUCUUAGUGUUAUUGUUGAACUUUUUAGGAUGCCUCUGUCUUAAUCCAUUUAUGUGAUUUGAUAAUGAUAUUUGCAGGCACUUAAAUCUGUUGGAACAAUGGCAGCAGCAAACAUCAAACAAAGUUACAACACAGUGUUUGCAAGACUGAAGCAAGAAGAAUCGAAGCAAAGAAAGAGCAAAGCAAAGCAAAAAUUUGAUCAAAUUGAAUACUCAGCAAAGUUGUAACUGAAUAUUACAUUUUUCAUUCAAGAUUAGAAUAUAUAAAAGUACUACAAUUUUGGUUCAUUUGACAGAUACCUAAUGACAUAACUACUCCCACUUAAACUAAACUAAUACAAGCUUAAGUCAAAUACAAAUAAGCUGACAUAUCAACUUUUACAUCACCAAUCCAAUCACAAACUUAAUCCAACUAACUAUUAAAGCUAGUUACAAUCAAACUGAACUAAGUUACAUCAAAACAAAACAGCAAUAUCAGUUGCUUCAUUUGGUCUGAAAACCAUUCGUGCACACCAAGCAAAAUGAGCUGAGCUCGAUAGCUGCUGGUCUCGAUAGUAGCAUGCUUCCGGCUCCAUGUUGCAUUGCAGUCCAUCUUUCAACACUCCUCCUUGGACUGUAUGCAACACAUUCCAAUUGCACUUCUCAAAGAUUCAAAUCGAACAGCCCCUAAGGGCUUUGUCAUUAUGUCAGCCAAUUGAGCUCUUGAGCUGCAAUGCACAAGGCUGACUUACUUUGCUUGUUCAGCUUUUCUAACAAAAUGCAGUUUGAUUUUAAAAUGCUUAGUCUUACCAUGGAACACAGGGUUCUUGGCUAUUGCAACUGCAGACUGAUUAUCUACCCAAAUUUUAGUUGCUUCAUCUUGAGUUUCAUUAAGGUCAUAAAGCAGCUUCCUUAGCCAAAUGGCCUGAUUAACUGCUCCUGCUGCAGCAAUGUACUCUGCUUCAGCUGUGGAUUGAGCAACAGUUUGUUGCUUCUUUGAACUCCAGCAAAACAUGCCCGAUCCAAGUGUGAAGAAGUAUCCAGAGGUACUCUUCAUGUCAUCGAGAGAUCCUGCCCAGUCACUGUCAGAGUAGCCUUCUAGUUUCAGUUGAUUCCUACUUUCAAACAUUACACCAAAACUAGCAGUGCCCUUGAUGUAUCUAAGGAUCCUCUUUCCUGCCUUCAAAUGUGCCUCACUACAACAAUGCAUAAAUCUCGAUAACAGGCUGACACCAAACAUGAUGCCUGGCCUGGUUGCUGUUAGAUACAACAGACAACCAACUAGGCUUCGAUAGUGCCUCUCAUCAACCCUCUGCUGAUCACCACUGCUAGUCAGCUUUUCUCCUUGGGCCACAGGUGUGCUGACUGCUUUACAGUUAUGCAUGCAGAAUUUGUCUAGGAUCUUCAAAGCAAAUGAGUGUUGGCUGAUGAAGAUACCUCGAUUAGACUGGUGCACUUCCAUGCCAAGGAAGUAAGUCAUGAUCCCCAAAUCUGUCAUCUCAAACACUUGCUGCAUUUGGACCUUGAACUGAUCAAUGAGCUCAAUUUUGCUCCCUGUCACAAGCAAAUCAUCCACAUACAAGGAGACAAUCAGCAAGGUUUCAUGUUCUGACCUUUUAACAUACAGAGUAGGCUCACUAAGGCUCUUUACAAAUCCAAGUUUGGUCAGGUAAGCAUCAACUCUGUCAUACCAGGCCCUUGGUGCUUGUUUCAGGCCAUAGAGGGCCUUUCUCAACUUAUACACUUUGUCUUCAUGUCCAACAACUUCAAAACCUUCAGGUUGCUCGAUAAAGAUCUCCUCCUUGAGAAAACCAUUUAGGAAUGCUGAUUUGACAUCCAAUUGGUGAACUCUCCACUGCUUCUGAGCUGCUAAAGCAAAUAGCAGCUUAAUUGUAUCCAGUCUUGCCACUGGAGCAAAAGUUUCUAGGUAGUCAACACCAUACUGCUGACUGUAGCCCUUCACCACAAGCCUGGCCUUGUGCUUGUUCAGUGAGCCAUCAGCAUUGUACUUGGCUCGGUACACCCAUUUAACUCCUAUGACCCUCUUAUGUUCUGGUCUGCUCACCAACUCCCAAGUCUGAUUUUUGUUGAUCAUUUCCAACUCAGCUUCCAUAGCUUUCAUCCAGCUUCUGUUCUUAGCAGCCUCUUCAAAGUCUGAGGGCUCAAUCACAGCAACAUUGCACCUCUGAUAGACAUCAGCCAAAGUUCUGGUCCCCCUCACUGGUAUAUCAUCGACAGCAUCAUUACUUGGUCCUUCUUCUGCAGGUUCAGCAACCAAGUCUAACUGGUCCAAUUCAGACAAGUCAGCCUCAACACCAUUCCAAUUCCACACAUUUUCCUCAUUAAACUUUACAUCCCUGCUGACUAAAACUUUCUUUGCUGUAGGAUCAUACACUCUAUAGCCCUUCUUGUUGCUGCUGUAGCCAACAAAGAUUCCUGGAGUUGCUCUACUCUCAAGCUUGGUCCUUUUCUCUACUGGAAUAAGUGCAUAACAUACACAGCCAAACACUUUUAAGUGUGUUACCAUAGGUUUGACUCCAUGCCAAGCCUCAAAAGGAGUCUUAUCCUUGACUGCUCUAGUUGGCAGUCUGUUGAGCAGAUACACUGAGGUGUUGACUGCCUCAGCCCAAAACUAACUUGGAAGCUUGCCUUGAAACAAGAGGCACCUGGCCAUGUUCAGUACAGUCCUAUUCUUUCUCUCACAGACUCCAUUCUGUUGAGGAGUAUAGACUGUUGUGAGCUGAUGGUGAAUCCCAGCACUGUCACAAAGCUUCUGAAAUCUCUCAGACACAUAUUCAGAGCCAUUAUCAGUCCUCAAGGCUCUAAUUUUACAGCCUGACUGAUUUUCAGCAUAAGCCUUGAAUUUGCAGAAGGCUUCAAACACUUCUGACUUUUGCUUCAAGAAGUAGACCCAGCACAACCUUGUUAAAUCAUCUAUAAACAGGGCAAAGUACCUGUUCUCACUGAUUGAAGGUGUUCUCAUAGGGCCACAAACAUCAGAGUGCACCAAUUCGAGCUUGUUUUGAGCUCUCCAAGCACUGUCAGCAGGAAAAGGCAGUCUAGCCUGCUUACCAAGCUGACAAACCUCACAAACAUUCCCACUAACUUCAAUUUUUGAAAUGUCAUCAACCAAAUUCAGCCUAUGUAACUGAUCGAUGGAUCUAAAAUUUGCAUGGCCUAGUCUCCUAUGCCACAAGUCAGUGCUUUCAACAAGGCUGGUGUAUGCCUUUCUUUCUAUUUGGCUAACAUCCAGCAUGAAGCACCUAUCAGUCAUAGAGACUGUGACUAACUCCAGACCAUUCAUGUCUUGAACAAUACAGCAACCAUCCUUAAAAACCAAUGUAUAGCCCUUUUCAACUAAUUGGCCUACACUAAGCAAAUUCUGGUCUAAGUCAGGUACAAAAAACACAUCUGAGAUCAGCUUGUUACCUGAACCAGUGCUAAUCAACACACUGCCCUUGCCUUUAGCCUCAAUCAGCCUACCAUCUCCAAUUCUAAUCUUCGAGUGGAAGCUUCUGUCUAGACCUUUGAACAGCUUCUCAUCUGCUGCCAUAUGGUGUGAGCAGCCACUAUCUAGUAGCCAAUCAUUGCUGGCCUUGGUUGUGCCAGCAAAACAAGUUGCUGUGAACACUUGCUCCUUCUGAGCUUGGAUGUCCUCAGCAGGUCUAGCUUGUUGUAGAGCAGCCUCCCUUGGUUUGCCCUUGCACACCUUCUCCACAUGGCCAAACUGCUUGCAUUUUCUACACUGAAUAUCUGGCCUAAACCAGCAAUACUUUUCUGAAUGUGUUAUCUUCUUGCAAUGAACACAUGGUGCGAACACCCUUUUUGCAUCAUCUCUUCCUGACUUGACCCUUCUAUUGUGCCAAGGCUUCUUGCCUUUUGCACUCACACUCGAGCCUUCACUGGCUUUAGCCUGGAAAGUAGCUUCAGGAUUCUCCUCCUGCCUAUUUGCCCUCCUUUGCUCAAGUGCAUACAGGGAGUUUAUCAGCUCAGACAAUGAAAUGGCUGAUAAGUCCCUCGAGUCCUCAAGUGAAGAGAUUUUAGACUCAAAUUUCUCAGGGAGAGUUGUAAUAACCUUUUCAACAACUCUGCUCUCUGUGAAGUCCACUCUCAGAAGCCUAAUGCUGUUGACAAUGGCCAUUAUCCUGUCUGAGUACUGCUUGAUGGUCUCAGACUUCUUCAUCCUCAAAUUUUCAAAGUCUCUCCUGAGGUUGAUCACUUGCUGUUGCCUUGUCUUAUCAGUCCCCAUGAACUCCUCCUUCAGCUUCUCCCAAGCCUGCUUUGGUGAGUCACAGGCCAUGAUGCGAGUAAAUAUCACAUCAGAGACUCCAUUUUGUAAGCAGGCCAUAGCCUUAUGCUUCUUGGCUCGCUCCUCAGUAUGUUGCCUCAUCUGUGCAAUGGUGGGAUUGGCUCUCAAUGGAGGUGGUUCAGCAUCAUUCUCGAUCACACUCCAAAGAUCAUGUGCCUGGAGAUAAGUCUUCAUUUUAACUAUCCAAAUGUGAUAGUUUUCUCCAGUGAACACUGGUGGAGGUGGUGGAGUGAAACUCAUUCUGCUAAACUGAUUUUAAGUGCUUCAAUCUUACCAAAUUUUGAACUUGCUGUUGGUUUUGAUUCGAACACAACAGAUUGCAUACAAAGGCCCCUCAAAGACUCGGGCUCAUGAUACCAUUUGUUGGAACAAUGGCAGCAGCAAACAUCAAACAAAGUUACAACACAGUGUUUGCAAGACUGAAGCAAGAAGAAUCGAAGCAAAGAAAGAGCAAAGCAAAGCAAAAAUUUGAUCAAGUUGAAUACUCAGCAAAGUUGUAACUGAAUAUUACAUUUUUCAUUCAAGAUUAGAAUAUAUAAAAGUACUACAAUUUUGGUUCAUUUGACAGAUACCUAAUGACAUAACUACUCCCACUUAAACUAAACUAAUACAAGCUUAAGUCAAAUACAAAAUAAGCUGACAUAUCAGCUCUUACAUCACCAAUCCAAUCACAAACUUAAUCCAACUAACUAUUAAAGCUAGUUACAAUCAAACUGAACUAAGUUACAUCAAAACAAAACAGCAAUAUCAGUUGCUUCAUUUGGUCUGAAAACCAUUCGUGCACACCAAGCAAAAUGAGCUGAGCUCGAUAGCUGCUGGUCUCGAUAGUAGCAUGCUUCUGGCUCCAUGUUGCAUUACAGUCCAUCUUUCAACAAAAUCUUCCAUUGAAAUGGAGAACACCAACUACGAGGAGGAGCUGAAGAAUGAUCGCAGGCUUGUUUGCAGUCUCAUAUACGAGAUUAAUUGCAAAAAAGAACAGUUGUCCCAAAUGGAACGUGAAUAUAACGAGAUGACCGCAACUCUUCGAGGACUCAUCAAUGGCCUCAUAGCAAAAAUUAACUCCAAGGACAGUAAUCUGUGGGGUUGGGUGCUUCAAUAUAAUGUAACCGUGAGCAGUUGAAUGGCAAGAAUGCUGCGUUGCGCCUUGCGUUUGCUCAAGGUACUUUAGAUUAUAUAUGCGUAUGUAGUGAGCAGAAUACUAUGUGCUAAUUGAAUCGUUUGGUACCCUUUGAUUGAUCUUAGGGAAGGGGAUAUAAAUGUCAGGAUUUGAACCCCAAACUUAGCUUUUAUUACGGGAACUGGAUCAAUUUAGGCUCGGAUAAGCUUAAUGUGUUCAGAACCAGAUAAGAACAUAAUAUAUGGGAACACUUUGGCCAUACGAGGCUAAUGCUUAUAUGAUUCGCAUUAAAGACUACAUGCUCCUAGUGAUAACUCUUCUGUAAGUACUAUUAGUUGAAUAGCUUUAUGAUGUAUUAAUCUAUAAAAUCUGGGUGUCAUAUUAUGAGUUCCAUUGCUAUGUUAAUCUAUGUACUAACAAUAUUAUGAAGUAAGGCAAUUUUGUGUACAUUAUAUAUAUAUAUAUGAAGUUAAGAACGUAAGUGCUGUUAAAUGGUACAUUACUCAGAUUGGUAAUAUAUUGGUGCCGAAUGUUCUAAAAUUUAACCAGCAUUACUGGUAAUAUAUUAGUGCCAAAUUUGACUAAUUAUUGUUGAUAUAUCUUCAAAAUUUUCAGAUUUGAUAAAGAUAAAAUGGCAAUAAUGAAUAAAAAUACUGACUUUUUAAGAUCGUAUUUAAUGAAGGGAAGUUGAAUGUAGAAACUAAAACGACCUAAGGGAAAUAAAAGCAAAAUAUGGAGAAGUUUUCUCGGGAAAACAAGUGUUAUCCUUCAUUUAUCUUGAUGAUUCUCUAACGCCGCCAAUUUCCCCCCUAAGUUUACAGCAAGAAGAAGAAAAAAAAGAAGACAAACGGCAACGUUAAGCCAUUUUGUUACCUAUUUAUUUUAUGUUUUUGUAAAUUAAACAUUUUUUGUAUACAUUUUGUUACCUAUUUAUUUUAUGUUUUUGAAGUUUCCAUUGCCAUUUCUACCUUUCCAAAAUGGUGUCUUUUUACUUGUUUUUUACUGGGUUAUUUCUUUGAUUUUAGGGUUCUAUAUGUAUUUUUUUUAUGAAUUUGAACUUGAGUUAGCCAUAAAAAUUCCACCUUUAAUCUCAAUAUAUGAACUUGGCUUUGCUUCUUAUGGUUAUUAUUUGUUUAAUUUUUUAAGAUAACUUCUUGAGAUCUGAUUAUUUAAUCCAUUUAUGUGAUUGAUAAUGAUAUUUUCAGGCACUUAAUCUUCCAUUAAAAUGGAGAAAGCCAACUACGAGCUGGAGCUGAAGAACGAGCGAAGGCGUGUUUGCAGUCUCUUAUACGAGAUUGAUUGUAGAAAACAACAGUCGUUCGAAAUGGAACGUAAAUAUUGUUGGAUUGCUGGCACCCCUACGGCGCAGCGGAAAAAAAUAAAAUCGGCGACCCUAACCAUGGAUCCAUGUGUGAGGAACGAAUCGGGGUGAUCAAGGUUACGAAAUUACCUAAUGUUUAUUCAGAGUAGACAGCAACACCUCUACAACGAAUAGUCUGAUCUGCUGUCGAACCAAGCCGCAAUCAAUCGUGAUCCCGGCCUCUACGUAAUCCACCCAGUUGACUACGAACGAAAGGAAUCCCCAAAAUAGUUUUGAGAGUUAUUUUUCUUUGACGGUUGCUAGACCAAAAAUAAAGAAAAACGGGAUUCUUAUAUCCUAUUAUUAUAGGGUUUUUAGGAAUUAAAUAAAUAUAAUAAUAUUUUAAAUCGAAAAUUAUAAUUACAAUAAUUAUAAUAUAAUUUCGGUAAACCAUAUAUUUAUUUGAAUUCAUAUGCUAACCAAAUUCAUGUCCUCAUUAUGCGUACAACAAACUUGUACAUAAUGUGUUGGAAAUUUGAUUACCGAGCGAAACCCAAAAAUAAUACCAACUAUGGUUUAUUCCGUUCAUUUCAACUAUAGGGUGUGACCCUGUAGGUUCUUGUAACGUUAGCAGUAAUACUAGAACGAUUCCAAUGUUACAAACAAUGAGUGACAUCUAGCAAUGCAUCAUUGCUACCUAAGUCACAAGAGAUCAUGAUUCGACACAACCUUUUAUGAUUAACCUUUUAUGCAAUAAUCCUUAAGUCCUUUAUCUCUGGAUUGGACACAAGUCAUGGAAUAGUCACACUUGUAUAGUCCAUUCCAUGUUCCUUGAUAUUUUAAGUAGACUACGAUAUACAAAUAAGUAUGACAUCUCAUAUCAACUUAUUUGAGCAUGCAUGGCCAUGCAUUUCUAGUCUCACUUAAUCAAGUGGCCUAAGCUAUUACUCCUAUUAUGUAGGAGGGACUUAUUCUAUAUCGACCAACCAUAUCCCUCUACAUCGAUUGUGGUAUAUCCAACACCAGCCUUUAUAGAACAACCAGUUACGGUGUACGUUUGACUGUAUCAAAAUAUACUACUCACGAUGUUGGGAUUAUGAUGAUCUCAAGUCUGAGGAUCAUAUACAUAUUAAUCACUAUGAGUAAUGUCGUGACAAUUACAUAAUAAUCCAAGAAACAUACUCAUAAUGGGUCAGUCCAAUAUGUUGUUCUCUAACACACAUAUUCAUGCGUCGAUUCUGAUAUUCCAUAUCAAUGAUAACUCUUUAUCAUCACUCAACUACAUGUUAGUUUUAAUGCAUUAUCGUUGUCCUAUCCAACAAUAAUACUUGACUAAGGAUCUUUUAAGAAUAAUCAUAUUAUUCUUAGGACAUUAUUAGAAAACAGUUUAUUUAUACACACAGAAAAGAAACUGAAAUAAUAAUGGUAAUGCCUUAUAUUAAUAAACAUGAUAAAUCAAGUAUGUUAUUACAACCAUCUCAUGAUUGAUCUUUGGGCAUACUCUAACAAAUAUAACAAGACGACAGCGACUCUUCAAGGACUCGUUGAUGGCCUCAUAGCGAAAAUUAACUCCAAGGACAGUUGUUUGUGGGAUUGGGAGCUUCGAUAUAACGAAACCGUGAGACAGUUGAAGAGCGAGAACGCGGUGUUGCGCUGUGUGUUUGCCGAAGGUACUUUAGAUUAUAUAUGCAUACAGUAGUGAGCAUAAUACUAUGUAUUAAUCGAAUCAGGUGGUACAAUGAACGACUUCUUGUCUUUUGAUGUUACACGAUUUGCAUCUAGAGCUUUGAUUGAUCUUAGGGUCGUUCUUUCGGUACGAAAGAAGUCACGGAUUAAGGAUUGGGAAGGGGAUACAAUUUUCGGGAUUCGAAUCCCAAACUUAGCUUUUAUUACUGGAACUAGAUAAAUUUAGGCUUGGAUAAGCUUUAAUGUGUUCGGCACCUUUCCAACUUGUUUUCUUUUAUGCAGAAAAUCGAAAGGAAAAGGCUGAAAACUUUAAGCUGAGGUGUGAACUUAGACGGCGAACCAAGGAACUCGAAGAUUAUAAAUCUCGGGAUGAUAACAAUAUGGAACGAAGAAGCUUGUUGAAUGAAAUUGAAGCGGUUAGCAUACUCAGUCUUAAUUUUCGUUUUUGAUAUAUGAACUAUCUUUUAUCGAGAUUCGCUGGGAAAACCUGCAGUUAAAUUGUUGAUGGUUAUGAUCUACCGAGUGGACAUUUAACAAUGGGAUUGUAUCUGAUACAGCCGAAGGAGAAUGUGCCUUGUCGAGAUCUUGUUGAACUCGAGAAAACUACAAGCGAUUAGAUUGCUGCUCUAAAGGAACAAUUGGAGGAAACAUUAGAGGCACUGAAAGAUAUGGAAAGCCGAUACAGUUGUACGGUGAAACAAAUCUUAACUAAUCAAGAACUUUAAGAUGCUUGAAAAGAAUCGAUAAUUGUAUUUCCUCGUUUUCCUUUGUUUUCUUGGAUGUUUUAUUUCUUUAGGUGCAAGAAACACCUCUUCGAAAUCAGGUAUGAAAGUGUUAAACCGAAGACUUCUCUAGUUCUUGAUAUGAAGGGUCUAAAUGAUGUAUUGACAAGCCAAACAACUCUUGUAGUAAAAAGAAUGGGAGAGAUCGAUCAAAAAGCUUUUGAAGUUGCUAGCUCUGGGAAGUUCCCGAACGAAGAUUGGCAAGAAACAUGUGCUAAAUUAUGUUCAUUAUGGCAACAAAACGUGCAGGAUCCGAAAUGGCACCCGUUUAAAAUGAUCAAUAUCCGAGGCAACUUGCAGGUAUAGUGCAUACACCAACUAUUCUGUUAUCCGGUUAUCGAAAAUCCGUUUUUUUACUAAACGUGCUAAACAUGUAUGUCAGAAUUGAGCCAGUUUAUUACUCAAACUUACAUAUAUUAAAGGGAUGGCUACUCGGUAGUGUAGGAAAUAGUAGACGAAGACGACGAGAAGCUGAAGGAGUUGAGAAAUGAAUACGGUGAUGUCAUGUACGAGGCUGUUAGCACCGCAUUGAUGGAAAUGAACGAAUAUAAUGUGAGCGGAAGGUAUGCAGUCAUUUAAGCUAGUUGAGUGACCUGCAAUCUAGUUUAUCAUUUUUUAAAUAUUUAUAGUCUAUGAAUUUUGACUUUUCUUCCAAUAAUAUAUCUCCAAAAUUCUAACUUAACCUUUUUAAACUUUCUCAUGUCAUUAUUGUUAGAGUUAAUUGCACCAAAUAUCUCCAAACUAUAGCCCUUAUUCUAAAAUAGUCCUCAAACUCAAAAUAUUGUAAGUUACAUUUCCAAAUUAUCAAUAAUAUUCUUCUGAUGCUAAAAUCAUUAAAUGAGACGUCAAAUCUUAUGAGACAUAAUUUAAAAUAAAAAACUUAAAAGAAAAAUGAAUAUUAUAAAAAUAUUGAUUUCAAGGUUGAAGUUAUUACAAAAACUAUCAUUCAUUUUCUCUUUUACUUUAUUUUUAAUUUUUAUUUUUAAAAGUUGUAUCAACUACAUUUUACUUUUCUUUAAAAAUAUCAUUUUAAAUUAUUAGUGUCAAUAAUAAAAGGAUGAGAUAAAUAGUUUAAAAUAUUUUAAAGUUGGGAGAAUAAUUUAAAAUAAAGAUGCAAUAUUGUUAAUCUAGUACUAUUUCAUAAUAUCAUUUUAUCGUUUCAACUUUUGAAGACAACAUUUUUAUUUUUGAAAUAUUUUAAAGACAACAUUUAAAGAUUGAUUAUAAUAAUAUUGUUGCAUGGAAAAAGAAUUUCCACGUCAGCGAAAAGGCUUACGUCUGACGUGUGCUUAAUGUUAUUCGAAAAGUCAAAGGUCGAGAAAGUUUAGGGCGGGUCACACAUAUCACACGCCAUGCACAGGUUUUCUUAUUUCGAGGCUAAAAUACCAAAAUACCAUCACAUUUCUCGUUAAACUUACCACUUAAUCAACGAUCCUCUAAAACGAUGUAAGGACAUAUUAGAAAUUUUAAUCACAAUAAUAUCACCAAAUCUGAAAAGUUACAAAUGAGGCAAAAAAAAAUACGAGUAAUAUUUGGCCAUAAAAUGUAUAUAUUCAUUCCCUCUAAACCAGUCGGUUAAGCCUCACAAUCCAACGUAACUGUAAAUCUUUCUUGGCAGCCAUGAAAUCAGUUCUAAAAUCCCUUGCAAACUCAAUCUUCCUUGUUCUUUUCAUCAUCUUUUCAUCUUCUACUCCACUUGUAUUGGCUCAAUGUGAAGCAGAGACCAAGACUAAUGGAUGCCAUAACUACAGAGAAUCCAUGAAGCUAAAAAUCAUUGCCAUUGUCGCAAUUUUACUAUCCAGCAUGAUUGGCUUGUGUGUACCAUUGUUUUCUGGUCAGGUUCCGUUACUUAAACCCGACAGGGACUUGUUCACCAUUGUCAAGGCAUUUUCCUCCGGUGUUAUUCUAGCGACUGGGUACAUGCACGUGCUACCGAAUUCUUUCAACGACCUUAUGUCCGGGUGUUUGCCUAAAAACCCAUGGAGGAAGUUCCCUUUCACAACCUUCAUCGCAAUACUGUCGGCUGUGUGGACCCUUAUGGUGGAUUCAUUUGCAAUGAGUGUAUACAAGAAACGUUGCGGUAAAGCUUUAAUGGCGGAUGCUAACAAUGGUGGUGGAUUGGAAAAUACGAACGUUGUACCAAUCGAUAAUUUUGAACACGGCCAUAGCCAUUCACUUGAGAUGAAUGACGACGUAUCAUCACAAUUGUUAAGGCAUCGAGUUAUAGCUCAGGAAUAUAUACAUGUUUGAAUCCUCAAAUUCGAUGAUUUUGCUUUUCAAGUCUUUACAUUAUAUAUUUCCUAAAUGUAGGUAUUAGAGUUGGGAAUUGUAGUUCAUUCAGUGGUGAUUGGUCUUGCAAUGGGAGCCUCUGGCAACCAAUGCACCAUUCGAUCACUCAUUGCUGCCCUUUGCUUCCAUCAAAUGUUUGAGGGGAUGGGACUUGGUGGAUGCAUACUGCAGGUAACCCCCAACAUUGCACUAUUUUCUCAUUCAAACAUCCAUUUAGUGUACACUAUUGAUUAACAUUAUGUUUGAUAUGUGCAGGCUGAAUAUGAUAUAAAAAUGAAAGCAAUCAUGGUAUUCUUCUUUUCAGCCACAACACCACUUGGAAUAGUUCUGGGAAUUGGUUUGUCCAAGGUUUACAGUGAGACGAGUCCAACUUCACUUACGGUGGUGGGACUACUUAAUGCUUGCUUAGCAGGGUUGCUGAAUUACAUGGCACUGGUUGAUCUCCUUGCAGCUGAUUUUCUGGGCCCUAAGCUUCAAACAAAUAUGAAGCUCCAGGCUUGGUCAUAUGUUGCAGUUUUACUUGGUGCUGGAUUUAUGUCUUUGAUGGCAAAAUGGGCUUAGUCAUUUCAACAUAUACAUGUCUUUUUGUAGUUUUUUAAUCUUUUUUUUUUUUUGCUUCAACAGAUGAGUUUAUAGUGAAUCAACAGUUAUUCAAUCAAUUAUAAAAUUUAGGCAAAGAAUUUAGGCAACAAGGCUUGAACAUUGACCUUUAAGAUCGUUUACUCCAUAUUGCAGGGCUCAUCACAAAGUAUAUAACUAUAUAUAUCAGAGAAGUAUGCAAACUUCAAUUUUGUGUCAGUAUCAUUAUAAUUUAAACUGUUUAAUGUUAAAUCAGAUGUAGAUGUCUUUAAGCCAAUGCUUAUAGCCACAAAGUCUCUUUGGUGCAAGCUAUAAGGACAGAGUUAUGCUAUAAAUAAACAAAUAAAUGUUGUAUAAAACCCUUCUCCUCAAAAACAAAACGAUAGCGACAGCCUGCUUUCGGUAGAUGGAAGAUUUUCUAUUUCCUCCAUUUACCAUCUCUGGUUUGCUUAUCUGCCUUGUUGCCCUAUGUUGGUUGGGCCAAACAAAUAGCUUGAAAUCUUUAAGUAGCACUUUCAUCCCUCCAGUUAUAUAUGCAAUUUUAUAUGUUGAACCAUCAUACCAUGCCAAUUCACUGCACAUUAAUUGACUAGUACCUAACAGGAUUAAUUUACAGCUUACUAGAAUCAUCCACAAGACUUUGAGGGAUUAAUUGGGGGUCAAAAGACAGUUUUAAAUAUCAAAAAGGCUUCUACUGUUUCUGUUUUUUUCCAGAAGUUUCAAAUGGAUCAAUAGUUAAAGUUGAUCAUAUAGGAUGAGCAAGUGACUGUGUUACGUUCUCACAAUAUAAGAAAUAAAAAUACCAAUAGAACAGUAAUUUUGGGAAGAAAAUGGACUGGUAUUUGAUGGAAUUAUAACGAAUUACAAGGAAAAUUUGCAGAAAAGAGAUGAGAGAAGAAAGUUACAGACUUAGGGGAUGAGAAAAGAACAGAAACAUAUUGCUGCAAUGAUGAUAUUUUUCUGGUAUUUUUCCUCCUUAAAACCAGGAUAGCUGCAUAGAGGAGUGUGAACCGUUAUUCCCUUCCACGUGCAACUAGCUGAGGUGUCACUUGACAAAAUCCUUCAGCCAUUUGGAAGCCAUUCUGGGCCGAGUGCUCCCUCUAGUAGCCUGUGUAGUGGCUAUUCCAGUAGCCUUCUGCGGCCUUGGUGGGUCGUUCACAACAUUACCCCCCACAUCGAGACACACCUUGUCCUCAAGGUUGAGAUCAGGAAAUAACUUCAACAUGUGAGCCUUAUCUUCCCAAGUUGCUUCAUCAAUAGAUGAACCGUCCCAUUGUACCAGCCAUUGCUCAAUCAAUGAAUUAGCCCGCUGAAUAGACCUCAUCUCCAGUAUAGCAGUUGGUUGCAAUAUAAGGGCAGACGUAGAAUCAGCGAGGUAGAGAGGUGUUACCUGUUGAUCUGGUUGUCCGAGGCAUUUCUUGAGCAAGGAAACAUGAAAUACAGGAUGGAUAUGCGCGAAUUCCAGCAGCUCCAAUCUGUAAGCAACCUCGCCAACACGGCCAAUUACCUUAUGAGGACCAAAAUAACGUCUACUCAGCUUGUGGUGGCGUUGCAAACGAAUAGAAUGUUGGCGAAACGGUUGGAGCUUGACAUAGACCCAAUCUCCCUCGACAAAAGUCACCUCACGACGGCUCCUAUCAGCUAGUAACUUCAUCUGAUUCUGUGCUCGCUGUAAAUUCUCCUUUAGCACCCGAAGAACUUGAUCACGUUCCACGAGCUGAGCUUCCACCAAAGCAUUACCAGAAGUAUCUCGCACAUAACGAGCAACAGUAGGAGGAGGACGACCAUAUAGAACCUCAAAGGGUGUCAUUUUGGCAGCCGUUUGAUAAGCCGUAUUAUACCAAAAUUCAGCCCAUGGCAACAUGUUUGUCCAAGUCGAGGGAUGAUUCGAAGUAUAGCAUCGAAGAUACAUUUCAACGCAUUUAUUCAAUGCCUCAGUUUGGCCGUCGGAUUGUGGAUGGUAGGUAGUACUCAUACUCAGAGUUGUACCCUGCAAAUGAUGGAUUUCCUUCCAAAAGUCACUGAGAAAUCGAGGAUCGCGGUCUGAAACAAUCUCUACUGGUACGCCAUGGAAACGAAUAAUCUCCUGAACGAAAACAGCAGCCACUAAAAUGCUAGUAAAAUUAGUGGGCAAUCCGAUGAAAUGGCCGUAUUUGGAUAAUCUAUCAAUGACAACGAAGAUAACGGUUUUGCCUUUGGAAGAAGGUAAUGCCGUGAUAAAAUCCAUAGAGAUGCUCUCAAAAACCAAAUUGGGAAUCGGUAAUGGCUACAGCAAACCACUAGGACUUAAGGAUGAGGCUUUCAUUUGCUGACAAAUUUGGCACUCUUUGACAUAUUGCUUAACAUCCCGACGCAUAGAAGUCCAAAAGAAAUUUGAUGAAAGACGAUGAAAGGUGCGUGUAAUACCAGAAUGGCCACCGAUAGGAGAUGCGUGAAACUCAUGAAUAAGCUGUAAACGGAUAGGAGAAUCAGCUAGAAUCAUUAGGCGACCCCGAAAUAGUAACAGCCCCUCAUGGAAACUAAAGUCGGGAAAUUGUGCUGGGUCAGCGCACACUCGUUGCUGCAUACUCAAAAGUUAAGGGUGUUGUAAGUUGGCUGCACGAAGAUCAGCAAUAAGAUCAAAUUGCACAGUAGAUAAAGCAAGCAAUUAAGAGGAAGGGAUGCGAGAAAGAGAGUCAGCAGCAGCAUUCAACUUCCCAGGGCGAUAGAUAAUGUCAAAGUCAUAACCAAUAAGCUUGCUCAACCAUUUCUGUUGCUCGGGGGUUUGUAUAACUUGUUGCAUGAGAUUCUUAAGUGGCUGUUGAUCAGUGAUAAUUGUAAAUCUCCUCCCCAACAAAUAUUGCCGCCAUUUCGAAACAGCUUGGGUGACCGCAUACAUUUCACGUUGGUACGUUGAGGAUUGUUGCAUGCGAAGACUCAGUUGCUGGCUGAAAAAUGCUAUUGGAUGCUUAUCUUGGGACAAAACGGCUCCGACCCCGGUACCGGAAGCAUCUGUUUCAACUGUAAAUGAUUUCGUGAAGUCCGGCAAAGCUAAGACAGUGGCUGAACUCAAAACUUCUUUCAACUUGAUAAAAACAUUGGUAGCAGAUUCAGUCCAAAGAAAGUUAUCUUUGCGAAGAAGAUUAGUAAGGGGUCCUGCAAUAGAGGCAAAAUGUUGAACAAAGCGUUGAUAGUAUCCCGCGAUACCAAGAAAUCCGCGAAUCUCCUUAAUUGAACGUGGCAAUGACCAUUUUUGAAUUGCAACAAUUUUAUCAGGAUCGACGGAUACACCUUGGCUAGAGAUGAUAUGCCCCAAAUAUCCAAUAGAAGUUUGGCCAAAAAUACAUUUGGAUUGCUUUGCCACUAAUUGAUGGUGUCGUAAAACCGAGAGCACAAGAAGAAUGUGCUCCAAGUGAGUCUCCCAAGAAGGGCUGUAAAUUAAGAUAUCGUCGAAGAAAACGAGUACAAAAUCCCGCAAGUAAGGUUGAAAAAUGUUGUUCAUGAGACUUUGAAAGGAGGAUGGCGCAUUGGACAAGCCAAAUGGCAUUACGAGGAAUUCGUAAUGCCCCUCAUGAGUUCGAAAGGCAGUUUUGUACUCAUCGCCAAUACGAAUUCGCAGUUGAUGAUAGCCGGCCAACAAAUCCAAUUUAGAAAAAUACACCGCACCAUGUAACUCAUCAAAAAGUUCAUCAAUGGAUGGAAUAGGAAAUCGAUCCUUAAUGGUAAUGGCAUUUAGGGUGCGAUAGUCAACACAAAAUCGCCACGUACCAUCCUUCUUGCUCAUAAGUAGUACUGGAGAAGAGAAAGGGCUAGUGCUUGGUCGAAUAAUUCCAUCCCGAAGCAUUUCAGCAACUAGUUUUUCAAUCUCAUACUUCUGAAAAUAUGGAUAACGGUAAGGUUUAACAUUGAUUGGCUCAUGGUCAGGCAACAAAUGUAUCGCAUGAUCACAAGCGCGAAUAGGAGGGAGACCUUGCGGUUUGAGGAACACAUCAGAAAAUGAAGCAAGUAGCUGUUCUAAUUCCAAGGGGAGGGGCGUGGAAUUAACAGGAUGAGAGGAAACCAAUUCCAAAUGAAAAUAUUCUGCAAUAGCAUUGAUUUGUUGAAGGCGGCGUAACCAAUUAAAUUGUACCGAUUGAACCGAGGAUGAGGCUUCUCCUGUCCAUCGAAUAGACUGACCGUGAUGCUUGAACUCAAAAACAGAUGACCCAUAAUCCAUCAUAACUGGUCCGAGGGUGGAUAACCAAGUAACACCAAGGACCAUGUCCCAUCCCUUUAAUGGUAAGACAUAAAAAUCAAUGCAUAUUUCACAGCCUUGAAUUACCAAUGGUACUUGUUUGACAAUGCCAGUGCCAAUUAAACGCUCUCUACUGCCGACCAAUACAGAGAAACUAGGAGAGGCAGUUAUUGGAAGAUUCAAAUACUUGGCCACACGGGUUUGCACAAAGUAAUGUGUGCUCCCACCAUCGAGUAACACCCGGACUUGUUUGCCAUAAACUGUACCCUCAAAUUGAAGAGUAGAAGAAGAGCAACCUUCAGCAAGGGCAUUAUAAGAAAUCGAAGAAUGGAGCUGUAACGUGGUGUCAGGUGUGGUGGAAUCAGGAACAGCAGGUGAAGAUGGCGAUAAAAAUUCAGGCGCGAGAGCAUCAGGUGGCUCGGACUCUUCUUUCAAGAGUAACAGGUGGGAUUUUGCUUUGCAUUUGUGACCCCACUCAUACUUCUCAUUACAAUGAUAACAGAGGCCUUGUGAACGGCGGUGAGCAGCCUCAGUAGGAGUAAGGCGGCGAAACGAAACACGGUUACCUCCGGGCAAGGUUGCGCUUGCUGUUGGGAUGGAAGGAGAAAAUACUGAAGUACCAGGAGAUUGUUUGGGAGUUGGUAACAAUGGUUUAGAACCACUCAGGCUGGGCUUAAGUACCCCACGUUCCAGCUGAAUGCGUUGUUCAUGGAGCUGGGCUAGAUGCAUGGCUUCGGACAAGGUGGCUGGUUUGUGAACCAAAACGGAGUGUUUAAUGUCAGCGUAGAGCCCUGAAAUAAAGCAAUGAGUCAAGAACUGAGUCAGAAGAUGCACCGUGUGAUUUGUAAUGGCUUCAAACUCAGAGCGAUAAUGAGCCACGGUAGAGUUCUGCUGCAACUUUGCCAAAAUUCCCUCGGGUUCCUCCAGGUCAUGAGAACGAAAUCGCUGCAAUACAGCAGCUGUGAACGCUGGCCAGCCCGUAAGUUGCCUGUUUCUAUGCAUCCAGUCAUACCAAUCUGAAGCGGCACCAUCAAAAUAAAACGAAGAAAUAGUUACCCGAUCGUCUAGUUUGAUUUGAUAAAAAUCAAAGUAACGCUCUGCCUGCAUUACCCAACGUUUAGGAUGAUCGCUGGCAAAUCGAGCCAUCUGUACCGGAGCGGGUUUAUGACGGCCCAAAGGAGUGAAACUGAUGAAGUUGGUUCAGCAUGCAGCAAACUCGACAGCAUGCAGGCCAUGAAGACCAAGUCAUGCAGGAGCUGCUGAUGCAAGCUUAUUUUGUUUAUUUUGUAAUUCCUAGUCAAUGAAAUGUAAUCUUAGUUCAUUUCUAACUAAGUUAGAUUGUUGACUGAUGUAAUUAGCUUAUGUAUAAGCUGUAAACACAACUUUGUGUAAGUUUACAAGCCAAAAUUUCAAGUUUCCAUGUCAUUAAUGGAGGUAGGUGAUGUUUAGGUAAUUACUUACUGUUUUUGACAAGCUUAGUGCCUGUUUUAUGUAUUGGCAUUGUGCCAUUAUGCAUUUUAUGAAUGAAGUUUAGUUUGUUCAUCAAUUUCUCUAUUCAUUUUUCUUAGCUUUUCUUCCUUUCUCUUGCUCGAAUUCUCUUGUUUGCUCAGCAAGUCUCGAGACUUGCUUAACAAGUCUGCACUGAAUCUGUUAGUUUUAGUUACAGCACCAACAAUUAGUAUCUAGAGCCUAUUUCUUAAGGGAUCUGUUACACAAAUCCAUGGCUUCAUCAAGCUUUUCACCAGUUGCACCUCAAGUCUUCAAUGGAGAAGGCUAUCACAUAUGAGUGGUCAAAAUGAAGACCUACCUGCAGGCUUUCGAUCUGUGGGAGGUGGUCAACUCUGAUGUUGAACCAGAGCCACUUAGAGCUAAUCCAACAGUGGCUCAGAUCAGGCAGCAUGCUGAUGAAAGGACCAAGAGGCACAAGGCUAUGUCUUGCAUCCAAAACUCAGUGUCUGAUGUGAUUUUCACAAGGAUUAUGGCCUGUGAAUCACCAAAACAGGCCUGGGACAAGUUGCAGGAAGAGUUUCAAGGGACAGAGAGGACAAGGCAGCAACAGUUGUUAAACUUGAGGAGAGAUUUUGAGAAUUUGAAGAUAAAGGAAGAAGAAACUGUCAAGCAAUAUUCUGACAGGAUUAUGGUUGUGGUUAACAGCAUCAGGCUCCUUGGAGAGCAGUUCAAUGAAGCUAGGAUAGUGGAGAAGGUUAUAGCAACUCUGCCUGAGAGGUAUGAGGAAAAAAUCUCAUCUCUCGAGGACUCAAGGGACCUGUCCACCAUCUUCCUGACAGAGUUGAUCAAUGCUCUAUAUGCUCAAGAGCAUAUGAGAGCAAGCAGACUGGAGGAGCACCAAGAAUGUGCCUUUCAGGCAAGAACAAAUACUGCCUACAAAGGCAAGAAGGCCUGGAGAGACAAGCCAAAGAAUGAUGCUGCAAGGAAAGAAGGUCAGACUUGCAAGCACUGCAGAAAGGCUGGUCAUUCAGAAGAAAAAUGCUGGUUCAAUCCAGAUGCUGUGUGUCAGCAUUGUAAGAAGAAAGGUCAUGUUGAGAGAGUCUGUAAGAGCAAGGCCAAAUCAAUGCACAAUCAGUUUCAACAGAUGAAAGCUGAGGCUCGAGUAGCUAAGGAGGACAGUGACCAAGAGGAGCAAGUUUUUGCUGUGUCAUGCUCAGCUGCUCAGGAAAGGUCCUCAUCUGGUUGGCUCCUAGACAGUGGAUGCACCAACCACAUGACACCGGAUGCUGCAAUCUUCAAGUCUUUAGACAGAAGCUGCAGAACUAAAGUCAAGAUAGGAAAUAGUCAUUUUAUUCAAGCUGAAGGCAAGGGUGAUGUGCUGAUAUGCACCCUUACAGGUACCAAAGUGAUUUCAAAUGUGCUGUUGGUGCCUGAAAUUGACAGAAACCUGCUCAGCAUAGCUCAGUUGCUGGAAAAAGGUUAUUCAGUUGUGUUUAAAGACCACCAGUGCCAAAUCAGUGAUCCAAGUGGAUCCAAACUGAUGGCAGUCCCUAUGGCUGAUAAGAGCUUUGUGGUUGACUGGACAAAGAAGUCAGACAUUGCCUACACAACCACUUCAGAUGAAUCCAAGCUGUGGCAUCAAAGACUGGGACAUGCCAACUUCAUAUCGAUGGCCCGAAUGAUCAGAGAAGACCUGGCUGAAAACUUCAUCAACUCAGUGGACCAUGAUGAUGUAUGUGAAGUAUGUCAGCUAGGAAAGCAGGCCAGACUCCCAUUUCCCUCGAAUCAAGCCUGGAGAGCCUCUGAAAAACUCUAACUGGUGCAUACUGAUGUGUGUGGCCCUAUGAAGACUGAGUCAUUAAGUGGAAACAGAUAUUUCAUACUGUUCAUUGAUGAUUUCUCGAGAUAUUGCUGGAUUUACUUCUUAAAACAGAAAUCAGAGGUGGCCACUGUGUUUUGGAAGUUCAAAACUUCUGCUGAGACUGAAACAGGCUGCAAGGUGAAGACCAUAAGGUCUGAUAAUGGGACUAAGUACACCUCAGCUCAGUUCCAAGCCUUCUGUGAUAAGGCAGGCAUCAAACAUCAACUUACCAACACAUAUACACCUCAGCAGAAUAGGGUAAGUGAAAGGAAGAAUAGGAGUUUGAUGGAUAUGGCCAGGUGCUUGAUGAUUCAGAAGAAUCUGCCUAAAGCACUAUGGGCAGAAGCAGUUAACACUGCAACAUACAUUCAAAAUAGACUUCCAACCAAGGCUUUGGAUCAAAAGACCCCAUUCGAGGCCUGGUUUAGCUUCAAGCCAUCACUGGCUCAUCUGAAGGUCUUUGGAUGCAUCUGUUAUGCACAUGUACCUGCUGUUAAAAGGGACAAAUUGUCUGAAAGGGCUCGACCUGGUGUUUUGGUGGGCUAUAGCACUGUUAAGAAGGGCUAUAAGAUUUUAGAUCCUUCAACAAACAAAGUGUCAAUAAGCAGAGAUGUGGUAUUUGAUGAGAGGUCAUGUUGGAACUGAGAAAGACAUGAACCUGAAGAAGUUUCUGAAGAACUUGCAACAGACCAAGCUGAGCCAGACCAAAAUGUCCCUGAAAUGGAUAUUGAUGAUGAACCAGUCAGAGGAACAAGGCCAUUGGCUGAAAUUUAUGAAAGGGCUCAUGUAGCCAUAGCUGAACCAAGCAACUUUGAAGAGGCUGAGGCUCAGUAAGGGUGGAAGCAGGCAAUGGCUGAGGAGAUCAGCAUGAUUGAGAAGAACCAGACCUGGGAAUUGGUUGAAAGGCCAGUCAAAAGAAAGGUGAUUGGGGUGAAAUGGGUGUACAAAGCCAAGCAGAAUGCUGAUGGUACCUUGAACAAGCUGAAAGCAAGGCUAGUUGUCAAGGGGUUCAGUCAGAGGUAUGGCUUGGACUACCUGGAGACCUUUGCACCAGUGGCCAGGCUCGACACCAUCAGACUGCUGAUUGCCUUAGCAGCACAUCUUGAAUGGAAGAUCCAUCAACUUGAUGUGAAAUCAGCCUUUCUGAAUGGUUUCUUAGAUGAAGACAUCUAUGUUGAACAACCAAAAGGGUUUGAAAUAGCUGGCAGAGAGCAUAUGGUCUACAAACUGAAGAAGGCCCUAUAUGGAUUAAAACAGGCUCCAAGGGCUUGGUAUAGCAGAAUCGAUGGCUACUUGACUGAUCUGGGAUUCGAUCGAAGCAAGAGUGAGCCAACACUGUAUGUCAAGAAACAAGGGACACAAAUACAACUUAUUGUGUCCCUGUAUGUUGAUGAUCUUCUGGUGACAGGAGGAGAUCGAGUAGUGCUGGCUGAUUUCAAGACCAAGAUGCAGGAAGUGUUUGAUAUGUCUGAUCUUGGGGAGAUGUCAUACUUUCUUGGAAUGGAAGUGUCUCAAGUACAGAAUGAGAUAUUUCUAAGCCAGAGAAGCUUUGCCACAAAGAUUCUGACCAAGUUCUCCAUGCAAAACAGCAAGGCAACUAAAACACCUGUUGCUGUUGGAGAAAAACUAUCGAGCCAAGGUGAUUUUAAGAAAGUUUGUGAAACAACCUACAGGAGUCUAGUUGGUUGCUUGCUAUACUUGACUGCCACUAGACCAGACAUCAUGUAUGCUGUAGGAUUACUCUCAAGGUUCUUGCAUUGCUGCAAUGAGAAGCAUUUCCAAGCUGCAAAGGGAGUGCUGAGAUAUGUCAAAGGCACUUUAAACUAUGGUUUGAAGUACAGCAAAGAAGGAAAUCUGAAGCUGGUUGGCUACACUGAUAGUGACUGGGCUGGCUCGAUAGAUGACAUGAAAAGCACCUCAGGGUAUGCUUUUAACCUUGGUUCAGCCAUGUUUUGCUGGAGCUCAAAGAAGCAAAGCCUAGUAGCUCAAUCUACUGCUGAAGCAGAGUAUGUGGCAACAGCAAGUGCUGUCAACCAAGCCAUAUGGCUAAGGAAAAUAUUGGCUGACUUGAAUGUGCAUCAAGAGGAAGCUACUGAGAUCUUCUGUGACAACCAAUCUGCAGUAGCAAUUGCUAAAAAUCCAGUGUUCCAUGGAAGAACAAAACAUUUCAGCAUCAAGUUGCAUGUUGUUCGAGAAAUGGAGCAAGCUCAGGAAGUAAAGCUGAUCCACUGUAAUUCAGAGGAUCAACUUGCAGACAUUUUAACCAAAGCCCUUAGUGUCACAAGGUUCGAAUGUCUAAGAAAGAAGCUAGGUGUUUGCUCCAUGCAAACCAAGGAGGAGUAAUGAAGUUGGUUCAGCAUGCAGCAAACUCGACAGCAUGCAGGCCAUGAAGACCAAGUCAUGCAGGAGCUGCUGAUGCAAGCUUAUUUUGUUUAUUUUGUAAUUCCUAGUCAAUGAAAUGUAAUCUUAGUUCAUUUCUAACUAAGUUAGAUUGUUGACUGAUGUAAUUAGCUUAUGUAUGAGUUGUAAACACAACUUUGUGUAAGUUUACAAGCCAAAAUUUCAAGUUUCCAUGUCAUUAGUGGAGGUAGGUGAUGUUUAGGUAAUUGCUUACUGUUUUUGACAAGCUUAGUGCCUGUUUUAUGUAUUGGCAUUGUGCCAUUAUGCAUUUUAUGAAUGAAGUUUAGUUUGUUCAUCAAUUUCUCUAUUCAUUUUUCUUAGCUUUUCUUCCUUUCUCUUGCUCGAAUUCUCUUGUUUGCUCAGCAAGUCUCGAGACUUGCUUAACAAGUCUGCACUGAAUCUGUUAGUUUCAGUUACAGCACCAACAGAAACCAACAAAAUCCGUCGAAGGAGAAGCUCCUGGAGAAUCCACAAUGGAUGUCCCCUUGAGUUUAGCCAAAACCUCCUGAAGAAGACGCCUCUGAUCUUCCACUGAAGAAGCUAACAGGUCAAAAUCACGACGCAUUGUUGCUUGAGAAUCGGCAAUUGCCUUGGUGGGUCGUUCACAACAGACUGACAUUAAUAGUGACCACAUAUCAAAAGAAAUAUAAAGAAAGAAGGAAGAGCAGAAUUAUUGAAAAAGUUUGAUCAUGUGGCUAUACUAUAUAUAUUUCAAUGUGCAAGAAAGGAGAUAUAUGAGUCAAAUAAUUUUGUCCUAUUCAAAUAAAAAAAAUGGGGAGGCCACAAUAGACCAAAGUGUCCCCUCAUGCAAUAAAAGGCUUUUUGUGAGUGGCUUUGGUAUAGUAUUCCAUGUGAAUGAGCACUUAUUUGCCUCCACACUCUUUUAUAGGCCCUAUGAGGAUUUAGCUAUAUCGCAGAAGUGAGGUUAAUUUUAAUGAGACUAAUGAUAAAAUGAAACAAUAUUUUGAGGGUUAAAUUAAAUUGAAUAUUUUUAUGAUAGCGAAAAUGUAAUUUUACCAUUUUAAUAGUCUAUAUAUAAAAAGAUCAAAUAAAUUUUUUAGCCUUAAUUUGAUCUUUACUUUUUAAAAUUACAUAAAAGUUCAGAAUUAAAAAGAACACAUAUUUUCAGUAAAAUCCAUUAAAAAAUUGUGGAAAACACUCUUUAAAGUUCGUGGAAAAAAGGGAUAAGAAGGGGUGACUAUUAGGAAAGCUGCAUAAGCACUUUUGUUUGUGAUCUAUCAACAACUUGUGGCUUCAUAUUGUGAAGUUAUAAAAUAUAAAGUUAUAAACAUUCAAGAAAUUAAUUUCACUAAAUAGAUUCAAAUUAUAGCAGCGACCAAAUUGGUGUCCACGCAUUUCUUUGUAAAAGCGUGUUCUCACUGACCUAUAUGAUUCCACACGUAAUGAAUUAAUUGGCCAACAACCUCAAAGUUUCUAUUUAUGAUCUAUCAUGUAAACAUAGGGGAAGACUUAACAAGAAAAAUUUGUCAAGUCGCCAGAAAAGGAAAAGAACUGAAAUGGCGGAGAUAGCUGUGGGUAUAGUUAUUGAUAGAUUAAUUUCAUUCCUUGGUGCGGAGGUGAAACUAUUUGGACGGCUUAAGAAAGAAGUUGAAGACAUCCGGAUCGAGCUCGACUACAUUGCUUGUUUCCUUAGACAAGCAGAUCCAAUGGUAGACAAAGAGGAUUCCAAUGGUGGCUUCAAACUAUGGGUGCAACAUGUAAGGGAGGUGGCUUUCCAGAUAGAAGAUGUUAUGGAUGAAUACAAGCUUUAUCAUGUUCCAGUUGCACAACAUCAGCAGCAGCAAGGUUUAAUGGCUUCCCUGAGCAGAAUAGCUCAUAUGGUCCAGACCGUGAAAAGGCAUCUCCAGGCAGCAUCAAAGAUCAGAGAUAUCAAAACAUCUGUUAAUGAAAUCAAGGAAAGAAGUGAAAGAUACAGGUUCAACACCCUGCAACAUGUUCCAGGUGAGAACUGUAACGAGCCGAUUGACCCUCGAAUGGGACUUCAUUUUGUCAACAGUGAAGCACUCGUGGGCAUUGAUUCUUCUCGACAAGAGUUGGCCCGUAGAUUGGCAGAUGCAGAGCUGAAACGCACAAUUGUUUCAGUGGUGGGGAUGGGAGGGGUUGGGAAGACGACCCUUGUUAAGAAAGCUUUUGAUGAUGAAAUCAUGGCAGGACACUUCGACUGCCAUGCUUGGAUCACCGUCUCUCAAUCAUACAGGGUGGAGGUGUUGCUAAGGACCAUGAUGAAGCAGAUGUAUGAGUCUCGAAAGCAGUCCCCACCUGUUAGGGUCGACGCAAUGGAUGGUGUAGAAUUGAUAAGCAUAUGCAGAGACUAUAUAUAUGAUAAAAGUUACAUCGUGGUGUUUGAUGAUGUAUGGAAGGAAGAUUUUUGGCGACAUAUAGAACAUGCUUUAUUGGAUAACAACAAAGGAAGCAGAAUUUUAAUGACAACAAGAAGUAUGAAUACUGCUGAGUUUUGCAAGAAAUCUUCACUAGUUCAUGUCCAUAAUUUGGAACCUCUUCCACUAGAACAGGCACAGGAGCUCUUACGCAGAACUGCUUUUCAGUAUGAUGAAGAUAAACAAUGCCCUGAAGAGUUGAAUGGUUUAACUUUUGAAUUAGUCAAAAGAUGUGAAGGACUUCCCCUUGCAGUUGUGGCCAUUGCUGGACUUUUGGCAACCAAAGGCAAGGAUGUUGGUCAAUGGAAACGCUUACUUGAUAGCCUUAGUGCUGAGCUAGACAGUAGUCCACAUCUUUCAUAUGUAAAACAGAUACUUUCUUUUAGUUAUUAUGAUCUGCCUUACCAUCUCAAGGGUUGUUUCUUGUUCAUGGGCAUGUUUCCUGAAGAUUAUCCCAUAAGUUGCAAGAGACUGAUUCGGCUGUGGAUCGCAGAGGGGUUCGUAAAAGGGAAACACAAUAUGACCUUAGAAGAAGUUGCGAUGACGUACCUAUCCGAAUUGAUUAACAGAAGCUUGGUUCAAGUAUCAGUGAUUGAUUCUAUUGGCAAUGUCAGAAACUGCCAGCUCCAUGAUUUGAUGCGCGAAGUUGUUGUUUCCAAGUCCAAAGAACUGAGUUUCAUUCAAACAUGUCCAGAAAAUUUGUCCAACCAUUAUCGUGUAGCUCGACAUCUUUCCAUCUGCAACAAAUCAAACAAUUUCCCAAUGGUUGUUGGUAAUUAUCAAACUCAUUCAGCAAUUUUCUUUGACAUAGAAGAGUUACCUAAAUCAUUCUGCUUCUUACAGUUCACAAAGUCCAAAUUGUUGAAAGAACUGGACUUUGAAGGAGCCCCAUUGACUUAUAUUCCAGAGGAACUGGGAAAUCUGUUCAAUUUGAAAUACUUGAGCAUAAGGGACACAAAGGUGAAAAAGCUCCCAAGAUCUAUAGGUAAAUUGCAUAAGCUUCAAACUUUGGAUCUAAAACGUUCUUUUGUAAGCGAGUUACCAGUUGAAAUCAACAUGCUCUUCAAUCUUCAAUAUCUUGUAGCUUACUACAAAGAUAAACAAAGCAUCUACAGUAUCAAUACUCGAAGAGGGAUGAAGUUAUAUUCCAACUUUGGGAGCUUAGAGUCCUUAGAAAAGCUGUAUGAGGUGGACUUGGAGGCCUACAGUGGUGGUAACUUCUUUCGCGAGUUAGCAAGAUUGAAGCGGUUGAGAAAACUAUGCAUCACUAAACUAAAAUCAGAAAGUGUGAAUGCUUUAUGUGAUGCAAUACAGCAGAUGAUCCACCUUCAGUCAUUGAGAAUUUCUUCUAUAAAAGAGGAAGAGCUUCUUCACCUACAUAAAAUGUCAUCCCCUCCGGUUUUUCUCCGUUGCCUCAGGCUACGAGGAAGAUUAAUGAAGUUACCUGGUUGGAUUUAUGAACUGAGGAACCUCACAAAACUUACCUUAGAAUGGUCAAGAAUAUCAGAUGAUUCACUUCAAAUCCUUGGUGUUCUACCAAAUUUACUCUUCUUUUGGAUUUUUGAGGGAUACAGUGGAGCUCAACUGCAUUUUCACAAGAAUCACUUUAAGAAACUCAAGGACUUGAGGCUUUGCUGGUUAAAUGAUUUAAAGAGACUGAUAAUAGAUGAAGGAUCAUUAACACUUGUAGAACAUCUAGAACUUGGACCUAGCCCCCAAUUGGAGGAGUUGCCUGCUACCAUUUCUCAUCUAAAAUGUCUGAAGACUCUUUCAUUUAACAAUAUGCCCAUGGAGUCGGUUCGAAAAUUGUUGCCUGAUGGAGGCUCUGAUCAUUGGAAAGUCAGGCAUAUUCCAAAUAUCUAUUUCCUUUACUUCACGGUUAAAGGAACACAGCAUGAAACCUACAAGCUUGGUGAUUCACGCUUGUUAGAACUCCUUAGUUGAAGCACUUGGAUGGAUCUCCUUCCAUGUCUUAAAAUUCCGAUGUUGGUACUGUGUCAGACACAGUUGAGUGGCCAAUAAAGAGGUAUGUUCAAUCUUUUUCUAAGUCUUAACAUGCAUUUGAGUGGUCCUUAGAGGAUCAUAUCUCCAUAACCAUAUUAUUUCAAGAAAAAAGAGCGAGAGCAACAUAGAUUUUACAUUGUUCUGGUUUGCUAUUUCUUUUAUUUUAUGUUUUUUGGAUGAUUUUACUUGUAGGACAGGGCAGGGACUCAAUGGUUUUCAGAUGGAUCAAUUCAACUGAAUGUAGAAUAACCAUAUAGGAAGAGACUAAAUUUGAAUCUACCAGUCUAACUGGUUAUAAUUACUUACCAGAUCAAUGUGGUUGAUUGAUGUAUGUUUCCUUCCCGGCCCCCAAUCUCAUAAAUAGCUCCUUGUACCUUAUGUCGUUUUUGCUUGUUAUAUUAUACUCAUUGUUUCACUUCACGUCAAUAGCUUCCACCUCAAAACCUAGAAAAUAUCAUCUUACAUGCAAUGGUAAAUUACAGGUUGCGUACAUGGAAGACAGUUUUCCAAAUAAAAAGGUAAUAAGUUAAGCAACGAAGUAUAUAAAAAAGGACUAAAUGAGAGGAAAUAAAUAAAUGAACUAAAGAGGGUUAAGCCUUUAAAAUACAAUGAACUACAAGAAGUACAUUCAGAAGUUGCAAUCAACAAAGCUAUGUUACCUGGACUCUUUAAUUUCCUAAAGUACUUAUUUGGACAUAGGAACGUGGUAUGAUCCUCCAAACAUAUUAAAGUCUUCAAAAAAAAAAAAGAAGAAAAAGCAUACUCAUAUCAUACACAUACAAUACUCAAGCCAAAUUUAGGUAACAGAGCUCCACAGGAAGAAAGUGUGGAGUUUCUUAAUCUAUUAUACAAACAGGGGCAACUGAAGCAACUUGAAAUUCCAAUAAACCAAAUACAUAGAGCAACUAAAACAUCAAGUUCCAAUGAACCAAACAUCCAUAUACGCAAGAAAAUGCAUAGCCAACAAAAGAGGGAGAAUCCAUAUAAAACUUCAUGCAAACUGAUAAAACAAAAGAUAAAAAAUAUCAAAUUUACAAUGAAAGCGCAUAAAGAGAGGACUGUGAAAGAGUUAAUAGCCAAAAAGUUGAGAGAAAGUGAUUCAAGGCAGAAAAAUUGAAACUCAAAGCUACUGCCUCAGCCAGUAUCAUACAUCUACAGCUUAAUUGAAGUUGAUUUCAGCUUCCAUUAUUACCCAUUUUAUUCUUUCCAUAAGAGAUUGAAGCAGAAAAAGGCUUAAACCAGAGUCAGCAAAUUUCAACAUCUCACCUUUGAUUUUAUUAAACUAUUGAUCCCGAAAAGAAACAUUGUUCAGGAACUGAUAACAAAAAGCAUUGAAGUUUGUAGCAAUGCAUUCAUAACUCCAAUAAAUAGAAGAGCUACAAUAUUAAAACUAACAAAAAGGGAGAGUAGGCUAUAGUUUAACUGGUGAUCAUUGUGCCAGCGCCCUCAUCGGUCAUAAUCUCAUGAAGCAACGAGUGCUCAACACGACCGUCAAUAAUGCUAGCAGUGGUAACCCCUUGAGCAAGCGAUCGAAUACAACAAUUCACUUUGGGAAUCAUCCCACCGCCUACCUUCCCUUCCUCAACCAUUUUCUUCACUCCCUUUAUAUCAAUCUCUUUCACCAAGCUUCCAGGGUCCUCUCGGUUUCUCAGAAUCCCUGCGACGUCGGUCAACAGAAUCAGUUUCUCACCCCCCAAUGCCGCCGCCACCUCACCAGCUACCGUGUCUGCAUUGAUGUUGUAAGGCUGACCAUACUCAUCCGCCGCCACUGAAGCAAUCACCGGGAUGCUUCCGUUGUCCACGAUCGUUUGGAGGACUGUGGGGUCCACUCUCGCAACCUCUCCGACAAACCCCAACUGUGCAGCGUUUGGGCUGGGCCUGGCAACUAAAAGGCGGCCGUCCAUGCCAGAAAGGCCCACGGCGGUGGCUCCAGCGUAAUUGAUACGAGAAACCAGGUCUUUGUUAACUUUUCCAACAAGGACCAUAGAAACAACUUCCAUGGUCCUGGCGUCGGUUACACGGAGCCCAUCGCGGAACUGAGCGGGGAUAUUGAGCUGAUUGAGAAGGACGUUGAUUUCAGGACCACCGCCAUGGACGAGGACGGGACGGAGGCCAACGCAGGAGAGGAGGACGAGGUCCCUGACAACAGAGGCCUUGAGCUCCGCAGAUUUCAUGGCGGCGCCUCCGUAUUUGACGACAAUGGUUUUUCCCCUAAAUUUCUGAAUGUAGGGGAGUGAUUCAGAGAGGAUUCGAACUCGAAGUUGAAGAUCGGAAUUGGUGAGAGAGGGAAGAGGCGGGUCAUUGAGGGCGGUGGAGGAGGGUGAAGAAGCUCUAAUGGAAAGACGAAGGCGACGAGAAUUGGGGGUUUGGAGAAUCUGAAGUUGAGGUUUAGGGUUUCUGCUUUUGAUUUUGUCUUUGUUAGGGAGAGAAAUGAAAGGGGGUCCUGUGAAGAGCAAAAAUGGAGAGAUUUGCCGGUGGCUGUUGCGCCCAUUUUUCUAUCUUCCUCUCCUCUUCUCUGCUGCUUUGGCUCUGGCUUAGAAGGAGCUAAUGGUGCACCCACUCAUUCACGACCCAGGAGUGUAAGCAAAUUAUUACAUUCUAUUUUCAAAAGAAUUUAUAAUAAUUAAAAAGAUAAAAUAAGAAACUAAAAUGAAAUUUUAUUAAAAUCCAACAGUGUGAUAUUAUCCUUCAUCCUUAUUAUUAUAUUAAAAAAAUUAUAAAAAAAAGUAUGUAAAAACAGGAUAAUAUCAUUUGUUUUGGACGAAAGACUUCAAUUUAACUUUAUUUUCGAUCUCAACCAUAUUGACACAAUUAUCUCCUUUUCUUUCUUAUCAAACAAUUGAAAAGGUCACAUUAAUUAUAUAUAUUAUUGACAUCUAAGUAAUAUUUAAAUUAUUAUGAGAAAAUAUUGUUUUAAUAUAAAAUUUAAUAAAUUAUGAUCUGUCAUGUCAAAUAAUCAAUAACAAGACUAUGUAUAGAAGUGUAUCUGAAUCCAUUGUUGAAGAUUGCGAAAGUUUUGAUCUUUCAAGAAAAUAGUUUUUCUUCUAGUAUAUCUCUGAAAUGGGGAUGGAAAAGAUAUAUGAGAUAACUCUAUUUCUUGGGAAUAAUUGAUUAUUAAAUUAGUUUUGAGUAUUUAUAAUUUGACCCCUCAUCAAGUUAUAAAUACAACUUACAACUUAUGAUAUCUACAUAUUAUUUUCAUGACACUUUGAUACCUAUGACACUUAUAACAUAAUUGGUCACUUAAUUUUGAUCAUAUUUUAUAAUAGCAUUAUACAUUAUAUAUAUGUGUCCAUAAUUGGGGAUUUUAAUCCAACAAUCUCCCACUUGGGCAACAUAUAUUUCCUGAUAAAUGUACAACUUUAUGGGCUCAAAAUUUUCUAUAAUAUAACAAGUAUUCUAUAACAGUCUUGUCCAUCAACUAUAUCCAUAUAGGAUCAAAUUAGUCUUUGUCAUAUUAAUCAUGACUAAACUCAUCAAUAGUCAGAUAUACAAAUAUAGUCAAAUGAUAUGGAUCAAUCAUAGAUGUGUAGCAUGGAAAUUACAUGCAAUGUGAACCAAACAUGCAUAUUUCCAACUGGUCAUCCUUAAACUUAAGCGAUGUCAAUAUCAAACAGAGUGAAUAAAUUAAAUAUUUCAUUUCUGAUCAGAAAAUAACCAAAUACAUAAAUGUCUGAAAACAAACAUAAAACAAAUAAAGCACAAACCCUCACUAAACCAUGAUGCCCUCAAAUAAUAUAACAUGCUGGGGAAUGUGCCCAUCUUGUAUUAAACAUGUAACUGUUUUCUAUUUAUUUGAACGAUGAAUAAAUAAAUAAAGUUAAUUUCACAUUCCACUAUUAUGUCAUUGUAUUUUCUGUUUUUUAUAUUUUGCAUGCAUAGCGAAAUUAUGACAAACAAAUAUUAGCUCAUUGAUUGUCUAAAGUUCAAAUUGAAGAUAAGUGACAUUGUAAAUAACGUUUACAUUGCGAGAAAGAAAACUUACUUCAGUAGAUAAUCUAAAUGAGUUUGUAAUUUUGUAAAAUAAUCAAAGUGAGCAUUUGAUUCAAAUACUGAGAAGGAUUAUUAUGUCGUCUACAAUUCCAAUUGGGGAGAUGACUAGUCUUGGCUAUUGGAGCAGUUGACUCCACAGGUAGAAACAUAGAUGUAUUCAUUGGUAGAAUGAUAUAUUGGACUAGACUCAAGAUGAAUUAAUUCUGAAUUUGUUUGUGAAUUAAUUCACUUGUGACGUUCAUGGUGUGAUUUACCUAAAUCCUAAGUUAGUCACUGACCAUGCGUAUGUAACUCAUGUGCUUUAAUAUAAUUGGAGGCUUAUGCUAUAAAGAUGAUCGAGCCCAUAGCCGAUAUGUUGGGUACAUGAUUUGUGUAUGGCAUGGCUUUACUAGAAAUAGUGGAAUUCAUAACUCAAUUAAAGAAUUAAUGAUAUCCUAUUAUUGGCAUUGUUUGGAUUGAUAAAUAUGGAACGUGGUGACGGAUCGCUAGUUCUCGAAUGAGUAAUUUAUCAUAAUCAUUUGUUGACAGUGACCAUAUUAAUCAUUAAGAAGACACAAUGGUGACAAUGAGAUAAAAUAUGAUUGUAUUAAGUGAACGGAUUUAACUCAAAGGAAUCAAAGAUAUCAUAUGAGGAUAACAACACUUGAUGAGGUCAUUGGACAAAGUAGUUGAAUGAAUUGCUUUCACAAACAGUAUACAAUAAGGAGUUUUCAAUCAUGGUAUUUCUUGUGGACUGACUCUAUGAUUAAGUAAUUGUGAAUUAUCGAAACGAUGCUUCUGGACAUAAUUGCAAUCAUUAGAGAAUAAUUGUAUAUGUUUGAUUGGUCCCUCCGUUAGCUCAACAAAAGCUUGAUCGAACUGCAUUUGAAUCAAAAAUAAAUUCUACGACUUUGGGAAUAAUUUAAUUGAGUUAAUUUAUUCAAUGUGGAAAUAAAUUAGGUGGUCGUAAGAAAUAUUCAACUAGAGAAUUUGAUUAAAGAAUUAUCUUGAAAAAUUAAUUUGGAAAAUCUAAGUGAUUUUUGGAAAAAUUAAUUUUGAUCAAGUAAAAUUAAAUUAAUCAAAUCAAUUAAAAUUAAUUUGAUAUUAUUGGAAAUUAAUUUUCAAGUUAGACAAUUGGACCAAUGAGUAAUUGAACUUGAAAAUUAGACCUGAGAUCGUAAAUUGGGCCUGGGAGCCCAAAAUCGAGACCAAGACCCAAAAACUGGUCAAAUCGAGCCCAAUAUGUUAAACCGGGCUGACAAUCCAACAAGUGGCUAGAUUGGACCGGUCGGGUCGUCAUUGACCUGGACCGAAUCGACAGUAGUCGAACUGGCUCAGGGUGCCAUAUGGAUGUCUGUAAUGACCCAAAUUCAAAGUUAUCGGAACAGUGGUUUUGAGACCACAAAUCCGAUGAGGAAAAAUUUAUUUUUCUUAUAUUUUUAUGGUCUACGAUUUUAUAAAAUGAUUUGGUGAAAAUUUCGUUCAAAAAUUUCAACGUUUGGGCACUUAAUUUAGUUAAAAUGACUAAAUUGUAAAAAGUGCAAAAGUUGAGUUCUACAUGUUAGAGGUGCCCAAUUGUUAUGAAACUUUAAAUUGGAGGUCCUUAUAUGGUAAUUAGACCCUUGGUUAAGUUGGUAGACAAAAAUAGACAUGAGAUAAGUGAAAUAUAAUAUUUUUAAGUUAGGGGUAAUUUGGUAAUCUAGUAAUUAAAAUGAAUUAAAAGGGAAAAAGAUGGCAAAUUGUGCUCAUCUUCUUCAUUUGGACGAAAUCAGCAAGGGGGGAAGCCAUAGUUAGGGUUUUGAAGCUUCCAAGCUCCAUAGUAAGUGAUCCCAAGCCCCGUUUUUAAUGUUCUAUUCGUUUUUGAGAUCCCGGUAGCUUAAUUUAGCUUAUUCUAGCAAUAAUUUAACCUAGGGUUUAUAUUUGGAAAAAUACCUGUACAGCCCAAUUAUUGCCCGGGCCCAAUUAACAGAGCCCAAACACCAACCCACAAGCCCAAUUACAACCCAAACCUGAGGCCCAAAUUCGGAGCCCAAUUCCCCCCAAAAAUCCAACUAGGGUUUCAGAAAAAUGAAACCCUAGCCAAACCUAGCGCCGCACCCAUCCCUCUGCCCUUCGCCUUGUCCCAUCGUCACCCACCGUGCCUAGCUUCAUCAACACCUGCAAAAUGGCAGAAAAAGCCGGAGCACGCAACAGAUAGUGCAAAGCAAUAGAAUACAACCAAAAAAUACAAUGUAAAUUGGCUAUAAAAGCCAAACAAUAUCUCUGUACAUUUUUUAGAGACAGCAUUUUGAAUUCAAGAAAAAGAAAAAGCAAAUCAAAAAAGGUUGACUCUAGUUAUUUCUACUCUGUUCUCGUGUUCUUAUUCAUUUUAUUUCUUUUAUUUUUGUUUAUUUUUCUGCAAUCGUUUAAUAAAUAAAGCGGGACUAAAAGGGAAAGGGGAAGAUACCUUACUGCUUCGGUGGGCUGGUGUCGGAACUCCGCCUUUGCCGUCGUCGGAGCCGAGCAAAAAGGGGCGUUUCAUCCCUUUUCCUUUUGGUCUCGCGGUUGAGAAGGCAUAGCCUUCGGGGACGCCGCAAAAGGGGGAGGCCUAGGGGCCGUUCUCGUGCAGCUCCGGCCACUGGCCAUGGAGGCGGAGAUGGUGGCCUGAGCUUUAAGGCCGAGGGGGGCGCAGAGAGGAGAGCAUUCGAGCUCUCUGUUCUCUUUUCCUGUUUCUUUUUUUUUAUUUUUUUUAUUUUUUCUCUUUUCAUUAGAAAAUGAAAUGGAGGCUACCAGAUUAGGGUUCUUUUUGGCCCUUACAUGAUGUGUGAAACGAUGCCGUUUGGAGUCUGAUCAGUGGCUCCAAAACGGCGUCGUAUUGAGCUCUGACCCGCGCGGUGACCCGACCCAAGGGAAGGAUCCGCGUGUUUUUUUCUUUAAAUGGGAUAUUUGUGCGCGUAGUCCCUCCGACUUUGUAGCGCGUUGCAAUUUGGUCCUGUUUCGCUAUUUCCUAUUUUUCAAUUUCGCCCCAGAAUUCUGUUUUUGUUCUAUUUUGACCUUCUGCUGCACUGCGUUUUGGGGCUUCGGGGUAUUUAUGAUUUUGGUCCCCCCCUUUUUCGCGCAUAUUACAUUUUGAUCCUUUAUUCCAUUUUAUUUUUUAUUUCAGCCCUGAGAUUUCGUUCCCGUUUUGAAUUAGUCCUAUUAUUAUUAUUAUUAUUAUUAUUAUUAUUAUUACCUAUUUAUUUAUAUUAAUUUUAUUUAAACUUGUGGUACAUAUAUAUAUUUAUAUAUUUUACAACUUAUGUACCUAUCUAUAUAUCUAUAUACAUAUUUUCAUUUUCAUAAAUACAUACAUAUUUAUAUAUAAUCUUUAUAGUCUAAAAUACACCUUUUUUAUAUUUUUUUAAAUCCGCAUAUACAUACACAUUUUCAAUAUAUUUUUAGUAUGUAUAUAAAUUAACGUAUUUAUUUGUAUACAUAUGUAUAUUUUCAUUAGUUUUAAACUUUAGUUUGUACAUAUAUACUUUUUCUUUUAUUUUACAAUAUAUAUAUACACUUACUUUUUAUAUGUAUUUCUUUAUCUUCGUAUUCCAUAGUUUUAUACACCUAUAUAUGUACAUAUUUUUUUAUACAUACGCGUAUUUAUUUAUUUUAUAUAAAAUAUACUUUAUAUAUUUUGUUAAUUCAUGUAUACACAUAUUUUAGUUCAUGUCUAUAUAUAUCUUUUUAUACUUAAUUGUAUUUGCUAUUUAUUUAUUUCAUUUUGUUAUUAUUUUGAAUGAAUGAUUUAACUUUAUUCGUUUUUUUUUAUUUUGUUAUUUUGUAUGUUGUAAGUUUGAUCGUUCAUAUUGAUUGCUAUAGCUUGCAUCGUUUUUAUAUUUUCAUGUUCAUUAUGAUUUUGCCAUGCAUAAAUAAUGUAAUUUGCUUUCACUAUAAUUUUUUGCUUUAUUUUUACUCGAUAUAACAAAAUUUAUUUUUUUAAAAAUGGCAUUUCGUGUUUGGAUUCGAGAAAAUCGUGCCCUAACUUACUGGGUUUCGAUUUUCUCGAUAAAUCUAAAUGUACGAAUCUUUCUAAACUCAAAUUUUAGAUGACCUCGGGAUUAAAAAAAUCACGUCCUAACUUACUGGUCGUGAUCUCAUUUUUAAAUCCGAGAUGGCUAAAAUAUCUUUUAAAUAAGCAUUUUUCAUUCGCGUAUCGAGAAUUUGAGAUAUUGUAUUCUAACUUACUGGAUAUGAUUCUCUUCCUCGAUUAACGUGAAAUAUAUUUCUUUUUCCAAAAAUUUUCAUUUUAAUACAAGGAUCGUAUUUUUAAUUCUUUCAAGUUCUCAAUUUUCGACAUCGAGACAUUAGAUAAUCAACUAGGUACCAAUUUCUGGGCGUUACGAGGGUGCUAAUCCUUCCUCGUACGUAACCGACUCCCGAACCCAUUUUCUAAAUUUCGUAGACCAAAACCGUUGUUUUAAUAAAAUCAAAUUAUUUAUUAAAAACAACCUUUUUCCAAGGUGACCCAAUCACACCUCAAAAAGGAUUGGUGGCGACUCCCUUUUUCAUUUUCAAAACCCAAGUCGACCCCGUUUUUCAAUAAAAAAAAUGGUGUCAACAGCUUGGCGACUCCGCUGGGGACUCAAAAAAUUGAGAGUCAAGCCACGAGUUGAUUAUCUCUUGUCCUUUUGUCAAAAGUUGAAAAUUUGAGUUAAAUAUCCGAUCCUCUCAUUGCAUUUUAUUUUGAGUUAUAGUUUUUAUCAUGUUUGGUAUUUUAAGUUUUUAUAUACCUCUGCACAUUGCAUUGCAAGACCGUUGGUCACACCUCUUAAGUGGGAGUGAGAAGCUACGCCUUCGUGAGGUUUUCACCUCCGCAUGGGAUAGUGAAUCGCUUCCGGGAUACAUCCGUACCUAUGUCUUCGUGAGAUUUUCAUCUCCGCAUGGCCACAGGGAAAUGUAUUCCCCUGAACUGAACUCGGUUCGUAUGACCCUAUAAUGGGUGAGGAUUGAGGAAUCUGCUGGUUCAGGUACCCUGCUUAGAACCAAACCACAUGUAAUGACCCAUAAGAACCGACCUAGGUAGAGCUACGCCAAACCUCAGUGCUUACCUAAAUGGAUGUUAUAUUUAUCGUCAUUUACGUUAAAUCUUGUUCUGCGUAAUAUUAUCUUUGCUUUAUUUGAUUGUAUAGCAUUGUCAUUCUAAAAGAGGUGUCGAUUCAUGUUCAGUGUCUAAAACGAAAGCUUAUCAUGGAAAAGGGAUUUCUUGAUAAAGUAGAAGAUAAUGCGGCUGUGCGAGUUUGGGCUGAAACGACACAACGGGAGAAAGGCGAUAGUCUUACCGAGGGGCACGUGUCAGAAUUAUGGGAUUUCACCCGUAUCAGUGUAAUCCAGAAUGACCUUCGAGAAAUGAAAGAAGUCUGGGAUCAGUGGGAUGUCAGGACCAAGCAGCUGUUCUAUUGUAACUACGGUGACCUACCUUAUCUACUCAGUGUCAAAGUGGACAAGUAUUUAUUCCGAGCCCUUGCUCAAUUUUGGAAUCCUGCCUACAGUUGUUUCACUUUUGGGAAAGUCGAUUUGACGCCUACUGUGGAGGAGUAUACGACCUUGCUGCGGUGCCCAAAGUUUCAAGUCGAUAGAGUUUAUUCUAGAGCUGCUUGUGUCCCUUCAUUGUUAAGGAAAUUAAUGAACAUUACCGGGAUGAGCGAGCAGUGGGUCGCUGCUCGAAUCCAACAGAAGGGCGACAGUAAAUGUGUCCCUUGGAAAAGCUUACGAGAUUUGGUGCUUGUACAUCCUGACGUAAAGAAAAGGGUCGAUGUCUUCGCUUUAGGUAUCUACGGGCUAGUGGUCUUCCCCAAGGCUUUAGGGCACAUCGACGAUGCUGUAUCUGAUUUGUUUGAUCGGCUUAGUAAAGGGGUUACACCGGUUCUGGCAAUACUGGCGGAAACUUUCAGAUCCCUGAGUGCAUGUCGGAAAACAGGUGAGGGAAGGUUUAUUGGAUGCGCACAACUUUUAUUGGCAUGGUUUCAUAGUCAUUUCUGGAAAAUGGAAAAGGUCUCUUAUCGAGUGUUCUCUAACGGUUACUCCCCUCUAGAGGAAUUGGUGGCCACACCAAGACGGGAUGAUCUUUCAGAAGAAAGAUGGAGGGAGAUACUCCAGAAUCUCCAGGAUGAAGAUAUUGAAUGAAGGGCUCCUUGGUUAAUUCCUGAUGAGAUAUUGUACCGGUGUGGAGAUUUCGACUAGGUUCCUCUGCUCGGGAUGUGGGGAGCUAUCGGAUAUGCUCCCCUACUCGUAUCUAGACAGUAUAGAUCACGACAAUUCGUACCAGCAACGCUGGGGUUGGCCUAUUCUGAUUUUUCUUAUAGGGAGGACAAUUACAAGAAAAAGGUUCGAGAGGUGUCUAAUGCCUGGAACCAAACUCGCCGAAUGAGAAUUUUAGCCGUGGGUCCGACGAUGACCCCCGAGUAUAGCCAGUGGCGUGAUCAAAGGGUCAACGAUAAUAUCCCGGCGUCUAAUCCAGAAACUGCUCGAUCUUUAGAGGAACACCUACAGGUACUGCCCUCUGAGAUAGAGAUUAUCAAGCAAGAAUUUGAAAAGAGGAGUUUGGAGAUAGGAAAGAAAGUAGAGAAGUUAGAGGAAGAGAAAAUGUAGUUAGGACUAGAUUUGGACAUUCAAAGAUUAGAGGCCGACAAAUUAAGGAAAGGGAAGAACAAGGCAGAAGAAGAUUUAGACAGCCUGAAGACUGAUUACAAGAAGUUGCGCAGGUCGAUAAGAACUGUUGGCUUGGGUAAAACGUCAGAACAAUGGCGGCAGGAAAUUCAGAAGGAAAGAAUGAAAGCUAAUCAGUGGGAAAAGAAAUUUCAGGAUGCUCAAACUCGAGAGUUACUUUGGGAGAAAGUCUGCUAGUCUGCCAAAAUGAGAAGACGAAGUUGAAUGCCCGAAUAACUGAACUGGAAAGGCUACUUCACCAAUACCGUAGUCGUAAUUCUGUGAUUGAAUUAAAGGCAGGCUUGAAAAAAAUUGAAGAAUUAAAGGGACAAGUAAGAGAGCUCGAGGACGCAUUGCAAAGCAGCGAAUUCCGAAUAGAGCUUCUGGAAAGAAGUAGUGAGCAGUGGCAAGGGCGAUUCCAGCGGUCUCAAGAUCAGAUUAGAGACAGAGAUUAUGUUAUGGGUGAGGCAGUGGUUCAAGUACGCGAGGUAGCUGAUCACCUGCAAACCUUAGCGGUUCAAGCUGAUCUAUUAAGUUUAAAGUUUGAGGUGGAAUCGGACCGGGGCCGAGAAUUAGCUUGGCUCCUUAAAAAGGUUAAGGCUUUGGGCAUAAGGGCAAAGCCGUAUAUGUAAUCUAUUUUAUGUAAAGAAAUUUCUUCUCUAGUAAAGCUCUCUAAUGAAGUUGAAUUAGAAUCAGUGCCUCUUUUUUGCAUUCAUGCAUUUACAUAUCAUCAUAUGCAUUAAGUUUUAAAAAGGGAGCCUAAUUAAUUUAAAAUUAUGACAGAACUACCCUGGAAACUAACAAAAAUUCGCCAAUCGUUUAUCACUACGGUACCCGUCGCAAAACAAAAGCCAUGGAUCAAAGACUCGAAAGACUCGAACAGCUCCAAAGGGAGAUACAAGAACAAAUGCAAGAGCGGUUAGAGAAGAUUCAACAAGAUAUGAAGAACGAAAUGAUAGAGUCUCAAAAAAGCAUGAUAGCUGAAUUAACGCAAUUGUUCAAAGGGGGAAGCGACAAAGGAAAAGACCCCGUGGUUAAUACAGAAGAAGAAAAUAAUGAUAGCCCUCUCUAUCCCCCAGGUUUCACUCCUCCUCAUGCGCAAACCCAAGCUGAGGUGCAACCACGCAGAUCAUCUAUUACUAUCAGGCCUCAGCAAUUUCAAAUUGGUGCCUCAAUACCAGUAAAUUUCCAAACUGGAAUAGGUUCUCAUCUCGGAGAAGCCCCUACUAAUCCCAUAGUACCCGAUUUUGACGAAAUGAUGGGAAAAGAGAAAACAAAGGAAGAACUACCGAGUCGAUUGGAGGAAAGAUGUAAAUGGCUCGAAGAGAAAUUCAAAGCCAUGGAAAGUAGAGAGAAUUAUCAUGGGAUGGAUGCUAAAGAUCUAAGCUUGGUACCAAAUUUGGUCCUUCCUCCUAAAUUUAAGAUACCGGAGUUUGAAAAAUAUGACGGGACAAGUUGUCCUCAGGCUCAUAUCACUAUGUUUUACCGAAGAAUGACCGGGUACAUCAACAAUGAGCAACUGUUGGUUUACUAUUUUCAGGAUAGUUUGAUCGGGUCAGCAGCUAGAUGGUACAAUCAAUUGAGUCGAACCGAAAUCCACUCCUGGAAAGAUUUGGCGCAGGCCUUUAUAAAGCAGUAUAGACAUGUGAUGGAUAUAGCACCCGAUCGAAUUGUAUUGCAAAACAUGGAAAAGAAAACUAAUGAGAACUUUCGCCAGUAUGCUCGGAGAUGGAGGGAGGUAGCAGCACAAGUUCAACCACCACUUUUAGAGAAAGAGAUAACCAUGCUUUUUAUCAAUACCUUGAAAGCUCCAUUUCUCAAUCACAUGUUGGGCAGUGCCACUAAAAGCUUUCCAGACAUAGUGAUGUCUGGAGAAAUGGUAGAGAACGCCAUAAGAUGUGGCAAGAUAGAAGCAGGAGAAAGUAAUAAAAGGUCGGCUCCAAGGAAAAAGGAACAUGAGAUAAAUAAUACAAGCACGUUUAAUAAGGACCAUUCUAAAUCAAUCACGGUGGGGCAAGCCAGAGCAGUAACCGCUAAUCUGCAAAUUUUUUCGACACAGGAAUCCAAUCCAAGGCCAAAGGUAGAGAAACUUCAAUUCACACCCAUCCCAGUGACGUAUAGGGAAUUGUACCAGAACUUAUUCGAUGCACGUGUGAUAUCUCUAUUUUACCUCAAACCUAUGCAACCUCCAUACCCUAUGUGGUAUGACGCAAGCGUUCAAUGCGAGUAUCACGCGGGGACCAAGGGGCACUCAAUUGAAAACUGCACUGCAUUCAAUAAGUUAGUUGAAAGACUUAUCAAUUUGGGGAUCGUAAAGAUAGGCGACUCAUCAGGACCGAAUGUAGCAGAGAAUCCGUUGCCCAACCAUGAUAAUAAAGGGGUGAAUGCGAUAAUUGAAUAUGGAGGAAGGAGAGUCAAAGCCAACAUAGCAGAGAUAAAGACCCCCCUUGAAUGGGUUUGGAAACAAAUGAUGAAAAGAGGUCUCAUCAAGCAAGUUUCAAUAGAAAGGCCUGAAGGAACAAGGAAAUUUUGCGAGUUCCAUGCAGAAGAAAGCCAUGACAUCCAAGAUUGCACCGAGUUCAGAACCAUGAUGCAAAACUUAAUGGAUAGCAAAGAGUUGGAGUUUUAUGAAGAGAUUAAGGGAUUAGAAGGAGGAGAGGUUUAUGCUGCAGAAGAAGGAUCCACGGGGAAAGCCCAAAAGGCUAAUUACCCGGUGGUGAUUAUUGCAAAACCAAUGAGCAGAGAAUCUGGAAUACAAAUAGCACCAAAGGUCGUAAUCCAAAAACCUGUAUCCUUUCCCUACAAGGAUAGCAAAAAGGUUCCUUGGAAUUACAACUGCAAUGUAACAAUCCCAGGAGAGGAGAGCUUGAUAAAUGCUUCAGGAGAGGAUGAAGGAUUCUAUACACGAAGUGGAAAACGCUAUGAUCCGGCAAACGCAAGAGUGGAGUCUGGAAAAGGAAAAGCCUUAGCGGUUGAAUUGGGAAAAGUAAAGACAGACAAAAUCGAGCCGCGCAUCAAUCAGCUGGUAACUGAAAAUGAGGCUAGUGAAUUUCUAAAAUUUUUAAAACAUAGCGAGUACAGCGUGGUAAAGCAAUUACAUAAGCAACCGGCUCGUAUCUCGAUGCUUGAAUUGCUUCUAAGUUCAGAGAUACAUCGUAAUGCGCUGAUUAAGGUGCUAAAUGAAACUUACGUCGCUGAUGAUAUCUCAGUGAAUAAGUUGGACCGUUUGGUUAAUAAUAUCAGUGCUGACAAUUUUAUCUUCUUUAAUGAUGAUGAAAUACCACCCAGGGGAAGAGGAACCACCAAAGCCUUACAUGUUUCUACUUACUGCGGGAAACAUAUGUUGUCAAGAGUGCUAAUUGAUAAUGGAUCAGCCUUGAAUGUUUUACCCCUAUCCACCUUAAAUAGGUUACCGGUGGACAGCUCUCACAUGAAAUCAUGCCAGAACAUAGUGAGAACAUUUGAUGGUACCGAAAGAAAGGUGAUGGGAAGAAUAGAAAUACCUCUCUUGAUUGGCCCAAAUACGUACGAAGUGGAUUUCUUAGUGAUGGAUAUCAAGCCUUCGUAUAAUUGCUUACUGGGGAGACCAUGGAUUCAUUCAGUAGGGGUGGUGCCUUCAUCAUUGCACCAGAAGUUGAAAUUAGUGACAGAAGGCCGGUUAAUUACGAUUGACGCUGAGGAAGACAUCAUUGCAUCGGUAACCAGCGACGCACCAUAUUUGGGAGUAGAUGACGAUGCGGUCAAAUGUUCUUUUCGAUCCUUAGAGUUAGUAAAUGCAACUUUUGUCACUGAAGGAAAGAAAAUCCCAAUGCCCAGCAUAUCUAGAGCCACAAGGAUGGGACUACAAAUGACAGUUGGGAAAGGAGCUGUGCCUGGAAGAGGACUGGGAAGAUGCCUUCAAGGAAAGAUUGAGGCACCAGUGGUGAAAGACAAACAGGACCAUUUUGGUUUAGGAUUUAAACCAAAUGCCAAGCAGAGAAAGAAAGAGUUAGAGAAAAGACAAGACAGGAGGAAAGCGCGUUUGAACGGAAAAGAAGUUGAUUGGGAACCUAUGGCUUUCCCCCACAUAUCCAGGACAUUCAUAUCAGGAGGAACCAUGUAUUCUGGACUGAGGACUCCAAGAAAGAAGACCGCAGAGGAAAUGUUAGGAAACUUAAGCAUCAAUGCCAUAUUUGAAGAAGAAUCUGAAGAGGGAAGUACAUCAGGCAUCUAUCCCGUUGAACCUGGGAGUGUUGUAAACAAUUGGACUGCAGAAGAAAUGCCUGAAGUUUUUAGAGCUUUUCCAGAGUAAUAUUCAAAACAUAUUAAUUGUUCUAAGCCUAGAGAAAAUAAAAACUUUUGUGAACUAAAAUAGGCUUAUAUGUGGACAUUGUGAUUUCAAUGAAAUAUAUCUUCGCAUUUUGAGUAUAUAUAUUCUUUUAAAACUCUUUCCAUUCUUUCAUACGAAUAGUCAUCCCGAAUGCUUUUAUUCUGAAUCAUUCUUUUAUUCAUGGUCAUACUAAAUAAGAAUCCUUAAAUUCAUACGUUCCCUGUACAUUCUUUGAUACCUAUAACAGGUCCCAAGAUAUCAAUGAUAUGAGUGACUCUACUAUGGACUUAGAAAAUCCUUUUGAACGAGAUAUGUGUUUAGAGGAAUCUCAAGAUUUUGAAGAUAACACGGAUUACAACCUACCUCCGGACUUGUUGAGGAUGGUAGAGCAGGAAGAGAAACAGGUUCUUCCUCACGAGGAGACGAUAGAGACAGUGAUCCUGGAGGAGGGAAAGAUGGUAAAGAUUGGCACGUGCAUAGCUGAUGAAGUGAAAUGAAACCUCGUUAAAUUGCUUCGAGAGUUCAAAGAUGUCUUCGCAUGGUCAUACCAAGAUAUGCCGGGGUUAAGUACUGACAUCGUAGUUCACCGACUUCCUAUAAAGGAAGAUUACAAACCAGUUCGGCAAAAGCUCCGAAGGAUGAGGCCUGAUGUUGUGUUAAAAAUAAAAGAGGAGGUACAAAAACAAUUCGACGCUGGAUUCCUGCAGGUGGUCAAAUACUCCGAGUGGGUAGCCAAUAUCGUUCCUGUCCCUAAAAAAGAUGGGAAGGUCCGAAUGUGUGUAGAUUAUAGAAAUUUAAAUAAGGCCAGCCCCAAAGAUAACUUUCCCUUGCCGCACAUCGAUGCCUUGGUGGACAACACAGCAGGACAUUCGCUGUUUUCUUUCGUGGAUGGUUUCUCUGGAUAUAACCAAAUUAAGAUGCAUCCUGAGGAUAUGAAGAAAACUACAUUCAUAACCCUAUGGGGAACCUUUUGUUAUAAGGUGAUGCCAUUUGGGUUGAAAAACGCAGGGGCAACGUAUCAGAGGGCCAUGGUAACAUUGUUCCAUGAUAUGAUGCAUAAUGAGUUAGAGGUCUAUGUUGAUGACAUGAUUGCAAAAUCUAAAACAGAAGAGGACCACGUGCAGGUCCUUAAGAAAUUAUUUAUGAGGUUGAGAAAAUUUCAGCUAAAGCUAAAUCCAGUAAAAUGCACAUUUGGGGUCAGAUCAGGAAAAUUGCUUGGGUUCAUGGUCAGUGAGAAAGGAAUUGAGAUUGAUCCUGACAAAGUAAGAGCAAUACAAGAAUUACCCCCGCCGCGUACUCAAAAGGAGGUUCGAGGUUUUCUAGGAAGGCUGAACUAUAUUGCUCGGUUCAUCUCACAGCUAACUGAGAAAUGCGACCCCAUUUUUUGCCUCCUCAAGAAACAUAAUCCUGGUGUAUGGGAUGAGGAAUGUCAAAAAACUUUUGAAAAAGUCAAACAUUACUUAUCCAACGCCCCAGUGCUGAUGCCACCCUGCCCAGACAAACCACUCAUACUGUAUUUGGCAGUAUUUGGAAAUUCCAUGGGAUGCGUGCUUGGUCAACAUGAUGAAUCAGGACGAAAGGAAAGAGCAAUCUACUAUCUCAGUAAGAAGUUCACUGAAUGCAAAACAAGAUAUUCGCCAAUCGAGAAAUUAUGUUGUGCCCUAAUCUGGACCACUCGGAGACUGAGACAGUACAUGUUGUACCAUACGACCUGGUUAAUCUCCAAAUUAGACCCUUUGAAAUACUUAAUGGAGUCAACCGCUCUGAAUGGAAGAAUGGCCCGAUGGCAAAUUCUUCUAUCUGAAUUUGACAUAGUCUAUGUAAACCAGAAAGCGGUCAAAGGAAGUGCAAUAGCGGAAUUCCUAGCAAGUAGGGCUCUGGAUGAUUAUGAGCCAUUGAACUUCGAUUUCCCAAAUGAAGAUUUGAUGUAUAUCGCAACUGUAGAGAAAGAUUUCUAAGAAGGUGGUUCUUGGAAGUUGAGUUUUGACGGAGCUUAAAAUGCUAUAGGCAACGGAAUUGGGGCAGUACUCGUGUCUCCCAGUGGAGACUAUUAUCCUUUCACUAGCAAAUUAGACUUCGACUGCACAAAUAAUAUGGCUGAGUAUGAAGCUUGCAUUAUGGGCAUCCGGGCAGCCAUAGAGCGGAAAAUUAAGGUGCUAGAAGUAUACAGGGACUCUGCAUUAGUAAUUUAUCAGCUCAAAGGGGAAUGGGAAACAAGAGACCCGAAGUUGGUCCGCUAUCGAAAAUUGGCUAUGGAAUUGAUUGAGGAAUUUGAUAGUGUCACCUUUAGUUACCUCCCGCGAGAUGAAAACCAGAUGGCAGAUGUUUUGGCCACUUUAGCCUCCAUGUUUAAAGUGAACAAAUUAGAAGAUAUGAAGCCUAUCUAGAUCAGCAUCUACGAGGCUCCAGCUCAUUGUUGCAACAUUGACAGUGAAGAGGGAAAGGAUGAUCACCCUUGGUACCAUGACAUAUUGCAAUAUGUGAAGAGUCGUGAAUACCCUGACCAUGCGACAGAAAAUGAUAAGAAGACAUUAAGGAGAUUAGCCAUUGACUAUGUCCUAGAUGGGGAAAUUUUGUAUAAAAAGGGAAAAGAUCAAGUAUUGUUGAGGUGUGUGGAUGCUGUCGAGGCAAAAGAAAUUUUGGAAGAAGUGCAUGAAGGUAUCUGUGGAAUGCAUGCCAACGGCUUCACGAUGGCCAGACAAAUUAUGAGAUUUGGGUACUAUUGGUCCACCAUGGAAGGGGAUUGCAUUAAUUAUGCCAAAAGGUGCUAUAAGUGUCAAAUCUACAGUAACAAAAUGCACGCACCACCUUCACCCCUUCAUGUUAUGGUUUCUCCAUGGCCUUUCUCCAUGUGGGGAAUGGACGUUAUCGGGCCAAUAUCUCCAAAAGCUUCUAAUGGGCAUCGUUUUAUCUUUGUGGUUAUUGAUUACUUCACUAAAUGGGUGGAGGCUGCUUCAUAUGCAAAUAUCACGAAGUCGGCAGUUAGCAAGUUUCUGAAAAAGGAGAUCAUAUGUCGAUACGGGAUGCCUGAAAGGAUCAUAUCCGAUAAUGCGAUGAACUUAAACAACAACUUAAUAGCGGAAGUUUGUAGUCAGUUCAAGAUCAGACACCACAAUUCGUCACCGUAUCGUCCAAAAAUGAAUGGUGCCGUGGAAGCAGCUAACAAAAACAUCAAGAAAAUUGUAGGAAAAAUGACUGAAACCUACAAAGACUAGCACGAGAAAUUAUCUUUUGCUCUCCUGGCAUAUCGCACUUCCGUUAGAACCUCUAUUGGGGCAACACCGUUUUCUUUAGUCUAUGGGAUGGAAGCAGUUUUACCCAUAGAAGUUGAAAUUCCUUCCCUCCGAGUAUUAGCUGAACUAAAGUUGGAUGAGGCUGAAUGGAUUCAAUCUCGAUAUGACCAGCUAAACUUGGUAGAAGAAAAGAGGUUAAAAGCUAUUCGUCAUGGUCAGAUGUAUCAGAAACGAAUGACGCGAGCCUAUAACAAAAAAGUUCGUCCCAGAGAAUUUUACGAGGGGGACUUGGUUUUGAAAAAGAUUCUUCCUCUACAAAAGGAUUUUAGAGGAAAAUGGAUGCCAAAUUGGGAAGGUCUUUAUGUGGUAAAAAAGGCCUUUUCAGGAGGAGCUUUGAUCUUGAGCGAGAUGGAUGGUAAAAGCUUGCCAAAUCCUGUGAACUCAGAUUCAGUCAAGAAAUACUUCACCUGAAGGAGGAGGACCAAAGUGAAAACCCGUAAAGGGAAUUCAAAAAAAAAAAAGGGAGAGGCCAAGGUGAAAACCCGUAAAGGGCGCAUUGAGACCAAAGGGGAUUUGAGUUGAAAACCUGAAAAGGCGGCUCAAAUUUUGAAGAAGCGUGAGGUGAACGAAACAGCUCAAAUUUUGAUCAGGAUCUGAGGCAUGUGGUGGUCUUACUAUACCUGAAUCACAAGAAGGAAUAGGUGACAUCUUGGGGUAUCGACAGAAUACUGUAGAUUCCCUAAACACAUAUUAAAUGGUCUUUAGAAAACUUAUGCAGAGAAGCUCGUGCUGCGAUAUCUGGGGCACCUGUCGUUAUCUUAUAUUUUGAAUCUUGGCAAAAUUUGUUGUCUUGAUUAAUGUAUUCAUUUCAAGCUUUGCUCCCCAGUAAAAUUUCAUUUUGUCUAUUGUCUUAUUUCAUUUUUAUCUUGGCAAAAUUUGCUAUCUUGAUUAACUCAUUCAUUUCGAGAUUUGUUCUCAAUAACAUUUGUUUGAUCGUUGUGGUAAUCUUUUCGAAAAACAUUUAGAAUAACUAUUAAUGAACUGAAUGUUCAAGCAAAUUGAGUUUUGCAUAUUACUCUAGAAAUUUCUAAAUAAUGAAGGAACCUGAAACAGGACUGUUGUUUAGAGCACACUAAAUUCAAAGUGUCUAAAAGGGAAAAGUCCAAGUCAGGACUAUCUUUUCAAAUUUUGUUCUCCAAACAUUGAACAAAAUGACAAGAUGUCGUGUUAGUGGCAAAGCUUCAAUGAACAAACAAGUGAUGUUCACCAAGCAAUAAGAAAAUGUCUUCUGGGAGAAGAAAACUCUUCAUUGUGCAUGAGCAUUUGGUAUGACACCUUGGGAAUGGGGUAAAGGACCAAAGAGCUUCACAUUCUGUAUCAUUGAAUUGUGAUAGCAGAGGAUCGAGAAAAGGCCAGAUCUUCCUACCUUUGGGUUACAGCGGGAGAAAGAUGGUUCAAAUUUUGCAUCCAGUGGAUUGAACCUGGAGGUUUACAGUGGGGGGCAGUCUGGUUAAAUUUUUCUUUGGAUUUGCCAGUCGAGCAAGAAGGCGUUGUAGCACGUCAACGAUAAACCUUAAUAAGCUUUUGCGUGAUGAUAACCUAAGCAUCAAGAAAUCACUUUCAUAACAUUUCGACAUUCAUUCAAAUGUCAUUCAUACACGUCUAGUUAGGACCAUUUGAUUCAUUCUGGUCAUCCUAAUUACUAGACAUAAAUAGGUCCAUCAAAUGGAUUAUACAGGUCAUGUUCCCCAGAGAACAGAUCAAUGAAGAUAGCAGAUCUUGCCUUCCUGUAUUGACAGCGAAGCAGAUCGAAUAAACCAUAGUUUGCAAUUUAAAAGAUCAAAGCCACAACGGCGAAUCUUACUUCCAGGCGAUGCAGUGGAACAGAUUGAAGCUACAACAGCGAAUCUCACUUCCCCGACAUUGCAAUUUAAAAGAUCGAAGCCACAACGGCGAAUCUUACUUCCAGGCGAUGCAGUGGAACAGAUUGAAGCUACAACAGCGAAUCUCACUUCCCCGACAUUGCAAUUUAAAAGAUUGAAGCCACAACGGCGAAUCUUACUUCCAGGCGAUGCAGCGGAGCAGAUUGAAGCUACAACAGCGAAUCUCAUUUCCCCGACAUUGCAAUUUAAAAGAUCGAAGCCACAACAGUGAAUCUUACUUCUGGCAAUGCAGUGGAACAGAUUGAAGCUACAACGGUGAAUCUCACUUCCCCGACAUUGCAAUUUAAAAGAUCGAAGCCACAACGGCGAAUCUUACUUCCAGGCGAUGCAGCGGAGCAGAUUGAAGCUACAACAGCGAAUCUUAUUUCCCCGACAUUGUAAUUUAAAAGAUCGAAGCCACAACAGUGAAUCUUACUUCUGGCAAUGCAGUGGAACAGAUUGAAGCUACAACAGCGAAUCUCACUUCUCCGACAUUGCAAUUUAAAAGAUCGAAGCCACAACGGCGAAUCUUAUUUCCUCGGCAAGACUGGGCAAAAAUUGGUCUUUCUUAGUCUUUGCUCUGUUAUCGUUACACGACAACGAGCAAAGAGGGGCAGCUGUACAGCCCAAUUAUUGCCCGGGCCCAAUUAACAGAGCCCAAACACCAACCCACAAGCCCAAUUACAACCUAAACCCGAGGCCCAAAUUCGGAGCCCAAUUCCCCCCAAAAAUCCAACUAGGGUUUCAAAAAAAUGAAACCCUAGCCAAACCUAGCGCCGCACCCAUCCCUCUGUCGUUUGCCUUGUCCCAUCGCCACCCACCGUGCCUAGCUUCAUCAACACCUGCAAAAUGGCAGAAAAAGCCAGAGCACGCAACAGAUAGUGCAAAGCAAUAGAAUACAACCAAAAAAUACAAUGUAAAUUGGCUAUAAAAGCCAAACAAUAUCUCUGUACAUUUUUUAGAGACAACAUUUUGAAUUCAAGAAAAAGAAAAAGCAAAUCAAAAAAGGUUGACUCCAGUUAUUUCUACUCUGUUCUCGUGUUCUUAUUCAUUUUAUUUCUUUUAUUUUUGUUUAUUUUUCUGCAAUCGUUUAAUAAAUAAAGCGGGACUAAAAGGGAAAGGGGAAGAUACCUUACUGCUUCGGUGGGCUGGUGUCGGAACUCCGCCUUUGCCGUCGUCGGAGCCGAGCAAAAAGGGGCGUUUCAUCCCUUUUCCUUUUGGUCUCGCGGUUGAGAAGGCAUAGCCUUCGGGGACGCAGCAAAAGGGGGAGGCCUAGGGGCCGUUCUCGCGCAGCUCCGGCCACUGGCCAUGGAGGCGGAGAUGGUGGCCUGAGCUUUAAGGCCGAGAGGGGCGCAGAGAGGAGAGCAUUCGAGCUCUCUGUUCUCUUUUCCUGUUUCUUUUUUUUUUUAUUUUUUUUAUUUUUUCUCUUUUCAUUAGAAAAUGAAAUGGAGGCUACCAGAUUAGGGUUCUUUUUGGCCCUUACAUGAUGUGUGAAACGACGCCGUUUGGAGUCUGAUCAGUGGCUCCAAAACGGCGUCGUAUUGAGCUCUGACCCGCGCGGUGACCCGACCCAGGGGAAGGAUCCGCGUGUUUUUUUCUUUAAAUGGGAUAUUUGUGCGCGUAGUCCCUCCGACUUUGUAGCGCGUUGCAAUUUGGUCCUGUUUCGCUAUUUCCUAUUUUUCAAUUUCGCCCCAGAAUUCUGUUUUUGUUCUAUUUUGACCCUCUGCUGCACUGCGUUUUGGGGCUUCGGGGUAUUUAUGAUUUUGGUCCCCCCCUUUUUCGCGCAUAUUACAUUUUGAUCCUUUAUUCCGUUUUAUUUUUUAUUUCAGCCCUGAGAUUUCGUUCCCGUUUUGAAUUAGUCCUAUUAUUAUUAUUAUUAUUAUUAUUACUACUACUAUUAUUAUUAUUACCUAUUUAUUUAUAUUAAUUUUAUUUAAACUUCUGGUACAUAUAUAUAUUUAUAUAUUUUACAACUUAUGUACCUAUCUAUAUAUCUAUAUACAUAUUUUCAUUUUCAUAAAUACAUACAUAUUUAUAUAUAAUCUUUAUAGUCUAAAAUACACCUUUUUUUAUAUUUUUUUAAAUCCGCAUAUACAUACACAUUUUCAAUAUAUUUUUAGUAUGUAUAUAAAUUAACGUAUUUAUUUGUAUACAUAUGUAUAUUUUCAUUAGUUUUAAACUUUAGUUUGUACAUAUAUACUUUUUCUUUUAUUUUACAAUAUAUAUAUACACUUACUUUUUAUAUGUAUUUCUUUAUCUUCGUAUUCCAUAGUUUUAUACACCUAUAUAUGUACAUAUUUUUUUAUACAUACGCGUAUUUAUUUAUUUUAUAUAAAAUAUACUUUAUAUAUUUUGUUAAUUCAUGUAUACACAUAUUUUAGUUCAUGUCUAUAUAUAUCUUUUUAUACUUAAUUGUAUUUGCUAUUUAUUUAUUUCAUUUUGUUAUUAUUUUGAAUGAAUGAUUUAACUUUAUUCGUUUUUUUUAUUUUGUUAUUUUGUAUGUUGUAAGUUUGAUCGUUCAUAUUGAUUGCUAUAGCUUGCAUCGUUUUUAUAUUUUCAUGUUCAUUAUGAUUUUGCCAUGCAUAAAUAAUGUAAUUUGCUUUCACUAUAAUUUUGUGCUUUAUUUUUACUCGAUAUAACAAAAUUUAUUUUUUUAAAAAUGGCAUUUCGUGUUUGGAUUCGAGAAAAUCGUGCCCUAACUUACUGGGUUUCGAUUUUCUCGAUAAAUCUAAAUGUACGAAUCUUUCUAAACUCAAAUUUUAGAUGACCUCGGGAUUGAAAAAAUCACGUUCUAACUUACUGGUCGUGAUCUCAUUUUUAAAUCCGAGAUGGCUAAAAUAUCUUUUAAAUAAGCAUUUUUCAUUCGCGUAUCGAGAAUUUGAGAUAUUGUAUUCUAACUUACUGGAUAUGAUUCUCUUCCUCGAUUAACGUGAAAUAUAUUUCUUUUUCCAAAAAUUUUCAUUUUAAUACAAGGAUCGUAUUUUUAAUUCUUUCAAGUUCUCAAUUUUCGACAUCGAGACAUUAGAUAAUCAACUAGGUACCAAUUUCUGGGCGUUACGAGGGUGCUAAUCCUUCCUCGUACGUAACCGACUCUCGAACCCAUUUUCUAAAUUUCGUAGACCAAAACCGUUGUUUUAAUAAAAUCAAAUUAUUUAUUAAAAACAACCUUUUUCCAAGGUGACCCAAUCACACCUCAAAAAGGAUUGGUGGCGACUCCCUUUUUCAUUUUCAAAACCCAAGUCGACCCCGUUUUUCAAUCAAAAAAAAUGGUGUCAACAAUACCCAUAGGUGAAAUGUAUUUAUUUUGAUGUUUUAUGGUAGAAUAUGAAGCUAGAAAUUAUGAUAAACAACUUUUGCUAGGUGAUUUUAAUUGAAAACGAGUAAAUUGACAUAAUCGGUAAAAAUACCUAAUGUUCAUAAGUACAUGUUAGAGUGAGAAUUUGAUGUUGUCAUAGAAGGGAAAAAUGUUCAGCAUGUUAUAAAACAUAAGAAUAAGAGAUGAAGUUUAAUUUUCGAGCCUUGGGGCAAAAAUGUAAUUAUGCAAAAGUUUAGGGGCAAAAUCAUAAUUUUGACAAAGUUAGACUCGAGGGCUGUUUUGAUAAAUGUGAGUAUUAAAUGAGUUAAAUUUUCUAAUUUAGAUCAAGAAGAACGGAACUCGAGGUUAGACAAAGGGAAGAAUAAAGUUGAAGGCUAAGUUGGUGAAUUUGGCUAUAAUUGGUAUCGAGGUAAGUUUACAGUAAAUAAAUGCAAUAUUUCAAUAAUUAUUAUUAAUGCUGCUAUUUUCCAGCAACUAUGAAUUUAUUUCAUGAAUUUAUUUGAUGAUGAUCCGAGCAUGAAAUGAUAAAGAAUUAAUAUUAAAAAGUCCCGUUGAUACAUAAGGAUGGUACUGGAUACGAAUGUCAUGACAUUUGGGUAAAGAGGUCCCAUGUAAGACCAUGUCUGGGACAUGGCAUUGGCACUGAGAUGAGAGGUCUCAUGUAAGACCAUGUUUGAGACAUGGCAUUGGCACCGAGACCAUGUCUGAGACAUGGCAUUGGCAUCGAGAUGAGAGGUCCCAUGUAAGACCAUGUCUGGGACAUGGCAUUGGCACUGAGAUGAGAGGUCCCCCGUAAGACCAUCUCUGGGACAUGGCAUGGGCACCGACAUGAGUACAUCCCAUGUAAGACCAUGUUUGGGAUAUGGCUUUGGCAUGUUAUUAUCAGAAGAGACCCGAGUAUCCUUAUUAUUCCAAUGUAGCUCAACGGGUUAGUAAACAACUCAUGUUCAUGAAAGUUCAGUUAUAAGCAUAAGUGGCAAGCUCAGGUAAGUUAUAAGAGUUAAGAACUUAUGAUAUUAUCAAUUAAUACUCAACGUUUCAGCAAGGGAAGAGUAAGUUAUAAUCACAAGGUAACUAAGUAGACAAGCAAGAGAAUGAGAAUGAGAUUAAUUAAAGAGUAAAUUAGAGAUCUUGACAUUUGAGUAUAAUCAUUUGUGUUAAAUGUUGUUAUUUAUUUGCUAGUAAACUUACUAAGCUUAAUGCUUACUUCUUUUAUUUUUCUUUCUCUUAUAGUAUUGCCAAGCUACUUCAAGGAUCCUAAAGAAGUCGGAGAUCGUCCACACUAUCAACCACAACUGCUCGGUAUUUUAUGAUGAAACACGUUUGAGUUAUGGCAUGUAUAGGGAUUUAGUUAUUUUGUAUGUUUGUAAUUAUGAUUUUGCUAUAGAAUGAUGCAUAAGUAUUUGAUGAUGAAUGGUUGUUUAAAUGGCCAAGGAGGAAGAUGUUUGUUGUUAUAAAAGUCUAGGUGAUAAAUUAUGCAUGGAAAUUAUGAAAGGGUAAAAUUUUGCAAAGAAACAGAAUUCAGGCAGCAACAGUGACGUGAAUUUGAAAAAUCACCUAGGAUGGUAUAAAAUGAAUUAGAGGGUGAAUGAUAUAUGGAGUUAAAGCUUGUUGAGUCUAUUUUCAAAUAAAAAUAACGGUUUAACAAAAUUAAUUUUAUAUUUUGAUAUAUGUGUAUUUUAGUGAGAAAGGGUCAGAUCUAUUUUUUUGACUCCCCUGUUAAGAGUUUAGAAAAUCAUUAAAAAUUGUAAAAAAAUGGUUAAGAGUUAUAGUUUAUAUGUAUAGAUUCCUUAUUGAGUCUAUUUUAUGUAGAAACAAGUAAGGACUUUAUAUGAAAAUCCUACAGUGAGAAAAAUUAUUUUUAGUGGCAAGAGGUCAGAACAGUCAGGUGGUGAAACAGGGGAGACUUUAACUAAUAAACUGUACUAAUUGGCUGAACCAAAAAUUCUAAAAAUUUUAUGGUAAGUAGAAAUGUGAGUCUAGUUUCAGGUAAAAUUUACAUAAUUAAAUUUUGAGUUUUUUAGCUCGAGUUAUACUUAAUUUAGUAACUGCUGCGCGAUUGGACAGAUUUGCUGUAAAUAGUGAAAUAAAUUUUCAAACCAAGUUUUUAUGCUCCGAAUUAGAAAGAUAAGCUAAGUAAUGCCUCGUGCUCGAUUCCGGCAACGGUCUUGGGUAACGGGUCUUACAAUGUCGCACUUGCAUCACCAGACACGGUGGUGCCGGUGGCUGCGACAGCGGCGUCUCAGUGGGCGAUGGCGAGUGGUUGUCGGUAGUUGAGCAGUGGAAGAGUUACACUCCUAUUGGGACUCUACCAGAGAAUUUAAUUUCAGAUUAACUAUUUUAAAAAUAAAAUUAUUUUAAUAGUUUAAUAUUUAAUUUAAUUUAAUACCUAUCUUAAUAGUAAUUUUUUUAAUUUAAUAUUAAAGUGAUUAAGUUUAAUCAUAGUUGAACUCUCUAAACUCUUCCUAUAUAAAGAGAGCCAUGGGUUAUUAUUUUCACAUACUUGAAUUUAAGGGAAAGUUGUAGAGAGAAAAUUCUCUGAAGAUAUUAUUCUAGAAAAUUUGUAGAGAGAAAUUUAUUUUUCGCUGCAUUUUCUAAACUCGUUUUUCCAACAUAACACUAAUAUAAGCAAUGUGCUUAUGAAAGAGCUUGGGUGGUAAACCUUUUGUGAGCGGAUCCUCUAUUAUAGAGUUUGUCUCAAUGCGUUCUAUGGAUAUUUGUCCACUUUGCACUCUCUCUUUCACAACUUAGAAAUUUAUGUCAAUUGACUUAGUUGAGCUCCUGUUGUUGUUGGAAUAUAGCACCCCUAACUUAUUGUCACAAAAUAAUUUGAGUGGUGUUUCUACAUUCUCCAAAAUGCACAGCUUAGUGACAAAGUUUUGCAACCAUAUUCCAUGGUUUGAUACCUCAUAACAUUCUACAAUUUGCUACCAUAAUGGAAGAAGCUACAAGUGUCUAUUUGACAUUUUUCCAAUAUAUAGCUCCUCCAGCUAACAGGUAAAUAUAGUCUGAUAUAGAUUUCUUGCUAUCUUAACACCCAACAAAAUUAGAACCAAAAUACCCUACGACCUCCAAAUGAUUUGAUCUCUUGUAAGUGAGCAUGUAAUCUUUUAUUCUCUAAAGAUACCUCAUAACCCUCUUGGUUGUUAUCCAAUGGUCCAUACCAAGGUUGCUUAAAUGUCUACCUAACAUCCUAACAAUGUACACAAUAUCUAGACGCGUACAUACUUGAGCAUACAUUAAACUCCCAACAACUAAUGCAUAGGGCAUCUUUUGCAUUUCCUUAAUUUCAAGGUUACUUUGUCUCUUUUAGCAACAUUGGUGUCAUUUGGUCUACAACCGUACAUGUCAAACCUUUUGAGUACUUUAUCAAUAUAGAUCUUUUGUGACAAUCCAAAAAUAGCACAAGAUCCGUCUCAAUGUAUUUGAAUUCUUAAAAUAAAAGAGGCGUCCCAGUAUCUUUCAUCUCAAAAUGCUUAGAUAAAAAACCUUUUGGUUCCAUGCAAUAAGCCUAUAUCAUUAGUGGCAAGCAAAAUGUCAUCGACAUAUAGAACCAGAAAUAUAUAAAUAUAUACUUACUCCCACUGAAUUUGUUAUACACAUAAUCAUCAACAAUAUUCAUUUCAAAACCAAACAAGACAAUUACUUGAUUAAACUUGUGGUACCCUUGACGGGAAGCUUGUUUGAGUCCAUAGAUGGAUUUUGUUAAUUUGCAAACCAUAUUCUUUGGGUCUCUCAACUCAAAGUUUUCUGGUUGCACCGUAUAAAUUGUUUCUUCAAUGUCGUCAUUGAGAAACGUAGUCUUAACAUAUAUCUGAUGUAAUUAUUUGUACUUCUGAAAUCUUCCCCCUACCACUAUUAAGCAUUCAUGUUUAAUUCUUACCUUUACUACCCUUCUUUCUUUCCCUUUUUAUACUUUUGAGAUACCUAUCACCCAUUCUGCAUUUAUCUGCCAACCUGAACUUAUCCACAAUACAUAAACUAUUUAUAACAUAAAGGACUAAGCCAGACAAAAGUAUCAUGCAUAUGGGGGCUAUUUCUCAAUUUUCAAUGUCUAUAGGACCAACUAAACUGUACUCUGAUACCACUAAAUUGAAACCCCUUACCUAACCAGUUCGCCGGGUCCAGUACUAGAUGUCACAAUUAAACCCAUCCAAUAUACACUACAAUAAACUUAACUAGCCAAGUUUUAUUUGAUAGAUAAAUAAAUUUUUUUUACUAUAUAAACACAUCAAAUAAAGAAACAUUUACAAAUACUUCAAUGUAAUUAUCUAUUAAAAAUAAUCCAAUAGUCACCAUAUGAGUUGUUGCUUAAUUGCUCACUAUAAAGAUUUACUUCAACUUUACUAUAUAACAAUUUAAUUAUACAUGACAUAUAUCAACUCAAGUUCUAUUAAUAUUUCAAACCCUCAAGCAGAACCUAUAAGGAUGCCCCCUAUAUGCACGACACCAUAACCUGCAUAUCCUCUUAGACUCCACAAGGUCCGACUUGGUCUCUUCCAUGCUUUCUAUGCAUUCCUUGGUCUUGCAUCCAAGGCAGGUGAUAACACUCUAGAAUAAUAUAUUUUUAUGUAUUAAUUAUGUAUUUAUUCUGAGUAUGAUCCUGCUAAUUUGAGCUAUUUAUGAUCUUUUAUCUCAUAGGGACUAAAUUUGAGGCAAAAGUGAAAUUAAGGGCCAAAAGCGUGAAUUUAGAGAUAAAAUUGGUCAAUGUGCGACACAAGGAAAAGUUGAUGCCAAAAGUGCAAGCAUGGAGGACACAAGGGUUGAAAUGCAAAAAGAAGAGAUUUUAUUCUAUUAAACUCUAUUAAUUAUAUUAGGAUAAUUAAUGUUGAGAUAAUUAUUAAAGAUUAUUUUUAGGAUUUUAUUUUAUCUUUAUUUAUCUUCAAUUAAAUGUAUUUUUCUUUUAGGAAUUUAAGUAGGAUUAGAAUAUCUCCCCUAGCACUAUAAAUAGGGGGUAAAGUGACUCAAAAGGGGAUUCAUCUUUUCUUCUUCUGUAAACACUCUGUCCCCAAAAGUCUAGGCUUUUGUUCUUUUCAUAUUUCCUUUCAAUAAAAUCUUUAUUUUUAUUUUAUUUAUUUUCUUUUCUACCACAACCAUGAGCCACUAAACCCAUCUAGCUGAAGGUUGUCAAAAAUCCCCAAAAGGGUUCAUGAGGCUUAGAAUCCGUACUUAGCCUCCUCGCUGAGUAUUCAUCGUUUCUCCGCACUACGGGGCUGACGCUUCCGUCCAAGUCCCUUAAGAAGUAAGUUUUUCAACGUACGCAAAGGCGGCCGCUUUGUAUGUUUUGGGAAGGUUGCACAGUCGGUUCGUUAGCUUACUGCGUCAGAGGUUGGCGAGCCCAAGAGACAAAAUGGCGUGGGAUUCGCCAUUGAGAAGCGUUGAUUUAGCAUAAGACGAUCCCAUAGAAGCGAUUGUUGGCUAGAGUCAGGUUCCACUAAAUUGUAAGUCUAAAUCCUUGGAGCUGGUGGUCGUAGGCGUCCUCUUCCACUAUAAUUGGCUUAUUAGGUUUGGGAAGGAUCAUUUAAAAGCCGAGGAUUGAACCCAAGGCGGAACGAGACAACUGGAGGCUGGAAUCUCCCAUAAGAAUUUUCUUUCUCUUAACUCUAUUUUUAAUUUCUCAAAUUUUCAAUUCAAUAUUCUUAAUUCUGUUUUUAUUUUAUUUUUCGUUUCUAAAUCCCAUAAUUUAAUUCUUCUAUUAUUUUUCUUUUUUUUAGGAACGCAGGUUGUCUUGGGCAAGACUCUGCUUGGGAUUUCACGGAACAAGAUAUUUUGCGAGUCCAGUCCCUGAGGAUUUGACCCUACUUCCAUUUUACUAUUAUUUUUCAUUAUUUAUUAGGGAUAGGAUAUUUUUGGUGCUUUCAACGACCGCAUCAGCAGGCCACUUAUAAGUUCAUGCGAACUUAGUGAGGUUCCAUAUGUUCAUCACUACAUAAAAGAAUCAAUAAAAAGAAUUCAUGUAUAUAAUUAAAACUCUCUAUUUUUCAUUUAGACUUUAGCAUCUGCUGUUGUGUUUGAUGUUUAUAUGUUUUCCCUUUACAACUUCUAACAGACACUUUACAACAAUACAACUUCUUAAUAGAUACUCCUUAGCGACUCAUACCAUAGUCUCAAGCUUCAUCUCAGAUUUUCCAUUCUUCUUGCUUGAUAUUCUAUUGGACAUUUCAUCUUUUGGAUGGAUGUUUAUAUAUUUACCCACCUAGAUAACUUGACGAAUUAUUAUAUAUUACAUUGAGAGUGCAAAUUUUUUUCAUCAUCUUUACCUUCAUGAAGAUCUUGAUGUAGGUAUACGAUCUUGUUAUCUUUUCACUUGUUUAUUGCCCCUUUGGAAAAUUUAGUGCAGUUGAAAAAUCCCAUGAAUGCUUGACCUUAUCAGUAGGCAGUUUAAGCCUAAAAUCUGGUAGACCAUCGAUAAUAAACCCCUUUUAUAGAUAGUCAUAUGAGAUAGUCCUUAUGGCAUUACAAUUCCGAGAUAAUCCUAGCAAACUUCAUUUUACUUCAAUAAUACACGACAGAGUUUUAGAACAGAUAGUCCUUAUGGACAUCCCACAAGAUAAUCCAUGGUGGACUUCUUUUUACUUUGAUAAUACACGACAGACUUCUAGAACAAAUAGUCCCUAUAACCGUCCCACAAGAUAGUCCAUGGCAGACUUUCCAGAUAUGAUAAUCUUGACAAAUAUUCCAAACUACUAGAUAGUCCAUCUGGACCUUUCCACCUAAACUAGGUUCUGAUAGAACUUUAAUUCAUUUAGUAGUUCUCGUGAACAGUCCUGUCUUUUGGCAAAUCUUUGACUAACUUUACCAAAUAAGAUAGUCCCCAACUAACCUUCCAUUUAAGAUAGUCCUUUUUGGUGAACCCUGAAUGGUGGAUACCUAGUUACAAAUACUCUAUAAAGAAAAACCCUCCUCCAUACAUAUCCACGUAUGCAACACUUUCAUAUAUCUUUCUUACCUUCAUAACUUGGCGAAGCCUUAUCUCAGCAAUUUCACCAAUGCUUCUAUAUUUGACAUAAUUAUCCUAACUAAUUUCCUUGUUCGUUGUCCUGAUGGACUUUAUAAUCACGCGAAUCAUUUCAUAGUUCUCCUGUAUAUGUCAUGUUUUCUAUCCUAGCGGACUUUAUAUGUUGUCACAGCCCAGCUAUGGUUUUACACUAUAUGAUGCCAUAAUUUAGCAAUGGUCUUACACUAUUACAGGCUUAAAGCCUCCGAUCGAUGCCAUGGCCUUACACAUCAUUAUUGUUGUCACCCAUCCAUUCCCCCUCAAAUCCUCCUUGUUAAUUCGAACACCUAAAUAUUCACUUACAAGGCCAGGAAAUCACCUAUUUCAGUUGCAACACAUGCCAAAACGAAUUACGAAAAAACUAACAAAAAUUCUAUUUCCUAAUCCAUUCGUUCAUUCCUCCACAAUGACAAUUCCUACUCCAACUAACCCGGCAAUCAAUUUGCUCCGUACUCCAUAAUUCAUGAACACACAUAACACACAACAAUACAUUCAAAAUAUAAUAUGGAAUACACCACACCCAUUUCACAGAUACAACACAUAACAUAUUCUUAGAAAACAUAUUUUCAUCCUUCAUGUAGUCAAAAAACUAACACAUACAUAACACAUCCAAUCAACAGAAAUCCUAUAUCAUCACUGAACUCAACAUAGAAUCACAUCAGUCAUACAACAUCCAGACCAACACCCAAAUAUGGAGUAUGGAAACCCACCUGAUGUCUCUCUACUUUGCCAACUUAGCUUUUGCAAAUGCCAAAACCUCCUUUCUCUUGGUAGCUACGUAUGACAACCAAAAACACAAAUUAAAUCGAAGCAUUUAUGCUUCCAAAACCCAGAAACCAAAAUUCUCAGAAUUCUUUCAAAAGUUAUAGAAAUCUAUAUAUUCUCUUUUUCUCAAAUCCACAAGCACAGGAAGACUAAGAGGCUUACCAGUACACUAGAUUAUCUAUUUUUCUGACUCAAAUCCCAUGACUAUCACUGCAUGCAGAGUUUUCUUUAGCUUUCUCUUCUUCAGUGUAACCGAAGAAGUUGAAGAAAAAAAAAAUAGAACGGAAGAACAAGAAGCAGAAUAGAGAAAAUCCUCCUCUACAGAACAACCCUUCUCACUAUAUAUAUAACCACUACAUGCUCGAUCACCAACUCCCAUAGACACCAUACAUUGGCAAUCUUUUGUCUCCCACUAAGUAACAAAUCGGUUUUGUUGCAACCAAACUAGAACUAGAACCAACUGCUUGCUAACCAACCACUGGAAUUUCCAAAUUCUCACAAUUGAGUCUGCUGAACUAGUAGUUUCUUACAGUUAACUCUCACAUUGUCCCAAUUCAGACCUUAAUAAAGACCGGGUGUGACAUGUUGGGGAGAGCUUAGUCACAAUACUGUAGUGGAAUGACUUCAUGACUAAAUAAGUUUAUAAUUAAUAGGCGAAAAGUUGGAACUUAAUUAUAAAUCACUUAAUCCUCAAUCGCAUAUGUCCAAUUGCUCCAUAUUUUAGCUCGUUGAAACUAGAAAUGAAUUGUAUGUUAAAUCAAAUUAAAAAGAGGAAUAAAAAUGGUGAAAAUGGAGAAAUGAGAAAUCAUUUGAAAAUGAAAAUAGAGAAAUUGAAACAUUUGGAAAUGAUUAUGGUUUUCUCCAAAAUGAAAAUGAAAAUGAAAAUGGAGAAAUAAAAUCAUUUAGAAAUUAAUGUGGUUUUCUCCAAAAUGAAAAUGAAAAAUUAAAAUGACCUGAAAAAUGAAUUUAUGUUUUUUGAAUUAAAUGAAGUUUGAAAAUAAAAAAUAAAUCAUUUGGUCAUAGUGAAUUGUUGAAUAUAAAAAAUUAAAUACAUUUUCUCAUAGAUUCUUUUACGGUAAAAUCGUCAUGAUUUUAAUAGAAUUAGAAUUAGGUUGAGAAGAUUAUUUAAUUGGAAAUAUAUUGAGAAGUUUAUUUUGGAAAAUAAAAAAAUAUCGGGUUGGAUCAAAUUAUAAAGUAUUGGGUUAAAAGUCCGGAAAGUACUUAUAAUUGGAUCCGAUAUGGGAGUGGCUUAAAAGCCCCUCAUGUUAAAGGGGUGGACACUAACUAGGGCUGUCGCCUCUUAUACUUCUAGUUAUACUAGGAGUUCAUUUUUCUAGUUGAAAUAAACUUUUACAAUUCAACAAGGGUUCUACCUUCUCUUUUUAUAAAGAGAUGACACUGGCAGGACUAUUGACACAACUUAAAAGUAUUAUUACUCUAUUCGAAAAUAGAGAGAAUUUAUUCUAAACUAUUAAAUCUAUUUUCUGGAUUAACAAUUAUGUCGGUCUCUAUUUGAGAAGAGAUUUUUUUUUGUUUUUACACUAAAAAAAAAAGAAAAUUGUUUUUAGUUUUGUGUUUGAUUCAAUUUGUCCAAGCCCACAUUCGAAGCAGUUCGUGGUACGAAAAUAGCAGAGAAUAUCGUUUGGUUGAAAGUCGAGAACGAAAAGAAUUCGUCUAUUCAAAAACACAAGUGCGAAUUCGGUCUAGGGUUUAUUGUUAUAAAUAUCACAAACCUGGUCGAUUUUCAAAAUUUUUAUUUUUCGCUGUGUGAAAAUCGUUUUUGAACCGGAUAUUUUCCAACACAGACUAUGAUGGGAAAUGAUGGGUUGAACGCUGCCACCUUUCAUCUGAUCAUCGAAGCAGUUCGUGGUACUAAAAUAGCGAAGAAUAUCGUUUGGUUGAAAAUCGGGAACGAAAAGAAUUCGUCUAUCUGAAAACACAAGUGCGAAUUCGGUCUAGGGUUUAUUGUUAUAAAUAUCACAAACCUGGUCGGUUUUCAAAAUUUUUAUUUUUCGUCGUGCAAGAAAACCGUUUUUGAAUCAGAUAUUUUCCAACACAGACUAUGAUGGGAAACGAUGGGUUGAACCAACCUUUCAUCUAAUCAUGAUCGUGUUGAAGAAGAAGAAGAUGGAGGAGGCAUGUCAAGUGGCAGAUUUCAUGAGAGUCGCCGGAGUUUUGCCCAAUGUGAUGGCAUAUAAUUUUUUUACUGACGGCGUGCUGUUAUGAGUGUAAGUUGAUGGAGGCGAGCACGGUGGAGAAAUAAAAGUUUGGGGGUUGGGUUUUUGUUUUAAAUUUACACAAAUUUUUAAAAAUUAAAUAUUUUCAUUCUGUAAAUGUUGAGGGUUAAAUUUUUUGAUUUUUUUAGAAUUUGAACUACAAUGACAAAUUUUGUAAACAUUGAGGGUUAAAUUUGUUGAAUUUUUAUUUUUAGGCUCAAAUUAAUAGAAUGUGUAAGCAUUAUAGGGCUAAAUUUGUUAUUAGACCAAUAAAAAAACCCACUUUAGCACUUCUGUCAAAUUUCAAACGAAUGCUAACGUUUAGUGACCAAAAAAAUUGAUUUCAAAUAGUUUAGUGACUAAAUAGAAAAAAUUAAAAGCUUAAAUAGUUUAGUGACUAAAUCGAAAAAAUUAAAAGCUUAGUAACCAAAAUAGAACACGACCAAUAGUUUAGUGACCAUUUCUAUACUUUACCUAUUUAAUUAAUCGUAAGGAUUUUCUUUGCUUUUAGCUUAGCAUGGAAGAUUCUAAGAUCAUAUAAUAAAAAAAUUGUGUUUCAUAGAUAAUUAAUAAAGAUGAGUUAUUUGAGUUGAUUAUAUUUUGGAAAUAUAAAAUAAAAUUUAAAAUUUUAGAAGAAAAUUAAAUAAAUUAUUUUUAAUAUUAUAGUAACAAAUUGGUUAACACUAUCAAGUGAUGAAUUUUUUUCAAUAAUUUAUUAAAUUGAUUUUGAUGUCUUGAAAUUUAAAAUUUCAAUAAAAAAGUUAGAACUUUCGACAAUAGGGUAAACAUGUGCAAUUUGAAAGCGGCCUAGAAGUUGGGUGAUCAAAAUGAAAGUGUAAACAUAAUGUGACAUGUACAAUUAAUCGUUGUUAGAAAUUUAACACUUAGAUGACUAAAAUGAAAGCAAUUUAAAAGUGGGGUGAUAAAAUUACAAAAAGUUUAUUUUUGAUGACCAAAAUUAAAACACCCUAAAAGUUGGGUGACUAACUAGAUAGCUUACCAACUCAAGGCAUUAUUCUUAUUAAAUUUUCUACAUCUCUCCAUACUAUUAUUUAAGUUCAUGACUGAGUUGGUGACGCGGUUGGUGUCACCCUCAACCGGGUCACCAACUCGGUUAGAGAAAUUACGGACAUGCUUUUUUGUAAUUAAAAUAAAUUAUACUACUUGGGGUAUUUUAAUAUUUUUAAUUUUAAAAAAACAAUAAAAAUAAGCAUAUUAAGGGGUUUGAACCCAAACCAAUUGUAUUAGUAAAACUUUAAUUUAUCAUGCAACUAGAGCAUUAUGUUAAUAUUUUUAUACAUUUUAAUUUUAUUAUGCACUAUUCAUUACUUCCAUCAUUUGUAUAUAUUAAUAAUGUAUUUAAUUGAGUUGGUGUUACAAGUUAACUCGACACUGACUCAAGAUUAAAGACAACACAAUGAUAAAUAAUUUAAUUUAAUUUUUUUAAUUUUAAUACUGUACAUAUUUCAAUAUGUGUUAUUAUUACUUAGUUAAAAAUCAUGCAUUAUAUUAUUUAUUACACAUUAUUUUUAAACAUACAUUUAUAGUUUCCACGCAUAACUGCGUAUGAUAAACUUUAUAAGAAAACAUAAUGUUUCUCCAUUUAAACAAAUUCACCAAGUUAUUACUUAAAAAAUGAUGAUAUUAUUAUCAUAUUUUUUUAAUAACUAAUACCAAGUUAGGUUUAAGUAAAAGAAACUCUUUUAAAAUUCAAGUAUUACUCUUUAAACACCUCUGAUCUUAGUGGCCUUUUUUCCUUUCUUUGCCUUGCCUUGGUAUAUAUAUAUAUAUUUUUUUUACAAAAGAGAGAUUAACUCUAAUUAAUAAAAAACGAAAUUACAUUACAUCAGGUAGAUCAUCAUGUAAAGACUGAAGGAUUUCAUCCGGGGGUUGCAUGAAUGUAACCUUGCCAAAAGGUGUUGAGAAAGCCAUUUGUGCCAAACCGUCCACUACCUUGUUGCCUUCUCUGAAAGCAUGUAUUAAGUGAAUUGUCGAAUUACGUUGGAGAAGCUCUUUGAUGUUACGGAUCACAAAAGAAUCAUAUUGCUCUUUUCCAUAUUCUUGAAUUUCUUGAAUUGCUUCUUUACUGUCUGUCUCAAGCACCAUUUUCUUCAACCCGAGACUCCACGCUAUUUGGAGCUCAUCAAGUAUACCUCAGAGCUCAGCCAUGAGUACCGAGCAACUCCCGAGAUUUCUUGUGAAGCUUGCAACCCAUACUCCAACCUGGUUACGGAUUAAUCCACCCACAGUAGCAGUCCCUGAAAGUUGACACAUAACACCAUAAGUAUUCACCUUCUUCCAUCUAGUGGUUUACGUCUUAUGGCUUUACAAGAAUCAGCAUUUAUACGCCUCAAUGUCUGGUUCAACCCAUGGUUUGCAUUAAGAAAAAUGUCUUUCAUCCAACAACUUUUUCCCAAAAACACUAUCGGUUUCCAUAAACUCAGCAUGAAAUACAUAAUUAUUUCUCCUAAUCCAAAGUUGCCAACAGAUACUACCAAACAGUGUUACCCAACCGCUAGGAAUACAGGCAAAAUAUUCACGAUCAGAUAGAUUUUUAACAAACCAUUCUUCCAAGCUGAGACUCAUGUCUCGUUUCCACCUUAGUAACAGAAAGCCAAGUUUCCACAGCUGGGGUACAAAAUCGCAGUACAUGGUCAGUAUUUUCCAACGCGCUUCCACAAACCAUAUAACUUGCAUCAGUAAUCAUUUUUCUUCUCACUCUGUUCUCAUUGGUUAGAAUUCUAUCUAAAAAAUGAAAACACACGCCUUUUGAGGAACUCGAAUGUGCCAAAUCCGAUGCCAAAUCCCAUCGUAUCUGCUCCUUUCCACCCCCACAAUUAGUAGCGUAGACAGAUCACACUGAAAACAAAUUCUUUUUAUCGUGAACCCAACUUGUAGAGUCAUCAACGUCGUGAUCUGAUGGAGGCUUAUAAGUUGAGAUGUUUAGGAUGACUGGACGUGGCAGAACCGAGUUAAGAAUAGACCAAUUCCAAUCCCCACUCGGCGUAACAAGCUCCUUCAUAGAGACAUGCUUCUUAGGAAUGCCUUCGGGUUGUGUACAACUGUUUACUAGGGAACCUUGUAUAACUUUAAUUAACUUUUAGAUAAAUACAAUUCUUUUAACAUCUACAGUAAAAAUUAAAUUUCCAGCUAAUAUCAUAUAGUUUGGUAAAUACAUCCAACAAAUAAAAAAUUAAUAUGGUGGAUGCGAAUAAUAUUAUAGUAAGAGGAUUUGGAGAGAGAUUUAAAAUUAUAUAAAGAAAAUUAAGACUAAACUUAGAUGAAGCUGAAUAUACCCUAAACGCUAAGCAAAUUAUAUAAAAACCAAGCCAUACAUUGUGUAAGUGAACAUGUCCGUGAUGCUCUUGAUCUCUGGGUUGUCCAUGAAGUGCAGCUGGCCACCUUUCGUCACUUUCAAUAAAUUUUAUUUGGAUCGACCCACUCUAUGUGAAGCAAUAUAGGAUAAUCUUCGAUUAAGGAUAUGAUGGAUCCAUAAUUUUACUUUGUUUAACAAAUAUUCUUAUUCUUGUUUCUUCCUCAUUUAUUUAUCCUAUAAUAUCACCCAUUCCAUGCACGGAUUUAAAAUUGUUGUUCCUCUUCCAUUUUCUUUCUUCUUUAAACAACCAAUGCAACUCUUACAAAUUACAUCCAUCAACAAAUAACAUAUUAUUCUAUUAGCAAUGUAUUUUGAAUUAUGAAUAAAUUAAUAAUUUUAACAACUUUAUUCUAUUAACAUAAAUGAUGCUUUUAACUAGAUUACAAAUAUUUAAUAUAUAUUAAAAAUAUUUGUCGAGAAAUUCUUUGAUUUGAAACUUUAAAGAGUACAAAUAUAUGCUAGUGUGAGUAAAGGCAUGGAGAAAGUCAAAAAUUAGUAUCAUUGAUGGGAAUGAAGGAUUUCCAUUAGAAAAGUAAAUGGAGAUACCAAACUUGGAUGGACUUGAAGUCCUCCAAAGACAAAUAUGGGGAUAAACUAGCAUAUGAUAGCACUAUAAAUAUACAUUUCAGAUGCAUCCAUUCUCCAUUUCAGUUUUCAUAGCUACCAACAUGAAGCUUGUAGCAGCCAUGGACGCCUUUGAUUCUUUCAUGCCAUACUUACUCCACUUGGUGCUUCUAUACGUCUCUGCCGGUCUCUUUUACUUUCUUUACAAAUACAAAUCUAGCGGCGGCGGCGGCCCCACCCCCAACCUCCCUCCUGGUAAAAAGGGUCUUCCAUACAUCGGUGAAACCUUGGAUUUUGUAUUGGCGUCCAGAAGGGGAACUCCAGAGAAAUUCGUGACUGAUAGAACUACCAAAUAUUCACCUGAUGUGUUUCGCACAUCACUGCUUGGAGAAGACAUGGCCGUCUUCUGUGGCUCCGCUGGUAAAAGUUCCUUUUCUCCGGCCAAAACAAAUAUGUCACUUCAUGGUGGCCGGAUUCUAUUAAGAAAGCUUUGACGGACCCAUCUAGUGUUGACUGUUGACAAUUCUUCCAAAGAAGAAUCCACUAAACUUCGAGCUUAUCUGCCUCCUUUUCUCAAGCCUGAGUCCCUGCAACAUUUCAUACCAGUCAUGGAUAUAAUGGCCAAAGAGCACCUAAAUCAACAUUGGUCGCCGUAUAAUGAAGUCCAAGUUUUCCCACUCUCCAAGAAGUACACGUUCGCACUGGCUUGUCGUCUUUUCAUGAGCGUCACGGAUUACGACGAGAUAGAGAACUUCGCGAAGCCAUUUGCUCUUGCCACUGCGGGUCUCAUGUCGGUUCCCAUAGAUCUUCCAGGUACAACUUUCAAUCGGGCAGUGAAGGCCGGCAGACUGAUUCGACAACGGCUUUUAGCCCUCAUUACCCAGAAGAAAAAUGAGAUAUUGGAGAAAGGGAAAACAGUAGCCUCAGACUUGGUUGACAGCAUGCUGAUGGAUGGUAUGACUGAGGUUGAGAUCGGCAAUAAGAUUGUGGGCUUCUUUAUUGCCAGCCAUGACACAACAAGCACUGCCAUCACCUUCAUUGUUAGCUAUCUUUCGGAUUAUCCUGAAGUAUAUAACAGGGUCCUUGAAGGUACGUGAUUUAGCUUGAUUUUAAGCACCCAUGACAUUGGAAUGGGACUAUUCAUGAAUAAAGUAAUGUUUUCAACUAAUUGCUGGGAAUAUGCAGAACAAAUGGAAGUAUUAAGAUGCAAGGAGGCAGGGGAGCCGUUGAGAUGGGAAGAUAUACAGAAGAUGAAGUAUACUUGGUGCGUGGCAUGCGAAGAAAUGAGGUUGGCUCCGCCUGCUAAUGGAUCUUUCAGAGAGGCCAUAACCGACUUCACUUACGCAGGUUAUACAAUCCCAAAGGGAUGGAAGGUAACUAAUACCUAUUUUUUUUAAAAAUAAAAUAAUGCAACCAUAUAUAAUAAAUAUUGAUUUAAUUGUACUAAAAUGGUCAGGCGUUUUGGAUGGUGCAUACAACGCACAAGAAUCCGAAAUACUUUACGGAUCCAGAGAGAUUUGAUCCAUCAAGGUUUGAAGGGAAUGGUCCUGCACCCUACUCCUUUGUACCAUUUGGGGGAGGUCCUCGAAUGUGCCCUGGCAAGGAGUAUGCUCGACUCGAAAUCCUCACUUUCAUCCGCAAUCUGCUUACCACUUUCAAAUGGGUUAAACUCAAUCCCAAUGAGAAGAUUUCCUACAUUCCAUCACCCAUUCCUAAGGAGGGUCUUCCCGUCAAAAUGCAACCCCUUCUAAAUUAAUUGUUCCUAUUUAAUAACUUUUCCACAAGUGAGUUAAAUGUCUCACUCUUAUUUUUAAUUAUCGAUAGGGUUUCAAAACUCUAUAAAUGCUUGAUGUAAUAAUAUCUUUUAGGGUAAACUACACCCAUGGUCACUUUUGUUUACCUUAGGUUACAUUUCAGUCACUUAUGUUUGAAAUGUUACGUUUUAGUCACUUACGUUAUUGUGUUGUAACAUUUUAGUCACUGAGCCGUUAAUUGUCGUUAAUGGUGUAAUGGUAAGCUGACGUGGCACGUUAAAUUAUCAUUUCAAACAAAAACUUUAGGUUAAAUUAUACAAUUGGUCCCCAUAAUUUUUCGUUUUGAGCAAUUUAAUUCUUUUAUGUUCUUUUAACUUUCUUUCUUUCUUUUCUUUAUUUUCCAUUCUCUUUUGCUUCUUCCUCUGUUUUCCUACCUUCUUUUUUUUCUUUUAACAUACCAGGAAGUCGAAUUGGUAGUGAAGAAAGAAGCAUGGUAUGGGUUUAUGGAUUUUGGUUAUAGGCAAAUGAUGACAGUCGACUUCCUACUUAUUUUUUCACUGCCAAUUCGACUUCCUAAUAUGUUAAAAGAAAUGGGAAAGAUAUGAAAACAGAGGGAGAAACAAAAGAGAAUGGAAAAAAAGAAGAAAGUUUAAAAAACAUAAAAGAAAAAAAUUAAAUUACUUAAAACGAAAAAAAUAUGGGGAUCAAUUGUAUAAUUUAAACUAAAAUUUUGUUUGGAAUGAUGAUUUAACGUGCCACGUCAGCUUACCGUUACACCAUUAACGACGAUUAAUGGCUCAAUGACUAAAAUGUUACAACAUGAUAACAUAAAUGACUAAAACAUAACAUUUCAAACAUAAGUGACUAAAACGUAACCUAAGGUAAACAAAAGUGACUAUGGGUGUAAUUUAUCCUAUCUUUUAAAUAAAUUAUACAAUCAGAAAUAAAUGGCCAGUGCCUCGUUUGGGAAAACUAUGGGUUACUAAUUUGUCUCUAGUCAGCUUUCAUCCCUUUGGAAACCCACAGGUAAAAUCCAAUUUACAGGCUUAGGUCUUAACUACUUUAUUGUUUCCUUGCAUUAUAACUCUGAUUAGGAUUAUGUUAUGUUAUACAAAAUGGACCAUAGUUUAUUGGGGUCAUUUUCUUAUUGUGUGCAAAUGGGAGUCGAACCUUAGGGCAUCUACUGCUACAAUUUCCUAUGUUGCAGUUUGGUUAAAAUUAGGAGUGAGCAAAAUUUGAUUUGAUUCGAAAAGCUCGAUAAAAAAUUCAAAAUUUAAAUUAAAUAGUUUGAGUUAUUUGAAUUAAUCGAGUUAUUCGGAUCAACAUGAAUAAGAAAUCAAAUUUUUCGGCUUAACUCGAAUAGGAAUUACAUAAUUCGAGUUAUCUGAAAAUCUGAAUAAGAAAAGGAAAAACUACGUCGUUUUGAUAAAUGUUUACCUUUUCUAAAGUUAAAAGUCAAAACCAUUAAGUCAAAAGGCAAAACUACGUCAUUUUGAUAAAUGUUUACCUAUUAAGUUAAAAGCAAAACCAUUAUAUUUUUUAUAUAGUUAAAUAAUAUUGUACGUUGUCUACUAGUUAAAUAAUUGGUCCAUGUAAAUGCAACAUUGAGUAUAAUUAAUAGGAUUCGUUAACUUGAUUUGACUUGGCCCGAAAAUUUUUGACUCGAUUUGAUUUGAUUCGAAACGAUUUCAAAUUGAGUUCAAUUGCUAAAAUAGAAUUCGUCAACUCGACUAACUAGAAAUUUUUUGACUCGAUUGACUCAACUCGAUCGAAUGUUCACCCCUAGUUAAGAUCACCAGAAUUACCAGUUCAAUACUUUGAUGUGGAUAUUUUAAGAAAAUUGGUAGAGGUAUUGGAUCUCCCCUAAGAGUUGAUAGUCACACACUUGCUAAAGAAAAGGAUAGAUAUGGUCAUUUAUACGUUCAACUAAAUCUCCGUAAACUUCUUCCUCGUUUUGUUACUAGCGAAGGAUAUAAACAAGCUAUUUUUAUGAAGGUUUGAAUUCUCUCUUGUUGGAAGAUCAACCACUCUAUCGAAAAAUUUCAUGCUUCUACUUCUCCAUUUGUUAAUGCUAUUAACCAUUUAGAUCCAUCGCACUUGGAUGUUCAUACCACUAGUCCCUCUACUUUUGAUGGCUACGGUCCGUGGCUCAUUAUUCAAAGGAAAAACAAGCCAAAGCCGAAAGUAAUUGAUCUCAAGCCUACAACUAUUGAUCAAUUGUGAAGAAAAAUAUCUUGAAUAAAAAAGUGAAGGGCAAGGGAAAAAUUAUCUCAAACUCACCCAACUAUAAAUAUCCUUAAUCCCACUUUGCUUCCCCCAACAAAGCAAAAAGCUAUUAGCUUCCCCUAUGACACCAACAUCAAUUUUGAAUGGUCUAGUGGGAUACUACUGGCGAUUUGUUAAAGGAUUCUCGAUGAUAGCUCUCCCAUUGACUAAGUUACUACAGAAGAAUAUCAAUUUUGAAUGGUCCAAGAAAUGUCAGAAAUGUUUUGAGAAGUUGAAGACAAUGUUAACUAAGGCACCAAUACUAACACUGUAACAUCUCAUACCUGACCCGAUCAUUAGAUCCAAACUAUAGAAUGUCACAUUCGUUGUCGGAGUAAUUAUGAUUAAUCACAUGAAAAUUUCAACUUUAAAUGCCCAAAUGCUAAAAUUUCAACUUUAAACACGAAAACUAACCAUUUUUGGGUCAAAUAUGAGCUUAAGAAAGCUCAAUACCAUCCAUAGGUUGAACUAGGACCAAACUAAAAAGCUUUUAAAAUAUUUCAAGUGGGUGUUGCGACUUCCAAAGCUUGGUGUCACGUCAUUGAAGACAAUAGCCAAGCUUCCCAAUUUGAGGACCAAAUUACAAUUUUUUUAAAAUAAAACAGAGUCGACAUCGCGACCUCAAGCAGGAGCUGCUACGAUGAGAUGGCCUGAGGUUGCGGCAUUCAGGAUGUGAAGUUGCAACAUUGCAAGCAGACCACUAGGUUCCUGUUUCAAAUGUUUUCUACCUAGCAUGUUUAACAUCAUUUUGCAUCAAAGCCCUAAUUUCAUACUAUUAAAACAUGUACAAAAUAUGGUUAUCAAUCUAUUAACAUCACCUUCAUGCUUGACUAUAACCAAAAUCACAAAUCACAACCUUUAUACAAGUAUUUUGGACCAUUUCUAACAUUUGAUAAUAAUAAUAAAAACCCUAGGUACAUGUCAGUAGUAACAUAAUGAAAAAGGGCUAUAAAAACUUAGGUUGAGUUGAUUAGUGUCGCGUGGAUGCGGACUUCACUUUCCUGGGGAUUUGAGAAUACUUGAACUUGCAUACAGAAUAAAUAAAUCGUAUGCUGAGCAAUGGGGCUCAGUGGUACUUUCAUGAUUCAAGAUAACAAAAACAUUCAUAAAUUUUUAUAUAUAACACAUUUACAUAAUGUAUUCAAGUCUCAUCUAUCAAACCAAAUAAUUCACAUAUUUGAUACAAAUAAGAACAUAGAUAUGCCAAGUAACCAAUCCAUUCAUCAAUAUAUGCAUGACAAAUGAACUAUGCAUACCAUUUGACAAAUCACUUAUAUCUUUCUAGCUAUCCUUAUCAACUAUGUGGUCACAUAUAUCUAUAUGCAAUUUACAUUAUGGCAUUCAUGUUUCAUAGUACUAUUAUUUUCUUACCAUUCAAACUCAUUUAUGGAUUCUAUCAACUCAUUCGUACUCGUUUUGGCCCCCAAGGCUCGUUCUCAAAUAAUUUGCUCAAUAGCUUACAUGAUCUUUCUAUCACAUUCCACAUAGGAAUACAAGUGAAACGAUUUCAUCAUACAAUAUUACUUAUCAAGUUUGUCAUUUAUAAAUCUAUUAACAUGACUUAGACUCGGAAAUAUACACGGAUCGUCCAUCCAACACACCAAACUGGCACCAAAGUACAUCGGAUAAGCCAAAGUAAGGUAAACUGGCAUGUAAGGUGCAUAUUGGCACAUAAAGUGCAUCUUGGCGCACAAAUCGCAUACUGGCACAUGAAGUGCAUCCUAGAAAACAAAGUGUAUAUCUGGCAUACGAGGUGCAUCCUAGAGCAUAAGCGUAUAAUCUCAUACACAAACCAAUCCCAUGACAUGCCAAUUAUAUCCAACACAGCCCGAACAACUAAUAGGGUACCAACAUUUAAUCUAUUUUUAUGAUUUAAAUCAUAUAACAUUCCUUAAUCGUAAUCAUAAUCCAAAUCAUUAUCAUUAUCAAACCCAUACAUUUCAUAUUAUAUAACAUAUUCUAUUUCAAUUUCCAUAUCAAAUAAUAUAAUUCAUGUUUUUCAUUUCAUUUUCCAUUUUAUUCAUUUUAGUCCUCUAUCCUGAUAAUCCCUACCAAACUUGAUCAAAACAUGACAUACUAUCAACAUAUACUCACCUCAAUUAUUCACCAAUCAAUAAACAUGCAUACGCAAGCAAAUAUUUUUAUCUCAAAUCAUAAAAGUACAAAUCGUGGUCUCGUGUCACUCAUCGACUACUCUCGCUUUCCCUUUCUCUCUCAAAGUUUCUACGUCAACGUUAGCUAUGAAUAGUCAUGAAACAUAACACACUAUCAAUUUCCCACCAAUCCAUAACAAAAUAUCAAUGUAUGCAUAUUUUUUAAUUUAUUCAAUUUAGUCCCUACAACUGGAACAAGCAUAACUUUCAAUCUAAAGUUUCGGAUUAAAAUUCGAUUUCACAUACAUUCAUUAGGAACCCUCUACUUUCUAUUCCUACUAAAAUUUCAUAAUAAUUUUUCAUUUUAUUCAAUUUAUUCCUUAAUGUGCGAAACUAAUAAUUAAACUUUACAAUUUAUUAUUCAAUUUAUUCCUUAAUGUGCGAAACUAAUAAUUAAACUUUACAAUUUACUCAUUUUCUUAAUCUAAGCUUAAUUUUUUAACAAUUCCACACCUAAUUUAUUCAAUUCUCAAUAAUGGCAACUUAUCAAAAUUUAACCAAUUGGUCAAAGUGAUCCAUGGGUUAGCUUGGUCAAGCUUCCAUGACAAAAAAAAUCUAUAAAAACCAAAGAAAAAUUACUAAGGACUUACUUGUAAUAUUGAUCGAAUAUCAAACUAGGUUUUAAGCUUUCUUCCUUCUUCAAAAAUGGUGGAUGGUGGUUCUUGAAAAGAAGAUGAUAACUUAAUCAUCUUUUUCCCACUUAUUUAACUUAUAUAGCAUGAUUAAUUUUAGUUAAACUUAAUUAAUUUGCUUAAUCAUGAUUAAUUAAACCUUAAUCCUUAAUUAACUUAAGUUAAUGAAAUUUAACAUCACAUCCCACUAUGAUCCAUAUAAAAUAGGUCUGUUGGCCAUUUUAUUCUCUUGGAUAAUUACUAUUUAAGUCCUCAAGCCUUAUCCUAAUAAAAAUCUAUAGUGAUUAAAAUUUUACAAUUUAGUCACUAGGUCUUAAUUAACCCCAUUUUUUUUUGCUAAAUUACCUAAACAAAUUUCAAUUCAUCAAUAUACUAACUUCAUAAAUAUCACUAUUUAAUAUUUACAAACUCGAUUUACGAUAACGAGGUUCUGAAAUUGCAUUUUCCAACACCACUAGAAAUUAGGUUGCUACAAACAUAACCUGAAUUAGGAAAGGAUUUUGUAAUAUUCAGUAAUGCAUCUCAUAAUGGUUACCGAUCAUAGGAGUUUGACGAAUUUUUUAGUGUUCAAUGACGCGUCUCAUAAAGGAUGUGGAUUGAUGCAAUAAGGCAAAGUAAUUACAUACGUUUCUCAACAACUCAAACCUCACAAGAAGAAUUAUCCUACUCACAAAUCUGAACUUGUAGCCAUAGUUUCUGUUUUAAGGAGAAAAUACCUUUACGGUAAGAGAUGUCAUGCCUUUAUCGAUCAAAAAAGUUUAAAGAAUUUGUUCACGCAAAAAUUAUUGAAAUAUCUCUGUAAUUCAAACUUUUAAUCCAACUAUUCGGUUACUUAGAGAGCUCUCAAGAAUUCUUAACACAUUAUUGAGAAAGGUGUCCAAUGGAUUAUAAAAUAUGGUUCCCGAAUUAGUUUCUGGCAUGAUAAUUAAACGAGCAUGGGUCCUAUUCUUUUUUUUUCAUUACCCCUUUCUACCCAAGGAAGAUUGUUUCUUGGUGAAAAACUUUUAUGUUGGCUCUUAUAACUCUUCCUUUGCUAUUUCAAACAACAUCAAUGAUUGUAUUCUUAUGCACCCCACUUCUUUUUUUUUUAAAAGAUGGUUUUGAUGUUUUGUGUUGGAAAGCCACUUCUAAAAUACUCUUUUUCAUGAAAUUACCUUAUCAUAUUGCCUCCAACCUUAUCAAUGCUCUUCUUGAUUCUAGUAAUUGGUUAUUGUCAGGGGCGAAUUUAGGGGGGCUGGUAAGGGCCUUGCCCCCCUAAAUUUGUAAAAUUUCAAUUGUGCAACACCCUAGACCCGGCUUAGAUGUCCAGUCCAAGUUUAGAGAGUUACAUUAUAAAUACUCAAAUACUACUCAAGCCAUAAUAAUACCAAACCAUGAUUCACAUAAAAAUUCAACACAAAGAUUAGUUAAAUAUAUAAUCUUCCGAAGUCAUACACUAUUAUAGUUUAAUGAAAAUCCUAUCAAAAUAUUUUAAAGAAAGCUAAUAGUUCGACUAAGCUCCCACGGCACCAACCCAUUCAAGUCUGUGAACGACCUGAAAUUCAAGCAAUAACAGAAUAAGUUGUGAAAUCAGUGCGUAAAAGAAAUUUAUUCAAUUAAUGCUCAUUUAAAAAGUAGUUCCAAAUUCAGAGAUUCAGUUCGAUAUAGAAGUAAUUUCAGUUUAGAUUCAGAGCAAAUCAGCUACAAAUGUACAUAUAUGCAAUUACAGGUCAUACACGAUACAAAUCAGAUUCAGAUGCAAUAUUCUCAUCCUCGCCCACUGCACACCAUCUUCGGCCAUCCCAAUACACCAUUAAGGAUAUUCAAUGCUCAGCCAACCCUAUACACCUUAAACUGUUCGUUGACACUUUUACAGAAAUGCAGCUUAGCUAUUAAUUCAAUAUUCGACAAGCGCCAGAAUCAGAUUUAUACACAUUGUGGCGUAGCCACGAUUUAGAACAGAUUUCUUCCUCCUUCACAAUAUCCCAGCCCAUGUCGGUGCAGAACACAAAUACCCAUAUGAUGUAUUCAGUCAUUCUAAUUCAUUUCACAAUCAAAUAAGAUAGUUCAACAUCAAAAUAAGCAUUCCAGUGUACUUAUAACUAAGUUGUUCACAGAUCAAUCUCAGGGUAUCAGACAGUUCUAAUAUAAUUAAUUUCAAUCAUUCGUAAAUCGAAGAGGCCAGUAUCAGUGUUAAGUAACAUUUUUAGCCUCGAAAAUAGAUUUUGGGCCUCAAUAACAUGCCACACGACCAAGUGGCACACCCAUGUGCCUUGCUCGUUUAUUUUCGAAGCAUAAACAAUGAAUUACAUGGUCUGGACACACACCUGUGUCCCUGGCCGUGUGGCUUUGUACCCAACACAGUGAGUUACACUGCCUGGGCACACGUUCGUGUCCCUGGCUGUGUGGUUUUGUACCAGAAAUAGUAAGUUACACGGCCUGGGCACACGCCUGUGUCCCUGGCCGUGUGGUCUUGUACCACAAACAGUAAGUUACACGGCGUGAGCACACGCUCGUGUCUCUGGCAGUGUGAGCUCUGCACUAAUAUGGCCAUACACGCUCUAGACACACGACCGUGUGCCUUGUAAAAUUAAGGUUUUCGGUACACACCUAAUUUUGCUUUGACGGAGAAACAACACGAAGACUAUCCGGAACCUAAUUAAUCACUCAAUAAUCAAUUACACCAUCGAUUUCAAAAUUUUAGCAAAAUCAACCUACCGCCAAGAUUAUGUCGAAAGUUUUGAUGCAAUCCCAAGUCAAUUUGUAUACUCACCUCGCACGAAAUAGAGGAAAUCAGACUAACACGGCGAAAUAACGUCUCUUGUAAUAUUCUCGCCUAAAAAGAUAACCAAUCAAAUGAUUAAACAGAAUGUUCAAGCAACCGAGAAAAAUCCCAUUUCAAUAGAAUAUUGUUAACACCACAAAACUUGCAAAAUGAGAGAAAAUUGACGACGAAACUUGCUAAAUACUCGCACAAUCAACCUUACAAGUAACAAAGAACUUCCAAUUAAUGCAGAAUUGAAUAAUUUAAAAGGAAAAAUAAAAGAACAGAAGAACCAGAAAAGAAAACAACUUUUAAAAAACAAAGAAGAAGGUACGAUAGAAUUUCUUUAGACUAUCUUAAGUUAACCACCAUCCCACAUUCUUGCAUUUGCAAAAAAUAUUUCCUAAUGCAUAUGAUGGGAUUCGAACUCACAACCAAACAGAAUAUAGACAGAUGCUUAACCAGUGAACUAGCAGGCUCAUUCUUGAUACCGAUUUACCCAGAAUUGGACUUAACUACGAAACACAUGGAUGAAGGUUGUUUUAAAAAUAAUAACAAAACUUUUAACGAUGCUACUGAAACUUCAGACCUUAAACACAGAAGCAUAGCACAGAACCACAUAUACGAAAAUUUAAUUACUGUAAUUUCUCACAAUUAAAUUCUUAAAAAUUUGGGGCAUUACAACUCUCCCCCUAAAAGAAAUUUCGGCCUCAAAAUUUUACCUAAGUCAAACAGAUACGAAUACAGUCAUCGGAUUGAUUCUUUCGAUUCCCACGUGGCUUCCUCAGUACCAGGGUUCCAUCAUAGGAUUUUCACUAGAAGAAUAGUUUUCUUCCUUAGCAUCUGAACAUCACAUUCUAAGAUCUAGACAGGUUCCUCUUUGAAUGCUAAGUUCGGCCGCAAUUUAAUCUUGUCGACAGUAACAAUAUGUGACGGAUCCAACCGAUACCGUCUCAGCAUCGAGACAUGAAACACAUCGUCAAUCUAAUUUAGCUUCGACGAUAAUUCUAACUGGUAUGCAACAAGUCCGACACGCUUUAAGAUACGGUAAGGCCUAUUGAACCUCGGGUUUAAUUUGCCAUUAUGUCCGAAACAGAGGACCUUUUUCCACAGUAAUACUCUCAAGAAGACUUAAUCACCAACAGAAAACUCGAUGUCUUUUCUUUUUAAAUUAAUAUAGGACUUUUGCUGAUCAGAUGUGGCUUUCAAACGGUCCCGAAUUACUCUCACAGUGUUCUCAGUUUUAGAAACCAGCUUAUGACCCCAUAUCUGACGUUCAUUUAAUUCUAUUUAACAUAGCGAAGUACAACACUUACGACCAUAUAAGGCCUCGUAGGGUGCCAUCUGAAUACUAAACUGAAAGUUGUUAUUAUAUGCAAACUCCGCCAACGGUAGGUAGUCCUCCCAACUACCCCAGAAAUCUAUCACACAAUCUCGAAACAUAUCCUCCAAGAUCUGAAUAACUCGCUCCGACUAUCCAUCGGUCUAAGGGUGAUACGCAAUACUGAAUUUAAGUCAGGUGCCUAAGGCCUCAUGGAGUUUCUUCUAGAAUCGAGAUGUAAAUCGUGGAUCCCUGUCAAAGAUGAUUGAGAUCGAAAUUUUGUCUAAUCUCACAAUUUAGGUGAUAUAUAGUUUAACUAACUUCUGUUAGGAGUAAUCUGUCCGAAUGGGUAUGAAGUGGGCUGAUUUGGUCAAUCGAUCCACCAUGACCAAAACCGUUAGUAGGGAUUAGAGGCAACCCACUAACAAAAUCAAUCGUUAUCUUCUCCCACUUCCACUAAGGAAUUUUAACUGGUUGAACUAACCCGGAUGGCAGCUAAUGUUCCGCCUUAACCUUUUGGCAUGUCAGACAGUGGGACACAAAAGCGACUACCUCUCAUUUCAGUUCGGGCCACCAGUAGAAUUCUCGAAGAUCCUGAUACAUUUUGUUCCCAGUAAAAUGCAUAGCAUAUGGACUACUAUGCGCCUCCUGAAGGAUCGAAUGCCUCGACUCUUUGUCAUUAGGUACACAAAUCUGACCUUUAAAGCACAACACGUUAUCGCUAUUCAAGCCAAAAUCGAAAGUCUCAUUCGAAUCAACAUGCUGCAGACGCUGAACUAAGGACUCAUCGCUCAAAUGUUUUGCUCUAAUCUACUCUACCAAAUCGAUAUUACCUGUAAUUUAGCCAACAGCCCUCCAUCCUCGACCAAACUCAGACGAGCUAACAUUGCUCUCAGAUCAGUCACCUCUCUACGGCUAAGGGCGUUAGCUACCACAUUAGCCUUACCUGGAUAGUACUCUAUCGUGCAAUCGUAAUAUUUAAGUAACUCAACCCAUCGACGCUAUCGAAGAUUUAAUUCUUUUUGGGUUAGUAAAUAUUUAAGACUCUUGUGAUUGGUAUAAAUAAUACACGUUUCACAAUAUAGAUAGUGUCUACAGAUUUUUAGAGCAAAUACAACCACAGCUAGCUCAAGAUCAUGCGUAGGGUAAUUACCCUUGUGUGUCUUAAGCUAUUGCGACGCAUAAGCGACCACUUUACCAUCUUGCAUAAGCACACACCCAAACCUAACAUGUAAAGAAUCACUGUACACCAUAAACUCUCGGGCUGAUAUUCGGUUGAACUAAGUCAAAAGCUUGUGUCAAAACGGACUUGAGUUUAUCGAAACUAAACUGUUGUGCCUCAGACCACACGAAUGGAGUAUUCUUAUGCAGCAAUUUCGUCAGAGGUGACGCAAUUAGAGAAAAUCUUUCGACAAACCUUCAGUAGUAACCGGCUAAUCCCAGAAGCUACGAAGUUCAGAUAUAUUUUUUGGUCUUUCCACUCAACAAUAGCUUCUAUCUUCUUAGGAUCAACUAGGAUCCCUUCCACCAUUACUACAUGACCCAAAAAAGUGACUUCUUGCAACCAAAACUUGCACUUAUUAAACUUGGCAUACAACUAUUUUUCUUGGAGUAUCUGAAGUACAAUACGAAGAUGAUCAUCAUGCUCAGCUUCAAUUUUAGAUUAGAUCAGGAUAUCAUUGAUAAAAACCAUUACGAAUGGAUUCAAGUACGGUUGGAACACCAGAUUCAUUAAAUUCAUAAAUGCCAUCGGGGCAUUCAUUAAACUGAAAUGCAUUACCAGAAACUUGUAAUAUCCGUAAUGAGUCCUAAAGGCAGUUUUGUAAACAUCAGUCUCUUUGACCUUGAGCUGAUGGUAAUAAGAGAAUAAAUCGAUUUUGGAGAAAACGGAUGCUCCUCGAAACUGGUUGAACAAGUCGUUAAUCCUCGGUAGCGGGUACUUAUUUGUUAACUUGGUUAACAGCUACUAAUCUAUGCACAUCCUCUUUGACCCAUCUUUCUUCUUAACAAACAACACCGGCACCCCCCAUGAAGACACACUCGGCCGAAUAAAUCAUCUAUUAAGGAGUUUCUGAAGCCGUGCUUUUAACUUGGUCAGCUUUUUUGGACACUAGAGCAAUACUUGAUAACAAAUCAAUUCCAAACUCCACCUCUCUAUCUAGAGGUACUCCAGUCAAUUCCUCAAGAAAGAUGUCUGAAAACUCCCUCAUUGUGCGGAUAUCUCCCACUAAAAGUUUCGCGAGAACAUAAUCGGAUACGUAAACAAGGUAUACCUUGCACCCCUUUUGAACUAACUUGUCUGCUACAAGAGCGAAGAUUAAAUUAGAGAGGUAAUUUCGACACUCACCAACCAUGACCACCUCGUCAUUCUCAUUUGACCUCAAAGUAACUCUCUUGGUUGCACAAUCUAGACUGACCCGAUACUCAAUGAGCCAAUCCAUUCCCAAAAUUAGAUCAAACUUAUUAAAGGGUAAUUCCAUUAGAUCAACUGAGAAUACCAUACCCUAGAGCUCUAGGGGUACCCAUCUGUAUACUGUAUCAACUCAAAUUGACUGACCCAAAAGACUAAUCAUAGAAAACUCUUUAGCAGUAUUCUCAGCGGUUAAACCUAGAUUUACAGAAACAUCACUAGCUAUAUAUGAAUGAGUAGAGCCAAUAUUAAUGAGAGCAUAAUACGGAACAGAAUGAAUAAAGAAGGUACCUACUAUGACAUCAGCAUCAUCGCUCUCCUCGCAGUGUCUCGCUUCAUAAAUUAAUACUGAUUGACGAGCCUCAGCCUGACCUGCACCUCUACACAGUAUUCUCUGUCCUCUCCUAGAUCCAUUACCACCGAUACCAGUACCCAACCUCUGAAUGGUAAUUGAACCUCUCUCGGAAGCCAAACAAAAUUUGGCCCCGGAGUCUAUACCGCAGUUAGCACUGAAUCUGGUCGUCGAGGGCAAUCCCUAACUCGAUGCUCCAUUGACCCGCAAAGGAGGCAUGCUCUUAACUUCCUCCUGCACUUGCCCGGACGACGCUUCCCAUAACGACUACACAGCUGAAUCUCAGUCGCAACAGUUAGUGUCUCAACUCUCAGAGGUCUGUCAAACCUCAUCCGCUUCUUAGGGCAUUGACCCGAACUAGAUGAGCCUAAAUCCCUCUUAAUCUUAUUAUGAUCCUUCUCAUGAUCACGUCACUCGCACUCAGUACACUUCACUUCUUCCAAUACAUUUGCUUUGUCAAAUAAGACCGCAAAAACCCGCUCCUUCUAAGGAGCUACCAGAACUUGCGGAUCAUAUCUCAAUCCCUCCUCAAAUCGCACACACUUGUCGUAGUCGGACGCUACCAAAGUCCAUAUAUACGUACUCAGUUGCAGAAACUCGACUUCAUAUUUAGCCACAGAUCGGUCACCCUGAACUAGGCUCAUAAACUUACGUUGGUAGCUUCAACAUAAUUCCCCCACAUACUUACCCUAGAAGGCGUUCUUGAAAUAAUCCCCAUUAACAUGUUCAGGAUGAGUACCUUGUUCAACUGUCAACCACCACCAAUAGGCUUCAUCCUAGAGUAGAGACGCAGCACCCUCAAUAUCUAAGUGGGAGUACAGUCGAGAUCAGUUAUUAUACGCUCAGUAGCCUCGAGCCAAUAUUCAACAACAGUAGGAGCGACUCCUAUGACACUCUUUAAUAAUUUAGGCUCAUUCUACGGCAGUCGUUUAGUGAUCAACCCUCGACCUCUCGAUCUCGAAUGCGUCUCUGUAACCCUCUCUAAUGCUCGAAUCAUGGCCUGAGACAGUCUGUCAUCCCUAGCCAUUAGAGUAUGGGACUCCGUUUCAGUAGUAGGUGAACCAACCGUCUCGCUGGUCUCUAGAUUGGUCAUACUACCCAUAGAGGAUGACUCUACUCGAGCUCCUCCUCAAAAUCCUUAACGCUCCGGCAUACCACGUCCAUGACUACCACGCAAACUCAUUAUGGUAAUCUAGCUAGAAUAUCAGAAUACACAGAUCAAUUCACACAUCCAGCAGGAUGAUUUCACCAAUUCAUAUCAAAACAUUUUACCCAUAACAGUUUAAGUAUUAUAAUCUUUAUAACAGAAUGGAAAUACUUAUAGGGUCAGUGUCGGAAGCUCGGCCAUUCACUAAAAUGUCAGUGUUUCUAUAUUAGUUCAGAUACUAAAUUAUCACUAAGCUACUUUUCUCAUACAUUAUGAGCCCAAACACAAUUCGAGUGUUGACAUGUUGAUGCAGAACACAAAUACCCAAAUCAUGUAUUCAGUCAUUCUAAUUCAUUUCACAAUCAAAUAAGAUAGUUUAACAUCAGAAUAAGCAUUAUAGUGAACUUAUUAUAACUAAGUUGUUCACCAAUCAAUCUCAGAGUACCAAACAGUUCUAAUAUAAUCAAUUUCAAUCAUUUUUACUUCGAAAAGGCUAGUAUAAGUGUUAAGUAACAUUUUCAGCCUUAAAAAUAUAUUUUGGGCCCUAAUAACAUACCACAUGGCCAGGUCACAUGCCCAUGUACCUUGCCCGUGUGGUUCCAAAGCAUAAACAGUGAGUUACACGAUCUGGACACACGCCUGCAUCCCUACCCGUGUGACUCACACGGGCUGGGUACACGUCUGUGUAGCUUUGUACCCUAAACAGUAAGUUACACAGCUUGGGCACACGCUCGUGUCCCUGGUCGUAUUGUCUUGUACCACAAAUAGUGAGUUACACAGCUUAGGCACACGCUUGUGUCCCUAGCCGUAUGGUCUUGUACCACAACUAGUGAGUUACACGGCCUAGGCACACGCACGUGUGCCUAGAUGUAUGAACUUUGCACUAAUAUGGCCACACACGGCCUAGACACAUAAUGGUGUGCCUUGCCUAUGUGGCCCUAAAUCGAAUGAACAGUGAGUUAUAUGACCAACCACACGACCUGGGCACACGCCCUUAUGCCUGGCCGUGUAGCACCGACAACCACCAUUUUUGGUGACCUGAAACUUGCAAAAUUAAGGUUUCCGGUACGCACCUGAUUUUGCUUUGACGGAGAAACAACACGGAGACUACCCGAAACCUAAUUAAUCACUCAACAAUCAAUUACACCAUCGAUUUCAAUAUUUUAUCAAAAUCAACCUACCGCCAAGAUUAUGUCGAAAGUUUUGAUGUAAUCCCAACUUAAUUCACAUACUCACAUCACACGAAAUAGAGGGAAUCAGACUAACACAACAGAAUAACAUUUCUUACAAUAUCCUCACCUAAAAAGGUAACUAGUUGAAUGAUUAAACAGAACGUUCAAGCAACUGAGCAAAAUCUUGUUUCAAUAGAAUAUAGUUAACACCACGAAACUCACAAAACGAGAGAAAAAUAACGAUGAAACUUGCUUAAUACUAGCACAAUCGACCUUACAAGUAAAAAAGAACUUCCAAUUAACACAGAAUUGAAUACCAUAAAAGGAAAAAUAAAAGAACAGAAAGAGAACCGAAAAAGAAAAUAACUUUUGAAAAACAAAGAAGAUGGUACGAUAGGAUUUCUUCAGACUAUUUUAAGUUAACCACCAUCCCACUUUCUGGCAUUUGCAAAAAAAUAUUUCCUAACGCAUACGAUAGGAUUCAAACUUGGAAGCAAACAGAAUAUAGACAGAUGCUUAACCAGUGAACCAGCAAGCUCAUUUUUAAUACUGAUUUAUCCAGAAUUGGACUUAACUAUGAAACACAUAGAUGAAGGUUGUUUUAAAAACAAUAAUAAAACUUUCAACGAUGCCACUCAAACUCCAAACCUUAAACACAGAAGCAAAGCAUAGAACCACAAAUACGAAAAUUUAAUUACUACAAUUUCUCACAAUUAAAUUCUUAAAAAUUUGGGGCGUUACAAAUUGAGUCCUUUUGAAUUUCAAAAGAUUUUUUAUUUUGACCUUAUAACUAGUACUUAAAAUAAGAUAAAUUAUUUUGGCCCCCAAGUUUUUUCAUUGUUUCUUUUAAUUUGAUUUAUUUUAUAUAAUCUAUAAAUUUUUAUGAUAAAUUUAGUAACACUUUUAGUUUAAUUUGAUAAAUUAAUAUAAAGUAGUGUUUAAAUAUUUAUUUGCUAAAAUAGUCACAUAAUUUCAAUAUCUAAUCAUAAAAUAGUAUCUAAAUAUUAAUUAGGUAAAAAAAUAAACUUAAAUAAUUAUAAUAUUUCAUACAAAUUGAGUAUUUAACUUAAUUUGUUUUUUUCUAAAUGUUAAUUUUGGUGAUCAAGAUUAUCUAAAAUUUAAAAAUACAUUGUUUUAUGGGCCAAGCUUACUUUCAACAUGUCUAUUUUAUAUAAAUACUUCGCCUCCCUCAUUAUCAAUAUUUCUGGCUUCGCCCCUAGUUGUAGGUUUGGAACCUCAAACUUCCACUUACACUCUCCUUUUCUCAUUUUGGAAAUUGUGGCCCUCUUCUCCCAAUUUGAUCUUUUCUUUGUUUUAAAGGUCUUGACAUCUCUGUUGUAUGCACUUUCUGCAACUCUUACCCUGGGACAAUUGAACAUGUACUUCGAGAUUGUUCAUUCACUUAUCAUCUCUAGAGCCUUUUUUCCUUAUCCCCCUUCAACUAUAGGUAUGUUCUCCCUUCCUUUAAUGGAUUGGCUCAAUGCUAAUUUGACAUUUAAAUCCUCCUUUCCCCAUCAUCUCAUUCAUUAGCCAACCAUGUUUGCUUUCUUCCUUAAUGGGUUUUGGAUUGCUAGAAAUGCAAUCAUCUUUGACAAACCCAUAAGUGAAAAUGAUAUUCGAUCUAAAUUUAUCACUCUUGCUAUAGAGUACUUUGUUAUUUUACAUAAACCAAAUUUCGAGUAUAUUCUACCUCACUUCACGUCAAAUGGAACCUUCCUUUAAAUGGAUGGUUUAAAGUUAAUUAUGAUGGUUCCUCAUUAGGAAAUCCUGAAACUGUUGGUUUGGAGCCAUUAUUCGUGAUCAUAAUAGUAAUUGGAUUGUCGAUUUUCAUUGUUAUCCGAGCAUGACUACUAAUAUUAUGGCUUACCUUUGGGCUCUUAGUGAUGGCCUUGUGCUUGCUCACAAUGUAACAGCCCAAUUUCAGUAAUGUCGAAAAUGGUGGUUUUGAGACCACAACUCUGACAAGUGAGUUGUUAUUUUGAUAUAUAUUUAAUGUUUAUAGGGUUAGUUUAAGGUAUUAUUAAAUUUUUGUCAAGAAAUUUUGAAGAUUAAAUGGUUAAUUAAGUAAAAAGGACCAAAUUGUGAAAGACACAAAAGUUGGUCUUUAAUAGGUAAAUGGAUUAAAUGGCUUUUGAAAUGCAAAUUAAAGGACAUAGAUGGUAUUUAUACCAUAUGAAAGUUAAUAGACAAUUAUGGGUUUAUUUUUGUCAUUUUGUAAACUAAUAAACUAAGGAUAAAUUAAAUUAGUAAUUAAUAAACAAAUCUUAAACUAAAUUAAGCAAAUAGUGUCAUCUUCCUAAAAUUCUUCUCUUUCACCGAAAUUGAAGAAAUAAAACACCAUUUUUAUGGCUUUAAGGUUCGGCCAACAUAGGAGUAUUUCAUGGUAAGAUUUUGUGACUCGUUUUUAGUAAUUUUUAUAUUUUUGAGCUCGUUUCAACUUAAUCUACCUAGCCCAGGGGUUAAUUUGCAAAGUUGUUAAAUGUUGAGGAACCUGCAAAGUUGAUAGAUUAUUAAUUUUUAUUGUUAAAUUAACAUGAUUUGUUAAGUGAAUUUAGGAUUUAGCGAUUAAAUAGCUUAAAUGGUAAAUUCUAUGAAUUUUGAGUGAAAUGAGUAAAAAUGUGGAUUGAUAUAAGUAUAGGGAAGAAUCAGAUAACAUGUUUUGGGUUAGGAAAAUGGUGAAUUUUCAAGUUAUGGGCUUAAGGACUAAGUUAUAUAAAAGUUAAACUAUUAGGGGUAAUUUUGUAAUUUUAGAUUAAUAUGAAUUAUAGGUUGAAUUGAAUACUUGAGAUUAAUUGAAGUACUUAGUUGAAUUAAAUUAGUUAAUUGAAGUACUUAGUUGAAUUAAAUUAUCUUAGAUCAGGAUAAACAACAAUCGGACUUAAAUUGAGGAAAGGCAAAAGCUUUGGAUUAAUCUCCAACUCUACUUUUGUGACUAUGGUUAUCGAGGUAAGUUUGUAUGAACUAUAAUCUUAUUAAUGAUAGUUGAUUGAUUAUAUACUAUAUUAUGUUGGUUAUAAAUUGACUUGAAUAUAUAAAUAGAUUGACGUUUUGAGUAAUUGAUGGAUAAAUAAUAUCGUUUGAACCUUAAGAAUUCUUAAGAUACGAAUGACAUGUCAUUAGGGAUUUCAUGUUUCAAGUGUUGGUCUUAAAUGUCCUACUGAUGGUUGAGGUCCUGCAUUUGUUGCAGAUUCUCCACAGCUCGUGUGAGCAGCAUCGUGUAGCUAACAUUCUGACCUACAACUCGUGUGAGUACUAUUGAAAAGGAAAGGUUACGGUUAUAUGGAAAGGCACACUAUGUGUGAGCAUUCCCAAGUAUCCAAUGUAAUUCUAGAUGGUUCAAUGGGUAAGCAAAGGUUAAUGGCAAUGUAUGUAUACAAUUGUAUAAUGGUACAUAAUCUUAUGAAAAGGUUAAUGUAAUAAAUGGUGUGUACAUGUAAAUCUACUUAUGAUAUGGUUGAACUUAUAUAUAUCAUGUAUGAACUUACUAACUUGUAAAUUUGGUGGUGCUUAUAUAGGAUUUUACUAAGCUUAUGAACAUGGUAAUGUUGUUAUGUAUAAUUUACAAAUUGAGCUUAAGAAUGGUAAGUUAUGUUUGAGUUUAUACGAGCUUACUAAGGACUAGUUGUUUACGUAGUUAUUUUCCUUUGUUUCAUAUAUUAUCAGAAGCUCGAUCGAUUGGAAGCUUCUCAGAGAUUUAUCACACUAUCCAGCAAUCACUUUGGUAGUUUUUGAGUUAUUUUGGCUAAGGUUAUAAAUGGCAUGCAUAGGACCUUUUUAUAAUGAAUGUCUUUGAGUAUGUUAAUGAAAAUUUUGGUAUGAGUAUGUCUUUUAUGUAUUCACUUUGUUUGUGUGGACUUAUAAUGUUUUAGCAAAUUUUAUACCCUUAGGUAUUUUGUAAUAUAUGGUGUGGGUGGUUGUUUAUAUAUUAAAGCCAUAUGAUUAUGGUCAUUUUAGUAUGUUUUAAUGAAAGGUGAAUGGUUUGACAAUUGAUGUCAUUAGGUAGCUUAUUUGACUAUGUUUUUGUGUUUGAGGUAUGGUAUUAUAGCCUUUUUUUGAUUGAAGUUGUUUUUGUACAAAUGUGGUGCUUUUGAAUGGCAUAUUAGUUAGGUGAAAUAGGUUGAUUGAAUUUGUAACAACCCGAUUCUAGGCCUAGUCGGAACAGUGGUUUCGGGACCACAAAUCCGACAAGGGAAAAUAUGAUUAUUAUUAUAUUUUUAUGGUCUACAAUUUCACAGAAAAUUUUCGUAAAAAUUUCGUUCAAAAAUUUCGACGUUUGGGCACUUAAUUUAGUCAAAAGGACUAAAUUGUAAAAAGUGCAAAAGUUGAGUUCUACAUCUUAGAGGUGUCUAAUUGUUAUGAAAUUUUAAAUUGGAGGUCUUUAUAUGGUAAUUAGACCAUUAGUUAGUUGAUGGACAAAAAUGGGCAUAGAAUUAGUGAAAUAGAUUUUUUUUAAAGUAAGGGCAUUUUAGUCAUUUGGUUAUUAAAUAGAAUUAAAUGGGAAAAAGAUGGAAAAAUAUGCUCAUCUUCUUCAUGGUGAACGAAAUCAGCAAGGGGGAAGCCAUAUUUAGGGUUUUUAAGCUUUCAAGCUCCAUAGUAAGUGAUUCCAAGCCCCGUUUUUAAUGUUCUUUACGUUUUUAGAGUCUCUGUAACUUGGUUUAGCUUAUUCCACCAUUAAUUCGUGUUAGGGUUUAUAUUUGGAAAAAUACCCAUAGGUGAAAUGUGUUUAUUUUGAUGUUUAAUGGUAGAAUAUGAAGCUAAAAAUUAUGUUAAACAAUUUUUGCUAAGCGAUUUUAAACGAAAACUGGUAAAUUGACAUAAUCGGUAAAAAUACCUAAUGUUCAAAAGUGUGUGUUAGAGUGAGAAUUUGAUGUUGUCAUAGAAGGGAAAAAUGUUCAGCAUGUCAUAAAACAUAAGAAUAAGAGAUGAAUUUUAAUUUUCGAGCUUAGGGACAAAAGUGUAAAUAUGUAAAAGUUUGGGGGUAAAAUUUUAAUUUUUCAAAAAGUUGGGUGGAGGACUAUUUUAUUAAAUGUGAACAUUUAAUGAGUUAAAUUUGCUAUUAUAGAUCAAGAAAGACGAGAAGACUACCUCAAACGGGGAAAAAAGAAGAUAGUGGAGUAAAUUACAAAAUUACGAUAUUUUGCACCAAGGUAAGUAAACAUGUGAUUUAAUGCAUUAUUUUGACAUCAUUCAAUAUAUGUUGGGAUUUAAUAGAACAUAGAAUAAAUAUUCGGCAAGAUUCUAAAAAUGUGGUUAAGUUGGGAAAGGUGGUAAAAUGUUGAAAAUAUGGGUUCCGGUUGAACACUCGGAAUAAGCCGAAGUAUUUUAAAUGUGAAGGGGGUUGCUAAGUGCUGAUUCCCCCAACGGGUUGCUAAGUGCUGAUUCCCCGACUCAUUGGUGGUUGCUAAGUGCUGAUUCCACCGUAUCUUGAAUAUAAAGGGGGUUGCUAAGUGCUGAUCCCCCCAAGGGGUUGCUAUGUGAUGAUUCCCCGAAUCAUUGGUGGUUGCUAAGUGCUGAUUCCACCAUAUCUUUGAAUGUGAAAGGGGUUGCUAAGUGCUGAUUCCCCGAAUCACUGGUGGUUGCUAAGUGCUGAAUCCACCGAUAAUGGUUAAUAUUCCGAGUGUCCAACGAGUAAACUGGGAAGGUGAAUAUUUAUAUGUGGUGGACAAGCUUAUAGGAGGAAUAUUGGGUUUGAUACUUAAUCGACCAUGUAUAAGGUGGGAUGAAAUAUCAAAAAUACAACAGGAACAAUUUAAUUACAAAACUGUUUUGAACAACAGCAGUUGGGCAACUUUGAAAAAUCACCAUAAAUGGUGGAAAAUGAAUUAGAGGUUGAAUAAUAUAUGUAAUUGAAGCUGAAUGAGUCUAUUUUCAUACGAAAGAAACAUAGCAAGCAAAAGAGUUGUAUAUUUGGGGAUAUUUGAAUUUAUUUGAGACAGGGUUGGAUUGAUUCGAAAUCCCCUGUUCCAACUUUGGAAAAUCACUAAAAAUUGUAAAAAAAUAAUUUUGGCCUGAAAUUUAUAUGCCUGGAUUCUUUAAUGAGUCUAUUUUUAAUAUAAACAAACAAAAACAUUUUUCGAAUUUUUUACAGGGAGUUAAUUAAAGUUUAAUAAAGGGAUGUCAGAACCGUCAGGCAGUGAAACAUGAGAAUCUUUAAAGAAUAAACUGUACUAAUUGGAUAAAUAAAAAAUUCUGAAAAUUUUAUGGUGGAAAGGUAUAUGAGUCUAGUUUCGGGGAAAAUUUACGGAAUCCAAUUUGGAGCCCUGUAGCUGCAGAUAAAAAUAAAUUGGUGACUGUGACUCAGAAAAACAGCUUGCUGGAAAUUGAACAGUUGAUGAAAUUUAAGUGUGAUUAAAAUUAUGUUACUAUGUAAUCAUGUGAGGAAAUUAUUUAUUUGUCAUAUGUUUACUUACUAAGCUAUAUGCUUACUCGUUUUUAUUUUCCCUUGAUUAUAGUGACAUCAAUCAGCUCGGAACUUGAACGACGUCAGAUAAUCAUCCACACUAUCAUCAAUUUUUUGGGUGUUUUGCAACUAAUACUUUGGAAACAUGGCAUGUAUAGAUGACUUUAUGUAUUGCGGUUUAAAUAUGUAUAUAUAUAUAGUAUGGUUCGGUUUAAAAUGUUGGUGUUUGUUAAUGGAUAAAUUGUGUUUGAACAUACAACUGUAUUUGGUUGGAAUAUUGAAUAUGUUUGGGAUUGUGUUCGAAAAUUUGCAGGGGAUUUUAUGUAAAAAUAAGCAGAAAUGCUGCCGAAAAUUAAAAAAAAAAUAGUAAUAUCUCAUACUCAGUUCCGUUAAGGAAUACGGGUAAGGGGUGUUACAGAAUUGGUAUGUUUAUGUGUAUUUGAAAGAUGUUUUGGUCUAUUGAAUGUAUGCAUAAAUGGAGUGGGUGAUUGGGUAAAUUUUGGUCUUAAAAUGGCUUGUUUAGGGUCAAAUUAUGGAGCAUACUGCCUGGGACACGAGUUGUCACACAGCCUGGCUACGCGGUCGUGUGUCACUUAUUAUUUAAAUUCAAGACUCUGUUAAGCAUAUUCCUAAGUAGUCAGCUUCAACAUACCUACAAGGAGGGUACUUGUUGCACUAAUGCUUUGGCUAAUGCUAGAAUUCAUGUUAAUCCUAACCUUUUUGUCUCAUGUUAAUACCUCUAAUGACUUUUAUGUUGUGUAUUUUGAAAUCCCAGACUUUAUGCGUACUCUUGUGAAUGCCAACUUAGUUGGCACACCUUUAUAUCAUACUCUUUAUAACUAAAUAAAACUCUCCUUUUAUAACAAAAAAGAAAAGGACAGAAAGUGGAUAAAAAAAGAAAGAAAGGAAAAACGAAAAGGAGCGGAGAGGGUUGAGGAAAUAGCUGACUGAAUGUUGGUAGGCUUUUAUCUAGCAUGAUAAUCCAUUAUUCGAAAGGAGGGCAUUCAGGAGAGAGGGGAGGAGAUGAAAGAAAAAGAGAAUAAAAACGGGAUGAAGAGGGAGAAAAGAUGAGGAAGAGCUUAGCCAUCUACUAUCUAGUUGUCCUAAAGCAAAACUGCCACUUGUUUGUCUUAUCUAAUUGGGCUAUGGUUGAUUAUAGACUUGUCUAAUGACUAGGCCACUUAAAGGAAGAGGAAAAAAAACACUUUUUGUAAUAUUUGGAAAAACGAGUUUAGGGGGGGGAGAGAGAGAAUGUCCAUUUAGAAAAUGGUUUGAACUUGGAUUUCAAUAUUCAAUGCCCAAGCACAACCCAUUUUCUAACUUUAUAAUAUAAUAUAUUAACUUUAUUUUAUUGUUAUAUACUACGUAAUAAGAAUUAAAUAUAUAAUACUAUAAUGAAUAUAUAUUUUUAAAAGAAAAGUAAAAAAGAAUAGGUCUAAACAAGCUUGAAUUAGCUAUUUAUAAAUAUAAGUAAGUUUGGACAAAAUUUUAAGUUCAUAUUUCGGACCGAGUCAAACUUGUCCAAAUAUUUAUGAUAUUAUUAACAUGCAUAAAUUUGACUUGACUUAACCCAAGAGCACAUCUAAUUGAGCACAACCUCUCCUCCUUUCUUUUACUAUUUUUUUAUAGUUUAAAAUCUAAAAAAAAUCAUAAUAUUUUUUUAGCAAAAAAAUUAGAAUUUCUUUUUUUGAAUUCCUAUAUAAUUUUUUUAAAAAAAUUUCAAUAUACAUUAAACUUUUAAUAUUAUGCUUUUAAAUCUAUAAUAUUUUAUAACUUUACAAUAUGUUUGGGUAAAUAAUUAUAAAAUAUGUUUGAAUCUAUAUGUUUACUGCAAUAUGGUUAUUAAGAGGUUGAGUACUGCUUUAUCUCGUAGAAGAAGGAUUUGUACUAGAUGAUCAUAGGUUGGGUCAAUGUAAAAAUUUUAAAUUUGUUUUUCAGGUCCGGACUCGGCUUAACUAAACAAAUGGGCCUAAAAUUUUAUUUAAGUUCAACCCAGAUAAAAAAUACUAAAUCUGGACCCGUAUUAAAUUUUUUAGAUUUUUUAUAUAAAAAUAAAUUUAAAAAAUAUAAUACAUCAAAUACUCUAAACACAUUAAAAUAAAUAUUUCUCAACAAAUUGAAAAUAUAUUUUAAAAAAAUUCUUUAUAUUUAAAUAACACUAACAUAGUUAUAACUUAGCAAACAAAUGUUUCUAAAAUAAUUGAAAAAUUAAAAAUAAAAUAAGAGUUAUACAAUAUCUAAAUAAUAGUAGUAAAAUAGUAAUAAUAUAAUAGUGAAACAGUAGCAAAAUAACAACAUAACAGCAAAAAAAUAACAACAUAAAAUCAGUAAACAGCAGCAAAAAAAUAAUUAAAUUCGAGUAAGGUCCAAACUAAAAAAAAUCUUGUCUGAGGCUCAGCCCAUUUAAAACGCGAAUCUUAUUUUUUUCGAAGUUUAUUUUUUGGGUUUAUGUUAUUACCUAAACUCUUUGUGUUUUGAAUGGACUUUGUAAUUCGACUCAUGAUCAAGUCUACUUUAUAAUAAACGCUAUAUAUGAUUGGAAAGAUGGUUUGAUAGGGUACUAAAAUUAAAUGAAAAAUCAUUUAAAAACAAAUUAAAUAUUCAAACAUUAAAUAUAUAUUUUAUAUAUAAUUGGUUUGAACUAAAUUAACAAAUACUUUGAUAAUUUUCAGAAAAUUCCUGUAACGAGAGAAUUAGUCACUGUUGCUAGCGGUUAAUAUCUUUGAUUUCAAUUAAAAAAAUUAUCAAAAUACUUUUUUGAAUAUGAUUUAGUGCAAGUUGCACAAGUAGUUUAAAAUUUGAAGACAUUAUUACUAUUUAAGAUGUAAAUAUAUUUUUUAAAUUGAAACAUUUAAUAUACUUUAUUAUUUUCUAUUUUUUUUUUAAAAAUGAACUAAAUUAAAAAAUGUGCAACAAACUAAAUAGUUAGAAGUUUUAAAUUUAAAUCAAAUUUGAAAUAUAUGAUCUACAUGAAUAUACCAUAAAAUAUAAUGAUUGUAUCAUUAAAAUAUUAAUCAUAUAAAUAGUUACGGAAGUGUGUAAAAUUACUUUAAUUUUUACAUUGUGUAAGUAGAUCAUUCCCCUUAAUAUUAAUAAAUUUUCAUUUUGUUAUAACAUAAUAUUUAAAAUAUGAAUUAAGAUUAAAAAAUAAAUUAUAAAUAUGAAUAUAAAUAGGGUGAGGAAUUAAUACCUUUUUUUAUUCCACAAAUAACUUUAAAAAUUGACAUGUCUCUCUUUCCUUUAAAUAUUUUAUUAUACCAUUAUAAAACACUUGUCAAUCUCUUGGUACUGUUAGUGGAGUCUAAAAACUCCAUUGGCAGUGAACUAAAUGAUUUCUCAUAACUUAUUAUUGAAGUUAUUAAAUUCCACAAGUAAAGUCAAGAGGUUGAUAAAUACCUUUUAAAAGUAUAAUAAAAUAUUUUAAAAAUUAAAUAUUUUAAUAUUGCUUGUAGAAUAAAUAAAUAAAACAGUAUAAUUUUGAAUUAGUUGAAAAUAAUUUAAAUAAUAAUUAGAAAACUAUUUUUUAAAAGAUGUGUUGUAAAAUUUAUUCAAAGUGUAAAACACAAAUUAUUCCUUCAAUGCUUUGCAAAAAAAAAAAAAAAUUUCCUUCAAAAAAAGAUAAUUAUUAAAAAAUAUAGUUAGAUAUAUGUCUAUAUUAAUAAAAGAUUAUCUAUUAACAAAAUUACUUUACUUUAAUUGUCAUAAAGUAAAACAUUAAUCUCAUAUUUAUAUUUUUAAGAUUAUGCAAAUGAGUUCUUUUUAAAAAAAUAUAUAAGAUAAUUCAAGUUUUGGUCUUUGUUGUCGCUGUGGUUACUCAGUUUGCUCUCUCAAUGGAGUUUGUUAUUGCCAUCGUUGGCUCUAUUGUCGCUAAAGCUGUAGAGUAUACGAUCUCUCCUAUCAAAAACCAUGUCAAAUACCUUUCCAAUCAUCAGCAAUAUGUUGAGACCCUCAAGGACCGAGCUGAGAGGCUGAAAGAUGCAAGGGUCAGAGUGCAGCAUUCUGUUGAUGCAGCUAAACGAAACGGUGAGGAGAUCGAAGGUGAAGUUGACAAAUGGCUGUCUGCAGUCGACAACAAGAUCCUUGAACAAGUAGAGAAAGUGAUGCAAGAUGAAGAAAAAGCAAAGAAAAAGUGUUCCAUUGGUUUGUGUCCUAAUUUCAGGACUCGUUACAAGCUUAGCCUGAGAGCUGAAGAGGAGGCAAAGGCUGUUGCCGAGUUACUUGAACAUGGUAAGUUUGAAAGGGUUUCCUAUCGUGCAGCUCCGCAAGGUAUCGUGGUUGCACCAGUUAAAGGUUAUGAGGAAUUCGAGUCAAGAACGUCGAUUUUGAACGGAAUAAUGGAGGCACUAAAAGAUGAUAGCGUCAGCGUUGUUGGGGUGCAUGGUACGGGUGGGAUUGGAAAAACAACGCUGGUCAAAGAAAUCGCUAGAUAGUUCAAGGACAAGUUGUUUGAUUCGGUUGUCAUAGCAACCGUAACUCAAGUCAUCGAUGUUGAGAAGAUUCAGAACCAAAUUGCAGACUUCUUGGGCUUGAAAUUUGAGGAACAGAGUAUGGUUGGAAAGGCAAUUCGACUACGAGAAAGAUUGAAGAAAGAGAAGAGUAUUCUGGUUGUCUUGGAUGACAUUUGGGAAAAGGUUGAUAUUGAGGAAGUAGGGAUUCCUUUGGGAGAUGAACACAAGCGCUGCAAAUUACUAUUAACUUCUAGAGAGCUCAAUGUUUUAUCAAAUGAGAUGGAUGCUCAGAAAAUUUUCCCGUUGGGUUUUUAAAGGAAAAGGAAGCCUGGGACCUGUUCAAGAAGAUGGCUGGCAACUGUGAUGAACGUUGCGAUUUGAAGCCUAUAGCUAUGAAGGUGCAGGACUGCCGAUAGCCAUUGCGACAGUUGCAGGGGCUUUGAGAAACAAAAGAUUGUUUGAAUGGAAGAAUGCUUUACGAGAACUGGGGAGGCCUUCGUCAAGCAACUUCACGGGGAUAACUGCGGCAUAUUCAGCUAUAGAGUGGAGUUUUAAUUAUUUAGAAAGCAAGGAAGUUAAGCUGACUUUCUUGCUUUGCAGUGUAAUAGGCCAUAAUGGUCUCGUUGAGGACUUGGUAAGAUAUACUCUAGGUUUGGGUUUAUUUGAUGGUGUCCACACUAUGGAAGAAGCUAGAAAUAAAGUAUUGACGGUUGUGGCUAAUCUCAAAGCGUCUGCCUUGUUGCUUGAUGGUUAUAAUGAUAAGCGCUUUGAUAUCCAUGAUGUUGUUUGGGAUGCUGCUAUUGCUAUUGCAUUGAAGGACUACCGUAUGCUUGUUUUGAGAGAUCAUGCUCCAAAGGAGUGGUCCGAUAAGGAGAAAAUGAAGACGUGGAAUGUGAUCAGCUUACGUUGUCCUCAUAUUAUAGCUAACCUUCCUAAGGAGAUGGAGUGUUCAGGACUUUCCUUUUUCCAUAUGGCCUAUGAUGGCGCGGUUAAAAUUCCUCUCAAUUUCUUCAAACAAACCGAAGGCCUCAAAGCCUUAGAUUUGGUCGGAAUGCAGUUUCAAUCCCUCCGUAAAUCAAUUAUUCACCUUGCAGACCUUCGCAUGUUGUGUCUGAAAAAAUGUGCAGUUGAUGACAUAACCAUCCUUGGAGAGCUCAAGAGUUUACAAGUACUCAACCUUUCUCAGUCAGGUAUCAAAGAACUACCUAAGGAGAUGGCACAAUUGACUCAAUUAAGGUUGUUAGAUUUGAGUUGGUGUAGAGAACUCAAAAUCAUCCCACCGAAUGUCUUAUCAGGUUUGUCUAAAUUAGAAGAAUUAUAUAUGGAUGAAAGCUUUGUUGAAUGGGAAAAGGGAGGAGUAGUUGAAAAUGAGAGGAAAAAUGCAAGCCUUGAUGAAUUAGAACAAUUUGCCUUGUCUAACUACUUUAUAUGUUCAUAUUCUUGAUCUCCAAAUGAUACCAAAACACUGGUUUGUUGAAACAUUGGACAGAUUCAGGAUUUUCGUGGGUAAUUAUGGAAUAUUUGAUUGUUGCCUUAAUUAUGAAUCUCCGAAAGCAUUGAAGCUCAAGUUAUAUACAAACAUUGAUUUGGACAAUGGGAUGAAAAAGUUGUUGAUAAAGACAGAAGAUUUGUGCCUAGAGGGACUUAAAGGCGUCAAGAAUGUACUUGUGAAGUUAAAUAAUAGGAAAGAUCUUCUAAAUUUAAAGAGACUUCAUGUCAAAAAUGGUAGGCAUGUCCAAUAUAUUAAAACGAACAAAAUUGGAUUUUCUGAAUUAUGCUUCAUCACACUUGAAAAUCUACCGCAACUCGUUAGCUUUUGCUCUCCAGACGAAAGGUGUUCCACUAUGCCCUUCCUACUUUUCAAUAAACAGGUAUUUGUUUGGCUUUACUUAUAUUUCCUUAUACAACUUUUAUUUAUAUGCCCAUUAAUACUUCUAAUAAUAGAAAUAAAUAAUAUUGUCUAAUGGUUUUUCCGAGCUCAAAAAUAAAUUUCAAAUCCAAAACAAAUGAAAAUUUAAUUUUUAAUCCAAACCGAUUGAAAGUACAAAGUCAAUUCAAUAAUCUAAAUUUAAACCUAACAUUUUUUUUUAAUUCUGAAAAUGAAAUUUGAGCCCACAAAUCGAGCUAAAAUUAUCUUUAAAAUCGAAAAUCAUAUUUUCAAAUUAUGUUACAUACUAUCUUUCCCUAUCGAAAAAGAAUUGUGUGUAAAUAUGUGCAAUUUAUUUUCCCUCACUUGGAAAGCUUGUAAUUGUGUUCCAUUAACACCAAAAUAAUAUGGCACAACCAGACAUGUCAUUGGGUUACGAAUUUGAGGAGCUUGAUCAUCAAAGGAUGCGGCAAGUUGGAGCAUCUGUUAUCACUUUCUCUCGCUAGAAGUCUGGUGCAGCUCCAAUGCUUUGAGAUAAAGGAUUGCAACUGCUUAAGGGACAUAAUACUUACAGAGGAAAUUGAAGAAGAAAGGAAAGAUGUGAUUUGUUUCCCUCGAUUAAACUCCCUGCAUAUAGUGGGUCUUCCAAACCUCAUCUUCUUCAACUCAGGAAACCACAAUAUUGAGUUCCCAUUGUUGAAAGUGCUAAAGAUUGAGCGUUGCCCCAAUUUUAUAGAAUUCAUUAGUCAGAGUAGUAAUCAGUCUGGCAUGCACGCUCUCUUCAGUGAGAAGGUGAUUUAUUUCAGUAGUCUUACACUCUUGCAUAAAUCUGUUGAUUUGUCCUUGUUAUUUUGUCUGGCAUUAUAUGAGCUAACUUUUGUACUGGCACGAAUUUUAAAUAGGUUGCAUUUCCUAGGUUGGAAAAGAUGACAAUCAAAAAGUUGAGAAAUGUGAAAAUGAUGUUUCAUAAUAACUUUGCACCAGGUUCUUUUCAAAAUCUACGAGUAAUAAGAGUUGAGGGAUGUGGGAGUCUGAAAAAUCUAUUUCCAGUGUCAAUAGCCAAAGAUCUUCCACAACUUGAAGAUUUAUGCAUCACUAAUUGUGGAGUGGAGGAGAUUGUAUCGAAAGGGGAAGGAGUGGAGGAGCAGCCUGUGAGGUUUGAGUUUCCGCAAGUGUCUUCCCUUGAGGUUACAUCCCUAAAAGAGCUCAAAUGUUUCUAUGAAGGGCAACAUACAAUAGUCUGGCCCCUGUUGAAAAAAUUGAAAACAGAUUGUUCUGCUUUGCUAAAGAUAGUGGCUUCGGAACAUCUUAGAUUAAUCCAAGGAAAUGAGCAGCCAGUUUUGUUGGUUGAAGAGGUAUGUAUAUCAUUACAACUAUAUUUCUUUUUAUGAUUUAAGCCACCGUCACAUCCAUCUCUUGUUGAUAUAUAUAUUAUUUGAAACGGUGGUUGCUUAUCCAUUUUAAUUCGGAUUUUUUAUGCACUUCUUUCAGCUUAUUUUUAUCAUUUUUUUAUUUCUAAGGUAUUGUGCUUUCUUAAAACAAAAUAUUCAUCUAUUUUGGAUUGGUUUGAUUUAAUAUUGAUUUUGUUGAGAUUUAAUCAUCGAUAUCAAACACCAAAAUUGUAGAUCUUAUGUUCUUUUUAAGCAUAUAGAUCAACAUUGUGCCUAACUUGUUUAUGUUUAAAUGGUUUCAAGGUCAUUCCCAAUUUAGAGGAACUUGAGUUAUUAAAUUGGGUAAACUACACCCAUGAUCACUUUUGUUUACCUUAGGUUACGUUUUAGUCACUUUUGUUUGAAAUGUUACGUUUUAGUCAUUUACGUUAUCAUGUUGUAACAUUUUAGUCACUGAGCCAUUAAUCGUCGUUAAUGGUGUAACGGUAAGCUGACGUGGCACGUUAAAUCAUCAUUUCAAACAAAAUUUUAGGUUAAAUUAUACAAUUGAUCCCCAUAUUUUUUUCGUUUUAAGUAAUUUAAUUUUUUUUCUUUUAUGUUCUUUAAACUUUCCUCUUUUUUUCCAUUCUCUUUUGUUUCUCCCUCUGUUUUCAUACAUUUCUCAUUUCUUUUAACAUAUUAGGAAGUCGAAUUGGCAAUGAAAAAGAAGUAGGAAGUCGACUGUCAUUAUUUGCCUAUAACCAAAACCCAUAAACCCAUACAAUGCUUCUUUCUUUACUACCAAUUCGACUUCCUGGUAUGUUAAAAGAAAUAAAAAAGGUAGAAAAACAGAAGAAGAAGAAGAAGAGAAUGGAAAAGAAAAAAGAAAAAAAGAAAGAGAAAGUUAAAAGAACAUAAAAGAAUUAAAUUGCUCAAAAUGAAUAAUUAUGGGGACCAAUUGUAUAAUUUAACUUAAAGUUUUUGUUUGAAAUGAUGAUUUAACGUGCCACGUCAGCUUACCAUUACACCAUUAAUGACAAUUAACGGCUCAGUGACUAAAAUGUUACAACACGAUAACAUAAGUGACUAAAACGUAACAUUUCAAACAUAAAUGACUGAAAUGUAACUUAAGAUAAACAAAAGUGACCAUGGGUGUAGUUUACCCUAUUAAAUUUUGGUGAUAUGGACCAGUUUCCACCAGCCUUGUUUCAAGAUAUUAAAGUUUUUGUUGUGUGUGGUGGCUCUCGAUCUUCUAUAUUUCCUUUCGUCCGAAGAUUUUACAAUUUGGAUAGUUUUUGGCUUUUUGGUUUUGAUUUCAAAUACGUAGUCCCUUGUAAAGGAGACGUUGGGACUCUCACACCAAUUAGAAAUCUGAUGCUGGAUCGUGCAAUGAAUCUUUAUCAUAUAUGGAGGAAAGAUUUGGAGUUUGACCAUAUUCUUUCUAAUCUCCAAAAACUCGAAGUUUGGGAAUGUGAUGAUUUGAUAAAUAUUACAGUCUCCUCCUCAUCUUUGCAAAAUCUCACAACUUUGGAUGUGUCAUUUUGUCAAAUGAUGACAAACUUAGUUACACCCUUAGUGGUUAAGAAUCUUGUGCAAUUAACGAGAAUGAGUGUGGCGGGGUGCAGUAAAAUGACAGAAAUAGUGGGAAAUGGGGGAGACUGCCAUCAGACAAUAGUUGUGAGUAAAUUGAAAUGUUUAGAACUAAGCUAUUUAGAGAGCCUCACAAGCUUUUGUUCAAGGAAUUACACCUUCAACUUCCCUUGUUUGGAAGAAUUAGUUGUGGAACGCUGUCCUAGAUUAAAGACCUUUACUGAAGGAGUUUUAAGCACCCCACAGUUACAAAGAGUAAUACAGUCGCGUUACCCUGAGAAAUGGAGUUGGGCAAGUGACUUAAAUACCACCAUACAACAGCUCUACACGGAAAAGGUACUAAAUUAAUAAGUUCAUAAAACUAGUUAGCUUCUUCCUGUCCUAAUAAAAUUAAUUUUAUUAAUACUUCAUUAAUCAUUGAAGAGUGUUUAUCGUUAUUUUGUUAUUGUUUGCAUUUUCUAUUUGUGAUUGCUAUCUAGUGGAAUAAUAUUAUAAAUUUUUUUUUAGGAUGGAUUCUAUGACGGAUACAAUUUGGACAUCUCUGACACAAUUCCCAAGUCAAUAGAAAUAUGGAUUAGAAACCCUCAAGAAAUUUUGGGCUUCAAAAACCUUGUUUCGUUGCAUUUUUAUAAAUGUAGUAGCUUGAAGUACGUAUUUACUUCGUCUAUGCUUUUGAGCCUCAAUCAACUACAAUGGAUAAAAGUAAAAGAAUGCAGUUCAAUGGAACAAGUGAUUAGGGAGGAAGCAAUGACAGAUAAAUUCACAUUUCUUGCACUCUUCUCCAUAAGAAUUGAGUUGUGUUCCAACUUGACAAAUUUCUAUUUGGGAAGUCAAGCUCUUGAAUUUCCAGAGUUGUAUGAAAUCGCAAUAUUUGAGUGUCCAAAAAUGACUACAUUUUCUUCCUCGGUUUCAAGAGGAGGUGGUGAUGCAAGUGAAAACGUGGUUGGCGAGGGGGGCGUCUAUGAUAACCCUGCAAUUUUUUUCAGCAAUAAGGUAAGUUUAGUAUUCAAUAUUUAUCUGCACAACUUAUUUCACAUUUUCCUUUUAUUUGAUUAAUUUAUAUGAGUGUGUCUGGUCUAUAUAUAUAUAUAUAUAUUAGUGUUAAUGUCACGUGAUACGUGUUGAAAAAAAUUAAUAUAAUAAAAUCCAUAAAAAUAUUAAUAAAUAAGAUAAUGUUUUUUAAUUUGAAGUUUAAAGUAUAAAUAAAUAUAUAAAAUAAGAAUAAAGGAAAAACUUGAAAGUGAAAUACUAAUAAACAAUAAGAAUUUAAGAGAAGUUUUAAAGUUAAUACUAAUGGACAAUAAAUAAUAAAAUAAUAAUAGAAAAUAAAAUAAAAAACUAAUCUUCAUCUAUUUUAAUUUGAAGAAUAUUUGAUGUAUUGGUGGUACACAAGUUUCAUGUAUCAUCGGUGAAUAAAAACAUACAAUUAUCAUUAAAUACCACAAAAAUAUAGUAAAGGGUUAUAAAUAAAUACUAAUAAAUUUAUGUAAACAUAAUUAAAUAAAAAUUAAUUAUAAUUAAAUGUUAAAACCCUAAAUCCUAAACUUGAAAUUCUAAGCCCUUAAACAUAAGAUCUUAAAUCCGAAAGUUAUUAAUAUUUAUUUAUAAUAGCUACGACUAGUGUUAAAUAAAUUUUUCAUCUUUUUUAACUUUUGAACUUGCAUUUUUGUCAAAUCACCUUAAAAUGAAUGAAAAAGUUUAUGUUUGUUAACUUCGCUUAUGUGGCAAUCCAUGUGUAUGCAAAAUUAGCAAUUAAUUAAUUUUAAAAUAUUUUAUAUAUUUUUAAAUAUUUUUAUAAAAUUUUCAAAAUAAAAUAAAAAUUAAUUGUUGACAUGUCAUCUACGGGCAAUCCAAUGUAUAUAACAUCAGCAAAGUUAACAAAUGUCAAUUUUUUUUCUCUGCUUUGAAUGAUUUGACAAAUAACACAAGUUCAAAGGAUAAAAGAAAUAAAAAUUAAAAUAGAGAGCUAAAAUGAAAUUUUUUUAGAAAGUUGGAGGGUUAAAUAAAUUAUCUAUGCCUAACUCUUAAAAAAGGUAACUCAUUAAAUAACUUAAGUAAUUAAUGUAAAUCGUUAAUGGAAACUACAUAAAUAUGUGAGUCCAACUUAAUUAGAAACAAGCAUAUUCCCCUGUCGAAUUGCAUCAAUAAUAAUCAUUCAACAAUCAUUAUAGUAUAUAUGAAAGCUCUAAGUUGUAUAGAAAAAGGCUUCUUUCUUUAAAAAGAAAAAAAAACAAGUUUUGCUUUAGGUUAGAUUUAUGCUGCUGAACAUUUUAUCUAAAUAAAAAAGGUCCACGUCUGCUAGCUAUAUUUAUCAGUUUAUAAAUCUUCAUACUCAUCUACUCUUUUUGAUUGUGUUUGUAAGUAAAGAAGGAAGAGUUAUGGUGUUAUCUUAUAAUGAAAUUUAUGUCAACAGGUUGUCAUUCCUUGUUUGCAGCAUCUGGAAUUGUCCUUCGUUAACAUUCAUGAGAUAUGGCACCACCCAUCCUCCCCAUCCAUCAGAUUCCUAAAUUCCUUGCAAGUGAAGAGGUGUCACAAUUUGAAAUACCUGUUCCCAUCUUUCUUGGUAAAAGAUCUUGUGCAACUCCGACGCCUUGAAAUUUUGGACUGUAAUAUGAUGGAACAAGUAAUAUUCACGGAUGGAUUGGUUGAAGAACAUCAAGGGAGGAAUCAGAUGUUUUUCUCUGAACUAGAAUUGCUGUGGCUAAAAGACCUUCCCAAACUCACAAGUUUCUGCUUUGAGAAUUACUUUGAAUUCCAAUGUUUGACAGAUUUAGAACUAACAAAUUGUCCAUUGCUAAAAACAUUGAUCACUAAAUGUGUAUCCGAAGGUGAACCUGAAAUUGGCCAACAUGUACAAGCGAGUAACUUGGAGGUUCAUAACUCAUCUCUCCUCAAUGAAAAGGUCAUUUCUUUACGGGUUCUCCUUUUAAUUUAUGUUGCUUCGAUUGAUCUUAUUCAUUUGAAGUUCUUUCUUUUCCAUGCAUAUUUCAGUUAUUAACCUAAUGAAAUUGUAAUACCCAAUUUUAGCCCGGGCUCACAUAUGGAAACAUAAUUUUUGAGGAUAUGCAAUCUUAUAUAUGAUAUGCAAUCCUAGACAUUAUAUGCAAUCUUAGAUAUGAUGUAUAAUCUUUGAUAUGACAUGCAAUCUUAGAAGAUAUGAUUUUGUAAUCUUAGAGAUACCCUUUAAUUUCAGCCAUUGAUGUAAUUGAUCUGUACCGUUGGAUUUGGGGAGACUCAACUAUAAAUAGAGGCCUCUCCCUUCAUUGUAAAAGUGGGGGGAAGAGAAAAAAAGGGAAGAGAAAAAAAGAGGAAGAGGAAUAAAAAAGAGAAUGAUUGGCAGUUUUUAAAGGUGGCUUACUAUUUUUUUUCUUUCGAUUAUUUUUUUACUUAUUUACGAUUUUAAAAAGGAGAAGAAGGUGAUACCACUGUGAAUUUUAUUUAUUUAUUUUAUUUAGCCCCUCCGCCUUUUAAUGUUUUUGUAAUUAAGUUUUUUUUCUUAAUUUAUCCUUUUAUUUAUUUUUAUUUCAAUUGGGUCUAAGUUGAACGGCGUCGUUUUAGAGGAGAAGGGAAAAUUUCCCUUCCAGCCCCUCUAUGUAAUUCGCGUGUUCAAAUUAAUCCUUUUACUUUUAUUUAUUUGCGAAUUUACCCCAGUUUUUUUAUUGCAAUUCAAUUUAGUUUUUCUUUUCUUUCUUUUCAUUUAUUUUAUUAAUUAAUAACGUAAUCAUCUUUUUUAUUUUUAUUUUUUUAAAAUCUAUACAUGUAUAUUUUUAUGCACAUUUUUUUAAACUUAUAUUUUUCUCAGAUUUAUAUAUAUAUGUACGUAUAUAUAUUUUUUAAUGUACUCAUUAUUUAACUGUUUUUUAUCUAUAUAUAUUCCUUUUAUAUGUACGUGUAUAUAUUUAUUUUUAACGAAUAUUUUUCCUAUAUUUUUUUAAAUGAAUAUUUUCAUCUUUAUAUGUAUAUAUUUAUGAUUUUUUAAAAUGAUUAAAUACUCACUUUUCCUUUUAAAACACACCCUUUUUUAUUAUUUUAUAUAUGUACGUAUAAUUAUAUUUUUCUUUAUUUUCAUAAGUAUAUUAUGUAUUAUAUAUAUGUAUAAAUUCUAUAACCCAAAAUUUUAUUUGUAUAUUAUAUUUAUAUUUUUAAUCUUCAUAACUUUCAUGUGUAUAUUAUAUGUCUUCUAAUCUUUAUUUAUUUUGUUUGCUAUCCCAUCCAUUGUAUAAUUGUCUUUACAUUUAAUAUUUUGCAUGUCAUGGAUUACCUUUUUUUAUUUCGUUUAUUCAUUUGCUUAUAUUAUUUUUAUGUCGAUGAUGUAUUUAUUAUUAUUAUUAUUAUAGCAUUUGUAUGUAUAAAAUCACGUUACAUCAUUUUUUACUCAAAUUUAAAGAUAGAAAAUUUUUUAAAAUUGAGAUAAUGUUCGUAUUUGAGAUUUUCAAGGGAAUUGAGCCCUAACGUAUUGGGUUCUGAUUUUCUUCGUUAAAUCCGACAAUCGAGCAUUUCUCUUCAAUCAAGAAAAUAAUAAAAACUCAUUAUUGGGAAUUCAACACGUUGUGUCCUAACGUAUUGGAUGUGACGCAUUGAUUUCUCGAAAUGAAGAUUUUUUUUUAAAAUCAUGAAGGAAAUAUUCCGAGUUUGAGAUUCUAAAGGAAUUGUGCCCUAACGUAUUGGGUGUGAUUUCUUAAAUCUUGGAUAAGUGGAUGUUCUUUUAAAGUAAAGGAAAUAUUCCGAGUUUGGGAUUCUAAAGGGAUCGUGCCCUAACGUAUUGGGUGUGAUUUCUUAAAUCUUGGAUGAGUGGAUGUUCUUUUAAAGUUUUAUUGUAUAAGUAUUCUGACCUAAUUCAUUUUGGAGGAAAUUAGAAUGUUGUGCCCUAACGUAUUGGGUGUGGCAUUUUUGCUUCUCUGAAUUGAAAAGGGUCUUAAUAUGUAACGUUUUAAGUUUUUAAAGAUUAUAUUUUUAAAAUUUUCGACCUUAAGGCAUUAAUUAAUUAACUAGGUACCAAUUUUUGGGCGUAAUGAGGGUGCUAAUCCUUCCUCAUGCGUAACCGACUCCCGGACCCGUUCUUCUAAAAUUCGUAGACCAAAGUCGUUUUUAGGUGACCCAAUCACACCUUAAUAAAAGAUUGGUGGCGACUCCCAAUUUCAUUUUUUUUUAAGUCGACAACCUAAAAUUUUUGUUUUUCAAAAAUGGUUUCGACAGAAAUGAUUUAGCAGGUUGUUUUCCCUAGUUUGGAGAAGUUGCGGAUUCAGAAUUGUGAUUCGUUAGAACAAAUUAUUGAGCUGCAAGGAGUCAUUGCUGAUGAGUCACAGUCAACAUCAGCUACUCAGUCUAUUAUGGCUGAAACAGAGACGACCAAGUUUGUAUUUCCCAAACUAAUAAACCUCGGAUUGGAUAAGGUGCCGAGAUUGAAAAGUUUCUACUCUAGGAUGCAUACCACCCAGUGGCCUUCAUUGAAACAAAUGGACAUUAUUGAAUGUCCCAAAGUACAGAUAUUAACUCCACAAUGUCCUGAGUGUCAGGUUGGAAUCUCAAACCAACAACCCUUGUUUUGCGUCAACGAGGUGAGCUCACUAAUAGUUUCAUACUCCAUGUUCAUUACUUGAGAUUACCUAUAAAAUGCCUUUUGAAAUAACUAAUAUUCUCACCUUCCUUUUAAAUUUAUGAGAAAUAAAAUGGAAAUGAUAUCCAUUCUGUAGUCUAGUUCUUACCAAUUCAAAACUCUUUGAUCAAUGUUUAAUAUAUUCGUUGCCAUCCAGGACACUUUCCCUAUAUUAGAAGAACUGACACUAAAGACGAAUGAUAUGGUGAAGGGGAUAUGUGAUGGACAGCUCUCAUUGCAGUGUUUCCAAAACCUUAAACUUCUUAACCUCCAAUUGUUUCCUGAGGCAUCCACUACUCUUCCAUAUUCAUUCAUUCGGUCACUACCAAUGCUUCAUAAGCUUGUUAUAGACAAUGCUUCCAUUUGUCAAAUAGUACAAUCUGAAGGACUCAGCUACGACGAAAGGAAUACAUCAGUGUUCUAUCAGCUAAAGGAAUUAAGUUUGUGUCAACUUCCAGAGUUGACGUUAAAGACUUUUGAACCAUCUUUGCUGUCUUUCAAAAAUCUAACAACACUGGAAGUUUCAAGCUGCCAUGGGUUCAUCAAUUUAAUCGCAUGCUCAACAGCUAAGUGCCUGACGCUACUGGAAAGAUUGAGCAUAGAUGAUUGUGGGAUGAUUGAGGAAAUCAUAGCGUGUGAGGCUGAAGAAAUGCAAGGCGGCAUUGUAUUUCCCAAACUGCAGUAUUUGCAACUAAGCUGUCUGCCAUGUCUAGCAAGCUUUUCCUUGGCCCAUCACUUGUUGGAAUUCCCAGUCUUGCUAAUGGUGAAGGUGACAAAGUGCUCCAAAAUGAGGAAUUUCUGCCAAGGAGAUUUAAGCACACCAAGGCUGGAACAAAUGCACUUAACAAGAGAUGAGGAAGGUGAACUGCAGUGGGAAGGCGACCUUAACACUACCAUAAAACAUAUGUUCGAUGAAAUGGUACAAAUCAUUUAAAGGAUUUAAAUUCAUGUGUUUUUACAUACAUACAUAGUUAACUGAAUAAUUCUUGGUUUGUUAUGAUCAUGCACAGAAUGUGCAAAAUUUGGAGGUGACGGAGGUUACUGAUCAGUUGCCCAAGCUGGAAUAAGGAAAUAUGUUUGGGUGCUUAUGCGAAAAGCUCAGUUUCGUUUCAAAUAAAAACAAAUGGUAAUUGACUUCUAUUUCAUUAUGGCUUAACUAAUGCUUUAUAAAGUGACCAUAGAGACGCCCUUUCUAUUGUAGGUUGAGUUGCUCUACUGAAGCACAUGGCUGCAUCUGUUGGUAGAACGUGAAAGGUUAUUUCAGUUUUUGUAAAACUACAAUUUGAACUGUUCCAUUUCACAACAUAACCUCAAUAUUGAAUUUCAAGUGCAUCAUGCAUGACAUUGGGAACUACAAACAUGCAAACUUUUACUAGUAAGGUUGACCCCUGUUUUAAUAUUCGAAUUCUUCUUAAAGGUGGAUGGAUUUGCCAACUUUUGAUGGUUACCAUAUCAAUAUCAGCUUGGGGUUUAGACGAUGUGAUUAAGAUUGCUAUACAUACUGUGUUUGUGCUUGUGUCAUCUUUCUUGUUCUCUCUAUAAAGAUUAUUACGUACUUAUUUCUAUGCAAUCUCACAAUUUUCUGAUGAAAAAAGUUAAAGCUAAUAACUCCAUUCCCAAGUUUCCCAUAUUCAUCCUCACAAAAACAUAAAUGAUAAAAACCCCAUUUCUCUUUUAGUCAAUAGGAGAAACAAUCUAAAGUUAGAAUAAAACAAACCAAUGCCAUGUUUAUAUUGAAUUAAAUCGCAUGCAUACAUGUAUCAAUUGUUCUGUAGUGAACAGCAGUCACGUUAUAUUCAACUAUGGCAUCUCCAUCUUAUUAAACCAAGCUACAAUGUGAUUAUUCAAGUGCUAUCCAUGUGAUUAUUCUUAUAUUUAAAUAUAAUAAGUUCAUUUAAUAAUUUUUAUAAUAAAUAUAAUAAUUCAAUCAAUAUCAAUUAAGCGAAUUUUUAAUCAAUCAAUUGAAUUUAAUCUGAUUAUAAAAAGUCAAUAAUCCAAACUUAUUCAAUUCGGAUUCAAAUGAACUUGAAAGGGAUUUAUUGGAAAAUUCAAUCUUCAAACUCAAGUGAUUUGAAUUUUGUUAGGGAUUGACCCGGUUAAGCAACGAACAAGUAAAAAUAAGGAAAGAAAUUAAGAAAUUGAACACACAAAUUUAACAUGUUAAAACCCCUCCAAAGAGGAUAAAAAAUCACGAGUAAAGAUAAUUUUACUAUGAUGGCAAAAGAAUGAAGAGUAUAGAAGAUGAAGAUAAAAACUAAAUCCCAAAAACCAAAUUCAUAGGUCAAAUAAUAAUAAAAUAAUCUAGAUUAAUCAGAGUUUGAUUAAAAUAAAUAAAUACAAUCUAACUAUUGAUAACAAGUGCUAUCCAUGUGAUUAUUCUUAUAUUUAAAUAUAAUAAGUUCAUUUAAUAAUUUUUAUAAUAAAUAUAAUAAUUCAAUCAAUAUCAAUUAAGCGAAUUUUUAAUCAAUCAAUUGAAUUUAAUCUAAUUAUAAAAAGUCAACAAUCCAAACUUAUUCAAUUCGGAUUCAAAUGAACUUAAAAGGAAUUUAUUGGAAAAUUCAAUCUUCAAACUCAAGUGAUUUGAACUUUGUUAGGGAUUGACCCGGUUAAGCAAUGAACAAUUAAAAAUAGCAAAAGAAAUUAAGAAAUUGAACACACAAAUUUAACAUGUUAAAACUUCUCCAAAGAGGAUAAAAAAUUACAGGUAAAAAUAAUUUUACUAUGAUGGCAAAAGAAUGAAGAGUACAAAAGAUCAAUAUAAAAACUAAAUCCCAAAAAUCAUAUUGAUAGGUCAAAUAAUAAUAAAAUAAUCUAGAUUAAUAAGAAUUUGAUUAAAACAAAUAAACACAGUUUAACUAGAAUAUUAUUUCUCAAAUUUGACUGAAAUAGGAGUUAUACUCAACAAACUCAAACAUAAAAUUAUUACUUGGAUGUGAAUGAUUUGAAUUGAAAUGGUGUGAGGCCCCAUUAUGCUGUCAGCGAAAUCUAAAGAUUGGGGCCCCAAACCAUUCAAAUUCCAGGACUGUUGGAUGCAAGCUAAAGAGUUAGAUCGACUUAUUCAUGAUCGAUGGAAGGAAAUGGAGGUUCACGGCCAGGCAAAUCAGGCCUUGAGAAUGAAACUAAGUCCUUUAAAGUGUUCUCUGAAAAUGGAACAAAAAUUUCUUUUGGUAGUUUGGAUCAUAGAAUCCACUUGAUAGAAAAUGAAGUGGAGGAUGUUGAUAAAAGGGGCGAUAUUUCGGUCAUGACCGAGGAGGAUGUCAACCGUGGAAAAGAGACUACGGGUGAAUUAUGGAAACUUAAUCGUUCUCGAGAAAUCUUAUGGAGACAAAAAUCUAGAGUAAAGUGGAUUGGGGAAGGCGACCGUAAUGCAAGUUUCUUCCAGUGCAAAGCCAAAUUUAGAGCUAGGAGUAAUUGCAUUGAAGGUCUGUUUGCGAGCGGAUUUCUUGUCCGAACUUAGUCAAAAAUGCAAUUUGGGAAUACUUCCGAAAACAGUUCUGUGGCGUUCAUUGGGACAAACCUACUUUAAGGGGUUCGGAUUUUACGAUAUCUUUGCUUCUUCCCAAUGGUCUCAAAGCAUGUUUUGGUGUUUGAGUCUGAUUCAAUGGUUGCGUUGACAGGCCUGCCUCCUAUGUGGCUUGGCUGUUGUUUAUUGCACCUUUGUACUUCAAAAUAAUUUCAACUCUUUCAAUCCGAAUUAAAUUGAUUCGAACUUUAAAUAAUGAGUGAUAAACUUAAAAUUAUCUUAUUAGAAAAUUUAAACUUCAAAAUAAAUUGAGUGACUUAAACUUAAAUUUAACUUUAAUAUGAAACUGAUUUGAAUCCAAAUGAUUUUAAAAUUUCUAAUUUCGAAUUAAUCUAUCUAGAUCAAAAACCAACUCUAGUUAUAGCUUGACCCAUCACAAAAAUAUAAAAGAUAAUUUGAGAACAUAUGAGGCAACUUGUAGGUAUGGUGUAUAUGUAAUUGGAUAAUUACCCUCUCCCUAAAAAAUUAUGUCGCAGCGUACUCAAUUAUAUAUCUAGGGGUUUUUUUUCCCUUUUUGAUGUGGGAUUAAUGACUUUAAUCAUGUGUCCUUAAAUGACUCAGAGUUCGGAAUCACGAGUGAUAAAAGGCUCUGGUGUUUAACAAUCAACUAGACUCAACCAGAGCUCGGUAAUCAGCUGGACGAACAGAGUAAGCGAUAUCAAACAUUAAGCGCAUAAUUUCAGAUUCUUUGGACUCCAGCCGAGCUAAAGCUAACAUAAGCGAAAGCUAUCAUAUCAAACGGCUCGAUGCAUUUGCCGAAGUAUAAUUUGGAAAAUGUUUUGGACUGUUUUGAGGAGCUUGGGUGAUGUUGGCCAUUCAUAACAAAUAUAAAUUUCCCAUGGUUUAAGUGCAUUUGUCCUUUUGUUUCUAUAGCAUGCGAUCUAGGGAGAGGUCGUGUUGAUACAUUGAAUCAAUGGAUGUGAAGAUGGAAGGGAAUGAAUUCUAAGAAAACACACCAAAGUUAUUGAUUUGAUGAAAAAAUAAAAAAAAUGUUGUAUAAUUAUAUUAAAAAUAACCCGACUCGAAAUCUGACCUAGGAUCCGACCCUAUAUAAUAGAAUUCUACAAACAUCCCAUAAAAAAAGAAGAAUCUUCUUCUUUAUGGCUAGACAAGAAUUCUCUCUUCUCCAUCUCCACAUCCGUUGAUCUAAUGAAUCAACAAUCAGCAGUAUUUUAGACUGUAUAUUUGAUUUAUAAUGUAUUAAUUAGUUCAAAUGAUUAAUAUAAUUUGAAAGCAUAUUUUUAAAUCUAAAAAGUAGAAUGGCUAAAUUCUUGAAAAUAAAAAUAGAGUAACUAAGUUUUAAAGGUACGAAAUAAGACCUUCAAGUAUAUUUUAACCUUCAAUUUUUUACUUUAUAAUUUGAUACAAAUAAAUAACCAAUCCAAUGUGAAACAUAAAUGGAUUAUACUAAUUAUUGUAAUAAUUAAAUUUUUUUUAAUGUCGUUUGUGAAAUUAAAUAACAACGUUAAAAGGCUAAUCCUUUUCACAACAUGCCUAUAUCCUCAUUUAAUAAAUGAUUUUAAUUUUGGGUAAACUACAAAAAUAGUCACAUUUGUUUGUCUCAGAUUACAUUUUAGUCACUUAUGUUUGAAAUGUUACGUUUUAGUCACUUACGUUAUCGUUUUGUUACAAAGUGAUCACUCUAUUGUUAAGCUCCGUUACCUCCCUAACGGCGGUCCUACGUGGCAGUCCAAAUGAGUUUUAAUUGUCAACUUGGAUGUCCUAUGUGACAGUCCAAAUUGAAUUUUAUUUAAGUAAAAACCUAUUUUCAUCCCAACAACUAGACAUCCAAGUUGGCAUUUAAAACCCAUUUGGACUGCCACGUAGGACUUCUAUUAGGGAGGUAACGGAUUUUAACAGUAGUGUGACCGCUUCGUAACAAAACGAUAACAUAAGUGACUAAAAUGUAACAUUUUAAACAUAAGUGACUAAAAUGUAAUUUGAGGUAAACAAAAGUGACUAUUUUUGUGGUUUACCCUUUAAUUUUUAUAUAAUUCUUCAUUCAACUUAAUGUAGUUCAAAGUUGAUUAUAGAGGUGAAACUAGGAAUUUUUUUUUUGGAUCAGGGUUAAAUUGUACGAUAGUAAAAAUAUAAUUUUAUCAUUUUAAUAGUCUAUAUUUUUAUAAUUUUUAAAGGAUUAACCAAAAUUUUAUUAUUUGGGGGUUAAAAUAUAAUUUACUAUUAUUAGUUUAAAAAAUUUUAAAGGAUUAACCAAUGUUUGACAGAUUUAGAACUAACAAAUUGUCCAUUGCUAAAAACAUUCAUCACUAAAUGUGUAUCCGAAGAUGAACCUGAAAUUGGCCAACAUGUACAAGCGAGUAACUUGGAGGUUCAUAACUCAUCUCUCCUCAAUGAAAAGGUCAUUUCUUUAAGGGUUCUCCUUUUAAUUUAUGUUGCUUCGAUUGAUCUUAUUCAUUUGAAGUUCUUUCUUUUCCAUGCAUAUUUCAGUUAUUAACCUAAUGAAAUGAUUUAGCAAGUUGUUUUCCCUAGUUUGGAGAAGUUGUGGAUUCAGAAUUGUGAUUCGUUAGAACAAAUUAUUGAGCUGCAAGGAGUCAUUGCUGAUGAGUCACAGUCAACAUCAGCUGCUCAAUCGAUUAUGGCUGAAACAGAGACGACCAAGUUUGUAUUUCCCAAACUAAUAAACCUUGGAUUGGAUAAGGUGCCGAGAUUGAAAAGUUUCUACUCUAGGAUGCAUACCACCCAGUGGCCUUCAUUGAAACAAAUGGACAUUAUUGAAUGCCCCAAAGUACAGAUAUUUACUCCACAAUGUCUUGAGUGUCAGGUUGGAAUCUCAAACCAACAACCCUUGUUUUGCGUCAACGAGAUGAGCUCACUAACAGUUUCAUACUCCAUGUUCAUUAGUUGAGAUUACUUAUAAAAUGCCUUUUGAAAUAACUAAUAUUCUCACCUUCCUUUUAAAUUUAUGAGAAAGAAAAUGGAAAUUAUAUUCAUUUUGUAGUGUAGUUAUUACUAACUGAAAACUCUUUGAUCAAUGUUUAAUAUAUUCGUCGCCAUCCAGGACACUUUCCCUGUACUAGAAGAACUAAUACUGAAGAUGAAUGAUAUGGUGAAGGGGAUAUGUGAUGGACAACUCUCAUUGCAGUGUUUCCAAAACCUUAAGCAUCUUAACCUCCAGUUCUUUACUGAGACAUCCACUACUCUUCCGUAUUCCUUCAUUCGGUCUCUACGAAUGCUUAAUAAGCUUGUUAUAGACAAUGCUUUCAUUUGUCAAAUAGUACAAUAUGAAGGACUCAGCGACCAGGAGAGGCAUACAUCAGCAUUCUAUCAGCUAAAGGAAUUAAGUUUGUGUCAACUUCCAGAGUUGAUGUUAAAGACUUUUGAACCAUCUUUGUUGUCUUUCAAAAAUCUAACAACACUGGAAGUUUCAAGAUGCCAUGGGUUCAUCAAUUUAAUCGCAUGCUCAACUGUUGGAACAUUGGCAGCAGCAAAAAUUAAGCAAGCUUACACAACAAAAUUUGCAAAACUGAAGCAAGAAGAAUCGAAGCAAAAAGAAACAAAGCAAAGCAAAGCAGUGAACAAAGUUGAAUAUUCAACAGAAUUGUAACUGAACAUCAUUAUUUUUCAUUUAAAAUUUGAAAUAUAAAAGUGUUACAAUUUGGUUUAAUUUGACAGUUACCUAAUAAUCUAACUACCUCCACUAAUGUUUAACUAAUACAAGCUUAAGUCACAUACAAAAUAAAUUGACAUAUCAGCUUUUACAUCAUCAAUCUAAUCACUAGCUUAAUCCUACUUGCUUUGUAAGCUAGUUAGAAGAGAACUAAACUAAAUAACAUUAAAACAAAACAACAAAAACUGGUUGCUUCAUUCGGUCCAAAAACCAAGCUUGCGCACCAAGCAAAAUGAGCUGAGCUCGAUAGCUGCUGCUGGUCUCGACAGUAGCUCGCUGCUGGCUUUAUGUUGCACUGCAGUCCAGCUCUCAACACUCCUCCUUGGACUGUAUGCAACACAUUCCAAUUGCACCUCUCAAUGAUUCAAAUCGAGCAGCCCCUAAGGGCUUGGUCAGUAUAUCAGCCAAUUGUGACCCUGAGCUGCAAUGCACAAGGCUGACUUCCUUUGCUUGUUCAGCCUCUCGAACAAAAUGCAGUUUAAUUUUAAAAUGCUUGGUUUUACCAUGAAACACAGGGUUCUUGGCUAUGGCAACUGCUGAUUUGUUAUCCACCCAAAUUUCAGUUGCAUCAGCUUGUGUUUCAUUUAGAUCCUGAAGCAGCUUCCUAAGCCAAAUGGCCUGAUUGACUGCUGUUGAUGCAGUAAUGUAUUCAUCUUCAGCUGUGGACUGAGCAACUGUUUGUUGCUUCUUUGAACUCCAGCAAAACAUGCCCGAUCCAAGUGUGAAGAAGUAUCUAGAGGUACUCUUCAUGUCAUCGAGGGAUCCUGCCCAGUCACUAUCAGAGUAGCCUUCUAGUUUCAGUUUCUUCCCAUUUUCAAACAUCACACCAAGGCUAGCUGUGCCUUUGAUGUAUCUAAGAACCCUUUUUGCAGCCUUCAAAUGUGUCUCAUUACAGCAAUGCAUGAACCUCGAUAGCAGACUAACACCAAACAUGAUGUCUGGCCUGGUUGCUGUUAGAUACAACAGACAACCUACUAGGCUUCGAUAGUGUCUCUCAUCAACCCUUUGCUGAUCACCACUACUGGUCAACUUUUCUCCAUGAGCCACAGGUGUACUGACUACUUUACAGUUAUGCAUGCAAAAUUUGCCUAGAAUCUUCAAAGCAAAUGUGUGUUGGCUGAUGAAGAUACCUCGAUCAGACUGGUGAACUUCCAUGCCAAGGAAGUAGUCAUGAUCCCCAAAUCUGUCAUCUCAAACACUUGCUGUAUUUGAACCUUGAACUCAUUAAUGAGCUCAACUUGGCUCCCUGUCACUAACAAGUCAUCUACAUACAAGGAGACAAUCAGCAAGGUUUCAAAUUCUGACCUCUUAACAUAUAGAGUAGGUUCACUAAGGCUCUUUACAAAUCCAAUCUUGGUCAGGUAAGCAUCAACUCUGUCAUACCAGGCCCUUGGUGCCUGUUUCAGGCCAUAGAGGGCCUUUCUCAACUUGUACACUUUAUCUUCAUGUUCAGCAACUUCAAAACCUUCAGGUUGCUCGAUGAAGAUCUCCUCCUUAAGAAAGCCAUUUAGAAAUGCUGACUUUACAUCCAAUUGAUGAACCCUCCACUGCUUCUAAGCUGCUAAAGCAAGCAGUAGCUUGAUUGUGUCCAGUCUUGCCACUGGAGCAAAAGUCUCCAAGAAGUCCACACCAUACUGCUGACUGUAACCUUUCACUACAAGCCUGGCCUUGUGCUUGUUCAGUGAGCCAUCAGUAUUGUACUUGGUCCGAUACACCCAUUUAACCCUAAUAACCUUCUUAUGUUCUGGUCUGCUCACCAAUUCCCAUGUUUCAUUCUUAUUGAUCAUUUCCAGCUCAGCUUCCAUAGCUUUCAUCCAACUUCUGUCCUUGGCAGCCUCUUCAAAGUCUGAGGGCUCAAUCACAGCAACAUUACACCUCUGAUAGACAUCAGCCAAAGUCCUGGUGCCCCUCACUGGUGCAUUAUCAAUAGCAUCAUCACUUGGUCCUUCUUCUGCAGGUUCAGCAACCAAGUCUAACUGGUCCAUUUCAGACCAACACCAUUCCAAUUCCACACCUUUUCCUCAUCAAACUUUACAUCACUGCUGACUAAGACCUUCUUUGCUGUAGGAUCAUACACUCUAUAACCUUUCUUGUUGCUGCUAUAGCCAACAAAGAUUCCUGGAGUGGCCCUGCUCUCGAGCUUGCUUCUCUUUUCCACUGGUAUAAGUGCAAAACAUACACAACCAAACACUUUCAAGUGUGUUACCAUAGGUUUGACUCCAUGCCAAGCCUCAAAAAGAGUCUUAUCCUUAACUGCUCGAGUUGGCAGUCUGUUGAGCAGAUACACUGAGGUGUUGACUGCCUCAGCCCAAAACUAGCUUGGAAGCUUGCCUUGAAACAAGAGGCACCUGGCCAUGUUCAGCACAGUCCUAUUCUUUCUCUCACAGACUCCAUUCUGUUGAGGAGUAUAGACUGUUGUAAGCUGAUGGUGAAUCCCAGCACUGUCACAAAGCUUCUGGAAUCUCUCAGACAUAUAUUCAGAGCCAUUAUCAGUCCUCAAGGCUUUAAUUUUACAGCCUGACUGAUUUUCAGCAUAUGCCUUGAAUUUACAGAAGGCCUCAAACACAUCUGACUUCUGCUUCAAGAAGUAGACCCAGCACAACCUUGUCAAAUCAUCUAUAAACAGGACAAAGUACCUGUUCUCAUUGAUUGAAGGUGUUCUCAUAGGACCACAAACAUCAGAGUGCACCAAUUCGAGCUUAUUUUGAGCUCUCCAAGCAUUGUCAGCAGGAAAAGGCAGUCUAGCCUGCUUACCAAGCUGACAAACCUCAAAAACAUUCCCACUAACCUCAAUUUUUGAAAUGUCUUCAACUAAAUUCAGCCUAUGUAGCAGAUCAAGAGAUCUGAAAUUGGCAUGGCCUAGUCUCCUAUGCCACAAGUCAGUGCUGUCAGCAAGGCUGGUGUAUGCCUUUCUUUCUACUUGGCUAACAUCCAGCAUGAAGCAUCUAUCAGUCAUAGAGACUGAGAUUAACUCCAGACCGUUCAUGUCUUGAACAGUACAGCAACCAUCCUUAAAUAACAAUGUAUAGCCCUUUUCAACUAAUUGGCCUACACUAAGCAAAUUCUGGUCUAAAUCAGGUACAAAAAGCACGUCUGAGAUCAGCUUGUUACCUGAACCAGUGCUAACCAGCACACUGCCCUUACCCUUAGCCUCAAUCAGCUUACCAUCUCCAAUUCCAAUCCUCGAGUGAAAGCUUCUGUCUAGGCCCUUGAACAACUUCUCAUCUGCUACCAUAUGGUGUGAGCAGCCACUAUCUAGUAGCCAAUCAUUCCUGGCCUUUGUUGUGCCAAAAAAAUAGGUUACUGUGAACACAUGCUCCACUUGAGCUUGCAUGUCCUCAGCUGGUCUAGGUUGUUGCAGAACAGCCUCCCUUGGUUUGCCCUUGCACACCUUUUCCACAUGGCCAAACUGCUUGCACUUUCUGCAUUGUAUGUCUGGCCUAAACCAACAAUACUUUUCUGAAUGUGUUGUCUUCUUGCAGUGAACACAUGGUGGGAACACCCUUUUUGCUUCAUCUCUUCCUGACUUGACCCUUCUAUUGUGCCAAGGCUUCUUACCUUUUGCAUUCACACUCGAGCCUUCACUGGCUUUAGCCUGUAAAACAGCUUCAGAAUUCUCUUCCUGUCUAUUUGCCCUCCUUUGCUCAAGUGCAUACAGGGAGUUUAUCAGCUCAGACAAAGAAAUGGCUGAUAAGUCCCCCGAGUCCUCAAGUGAAGAGAUUUUUGACUUGAAUUUCUCAGGGAAAGUUGUGAUGACCUUUUCAACAACUCUACUCUCUGUGAAGUCCACUCCCAGGAGCCUUAUGCUGUUGACAAUGGCCAUUAUCCUGUCUGAGUACUACUUGAUGGUCUCAGACUCUUUCAUCCUCAAGUUCUCAAAGUCUCUCCUGAGGUUGAUCACCUACUGUUGCCUUGUUUUGUCAGUCCCCAUGAACUCCUCCUUCCGCUUGUCACAGGCCUGCUUAGGUGAGUCACAGGCCAUGAUGCGAGUGAAUAUCACAUCAGACACUCCAUUCUGCAGACAGGCCAUAGCCUUGUGCUUCUUGGCUCGCUCCUCAACAUGCUGCCUCAUCUGUGCAAUGGUGGGAUUGGCUCUCAAUGGAGGUGGCUCAGCAUCAUUCUCGAUCACACUCCAAAGAUCAUGUGCCUGGAGGUAAGUCUUCAUUUUAACUAUCCAAAUGUGAUAGUUCUCUCCAGUGAACACUGGUGAAGGUGGUUGAGUGAAACUCAUCCUGCUAAACUGAGUUUAAGUGCUUCGAUCCUUUUAGUCUUAGGCUUUGCUGUUGGUUUUGAUUUAAACACAAUAGAAUGCAGAGGCCCCUCAAAGAUUCUGGCUCAUGAUGCCAUUUGUUGGAACAUUGGCAGCAGCAAAAAUUAAGCAAGCUUACACAACAAAAUUUGCAAAACUGAAGCAAGAAGAAUCGAAGCAAAAAGAAACAAAGCAAAGCAAAGCAGUGAACAAAGUUGAAUAUUCAACAGAACUGUAACUGAACAUCAUUAUUUUUCAUUCAAAAUUUGAAAUAUAAAAGUGUUACAAUUUGGUUUAAUUUGACAGUUACCUAAUAAUCUAACUACCUCCACUAAUGCUUAACUAAUACAAGCUUAAGUCACAUACAAAAUAAAUUGACAUAUCAGCUUUUACAUCAUCAAUCUAAUCACUAGCUUAAUCCUACUUGCUUUGUAAGCUAGUUAGAAGAGAACUAAACUAAAUAACAUUAAAACAAAACAACAAAAACUGGUUGCUUCAUUCGGUCCAAAAACCAAGCUUGCGCACCAAGCAAAAUGAGCUGAGCUCGAUAGCUGCUGCUGGUCUCGACAGUAGCUCGCUGCUGGCUUUAUGUUGCACUGCAGUCCAGCUCUCAACAUCAACAGCUAAGUGCCUGAUGCUACUGGAAAGAUUGAGCAUAGAUGAUUGUGGGAUGAUAGAGGAAAUCAUAGCGUGUGAGGCUGAAGAAAUGCAGGGCGGCAUUGUAUUUCCCAAACUGCUCGUAUUUGCAACUAAGCUGUCUGCCACGUCUAGCAAGCUUUUCCUUGGCCCAUCACUCGUUGGAAUUCCUAGUCUUGCUAAUGGUGAAGGUGACAAAGAGUCCCAAAAUGAGGAAUUUCUGCCAAGGAGAUUUAAGCACACCAAGGCUGGAACAAAUGCACUUAACAAGAGAUGAGGAAGGUGAACUACAGUGGGAAGGCGACCUUAACACUACCAUAAAACAUAUGUUCGAUGAAAUGGUACAGAUCAUUUAAAGGAUUUAAAUUCAUGUGUUUUUACAUACAUACAUAGUUAACUGAAUAAUUCUUGGUUUGUUAUGAUCAUGCACAAAAUGUGCAAAAUUUGGAGGUGACGGAGGUUACUGAUCAGUUGCCCAAGCUGGAAUAAGGAAAUAUGUUUGGGUGCUUAUGCGAAAAGCUCAAUUUCGUUUCAAAUCAAAACGAAUGGUAAUUGACUCUUCUAUUUUCAUCAUGGCUUAACUAAAGAUUUAUAAAGUGACCAUAGAGACGCCCUUUUCAUUGUAGGUUGAGUUGCUCUACUGAAGCACAUGGCUGCAUCUGUUGGUAGAACGUGAAAGGUUAUUUCAGUUGUAAAACUACUAUUUGAACUGUUCCAUUUCACGUUAUAACCUCACAAUUGUAUUUCAAGUGCAUCAUGCAUGGCAUUGGGAACUACAAACAUGUAAACUUUUACUAGUAAGCAAAAUAAAUAAAAAAAAAUCAUAAAUUAGAGUAUGAAUGUAAACAUAUUAAAGCAUACUUUUUGGUUUCACAAUUUAAAUGAUUUGAGUUAAUUUGAAGCCAUAAAAUAAGAUAAAUUCAAUUAUAAAUUCUGAUGUUUGAAAAUUUUUCAAUAAUAAUAAGUAAAUGCUUAAUGUAGUAAUUAAGAUUAUAAGGCAACAAGCUUAAUUAAGAGGAGUAUUUGUAAAUAUUAGUAAAAUUUACUGUAAAUAUUGUAUGAAAUAAGCAAAUUUAUUUAUUAAUUAACCAAAUUUAUCUACGGUAAAUAUUGUAUGAAAUAAGCAAAUUUAUUUAUUAAUUAACCAAAUUUAUUUACGGUAAAUACUGUAUGAAAUAAGCAAAUUUAUUUAUUAAUUUAAAAGAAAAUUAAUUUCCUGAUAAAAAAUUUAUAUUUCAAAAAAAAAUUAGAAAGAUUUAAUUUUUAAAUAAUAGUUCAAAACAAAUUUUGAAAAAAUGUGUUGUAAAAAUAUUCAAAGUGUAAAAAGACAAUUUAUUCCUUCAAUGCUUAGGAAAAAAUAUUCCUUAAAAAAAGAUACUUAUUAGAAAAUAUCAUUAGAUAUAUGUUUAAUUGUUUAUAUUAAUAAAAAGUUAUCUAUUAACAAAAUAAAAGUAAAACAUUAAUCACAUAUUUAUAAUUUUAAAAUUUUAACUCUUCAAUGGUAGUUUAGAUUAUGCAAAUGAGUUUUCUUUUUUUUUUUCUUUUUUAAAUAUAAGAUAAUUCAAGUUUUGGUCUUUGUUGUCGCUGUGGUUAUUCAGUUUGCUCUCUCAAUGGAGAUUGUUAUUGCCAUCGUUGGCUCUAUUGUCGUUAAAGCUGUAGAGUAUACGAUCUAUCCUAACAAAAACAAUGUCAAAUACCUUUCCAAUCAUCAGAAAUAUGUUGAGACCCUCAAGAACCGAGCUAAUAGGCUGAAAGAUGCUAGGGACGGAGUGCAGCAUUUUGUUGAUGCAGCUAAACGAAACGGUGAAGAGAUCGAAGGUGAUGUUGACAAAUGGCUGUUGAAGUAAUGGUCAGCAUGCAGCAACCAAGACUGUCAAAGGCACUACAUGCAGAAGCUGCUGGUUCACCUAGUCAGCAAGCUGUUUAUGUUUCAUUUUGUAAUUUUAAGUUAGAGUAAUGUAACUUAGUUGCUUUAUAACUAUGUUAGGUUUAUGUUUGAUGUAAUUUUGAUGUUGACUGAGCUGAUAAAUCAGCUUUGUUUGUUUGUUCAAGCUAAUUAGCACAAGUUACUAUGUGUAUUAGUGGUAGUAGGUGAAGUUUAGGUCAACCUACUGUUUUGUCAAGAUUGUAAACUUGUUUUAUGUAUUGGCUUUGUGCCAUAUUUAGUUUAUGAAAUGAAUUCAACAAGUUAUCAUCCAUAUGCUCUUCAUUUUUAGUUUUGCUUAAAAAUCCAUUUGAGUUUUCUGCUUUGUUUCUCCUACAAGUCACGAGACUUGCUCGACAAGUAUCCUGUUGAAGCUUGCUGCUGCUGCCUCUUGAUCCAACAAUUGGUAUCUAGAGCCACAUUCUUAGAGGACCUGUUGUAGUUUAGUAUCAAAAUGAUGGCAUCAUCAGGUUUUUCACCAGCUUCACCACCUGUCUUCAAUGGAGAGGGCUUCAACAUUUGGGCAGUUAAGAUGAGGACUUACCUGCAGGCAUUCGACCUAUGGGAAGUUGUUAACUCAGAUGCUGAGCCAGCACCUCUUCGAGCUAAUCCAACAGUUGCUCAAAUAAGGCAACACACUGAUGAAAGAACAAAAAGGCACAAGGCCAUGUCAUGCAUACAGAAUUGUGUGACAGAUGUGAUCUUUAUGAGGAUCAUGGCCUGUGAAACACCAAAGGAGGCUUGGGACAAGCUGAAAGAAGAAUUUCAGGGGACUGAGAAAACAAGGCAACAACAGCUGCUCAACUUGAGAAGAGAUUUCGAAAAUCUAAAAAUGAAAGAGGAAGAAACAGUUAAGCAGUACUCAGAUCGGAUUAUGGCUGUUGUAAACAGCAUAAGGCUCCUAGGAGAGCAAUUCAGUGAAGCUAGAAUGGUUGAGAAAGUCAUGUCCACUCUACCAGAGAGGUAUGAAGCUAAAAUUUCAUCCCUCGAAGACUCAAGGGACUUGACAACUAUCUCCUUAACUGAGCUAAUCAAUGCCUUGUAUGCACAAGAGCAAAGAAGAGCCAGCAGACAAGAGGACCACCAGGAAGGUGCUUUUCAAGCCAAAGAAGCCUCGAGCAUCAAAACUCAUAAAGGCAAAAAGUUCUGGAAAAACAGGCCUAAGCCUGAUGCUGCUAGGAGCAGUGACCAACUCUGCAGACAUUGUAAAAGAGCUGGUCAUCCAGAAGAUAGAUGCUGGUUUAGACCAGAUGCAGUAUGCCAACACUGCAAGAAAAAAGGCCAUGUUGAAAAAGUUUGCAAGAAUAGAAGCAAACCAAGACAGAAUCAAUUUCAGCAACAAAAGGUAGAAGCUCGAGUAGCUGAAGAAAGCAGUGAUCAAGAAGAACAUGUUUUUGCUGUGUCAUGUGCAGCAAAUCAGAAGAAGGGUUCAAAGGGCUGGCUUCUAGACAGUGGGUGCACAAACCACAUGUCACCAGAUGCAACUAUCUUCAAAACCCUAGACAGAACCUGCAAAACCAAAGUAAAAAUUGGAAAUGGUCAGUUAAUCAAUGCUGAAGGAAGAGGAGAUGUGAUGAUUCAUACUUCUACAAGUGGCAAAAUCAUUUCAAAUGUACUUUUGGUACCUGAAAUCGAUAGGAACCUUCUCAGUAUAACUCAACUACUUGAGAAAGGUUACUCAGUUAUUUUCAAGGAGAAAGAAUGUCAAAUUUUUUAUCCAAGUGGAUCAAACCUUAUAACAGUCACCAUGACUGAUAAAUGUUUUGAAGUAGACUGGCCAAAUGACUCACAUUCAGCCUGCACAGCCUCCACUGAUGACUCAAGACUCUGGCAUCAGAGGCUUGGACAUGCAAACUACAAAUCCAUAGCCCGCAUGGUCAAUGAAGGUCUGGCAGAAAAUUUCAUCGACUCAGUGAAGAAUGAUGAGCUUUGUGAGAUAUGUCAGCAAGGAAAAUUGACAAGAUUGCCAUUUCCAACAAGCACAACAUGGAGAGCAUCAGAGAAGCUCCAGCUUGUGCAUACAGAUGUGUGUGGACCAAUGAAGACUGAGUCUCUCAAAGGAAGCAGGUACUUUAUUCUAUUUGUUGAAGUAAUGGUCAGCAUGCAGCAACCAAGACUGUCAAAGGCACUACAUGCAGAAGCUGCUGGUUCACCUAGUCAGCACGCUGUUUAUGUUUCAUUUUGUAAUUUUAAGUUAGAGUAAUGUAACUUAGUUGCUUUAUAACUAUGUUAGGUUUAUGUUUGAUGUAAUUUUGAUGUUGACUGAGCUGAUAAAUCAGCUUUGUUUGUUUGUUCAAGCUAAUUAGCACAAGUUACUAUGUGUAUUAGUGGUAGUAGGUGAAGUUUAGGUCAACCUACUGUUUUGUCAAGAUUGUAAACUUGUUUUAUGUAUUGGCUUUGUGCCAUAUUUAGUUUAUGAAAUGAAUUCAACAAGUUAUCAUCCAUAUGCUCUCCAUUUUUAGUUUUGCUUAAAAAUCCAUUUGAGUUUUCUGCUUUGUUUCUCCUACAAGUCACGAGACUUGCUCGACAAGUAUCCUGUUGAAGCUUGCUGCUGCUGCCUCUUGAUCCAACAAUUGGUAUCUAGAGCCACAUUCUUAGAGGACCUGUUGUAGUUUAGUAUCAAAACGAUGGCAUCAUCAGGUUUUUCACCAGCUUCACCACCUGUCUUCAAUGGAGAGGGCUUUAAUAUUUGGGCAGUUAAGAUGAGCACUUACCUGCAGGCAUUCGACCUAUGGGAAGUUGUUAACUCAGAUGCUGAGCCAGCACCUCUUCGAGCUAAUCCAACAGUUGCUCAAAUAAGGCAACACACUGAUGAAAGAACAAAAAGGCACAAGGCCAUGUCAUGCAUACAGAAUUGUGUGACAGAUGUGAUCUUUAUGAGGAUCAUGGCAUGUGAAACACCAAAGGAGGCUUGGGACAAGCUGAAAGAAGAAUUUCAGGGGACUGAGAAAACAAGGCAACAACAGCUGCUCAACUUGAGAAGAGAUUUCGAAAAUCUAAAAAUAAAAGAGGAAGAAACAGUUAAGCAGUACUCAGAUCGGAUUAUGGCUGUUGUAAACAGCAUAAGGCUCCUAGGAGAGCAAUUCAGUGAAGCUAGAAUGGUUGAGAAAGUCAUGUCCACUCUACCAGAGAGGUAUGAAGCUAAAAUUUCAUCCCUCGAAGACUCAAGGGACUUGACAACUAUCUCCUUAACUGAGCUAAUCAAUGCAUUGUAUGCACAAGAGCAAAGAAGAGCCAGCAGACAAGAGGACCACCAGGAAGGUGCUUUUCAAGCCAAAGAAGCCUCGAGCAUCAAAACUCAUAAAGGCAAAAAGUUCUGGAAAAACAGGCCUAAGCCUGAUGCUGCUAGGAGCAGUGACCAACUCUGCAGACAUUGUAAAAGAGCUGGUCAUCCAAAAGAUAGAUGCUGGUUUAGACUAGAUGCAGUAUGCCAACACUGCAAGAAAAAAGACCAUGUUGAAAAAGUUUGCAAGAAUAGAAGCAAACCAAGACAGAAUCAAUUUCAGCAACAAAAGGUAGAAGCUCGAGUAGCUGAAGAAAGCAGUGAUCAAGAAGAACAUGUUUUUGCUGUGUCAUGUGCAGCAAAUCAGAAGAAGGGUUCAAAGGGCUGGAUUCUAGACAGUGGGUGCACAAACCACAUGUCACCAGAUGCAACUAUCUUCAAAACCCUGGACAGAACCUGCAAAACCAAAGUAAAAAUUGGAAAUGGUCAGUUAAUCAAUGCUGAAGGAAGAGGAGAUGUGAUGAUUCAUACUUCUACAGGUGGCAAAAUCAUUUCAAAUGUACUUUUGGUACCUGAAAUCGAUAGGAACCUUCUCAGUAUAACUCAACUACUUGAUAAAGGUUACUCAGUUGUUUUCAAGGAGAAAGAAUGUCAAAUUUUUGAUCCAAGUGGAUCAAACCUUAUAACAGUCACCAUGACUGAUAAAUGUUUUGAAGUAGACUGGCCAAAUGACUCACAUUCAGCCUGCAUAGCCUCCACUGAUGACUCGAGACUCUGGCAUCAGAGGCUUGGACAUGCAAACUACAAAUCCAUAGCCCGCAUGGUCAAUGAAAGUCUGGCAAAAAAUUUCAUCGACUCAGUGAAGAAUGAUGAGCUUUGUGAAAUAUGUCAGCAAGGAAAAUUGGCAAGAUUGCCAUUUCCAACAAGCACAACAUGGAGAGCAUCAGAGAAGCUCCAACUUGUGCAUACAGAUGUGUGUGGACCAAUGAAGACUGAGUCUCUCAAAGGAAGCAGGUACUUUAUUCUAUUUAUUGAUGACUUAACAAGAUACUGCUGGAUUUAUUUUUUAAAACAGAAAUCAGAAGUUCCAUCUGUGUUCCUGAAGUAUAAAGCUGCUGUUGAAACUGAGUCUGGUUGCAAACUUAGAGCAAUGAGGUCAGAUAAUGGAACUGAGUACACCUCAGCUCAGUUCCAAGCCUACUGUGAAGAAGCAGGUAUCAAACACCAGUUGACUAAUGUAUAUACACCCCAACAGAAUGGGGUCAGUGAAAGGAAAAACAGAAGCUUGAUGAACAUGGCAAGAUGUCUUCUGUUUGAGAAGAAUUUGCCCAAAAGUCUGUGGGCUGAAGCUGUUAACACAGCAGUUUAUCUCCAAAAUAGGCUCCCAACCAAGGCUCUGGCUGAGAAGACUCCAUUUGAAGCCUGGUUUGGGUUUAAGCCAUCACUGGCUCAUCUCAGAACCUUUGGUUGUCUGUGCUACACACAAGUUCCAGCUGAGAAGAGAAGCAAGCUAGAUAAAAGAGCUCAAGCAGGGAUCCUGAUCGGCUAUAGCUUGGUUAAGAAGGGCUACAGAAUCCUAGAACCUGCUACAAACAAGAUAUUGGUUAGCAGGGAUGUUGUUUUCAAUGAAAAAGGACACUGGAAUUGGGAGAAGGCUGAACCAGAGGCAGUGGCUGAAGAUCUCGCAGUGGACCAAGUUGAAAAUGUUGAAAACACAUCUGAAAUGGAUGUAGAUGAUGUUCCAAUCAGAGGCACUCGAUCACUGGCUGAUGUUUAUGAAAGAGCACAAGUGGCUACUGUUGAACCAAGUUGCUUUGAAGAAGCAGAAAGCCAGGAGGACUGGAAGCAAGCAAUGAUUGAAGAAAUCAGAAUGAUUGAAAAGAAUCAGACCUGGAGUCUGGUUGAUAAACCAACAAACAGGAAGAUUAUUGGUGUCAAAUGGGUUUAUCGAGUAAAGAACAAUGCUGAUGGUAGCCUAAACAAGUUAAAGGCUAGAUUGGUUGUGAAAGGCUUCAGUCAAAGGUAUGGAUCAGACUACCUGGAAACCUUUGCACCAGUAGCCAGGCUAGACACUAUUAGACUGCUAGUUGCCUUAGCAGCACAAAAACAGUGGCUGAUACACCAACUUGAUGUAAAAUCAGCAUUUCUGAAUGGAUUCCUUGAAGAGGAGAUUUAUGUGGAGCAACCUCAAGGUUUCAAGGUGUCUGGCAAAGAAGAAAUGGUGUACAAGCUCAACAAAGCCUUGUAUGGCUUGAAACAGGCUCCAAGGGCCUGGUAUAGCAGAAUAGAUGGCUAUCUGAACCAGUCAAGGAUUUGAAAGAAGUCUCAGCGAGCCAACUCUGUAUGUUAAAUCAACUAGUGCUGAAACUCAGCUCAUUGUCUCAAUAUAUGUCGAUGACCUACUGGUGACAGGAGGAGAUCAUGAGAUGCUAAGCAACUUUAAAGUCAAAAUGCAACAGCACUUUGAAAUGUCAGACUUGGGAUUGAUGUCUUACUUCUUAAGCAUGGAAGUAACUCAAGCUAAGAAUGGGAUUUGGCUAAGUCAAAAGACCUUUGCUAUGAAGGUUCUCAACAAAUUCUCAAUGGAGAAUUGCAAAGCAACCAGCACACCAGUUGCUGUUGGAGAAAAACUCUCAAGCCAAGACAAGCAUGAAAAGGUUUGUGAAACAACCUAUCGAAGUCUAGUUGGAUGUUUGUUGUAUUUGACUGCUACUAGACCUAAUGUAUGCUGUGAGUCUACUCUCGAGGUUUAUGCAUUGUUCAAAUGAAAGUCAUUUUAGAGCUGCAAAAAGGGUUCUAAGAUACAUCAAAGGAACUUUGUCCUAUGGAAUGCAGUUUACCAAGGCUGAGAACUUGAAGCUAGUUGGAUAUUGUGACAGUGAUUGGGCUGGUUCCUUGGAUGACAUGAAGAGCACUACAGGCUAUGCAUUCAACAUAGGCUCUGCUAUGAUUUGCUGGAGCUCAAAGAAGCAGGGAGUAGUGGCUCAGUCGACUGCAGAAGCAGAAUAUGUGGCUGCUGCUGCAGCAGUCAAUCAAGCCAUAUGGCUUAGAAAAAUUUUGAAAGAUAUCAAUCAUGAGCAAAAGGAAGCAACUGAGAUAAUGUGUGACAACCAAUCAGCAGUUGCUAUUGCAAAGAAUCCUGUUUUUCAUGGAAGGACCAAGCACUUCAACAUCAAACUUCAUGCAAUUCGGGAAAUGGAACAAGCUCAUGUUGUUAAGCUGAUACAUUGCAGUUCUGAAGAGCAAAUUGCUGAUAUUUUAACAAAAGCACUAAGUGUUUCCAAGUUUCAACACCUGAGAGCUAAUAUGGGAGUUUGCAACAUGCUAACCAAGGAGGAGUGUUGAAGUAAUGGUCAGCAUGCAGCAACCAAGACUGUCAAAGGCACUACAUGCAGAAGCUGCUGGUUCACCUAGUCAGCAAGCUGUUUAUGUUUCAUUUUGUAAUUUUAAGUUAGAGUAAUGUAACUUAGUUGCUUUAUAACUAUGUUAGGUUUAUGUUUGAUGUAAUUUUGAUGUUGACUGAGCUGAUAAAUCAGCUUUGUUUGUUUGUUCAAGCUAAUUAGCACAAGUUACUAUGUGUAUUAGUGGUAGUAGGUGAAGUUUAGGUCAACCUACUGUUUUGUCAAGAUUGUAAACUUGUUUUAUGUAUUGGCUUUGUGCCAUAUUUAGUUUAUGAAAUGAAUUCAACAAGUUAUCAUCCAUAUGCUCUCCAUUUUUAGUUUUGCUUAAAAAUCCAUUUGAGUUUUCUGCUUUGUUUCUCCUACAAGUCACGAGACUUGCUCGACAAGUAUCCUGUUGAAGCUUGCUGCUGCUGCCUCUUGAUCCAACAAUGGCUGCCUGCAGUCGACAGAAAGAUCCUUGAACAAGUAGAGAAAGUGAUGCAAGACGAAGAAAAAGCAAAGAAAAAGUGUUUCAUUGGUUUGUGUCCUAAGUUCAGGACUCGUUACAAGCUUAGCCUGAAAGCUGAAGAGGAGUCAAGAAUGUACUUGUGGAGUUGAAUAAUGGGAAAGAUCUUCCAAAUUUGAAGAGACUUCUUGUCAAAAAUGGUAUGCAUGUCUAAUAUAUUAAAAUGAACAAAAUUGGAUUUUCUGAAUUAUGCUUCAUCACACUUGAAAAUCUAUCGCUACUCGUUAGCUUUUGCUCUCCAGACGAAAGGUGUUCCACUAAGCCCUUCCUACUUUUCAAUAAACAAGUAUUUGUUUGGCUUUACUUAUAUUUUCUUAUACAACUUUUAUUUAUAUGCCAAUUAAUACUUCUAAUAAUAGAAAUAAAUAAUAUUGUGUAAUGGUUUUUCCGGAGCUCAAAAAUAAAUUUUAAUUCCAAAACAAAUGAAAAUAUAAUUUUUAAUCCAAACCGAUUGACAGUACAAAGUCAAUUCAAUAAUUUAAAUUUAAACCCAAUAAUUAUUUUUUUAAUUUUGAAAAUGAAAUUUGAGCCCACAAAUUGAACUAAAAUUAUCUUUAAAAUCGAAAAUCAUAUUUUCAAAUAAUGUUGCAUACUAUCUUUCCCUAUCGAAAAAGAAUUGUGUGUAAAUAUGUGCAAUUUAUUUUCCCUCACUUGGAAAGCUUGUAAUUGUGUUCCAUUAACACCAGACAUGUCAUUGGAUUACGAAUUUGAGGAGCUUGAUCAUGAAAGGAUGCGGUAAGUGGGAGCAUCUGUUAUCACCCUCUCUCGCUAGAAGUCUGGUGUAGCUCCAAUGCUUUAAGAUAGAGGAUUGCAAGUGUUUAAGGGACAUAAUACUUACAGAGGAAAUUGAAGAAGAAAGGAAAGAUGUGAUUUGUUAAUUUCCCUCGAUUAAACUCCCUGCGUAUAGUGGGUCUUACAAACCUCAUCUUCUUCAGCUCAGGAAACCACAAUAUCGAGUUCCCAUUGUUGGAAGAGCUAUGGAUUGAGAAUUGCCCCAAUUUCAUAGAAUUCAUUAGUCAGAAUAGUAAUCAGUCCGGCAUGCACGCUCUCUUCAGUGAGAAGAUGAUUUAUUUCAGUAGUAUUACACUCUUGCAUAAAUCUGUUGAUUUGUCCUUGUUUUUUUCUUUUUUCUGCCUUCAUUAUUUGAGGUAACCUUAUUAUGGGCAUGGAUUAUAUAUAUAUAUAUAUAUAUAUGAAUAGGCUGCAGUUCCUAGCUUGGAAGACUUGAGUAAUGUGAAGAUGAUAUUUUAUAAUGAUCUAGCACCAGGUUCCUAUAAAAAUCUACGAAAAAUAAGUGUUGGGGGAUGUGGGAGUUUGAAAAAUCUAUUUCCAGUAUCAAUAGCCAAAGGUCUUCCACAACUUGAACAUUUACGCAUCACUAAAUGUGGAGUUGAGGAGAUUGUAUCGAAAGGGGAUGGAGUGGAGCAGCCUGUGAGGUUUGAGUUUCCGAAAGUGUCUUACCUUGAGGUUACAGGGGUAGUAAAGCUCAAAUGUUUCUAUGAAGGGCAAGAUACAAUAGUCUGGCCGAUGUUGAAAAAAUUGAAAACAGAUAGUUCUGCUUUGCUAAAGAUAGUGGCAUGGGAACAUCUUAGAUUAAUCCAAGGAAAUGAGGAGCCAGUUUUGUUGGGUGAAGAGGUAUGUAUAUCAUUACAACUAUAUUUCUUUUUAUGAUUUAAACCACUGCCACAAGCAUCUCAGGAUGAAAUAUGCCACGAUAAUGCAUUUCUAAUUAUUAUAUUUUCAUUGAUUUGAAUUUUUUUUUCCUAUUUUUGAAUUUUUAAUAUAUAUUUUUACAAUUUUUAAAAACAAGACUGAAUAAAUAUAAUAGGUAAAUAUUGAGUGUUAAUCUUAACUUUUUAGAAUGUAGUUCAAUUUGAUAAAAUGUAUAAAUGUUGAGGGUUAAAUUUAUUAUUAUGCAAAAAAAAAACUAUAACAUCCCGUUAGGGACUUUGAAGCAUAGCAAUUAAGAUAUUCAAUUUCUGUAACAACAUUGAUUAAAUUGAAAUUUUAUUUGUUUUUAAAUGGCCAAUGAAAAUAUUUUAACACUUAAGUGACUAUAUAUGUAAUUUACCCUGCAUUUAAGUAGUGGGUAGAAACUAAAUAGAAUGUUUAAUUUAUAAAAAGUCAAAAUUUUAAAAGUUAGUUACACUAGACAUCUCAAACUAUGACCUCCAUUUUAAAUUAGUCCCAAAAUUUAAAAUAUUCUAAGUACAUUCUUAAACUAUUGAUAUUAUAUCAAUUAGGUCUUUCUAUUAUUAAAUUCGUUAAUUUAACCAUCAAAUUAAAUCAGUGUAAUAUUUUAAAACCUUGGUGUUUUAUCUACACUGUUCUGCUUAUAUUUUUUAUCGUAGAAAUAUAUAUAUAUAUAACACAAUGGUUGUUUAUCUAUUUUAAUUUGCUACUCUUCUUUCGACUUUCAUGUUGUGUAAUUUUUCAGUUUUUAUUCUCAAGGUAUUGUGUUUUCUUAAAACAAAAAAUUCUAUCUAUUCUGAAUCCGUUUGAUUUAAUAUUGAUUUUGUUGGGAUUUAAUCAUCAAAAUCAAACACUAAAAUUAUAAAUCUUUUUUUUUUUGUUUGUUUUUUUAAAGCAUAUACAUCAACAUUGAGCCUAACUUGUAUAUAUUUAAUUGGUUUCCAAGGUCAUUCCCAAAUUAGAGGAACUUGAGUUACGAACUUUUGGUGAUAUGGACCAAUUUCCACCAGACUUGUUUCAACAUGUUAAAGUUAUUGCAGUGAGUGGUGGCUCUCCAUUUUCUUUAUUUCCUUUCGUCCGAAGAUUCUACAAUCUGGAAAGACUUGAGGUUUCUUAUUCUGAUUUCAAACAUGUAGUCCCUUGUAAAGGAGACGCCGGAACUCUCCCACCAAUUAGAAAUCUGAAAUUGGUUUCUGCCAGAAAUCUUGAGCAUAUUUGGAGGAAAGAUUCGGAGCUUUACCAUAUUCUUUCUAAUCUUCAAACACUCACAGUUGAGGAUUGUGAUGAUUGGAUAAAUAUUAGAGUCUCCUCAUCAUCUUUACAAAAUCUCACAAAUUUGAAUGUGUCAUUUUGUUAAGAAUCUUGUGCAAUUAACGACAAUAAAGGUAGAAUACGGCACUAAAAUGACAGAAGUAGUGGGAAACGAGGGAGACUGUCAUCAGACAAUAGUUGUUAGUAAAUUGAAAUGUUUACAACUAUGCAAUUUGAAGAGCCUCACAAGCUUUUCUCCACGGUAUUACAGCUUCGAGUUUCCUUGUUUGGAAGAAUUAGUUGUGGAACAUUGUCCUAAGUUAAAGAUCUUUUCUGAGGGAGUUUUAAGCACCCCACAAUUACAGAGAAUAAAACAGUCGAGUUACCGUGAGAAAUGGAGUUGGACAAGUGACCUUAAUACCACCAUAAAACAGCUAUACACAGAAAAGGUACAAAGUUAAUAAGUUCAUAAUGCUAGCUAGAUUCCUCGUGUCCUAAUACAAUUAAUUUUAUUACUACUUCAAUAACCAUUGAAGAGUGUUAAUCGUUACUUUGUUAUUGUCUGCAUUUUCUAUUUAUGAUUGCUAUCUAGUGGAAUAAUAUCAGAUUAAUUUUUAGGAUGGACUCUAUAACCCAUAUGAUUUCAACAUCUCUGACACAUUUCCGGAGUCGAUAGAAAUAUGGACUAGAAACCCUCAAGAAAUUUUGGGCUUCAAAAACCUUAGCAGCCUGCAGUUUUAUAAAUGUAGCAGCUUGAAGUACAUAUUUACUCCGUCUAUACUUUUGAGCCUCAAUCUACUGCAAAGGAUAGAAGUGCAAGAAUGCAGUUCAAUGGAACAAGUAGUUAGGGAGGAGGAGGAAGCAAUGACACAUAAAUUUACAUUUCUUUCGCUACUCUCCGUAACAAUUGAGUCGUGUUCCAGCUUGACAAAUUUCCAUUUGGGAAGUCAAGCUCUUGAAUUUCCACAGCUGAGGAAUAUCAGGAUAGCUGAGUGUCCAAAAAUGACUGCAUUUUCUUCCUCAGUUUCAAGAGAGAGUGGUGAUGCAAGUGAAAACGUGGUUGGCAAAGGGGGCAUCUAUGAUAACACUGCAACUUUUUUCAGCAAUAAGGUAAGUUUGGUAUUCAAUAUUUAUCUGCACAACUUAUUUCACAUUUUCUUUUGAUUUGAUCAACAUGAGUGUGUCUGGUCUAUAUAUACAUACUAGUGCUACACCUUGUCAAAACUGAAUAUAAUAAAAUCCAUAUAUAUAAAUAAAUAAGAUAAUAUUUAAAAAAAAACUGGAGUUUAAAGUGGAAAUUAAAUAAAUAUAUAAAAUAAGAAUUGAAAGGAAAACUUAAAGUGAAAUACUAAAAAACAAAAAGAAUUUAAGAGAAGUUUAAAAUUAAAUAGUAAUAGACAAUAAAUAAUAAAAUAAUAAUAGAAAAAAGAAAACUAAUCUUCCUUUAUUUUAAUUUGUGGGUGUAUAAGAAGGAGAUAAUUGUGGAAGACCUUCACAAAUGUCAUUUGAGAUCAAAAUAAGGAGAAGAAGCAAGAAAACAAAAGGUGAGGAGUUUGAAGAAGAAAGAACCAAAUAUAUGGAGGAGAAUUGAAGUGAGAGAGUGGAUGGGUUUUAUUUAAAGAUUUAAUGCUUUUUUUUUAAUUUCAUAUAUAGAAAAAAUCAUUGAAAGAAAAAUAAGUUCAAUAUAAUUAUUUAAAUUUACUUGUCGGGUUUUUAUAAAAUUAACUCAAAUUUUUGAUUAAUUAUGAAAAUAACUCAAUUUAAAAAUUAUGUACAUAAAUUAUUCGAUUUCUAUAGUGUCUGUCGGUGCCUCCAGACACAAUGGCAGCACUGACCUGCCAUCAUCAACCAAUGAUUGUAUUUUAUUUAAAAAAUAAUAGUUUUUUAGUAGUGUCAUUGGAAAAAUUGACGAUAUCAAACUGAAGUGUGAUAAUAUAAAAUGUUCAUGUACUUGACGAAGUAAUUACCCUUUUUUAAUUAGAGGAAAAAGGGAUUUGGUCUAUUUUCAUGUUAGGUCCAUCACCUUUUGAAAUUAAAUUUAAAUAACCCUUAAAAAUAUAAGAAUAACAAAAAUAAAUCAUUCUCAUUUAUAUUUAAAAAAUAACCUUUAAAAAUUAUAUUAAAUUCUUAUUUAAAUUAUCCAAAUAUAUCCCUCACAGAAUUUCCUCAAGUUUAUCUAAAUUCAAGCAUUUUCAAUUCAUUCCCUAGCAUAUUUAAAUUUAGAUAAAGUACUUAAGGAAAUUUUUUGAGGAAUAUAUUUGGGUAAUUUGAAUAAGAAUUUUAUAUAAUUUUUUAAGUAUUUUUUCAAAAAAAAUGAAAAUGGUUUAAUUUUGUUAUUAUUAUAUUUUUUUAACUGCUAUUUAAAUCUAAUUUUAAAAAAGGACAAACGUAACAUGCAAAUAGGUCAAAUGUUGAAAAACAUUUAAUUUGGUCCAGAUACCAACGACACCCCUUUUUCAACCAAUCUAAAAACGUUAACCGCUUCAAAGGAUCCCUGCACGUUUUAUAUAAUCACAUUCAUUCUGGUGCCGUCAAUUUAUUAGGCAACACCACUAUGAUUUUUUUAAAUAAGCAAUCAUUGGGUAAUGAUGUGCAGCGGUGCAGUAAGCACUAUAGAAAUCAGGUGGCCUUCAUUGAAACAUUUCUACUCUAGGAUUGUGUAAGGUGUAGUAACCUUAGAUUGUGUAAGGUGCCAAGAUUGAAAAAUUUCUACUCUAGGAUGCGUACCACCCAGUGGCCUUCAUUGAAACAAAUGGACAUUAUUGAAUGCCCCAAACUACAGAUAUUUACACGACAAUGUCCUGUAAGUCAGGUUGGAAUCUCAAACCAACAACCCUUGUUUUGCGUCAAUGAGGUAAGCUCACGAAAAGUUUCAUAUUCCAUGAUCAUUACUUGAGAUUACCUAUAAGAUGCUUUUUGAAAAACCUAAUAUUCUCUCCUCUUUUAAUUUUAUGAGAGUCUAGUUCUUACUAAUUUAAAACUCUUUCAUCGAUGUCUAAUAUAUUCUUUUUUUUUUUUUUGAAACAACGAUGUCUAAUAUAUUCAUUGCCAUCCAGGACGGUACUUUCCCUGUAUUAGAAGAACUAACACUGAACACGAAUGAUAUGGUGAAGGGGAUAUGUGAUGGACAGCUCUUAUUGCAGUGUUUCUAAAACCUUAAACUUCUUAACCUCCGAUUCUUUCCUGAGACAUCCGCUACUCUUCCAUAUUCCUUCAUUCGGUCGCUACCAAAGCUUCAGAAGCUUGUUAUAAACAAUGCUUCCAUUUCUGAAAUAGUCUGGUCUGAAGGACUUAGCAAAGAGGAAAGGCACACAUCGGUAUUCUAUCAGUUAAAGGACUUAAGGUUGUCUCAACUUCCAGAGUUGACGUUAAAGACUUUUAAACCAUCUUUGCUGUCUUUCAAAAAUCUAACAACACUAGAAGUUUCAAGAUGCCAUGGGUUCAUCAAUUUAAUCGCAUGCUCAACAGCUAAAUGCCUAACGCUACUGGAAAGAUUGAGCAUAGAUGAUUGUGAGAUGAUAGAGGAAAUCAUAGCGUGUGAGGCUGAAGAAAUACAAGGUGGCAUGGUAUUUCCCAAACUGAAGUAUUUGCAACUAAGUUGUCUGCCAUGUCUAGCAAGCUUUUCCUUGGCCCAUCACUCGUUGGAAUUCCCAGUCUUGCUAAUGGUGAUGGUGACAAAGUUCCCCCAAAUGAGGAAUUUCUGCCAAGGAGAUUUAAGCACACCAAGGCUGGAACAAAUGCACUUAACAAGAGAUGAGGAAGGUGAACUGCAGUGGGAAGGCGAUCUCAACACUACCAUAAAACAUAUGCUCGAUGAAAUGGUACAAAUCAUUUAAAGGAUUUAAAUUCAUGUGUUUUUACAUACAUUAAUUGAACAAUUCUUGGUUUGUUAUGAUCAUGCACAGAAUGGGCAAAAUUCGGAGGUGACGGAGGUUACUGAUCAGUUGCCCAAGCUGGAAUAAGGAAAUAAGUUUGGGUGCUUAUACGAAAAGCUCAAUUUCGUUUCAAAUCAAAACGAACGGUAAUUGACUCUUCUAUUUUCAUCAUGGCUUAACUAAUUCUAUUUUUCUUCACUGUAAGCUAUUUUUCUUCACUUACUAAAAUGCUUUCCACUCAAAUUUCAUUGCAAGAAACCUGAAGUUCUUCAAACAUUUGACCUUAUAUGUUAAUAGAUGGUAAUUGCGUUGCAAACUAAUGGUUUCUACUGUUGUCAUGGUGUAGUAUAUUAUGGAAUCUGAAUCAACCAUUGUAAUCAAAAGAAUGGGAGAACUUAAUCCAGAACCUUUUUUAGACGAAUGCAAGAAGAAAUUUGCUGUUUGACAACUGGUGUUUGAACUGUGAAUUUGAUUUUUUUUUUUGCCAUUUUUGCUGGUCAACAGUGCUAAUAUUCUGAUAUAUUGGCCAGAAUUGAAGGAAGAAGGUCCAAUUUUGCUUUUGAUCCUUCUACUAGUAUCUUAAGAUUUAAAAGAAAUUCAAUUAAACAAUUUCUUCCAAUAAAAUUAAACAAGAAGGCCCAGAAAUUGACCCGCACACUUAGACAUGUUUCUCUUUGAAAAAAUUCAAACAGGGUUUUAAAAUUUGCAAUGUGUUUUAUGUAAAUCAAAUGAUAUCCUGAAUUUUGCUAAGGGUGUUUCAUAUCCUUGAAUCCUUCUUUUGCUUGGCAAGUGAUUCAUUGAGCUUUUGUGAUCAAAUUUCAUGUUUCUUUUUUAGUAUGGGAAUUUGUGGGAAAAUACUUGACAACAAGCCUCAAUACUUGCUGUUGGGAGCUUCAAUAUAAUGUAACUGUUGGUGUUGAAAUCAAAGAACAGAUAAGCUCAGCUUGUAUCUUGUGCAACAAGCCUCGAUACUUGCUGAGUAAACAAUCAGAUUUGAAGCAAAAGAAAGAAGAAAAAAGCAAAGAAAAAUGAGAGAGUUUUGAUGGAUUUGAACUAGCUUUCAUUCAUACUCAAAAUAAUGGCAUAAUGCCAAUACAUAAACCAAGCAAUUUGCUUGUCAAAAAACAAUAAGCAGUCACCUAAACAAUACCUACCACCACUAAUUAUAUUGAAACUUGAAAAACAAAACUUGUAAGCAUGGACAAAGCUGAGUUUACAGCUCAUACACCAUCUAAUUACAUCAAUCAUAAGAUUAGCUUAGUUCAAAUUGAACUAAGGUACAUUACAUUAACUUAAAAAUACAAAAUGAACAAAAUAGGAACAGUUGAGCUUGUUCCAGCAGCACCUGCAUGGCACGAUCUUCAUGGCCUACUUGCUGUCUGCUUCUUGCUUCAUGCUGACCAACAUUCAUCACUCCUCCUUGGUUAGCAUGUUGCAAACUCCCAAUUUGUUUCUUAAGUGUUCGAAUCUUGUUGCAUUAAGGGCUUUGGUCAAAAUGUCAGCAAGUUGAUCCUCUGAAUUGCAAUGAAUCAGUUUUAGCUCCUGUGCCUGCUCCAUUUCUCGAACAACAUGAAGUUUAAUGCUGAAAUGCUUUGUUCUUCCAUGGAACACUGGAUUCUUUGCAAUUGCAAUAGUAGAUUGAUUGUCACAAAAGAUCUCUGUUGUUUCCCUUUGAUGCACAUUUAAAUCAGCCAUGAUUUUCCUUAGUCAAAUGGCUUGGUUGACAGCACUUGUUGCUGCAACAUAUUCUGCUUCAGCAGUAGAUUGAGCCACCAAAGUUUGUUUCUUAGAGCUCCAACAGAACAUGGCUGAACCAAGAUUGAAAGCAUACCCUGAUGUACUUUUCAUGUCAUCAAUCGAACCAGCCCAGUCAUUGUCUGUGUAGCCAACUAACUUCAGACUUUUAGCUUUGCUAUAAAUCAAGCCAUGGUUCAAGGUACCUUUGAUAUACCUGAGCACCCUCUUUGCUGCUUGAAAGUGCUUUUCAUUACUACAAUGCAAGAACCUUGAGAGCAAACUUACAGCAAACAUUAUAUCAAGUCUAGUGGCUAUUAAGUAUAGAAAACAACCAACUAAAAUUUUGUAGGUGGUUUCACAAGCCCUUUCAGAAUUAUCAUGGCUCGAUAACUUUUCUCCAGCAGCUAUUGGAGUCUUUGUUGCUUUACUAUUUUGCAUUGUGAAUUUGGUCAGGAUCUUGGAAGCAAAAACUUUCUGACUUAGGAACAUUCCCUGGUGUGUUUGUGUCACUUCCAUCCCAAAAAAGUAGCUCAUCCUUCCUAGAUCAGACAUCUCAAACAUCAGCUCCAUUUUGGUUUUAAAGUCAGUUAGCAUUGUUUGGUCUCCUUCUGUCACUAGCAGGUUAUCAACAUACAAAGAUACUAUGAGCUGAUUUAGUGUCCCUUCCUUUUUGACAAAUAAAGUUGGCUCACUCUUGCUUCUGUCAAAUCCCAAACCAGACAAGUAGUUAUCAAUCCUGCUAUACCAGGCCCUUGGAGCCUGUUUUAAGCCAUACAAGGCUUUCGUUAGCUUGUAGACCAUAUGCUCAUUACAAGCUGUCUCAAAGCCUUGUGGUUGUUCAACAUAAAUGUUUUCAUCAAGAAAUCCAUUUAGAAAGGCUGAAUUCACAUCGAGCUAAUGGAUUUUCCAUUCCAUUUAAGUUGUUAAGCCAAUCAGCAGUCUGAUGGUAUCGAGCCUGGCUACUGGUGCAAAGGUUCCAGAUAGUCCAGGCCAUAUUUCUGGCUAAAUCCCUUGACAACCAGCCUUGCUUUUAGCUUAUUCAAGCUUCCAUCAGCAUUGCACUUGGCUCGAUAAACCCAUUUCACCCCAAUGACCUUCCUUUUGGCUGGUCUUCCAACUAAUUCCCAAGUCUGGUUCUUCUCAAUCAUGCUAAUUUCAUCAGCUAUUGCUUGCUUCCACCCUUGCUGAGCUUCAGUUUCUUCAAAACAGCUUGGUUCUGCUAUAGCCAUAUGAGCCCUUUUAUAAAUCUCGGCCAAAGGUCUGGUGCCCCUGACUGGUUCAUCAUCAAUAUCUAUUUCAAGACCAUUUUGAUCUGGCUCAGCUUGAUUUGCUGCAAGAUCCUCUGAAACUGCCUGUGGCUUAUUCCUUUCCCAAUUCCAGCAUGACUUCUCAUCAAACACUACAUCUUUGCUUACUAACACUUUGUUCGUUGAAGGAUCUAAGAUCCUUUAGACCUUCUUGACUGAGCUAUACCCUACUAGUAUACCAGGUUUAGCUUUUCUGCCAAAUUUGUCUCUCUUCACUGCUGGUACAUGAGCAUAACAUAUGCAACCAAAGACCCUCAAGUAAGCCAGUGAAGGUUUGAACCCGAACCAGGCUUCAAAUGGAGUCUUAUGAGCCAGGGCCUUAGUUGGAAGCCUAUUCUGAAUGUACACAGCAGUAUUGACUACCUCUGCCCAUAUGGUUUUGGGCAGAUUCUUCUCAAACAGUAGGCACCUGGCCAUAUCCAUCAAGCUCCUGUUCUUCCUCUCACUUACUCCAUUUUGUUGAGGAGUAUAGGUGUUGGUGAGCUGAUGCUUGAUGCCAGCCUCAUUGCAAAAGACUUGGAACUAAGAUGAGGUGUACUCAGUCCCAUUGUCAGACCUUAUAGUCUUAAGUUUGCAGCCUGUUUCAGUUUUAGCAACAUUCUUGAACUUUUUAAACAUUGAGCCUACUUUUGAUUUUUGUUUUAAGAAAUAAAUCCAGCAAAACCUUGAGAAAUCAUCAAUAAACAGAAUGAAAUACCUACUUCCAUUCAAUGACUCAGUCUUUAUGGGGCCACACACAUCAGUGUGCACAAGCUGUAGUCUUUUAAAGGCUCUCCAGGCUUGAUUCGAGGGAAAUGGAAGUCUGGCCUGCUUUCCUAGCUGACAUACCUCACAAACCUCCUGUUUUUGAACUGAACUGAUGAAGUUUUCAGGCAAAUCAUCUCUGCAUAACUGAUCCAUUGAUCUGUGGUUGGCAUGACCAAGUUUUUGAUGCCAAAGCUUAGAUUCAUCAGUUGUAGCUGUAUAGGUAGUGUCUAAGUCCUUUGUCCAAUCAACUACAAAGCUUUUGUCAGCCAUAGUGACUGCCAUCAAUUUGGAUCCAUUUGGAUCACUAAUUUGGCACUGCUUGCCUUUGAACACUACAAAAUACCCUUUUUCUAGCAAUUGAGCUAUGUUGAGCAGGUUUCUGUCAAUCUUAGGCACCAAUAGCACAUUCGAGAUGACCUUGACACCUGUGGGAGUGCAUAUCAACACAUCACCCUUACCUUCUGCCUUUAUAAGGUGACUAUUACCAAUCUUAACUUUAGUUCUGUAGCUUCUGUCCAAGGACUUGAAGAUGGCAGCAUCUAGUGUCAUGUGGUUGGUGCAUCUACUGUCUAGGAGCCAACCAUUUGAAAGCCUCUCUUAAGCAGCUGAGCAUGACACAGCAAAAACUUGCUCCUCUUGAUCACUGUCUUCCUUGGCUACUCGAGCCUCAGCCUUUGACUGUUGAGGUUGAUUCUGCCUUGGUUUGCCUCUGUUUUUGCAGACCCUUUCAACAUAUCCCCUCUUCUUGCAGUGUUGACACAAUACAUCUAGUCUAAACCAACAUUUUUCUUCUGGAUGACCAGGCCUUUUACAAUGCCUGUAGGUUUGUUCUCAUUUUCUUACAGCAUCAAACUUUGGCUUGUCUUUCCAGAUCUUCUUGCCUUUGUAGGCAAUAUUAGUCUUUACUUGAAAGGCACCUUCUUGAUGCUCCUCCAGUCUGCUAGCUCUUCUCUGUUCUAGUGCAUAGAGAGCAUUAAUCAGCUCUGUUAGGGAGAUGCUGGUCAGUCCCUUGAGUCUUCGAGGGAUGAGAUUUUUGCCUCAUACCUCUCAAGCAAAGUUGAAAUAACCUUCUCCACUAUCCUUGCUUCAUUAAAAUUCUCACCAAUGAGCCUUAUUCUGUUUACCACAACCAUAAUCCUAUCUGAGUACUGUUUGACAGUUUCUUCUUCCUUCAUCUUCAAAUUCUCGAAGUCCCUUCUCAAGUUUAACAACUGUUGCUGCCUUGUCCUCUCUGUCCAUUGAAACUCAUCUUUCAACUUGUCCUAGGCCUGCUUUGGUAUUUCACAUGCCAUAAUCCUUAUGAAGAUCACAUCUGACACUGAGUUCUGGAUGCAAUACAUGACCUUGUGCCUCUUGGUCAUUUUAUCAGCAUGUUGCCUGAUUUAAGCUACUGUUGGAUUGGCUCUGAGUGGAUCUGGUUCAAAAUCAGAGUUGACCACCUCCCACAGAUCGAAAGCCUGCAGGUAGGUCUUCAUUUUGACCACCCAUAUGUGAUAGCCUUCUCCAUUGAAGACUUGUGGUACAGCUGGUGAGAAGUUUGAUGAGGCCAUCUUUUUAUACAACAGAUCCCUUAAGAUUAAGGCUCUAGAUACCAAUUGUUGGUGUUGAAAUCAAAGAACAGACAAGCUCAGCUAGUACCUUGUGCAACAAGCCUCGAUACUUGCUGAGUAAACAAUCAGAUUUGAAGCAAAAGAAAGAAGAAAAAAAGUAAAGAAAAAUGAGAGAGUUUUGAUGGAUUUGAACUAGCUUUCAUUCAUACUCAAAAUAAUGGCAUAAUGCCAAUACAUAAGCCAAGCAAUUUGCUUGUCAAAAAAUAGUAAGCAGUCACCUAAACAAUACCUACCACCACUAAUUAUAUUGAAACUUGAAAAACAAAACUUGUAAGCAUGGACAAAGCUGAGUUUACAGCUCAUACACCAUCUAAUUACAUCAAUCAUAAGAUUAACUUAGUUUAAAUUGAACUAAGUACAUUACAUUAACUUAAAAAUACAAAAUGAACAAAAUAGAAACAGUUGAGCUUGUUCCAGUAGCUCCUGCAUGGCACGAUAUUCAUGGCCUGCUUGUUGUCUGCUUCUUGCUUCAUGCUGACCAACAUUCAUCAGUAACUGUGAGACAGUUGAAGGGCAAGAAUGCUGCGUUGCGCCUUGCGUUUGCUAAAGGUACUUUAUAUUAUAUAUGUGUAUGUAGUGAGCAGAAUACUAUGUGUUAAUUGAAUCGUUUGGUACCCUUUGAUUGAUCUUAGGGAAGGGGAUAUAAAUGUCGGGAUUUGAACCCCAAACUUAGCUUUUAUUACAGGAAGAGGAUCAAUUUUGGCUCGGUUAAGCUUAAUGUGUUAAGAACCAGAUAAGAACAUAAUAUAUGGGAACACUUUGGCCAUACGAGGCUAAUGCUUAUAUGAUUCGCUUUACAGACUACAUGCUCCUAGGGAUAACUCUUCUGUAAGUACUAUUAGUUGAAUAGCUUUAUGAUGUAUUAAUCUAUAAAAUCUGGGUGUCAUAUUAUGAGUUCCAUUGCUAUGUUAAUCUAUGUACUAACAAUAUUAUGAAGUAAGGCAAUUUUGUGUACAUUACAUUGGGAUGCAAGCUGAAUUACCUUUAAUCAGCUUCAACCAUACAUACAUAUACAUAUAUAUAUAUGAAGUUAAGAACGUAAGUGCUGUUAAAUGGUACAUUACUCAGAUUGGUAAUAUAAUGGUGCCGAAUGUUCUAAAAUUUAACAAGUAUUACUGGUAAUAUAUUAAUGAAGAUAAAGAUAAAAGUUUUCUCGGGAAAACAAGUGUUAUCCUUCAUUUAUCUUGAUGAUUCUCUAACGCCGCCAAUUUCCCCCCUAAGUUUACAGCAAGAAGAAGAAGAAAAAGAAGACAAACGGCAACGUUAAGCCAUUUAAUUUCAUCCCAGGUUAAUUUUUUUUGUAAAUUAAACAUUUUUUGUAUACAUUUUGUUACCUAUUUAUUUUAUGUUUUUGAAGUUUCCAUUGCCAUUUCUACCUUUCCAAAAUGGUGUCUUUUUACUUGUUUUUUACUGGGUUAUUGACAUUUGUUCCAUAGAAUAAAUUUCUUUGAUUUUAGGGUUCUAUAUGUAUUUUUUUUAUUUAUGAAUUUGAACUUGAGUUAUCCAUAAAAAUUCGACCUUUAAUCUCAAUAUAUUUAUAGUCUAUAAAUUUUGACUUUUCUUCCAAUAAUAUAUCUCCAAAAUUCUAACUUAACCUUUUUAAACUUUGUCAUGUCAUUAUUAUUAGAGUUAAUUGCACCAAAUAUCUCCAAACUAUGGUUCUUCUUCUAAAAUAGUCCUCAAACUCAAAAUAUUGUAAAUUACAUUUCCAAAUUAUCAAUAUUAUAUCAAUAAUGUUCUUCUAUUGCUAAAAUCAUGAAAUGAGACGUCAAAUCUUAUCAGACAUAAUUUAAAAUAAAAAACUUAAAAAAAAUAAUUAUUGUAAAAAUAUUGAUUUCAAGGUUUUCGAAGUUAUUACAAAAACUAUCAUUCAUUUUCUCUUUCACUUUAUUUUUAAUUUUUAUUUUUAAAAGUUGUAUCAACAACAUUUUACUUUUCUCUAAAAAUAUCAUUUUUCAUUAAUAGUUUCAAUAAUAAAAGGAUGAGAUAAAUAGUUUAAAAUAUUUUAAAGUUGGGAGAAUAAUUUAAAAUAAAGAUGCAAUAUUGUUAAUCUAGUACUAUUUCAUAAUAUCAUUUUAUCGUUUCAAGUUUUAAAGACAACAUUUUUUUUUUGAAAUAUUUUAAAGACAACAUUUAAAGAUUGACUAUAAUAAUAUUGUUACAUGGAAAAAGAAUCCCACGUCAGCUAAAUGGCUUACGUCUGACGUGUGCUUAGUGUUAUUAAAAAAGUCAAAGGUUGAGAAAGUCUGAGGCGAGUCACACAUAUCACACGCCAUGCACAGGUUUCCUUAUUUCGAGGCUAAAAUACCAAAAUACCAUCACAUUUCUCGUUAAAUUUACCACUUAAUCAACGAUCCUCUAAAAAUGAUGUAAGGACAUAUUAGAAAUUUUAAUCACAAUAAUAUCACCAAAUCUGAAAAAUUACAAAUGAGGCAAAAAAAAAUACGAGUAAUAUUUAGCCAUAAAAUGUAUAUAUUCAUUCCCUCUAAACCAGGUGGUUAAGCCUCACAAUCCAACGUAACUGUAAACCUUUCUUGGCAGCCAUGAAAUCAGUUCUAAAAUCCCUUGCAAACUCAAUCUUCCUUGUUCUUUCCAUCAUCUUUUCAUCUUCUACUCCACUUGUAUUGGCUCAAUGUGAAGCAGAGACCAAGACUAAUGGAUGCCAUAACUACAGAGAAUCCAUGAAGCUAAAAAUCAUUGCCAUUGUCGCAAUUUUACUAUCCAGCAUGAUUGGCGUGAGUCUGCCAUUGUUUUCUGGUCAGGUUCCGUCACUUAAACCCGACAGGGACUUGUUCACCAUUGUCAAGGCAUUUUCCUCCGGUGUUAUUCUAGCGACUGGGUACAUGCACGUGCUACCGGAUUCUUUUAACGACCUUAUGUCCGGGUGUUUGCCUGAAAACCCAUGGAGGAAGUUCCCUUUCACAACCUUCGUCGCAAUGCUGUCGGCUGUGUUGACCCUUAUGUUGGAUUCAUUUGCAAUGAGUGUAUACAAGAAACGUUGCGGUAAAGCUCUAAUGGCGGAUGCUAACAAUGGUGGUGGAUUGGAAAAUACGAACGUUGUACAAAUCGAUAAUUUUGAACACGGCCAUAGCCAUUCACUUGAGAUGAAUGACGACGUAUCAUCACAAUUGUUAAGGCAUCGAGUUAUUGCUCAGGUAUAUAUACAUGUUUGAAUCCUCAAAUUCGAUGGUUUUGCUUUUCAAGUCUUUACAUUAUAUAUUUCCUAAAUGUAGGUAUUAGAGUUGGGAAUUGUAGUUCAUUCAGUGGUGAUUGGCCUUGCCAUGGGAGCCUCUGGCAACCAAUGCACCAUUCGAUCACUCAUUUCUGCCCUUUGCUUCCAUCAAAUGUUUGAGGGGAUGGGACUUGGUGGAUGCAUACUGCAGGUAACCCCCAACAUUGCACUAUUUUCUCAUUCAAACAUCCAUUUAGUGUACAAUAUUGAUUAACAUUAUGUUUGAUAUGUGCAGGCUGAAUAUGAGAUAAAAAUGAAAGCAAUCAUGGUAUUCUUCUUUUCAGCCACAACGCCACUUGGAAUAGUUCUGGGAAUUGGUUUGUCCAAGGUUUACAGUGAGACGAGUCCAACUUCACUUAUGGUGGUGGGACUACUUAAUGCUUGCUCAGCAGGGUUGCUGAAUUACAUGGCACUGGUUGAUCUCCUUGCAGCUGAUUUUCUGGGCCCUAAGCUUCAAACAAAUAUGAAGCUCCAGGCUUGGUCAUAUGUUGCAGUUUUACUUGGUGCUGGAUUUAUGUCUUUGAUGGUAAAAUGGGCUUAGUCAUGUCAACAUAUACAUGUCUUUUUGUAGUUUUUUAAUCUUAUUCUUCUUCUUCUUCUUUUUUUUUGUUUCAACAGAUGAGUUUAUAGUGAAUCAACACUUAUUCAAUCAAUUAUAAAAUUUAGGCAAAGAAUUUAGGCAACAAGGCUUGAACAUUGAUCUUUAAGAUCGUUUACUCCAUAUUGCAGGGCUCAUCACAAAGUAUAUAUAUCAGAAAAGUAUGCAAACUUCAAUUUUGUGUCAAUAUCAUUAUAAUUUAAACUGUUUAAUGUUACAUCAGAUGUAGAUGUCUUUAAGCCAAUGCUUAUAGCCACAAAGUCUCUUUGGUGCAAGCUAUAAGUACAGAGUUAUGCUAUAAAUAAACAAUUAAAUAAUUUGUAUUUAAAAUAUCAAAUACUAAAAACCAAUAAAUAAGAUUAGAAAACCAAAAAUCGGAUAAAGAAUCAAAUUUUUCUAGAUGUUGGGGCUUGUUUUACACAGUUUCCUUAAGAUAGAUUUGUCUACUCCUACUGUACUUGGUGAAAUGUUGGGAGACUAUCUAAUAGGAUACAACAAAACAAUGAUCGAAAUAAUAGCAUCUCUACAGAGACCAAUGAACAACCUUGCCUUUUUCUAUCACCAGAACAUUGGAAAAUAUAGAGAGAAAAAGAGAAGAAUUUUCGAGAGCAAAAUAAACUUGGUUUUAGAGAGUUUUUUAGUGUAAAAAAAUUUGAAGAAUUCUUAAGCAUUCAAGAUGGAGGAAUUUUGGAAAUAUCCAUAAUUAAAUAUACAAAAUCUGUAUUAAAUGAGCAAUUAAAUCAUAAUAUAUGUCCUUUUUAAAUUAGAUUUUAUAUAUAUUUGUUGAGAAAAUUAAAUUUUGUGUUGGGCUUAAAAUAUCCACAGGCCCAAUUGACUGGUCUAGACAUUUCACAUCGCCCAUGUAGUGCGAGUGCGCUUCAACCCCGAUGGGUUCGGAUCUACACCCCCCUCGCGUGGGACAAAGUUUCAAACUUAGUCAUUCAAUUAUCCUUCAAGUGGGUUCUCAUAUAUAAACACAUCUCACAUUUGGUAUUUAAUCAAUGUGAGAUCUAAGCUUUUCUUUUCCUCAACAAAUAUUCACAACUUACUUUGAGCAUUAAUUUCUCGCUCAUCACUCAACCAUUUUGAGCAUACGAUAUACUAUUGUAAAGGUAUCAUGGAGUAGAAUAUAAAAUCAUAAUUUUAUGAUUCAAUUCUCCACUUAUACCAAUUGAGAAUAUGCUUCAAAGUUUCUAAAAGUUACAAUUUUUUCAACAUUUUAUACAUCUACUUUAAAGGUAUAAUCAAGCCCAGCAGAGCCCGAAUAAUGACAAGCUUGAACUUGACUCAAACAUCACUUUUUAAGCUCAAUCUUGAUUCAAAACAUAAUUGAGCUGAUUAAGCUCGUUUAUCAAUUUUUAUAAUCAAACUCAUUUAUAAUUAAGCUCUUUUUAUAUAUCAAGGAUAAAAAUGUAAUUUUAUAAAUAAAAAAUAUUUAAAUGGAAUGCUUAAUUAGGUUUGUGGGCUACUUGAAUCAAGUAUUACAAUAUUUAAAUUCAGCUUAAUCAAUAGCUCGAGCUCUACUCAAUAAUUUUUGAUAAAAUUUUAAGAUUUUUUGAAUCCAAUUAGAAUAGCUUGCAAAUAUAAUGUAUCAUUGUACUCUUAAUUUUAAGUUUACAUUUUUAAUUCUUAAAAUAAUAUUAAAAAGUUCUUUCUUUCUAAAAAGAAACACCCAAUCAAUUGAAGGCUUUUUAGAAAGUGGUGGCAAAGUGCAUCCUUUACUUUAAGUCUCACUAUAUCUAAAAAGAAAUUAAUGCGAACUGUAGAAAGUGGUAGGAAUGUGCAUCAUUAUUGCUUUAAAAGAAUUUCAAUCUUUAAACGGAUAGAAUUAAAUUUUCAUAAUUUGGAAGAGUUAAAGUGUAAUUUUUUUAUUUUAAAAUUUUAAAAUUUUUUAAAGAGUUCAAAUAAUAAUUUUUUAUUUUAAGAGAGCCGGGCUCCUGUCAACUCCUGGAUUCGCCUCCGUAAUUUUCAAAAUUCAGUUAAAUUAUGUUAUUUUGAAUAAAAAGUUAAUUGAUAAAGAAAUUCUUUUAGUUUCGAAAAUUCAAUUUUUUUGUUUUAAAAAAAUAUUAAAAUUUAAAAAUUAAAAGAUUAAAGUAAUAAAAUUUCUCCCAAUAUCAAUGACUUUUUGAUACAUGCACGAAUGAAGUGAAAUUUAUUAGAUUCCAAUCAUCAAAACUACUAAUUUUCAGGCUUGGGAAAUUAGCAGACUUGCAAUGACUUUUUGGAUGGGAUUCUGGCAUUUUUGGGUUGAGAUGUCUCAUGGCAUUUGAAGAUCAAUCUCUUAGCUUUGAAACGCAUUUUGUAUCACUCGAUUUUGAGUUCGGGAGCUCAAGUUAUGACUGUUUUAGUGAAGAUUGCGCGAGCAAAAUUUCUGAACGAGAUUAUGACGGGAAUUACGAAUUUUGGGCUUUUAAUUCGUGUUUAAAUCAUAUUGAGUUCAGGUUUUAGACUUAAUUUUUAUUAUUAUAUAUGAGCCUAAUAUUAUAGUUGUUAGAUCUUAUUAUUUUAUUCCAAAAUUUUGAUAAUUAUUAAGUAUUUUAAGUUAUUUAGGAGUUUUAUAUUAACAAGAAAAUUCAAUUUAAAACUCCUUCUUAUUUAGAUUAAAUUAGAGUUCUAGUAUACUUAAAAGUUUUAUUUAGAUUUAUUUAGCUAGUCUAUAUGUAGGCCUUAUUCAUUAUUAUUCUAUUUCUCUUUUAAGUUAAUAAAUUCUCUCUGGGUUUUUUUUUUUCAAGAAUUUCUCUUGAGUUUCUUUUAGAAGAGUUUUAACAAUCAUUUUAGAUUGUGAGGAUCAUUUUCAAACUUUUUGUUGCCAAGGUUUCUAUCUUGAAGGGGAAAUUAGAGCCGCUUGAAGGAGGUUAUGAAUUAUUCGUGUUUCCAAGGCUUAUUAGGACUUCUACACGUCACGUUCUAUCUUUUCAUUUAUCUUCUUUAUUUGCUUCCUUAAUCUUUAAUUUAUUAUUUUAUUUUAGUUAUUUAUUUUAAUUGUUUUAUCUGACUUGGAUUCAAUUUCGUUUCAGGUUGUGUCAAAAUCAAAUUUCUUUUCGAACGUUUAGAACCCUAAGUCAAAUCCGUGAUUUUGACAAAUUUUAUGAUCCACUUUCGCGUUCAUCCUUCUCAUCCUUUAUCACUUUUGCUACUUUUCUUGCUUCUGUCGAUGCAUAUCCUGACAAGCCUUUAACUAUCAUGAGAAGCAAAGGAGAGAAGCAAAGGAUAAAUACACUACGUAUGAUAUAAAUAUGAUUAAUUUUCCUUGAAAUAUUAAUUAUUAAAUACAUAUUAAAAUAUAGAUAUGGGAAUACAAUCUUUUAUAAUAAUCACCCACUAUGACACCAUUUCGUUGUAAUUAUUAAUUUUUUACUAAAAUCGAUAUUAAUAUUUUAUUUUAAUCUUCUAUAACAACUUUUCACUUAUAAUAGCAAUAUCCAUAUACAUUCUUUAUUAAACUAUUUCUCUAUAACAUCGUAUUGUUUAAAUCUUUAAGUAAUAUAACGACCACCAUUUUAUAAAAGAUAAAAUCUAGACAGACAAGUUAAGUAAUUUUAGUUUAGUAAAUUGUAUUUUUUUUCUGAAUGAUUUAGAUUAAUUGCUUUUUUCCAACACCAUGAAAAGCUGAUUUCAAACACAAUAAUUGGCGAUAGUGUGUUCCUUCUUUUGUCACCUUUACCAAAAGGGAAAAUAAUUGGCGAUAGAGUGUUGCUUUCGUUUGUCAACUUUUCAGCUGUAGCCACCAAAUGAUAAGAAUCCAUGAAGCUCCACUCUCAAGUAUUUGUGUUUCUUUAGGAUUCUAUUGUUUACAUUUCAAAUUUUGUUUAGAUUGAGCUGCCCUUUGUCAAAUUACUUCUCGCAUUACUCCGUUAAGAAUAUUAUCUUUUCGCUCGUUCGUAACUGCGACAACUAAUCGCUGAAUCCUUCUCUUAUACGUUGGAAAGGUACGCCAUCUGCUUUCAUUUUGGUUGAUUUGGUCUUACUUCUUGGUUUACGGAAGCUUUACUUUUUGCUCGUUUUAUUUGUAACUUUUUCUUCUGAUUUUGUUUUGGUCUUUGUUGUCGCUGUGGUUAUUCAGUUUACUUCUUGUUUGAUCUCUCAAUGGAGUUUGUUACUACCCUAGUUGGCUCUAUUGUCACUAAAGCUGUAAAGUAUACGAUCUCUCCUAUCAAAAACCAUAUCAAAUACCUUUCCAAUCAUCAACAAUAUGUUGAGACCCUCAAGGACUAUAUGUUUAGUUGGUAAAAAAAGGAGAAAAAAAGAAGAAAGAAAACCACUUUGCUUAGUUGGUAAAAGCCAAAGUUGUGAGUAUUGAAUAAUCAGAUUCGGAAUUUAGAGUGAUAGCAUAUAGAAUAUUUUCCCAUUAAAAUAUGUUUUGGUAUACGACAUUUUAGGGUUGUUGGCUAGUCAUUACUGAGCUGCUUCCUUUCUUUUAAAGUAUGAUGAAGUCAUCUUUCUCAAAUCACUACUUUCUGGGUUUGCUCUGUUAAGAACAAGAAAAAAAGAAAAAAAUUGGAAGUUAUCGAUCACAGCCAAAAGGUACGCCAUCUGCUUUUCUUUUCCCUGCUUUGCUCUUACUCUUCUGAAAUACUUGUCGGUAUAAAUAAGCUUAGGCAGGCAGUUUUAACCAUGAAAAUGGACUUCUUUUAUGCUUUAAAUCUAUUUAGCCCUUCUAUUUUAGCUUUAGGAUUUCGAGUCCUGUACUUUUUCGAUUUAAAAUCUUCAUCUUUCCAUUCAAAUUUACCCUUAGUGUUGUUGACCUGACAUAUAUAAAAAGAUCAAAUAAAUUUUUUAGCCUUAAUUUGAUCUUUACUUUAUAAAAUUACAUAAAAAUUCAGAAUUAAAAAGAAAACAUAUUUCCACUAAAAUCCAUUAAAAAAUUGUGGAAAACACUCUUUAAAGUUCGUGGAAAAAAGGGAUAAGAAGGGGUGACUAUUAGGAAAGCUGCAUAAGCACUUUUGUUUGUGAUCUAUCAACAAAUUGUGGCUUCCACAUACUGCAAUAUGGUUAUUAAGAGGUUGAGUACUGCUUUAUCUUGUAGAAGGAGGAUUUGUAGUAGAUCUAAUCAUAAGUUGGGUUAAUAUAAAAAUUUUAGAUUUGUUUUUAGGGUCCGGAUCGCCUCAACUAAAAAAAUGCGCUAAAAUUUUAUUUAAGUUCAACCCAGAUAAAAAAUACUAAAUCUGAACCCGUCUGUAUUAGAUUAUUUUUAUAUAAAAAUAAAUUUAAAAAAUAUAAUACAUCAAAUACUCUAAAAAUAUUAAAAUAAAUGUUUCUCAACGAAUUGAAAAUAUAUUUAAAAAAAUUCUUUAUACUUAAAUAAAACUAACAUAGUUGCAACUUAGCAAACAAAUGUUUCUAAAAUAAUAGUAAAAUUAAAAAUAAAAUAAGAGUUAUACAAUAUCUAAAUAAUAGUAGUAAAAUAACAACAUAACAGCAAAAAACAACAACGUAAAAGCAGUAAACAGCAGCAAAAAAAUAGUUAAAUUUGGGUUAGGUCCAAACUAAAAAAAUCUUACCUGAAGCUCAGCCUGUUUAAAACGAGAAUUUAUUUUUUUCGAAGUUUAUUUUUUGGGUUUGUAUUAUUACCUAAAAUAUAAUGAUUGUAUUAUUAAAAUAUUAAUCAUAUAAAUAGUUACGGAAGUGUGUAAAAUUACUUUAAUUUUUACAUUGUGUAAGUAGAUCAUUCCCCUUAAUAUUAAUAAAUUUUCAUUUUGUUAUAACAUAAUAUUUAAAAUAUGAAUUAAGAUUAAAAAUUAAAUUAAAAAUAUGAAUAUAAAUAGGGUGAGGAUUUAAUACUUUUUGUUAUUCCACAAGUAACCUUAAAAAAUUGACAUGUCUCUCUUUCCUUUAAAUAUUUUAUUAUACUCUUAUAAAACACUUGUCAAUCCCUUGGUCCUGCUAGUGGAGUCUAAAAACUCCAUUGGCAGUGUACUAAGUGAUUUCUCAUAAUUUAUUAUUGAAUUUUUUAAAUUCCACAAGGAAAGUCAAGAAGUUGAUAAAUGUCUUUUUAGAAGUAUAGUAAAAUAUUUUAAAAAAAUUAAAGAUUUUAAUACUGCUUGUAGAAUAAAUAUGUACAAGCCCAAAUUUACCAGGGGCCCAAAAACCCAAUUACAACCAAAACCAAACCCAAAAGACCUAGCCCAAUACCCCUAACCCAACCCAAACAACAGACCCUAAACAUUUAAAAACCAAGCCCAAUUACAAUACCCGACCCAAUAACCCUAAGCCCGAUUAACAGUAGCCUAAAGCCUAACAUCAAAUCAGAAACAGACCCCCUGCUGCCGCUGCCGCGCCACUUGCUCUGCCACCGCCGCGCCUACUUCACCCACUUGCCUACAGAGAAAUGACAAGCAAAAAAUAUUGUAAAAAAUGGCUAUAAAGCCAUAACAACUAUUGUAAACGGGGUCUUCUUCCCCCCUUUUUUUCCACGAGCAUGAAAUAAAAAAACACAACACUUUCAAGGUUUUUUCUUUUUUCAUUUUAGGUACUUAUUUUGGUUAUAUAAUCCUUUUAUUUAUUUAUUUUACAUAUAUGAAAAUAUAAAAAAAAAGAGAGAAAAGGGAAAGAACCUACCGGAGUCAAUCCGCGUCUUUGUCGUCGGAGACCUCUUCUCUGGUGCCUAAAAUCAGUCGUUGAGAAUGUUGAUGGCCUCUUGCCCUUUGUUUUUUUGGUUGUUUUGAGGCCGGAUCCGAACUCAGUGGGUUAGUAUCUAAAAAAAGGACACUUUUUUACCCUCGUCGGCCUCCGUGCACGGUGGCAUCGAUGCUGGCGAUCGACGGCCGACACAGUGGCCUUUGAUUGAACGCUCGGCCGGAGUGUGGGGGAGUAGAGAGGAUUUUGCUUAGUUGUUUUAAGGGGGAGGGUGAAAAUGAAAAAAUUCUAAAAAUUUUGGCUUUUAUAGCCUAUGGGAAACGGCGCCGUUUCAUCCGGCCUCCACAGGCGCCAAAACGGUGUCGUUUUGGGGAGGCCGACCCGAACCUAACCUGUCUGCUCUAAGAUCCGCGCGUUUUAAGAUGGAAGGGCUAAUUGCACUUUUAGCCCUUCCGCCUUCUUUAUGUUUUUAAUUAAGUAUUUUUGUUUUUUCAAUUUUGCACAGUGAUUUUUUUGCGAUUUCGAUUUAGUCCUCGCUAAAACGAUGUCGUUUUGGGGGAAAGAGAAAAUUACCCUUUCAGUCCCUCCAUGUUAUUCGCGUGUUCAGAUUGGUCCUUUCCUUUUAUUUUACUUUUGAUUUUGCCCCAAAUCUUUUCCUUAUAAUUCAAAUUAGUCCUUUUUUGUUAUUUUAUUAUUUUAUUAAUUAACUCAAUUAUUUUAUUUAUUCCUCAUUAUUGUACUAUUAUGUUGUGUUAUUAUUGUUAUUAUAUUUCCAAUUUGUUUAUUGAUCUAAGUUUAAAUAUUUUUAAUCUCAUUAUUAUUAUUAUUAUUAUUAUUAGUUACUCAUUUGUACCUUUUUAAUUUUAGAUUUAAUUAUAUACAUACAUAUCUUUGAUUUAUAUAUAUAUAAAUACUUAUAUAUAUAUUUUUUACAUUUUAAAAUAUGUAUAUUUUUAUAUUUUUAUUUUUAUUUUUUUUAUGAUUCACAUAGAUAUAUAUUUAUAUUUUAUAAUUUUUAUCGAUAUUCUUUGUUGUUAUAAUUGCUUCACUUGGUGUUCACUUAUUUAUUUAUUUACAUGUCCAUUAUUAUUAUUAUUUUUAAAUGCUUUAGUUUUUAUUUGUUUAUUACUUGUUAUUGUGUAUACAUGAUUGAUUUUUUUAUAUAUAUAUUUGUCUUCUUAUUUAUUUAUCUUUUUGUUUUUGCUCGUAUUAUUUUUACUUACAUUAUCAUAAUUGUUAUUCCAUUACAUCAAUUUUUACCAGAUUUGUAAAAGAGAAAAUUUUGAAAAUAAAGGCAAUACUCAGUAUUUGGGAUCUUCGAGAGGAUUGAGCCCUAACGUAUUGGGAUCCAAUUUUCUUCGUUGAAUCUAAAUAAUCGAGAAUGCUCUUUAAUAAAAAACAUAAAUAAAAAGCUCAUUAUCGGGAAUUCAAUACGUUGUGUCCUAACACAUUGGAUAUGACAUGUUGUUUUCUCGAGAUGAGGAUUUUUCUAAAAAAAUAAUAAAGGCAAUAUUCAAUGUUUAGAAUUUUGAGAAAUUGUGCCCUAACGUAUUGGGCUGCGAUUUCUUCAUCUGACUUAAACAAUUGAAUAUCCUUUUAAAUUUUAUUGCACGAGUUUUUUGGACAAGCUCAUUUUUGAGGAGGUGAAAUGUCAUGCCCUAACUCAUUGGGUGUGACAUUUUAUCUCUCCGAAAUGAGAGGGUCUUAAUGGGUAAUUUGUUUUAUAUAAGUUUUUUUUUUACAAAAGAUCGUAUUUUUAAAUUUCUUUAAAGUUUUUAAUUCUCAACACUAAGACACUAAUUAAUCAACUAGGUACCAAUUUUAGGCGUUACGAGGGUGCUAAUCCUUUCUCGUACGUAACUGACUCCCGAGCCUAUUUUUUUGAAUUUCAUAGAACAAAAUCGUUGUUUUAAUAAAAUUAAAUUGUUUAUAAAAAACAACCAUUUUUCGAGGUGUCCCGAUCACACCUCAUCAAAAAGGAUUGGUGGCGACUCUAGUGUUCUUUUUGCAUUCAUUUCGUGCAUUUGCAUUACAUUACGUCAUGAACAUUAAAGUCCACCAAAGAGCCUAAUUGAUUAAAAUUAUUUCAGUUAAUAUGGAAAACCAACACCCUUGCGGUACCCGAACAGAAACUAAAGGAAUAGACCAAAGGUUGGAGAGGUUAGAGCAGAUGCAAAUAUAGAUGCUAGAGCAAUUGACCAAAUUUCAACAAGAUAUGAAGGAUCAGAUGCUAAAAGUCCAAAGAAAUCUGAUGAGCCAGUUAACCCAGUUAUUGGAUAAAGGGUUAGAAAAAGGAAAAAACCAAACGGUCUACUUUAGAGAUGAUAAUGAAGACCCUGCUCAUUUUCCAGACUUUACCCCAACAAACAUCCAAGCACAACCGAAUACAUAUCCACAAAGGGUAACUGUUAACAUCCGACCACAAUACCAGACUAGUACCUCGACACCGGUGAAUUUCGCGACAGGCUCAGGUUCCAACCUUAAGGGCAAUUUAACUAAUCCCGUUGUCCUUGAUGAUCUAGCGGGAGUAAAACAGGCGAGAGUGGAGUUCUCAAAACAAUUUGGAGAUAGUUACAAACAGAAAGGGCAAAAAUGGAGCCCCCAAAUCAAUACUUCGAAAGCACCGAAGAAGAGGAAAAAUGAGGUGAAUGAUGCGAGUAGGUAUAACGAGGGUUAUUCAAAGGCGAUUACUGCAAGCCAGCCAAGGACGGUUGCUUCUAGCCAUUAGAUCCCCCAGAGACAAGAAUCCGGCACAAAGCAAAACAUUGAGAAGUCCCAAUUUACACCAAUCCCAAUGUCAUAUCGGGAGCUGUAUCAGAGUUUAUUUGAUGCACACGUUAUUUCUCCUUUCUACGUGAAGCCUUUACAACCUCCGUACCCCAAAUGGUACGACAAAAAUGUGCAAUGUGACUACCAUGCGGGAAUUACGGAGCAUUCUAUAGAAAAUUUCCCUACCUUUAAAAGGUGGUUGAAAGGCUCAUCAGUAUGGGCAUUGUUAAGUUCGAUACAGAAAAUUUGUUGCCCAAUCAUAUUGAUAAUCGGGGUGAAUGCGAUGAAUGAAGAAAUGUUGGGAAAUGUUCACAUCAACGUCGUAUACAAAGAAACAACUGAAGAAGAGACCUUGUUAGAUAUCCACCUUUAUAAACUUGGGAGUCUUCUAAAUAAAUCGGACUGUAGAAGAAAUCUCUGUAUCAUUUAAAGCUUAUUUAGAGUAAUGUUCAAAACACUUUUGUUGCUUUUGGCCUAGAUGCAGUAAGAAUGUCUAUGUGAAAUAGGCUCAUGUCUGAAUAUUAUCAUUUUAAUGAAAUCCAUUAUUGUGAUUAUUUUGAGCUAGUAUUCUUUCAUUCUUUACAAAUAAUUAUGUUUGAUUCUUUCAUUCUUUUGGAUUUUCUUCCACAUCAUUCUUUCAUUUAUAAUUAUAUUGUACAAAUAAUUAUUCAUAAAUUCAUACAUUCUUUUUAUAUUCUUUUGUACCUACAAUGGGUCCCUAGAUAUCAAUGACAUGAGUGACGCUGCUACAGACUCAGAAUUUCCUUUUGAGCGAGACAUGUGUUUAAAGGGAUCUCAUUACUUUAUUAAAAUUUUUUUGGGUGCAGCCUGACCAAUGGGCAACACUAGACUAAAAUGUGAUGAUCUAAAAACUCUAGGGGCCUUAUAUGUCAAAUUUUCGUUUUUAUUGGCAAUUGAUUCAAAGGGUGUCGCAUGACAGGCGGCACCAAACUUUAAAAAGGAUAAAUUCACCCUAAAUCCCCCUUAUUUAUUAUUUUUCUUUAACACCAAAAAUAGAUUGCCUUUUAUAAAUUAGUCUAAAUUUUUUUUACCAAAAAGUAUUUUUGUAAGUAAACCGUUUCCAUUUGGAAAUAAUUUUAUUUCUUUUUAGAAAAUAUUUAUAAUUUUAUUAUCAAAUUGAUUUAUGUACACGGUAUAAAAUUAUAAUUAUAAAAGCUUUAGAAAAAUCUUAUUAUGUAUAAAUUAUAAUUAUUAGUUAAAUUUAUAGUUUCAAAUAUAAUGAGAGAAAAAGAAAACUACUAUAAAUAUAGUUAAUUGUAAUGUCAAACAUAAUGUGAAUUUUUUGUUUGAAAAAUAAAUAAAAGUUAUUUUGAGUUGGAAUCGACUUACUUUCAAAAAUACUUUUGGUAAAAAAAAAUUAGACUAAUUGAUAAGAGGCCAAUUUAUUAUUGGUGUUAAAAGAUAAUAAAAAUUAAUAAUAAAUAGGAGGUUUAGGGUGCAAUUUACCCUUUUAAAAUUUGGAGCCGUCAUACAGGCGGCACCCUUGAAGAGUUUUUCGACUGUCAAUUAAAAUGGAAAAUUUCCAUAUAAGGUCCCUGAAAUUUUUAGAUCAUCUCAUUUUAGCCUGGUGUGGCCGAUUGCUCAGGCUGCACCUGAAUUUUUUUUAAAUAAAGUGAUGCUGUCGAUUGGUUAGGCGGCACCGAUAUUUCACCGUUUCAUUUGACUAUUCUCAUAAAUAUUAAUCUCUUUAUCCUAUUUUGUAUUUAUUUAUUUAUUUUAUAUUAUUAACGUAAAAAACCCUAUAUUGUGACUUGCGGAAACGUGGAAUGAAAACCAAUUAGGUUUUUUUUUUAAGUUUUUCUUGAAUUAAAAUGCAACCAAUAAAAAUAAUUGAUAUUUUAAUUUAAUAAAAAUAAAAUUAAUUAAUAUUUGAGUAUUUAAUUUUAAAAAUUAUCAAGAUGUAAUUACAACAAUUAAUUUUAAAAGUUAUUAAAGAUAUUUAUAUAUGUCAAUUUUUUAUAAUUAUUAAUGACAUACAUAUAAAUUAAUCAAUUAAUAGUGUGUCUCUCAUAGAUGAUAUUGACAGUAGCGGAGUCAGAAAAUGUUUUUGAAAGACCGGAAUUAAUGUAAAAAUAUAUAAUUUAAAUAAUUUAAUAGCUUUUAUAAUAUUUAAAAUAUUAAAUCAAAAUUUUUUAUCAUUUUAAAGAAGAACAAAGUAUAAUUUUACUUUUAUUAAUUUAAAAUUUUAUAAAUUAUAAAAAUUAUAUAUGAAACCGGAUACUGUCAGCCCCUAUGACUAUGUAAGCCUUGAAAACAUCCUUCCUUAUUGAAUGUCUUUUUCUACUUUGGCAGUGGUGUGCUUUCUUUGAUUCUAGCAGCUCCUUUUAAAUAAAAUUUCCAAAAAUAAUAGAUAUUAUAUGAGGAAUAGUUGGUUGAAGAAAGAAACAGCAAAAAAAUAAAAAAAUUGGCAAAUGACCUUUCAAGAGCUGCAUUUAAUACAUGGAUACUUAAUAAUUCAUUUAUUUAAGGGUAAACUAUAAAAAUAGUCACUUUUGUUUACCUCAGAUUACAUUUUAGUCACUUAUGCUUGAAACGUUACGGUUUAGUCACUUACGUUUUCGUUUUGUUACGAAGCAGUCACUCUACCGUUAAGCUUUGUUACCUCCCUAACAGUGGUCCUACAUGGUAGUCCAAAUGAGUUUUAAAUGCCAACUUGAAUGUCCUACAUGACAGUCCAAAUUAAAUUUAUUUAAUUACAAACUUAUUUUCAUCCCAGCAAAUAGACAUCCAAGUUAACAUUUAAAACCCAUUUGGAUUGCCACGUAGGACUAACGUUAGGGAGGUAAUGGAGUUUAACGGUAGAGUGACCACUUCGUAACAAAACGAAAACGUAAGUGACUAAGACAUAACAUUUCAAACAUAAGUGACUAAAAUGUAAUCUGAGGCAAACAAAAAUGACUAUUUUUAUAAUUUACCCUUUAUUUAAUAAAUUAUUUUAGGGACCGAACAUAUAUCUUUUUCAUUUCGUCGAAAAUCAAUUUUACAGUAUAAACUCCUACGACCUCCCCUCCUAUACCAUGUAGUAAUGAUUCCUCUAACAAUUUCUCAAUUCAAUAAAAGAAAAAAGAAAAGAGGGUCUUAAAUAAUGAGAGAUAUGUAAAAAGGAACUCCUUUUUUACUUUCUAGUUUAUUUUCUAUUUUAGUAUUUUUUUUACAUCUAAAUUAUAUAGAAUUUUUUAUAUAGAUAUAAAUUUUAAAAUGAAUGAUUAAAAUAGGGAAAUGCUGUUGAGCAAAUAAAAUAUUUUAUGAUUGAAGUUAUUGAAUACUCAAGUAGUGUUACCUUAUAAAUCUCUCAUGUCUUCUGAGAAACAAAAUAACAAAUUAUAUUUCUAAUCUCAUUCCAAAGCAGUCUUAAUCAUAAACUUUGUUCCCACUUUGUUUGUUUUCUUUCAAAAGUUAGACAGAAACUAUGAACUUCUCCACUCUUCAUAAUUCACAAAACAAAUCCCAGUCUACCAUUAUUAACUAAAUCUGUAUUAACUAAUCUCAAUUUCCUAAUCCAACACUGUUUUCUCUUUUUUCAUUUCUUUAAAAACUGUUCCAUUUUUAUACUAUAUUACUCCAUUAUAUUGUGGUCAAGUGAAACAAAAGUAAAAUGUAGUGUAUUUUAAAAAUAAUAUAUAUUUAUUAUAAUUCGGGCCGGCCGGGCUGGGCCCAGGCCAAAAAAGUUUUGCUCAAGGCCCAGCUCAUUUUCUAAAUGGGCCCCUUUUUUUAUCCAAACUCAUACUUCGGGCCUAUAUUUUUACCCGAACCCUCCCAGAACACCUCUAAUUUGCACCAAUUCAUCCCAUUUAAUGCAAACAUAUUAAAUAUUUAUAUGUCCAUAAAAGAGUAUGGUUGGAAAGGCAUUUCGACUACUAGAAAGAAUGAAGGAGAAGAGGAUUCUGGUUGUGUUGGAUGAUAUUUGGGAAAAGUUAGAUAUUGAGGAAGUAGGGAUUCCUUUGGGAGAUGAACACAAGGGAUGCAAGUUGCUGUUAACUUCUAGAGAGCUCAAUGUUUUAGUAAAUGGGAUGGAUGCUCAGAAAAAUUUUCCCAUUGGGUUUUUAAACGAAAAGGAAGCCUGGGACCUGUUCAAGAAGAUGGCUGGAAACUGUGAUGAAAGUUGCGAUUUGAAGCCUAUAGCUAUGGAGAUAGCCAAAAAUGUGCAGGAUUGCCAAUAGCCAUUGCGACAGUUGCAGGGGCUUUGAGAAACAAAAGGUUGUUUGAAUGGAAGAAUGCUUUACGAGAACUGGAGAGGCCUUCUUCAAGCAACUUCACGGGGAUAACUGCGGCACAUUCAGCUAUAGAGUGGAGUUUUAAUUAUUUAGAAAGCGAGGAAGUUAAGCUGACUUUCUUGCACUGCAGUGUAAUAGGCCAUAAUGGUCUCGUUGAGGACUUGGUAAGAUAUACUCCAGGUUUGGGUUUAUUUGAUGGUCUCAAAACUAUGGAAGAAGCUAGAAAUAAAGUAUUGACGGUUGUGGCUAAUCUCAAAGCGUCUGCCUUGUUGCUUGAUAGUUAUGAUGAUGAGCGCUUUGAUAUCCAUGAUGUUGUUUGGGAUGCUGCUUUAGCUAUUGGAUUGAAGGACUAUCGUAUGAUUGUUUUGAGAGAUCAUGUUCCAAAGGAGUGGUCCGAUAAGGAGAAAAUGAAUAGGUGGAGUGUGAUCAGCUUACGUUGUCCUCGGAUUAUAGCUAACCUUCCAAAGGAGAUGGAGUGUUCAGGUCUUUCCUUCUUCCAUAUGGCCGGUGCAGUUAAAAUUCCUCCUAAGUUUUUCAAACAAACCGAAGGCCUCAAAGUCUUAGAUUUGUUCGGAAUGCAGUUUCCAUCCCUACCUGAAUCAAUUAUUCACCUCACGGACCUUCACAUGUUGUGUCUAAAAGAAUGUGCAGUUGAUGACAUAACCAUCCGUGGAGAGCUCAAGAAUUUAGAAAUCCUCGACCUUUCUAAGUCAGGUAUCAAAGAACUACCUAUGGAGAUGGCACAAUUGACUCAAUUAAGGUUGUUAGAUUUUAGUUGGUGUACAAAACUCGAAAUCAUCCCACCAAAUGUCUUAUCAAGUUUGUCUAAAUUAGAAGAAUUAUAUAUGGGUGGAAGCUUUGUUGAAUGGGAAAAGGAAUGAGUAGUUGAAACUGAGAGCAAAAAUGCAAGCCUUGACGAAUUAAACAAUUUGCCUUGUCUAACUACUUUAUAUGUUCAUAUUCUUGAUGCUUAAAUGAUUCCAAAGCAUCAAUUCGUUGAGACAUUGGACAAAUACAAUAUUUGUGUAGGUGAUUAUAAUAGGUUUGUAUGGGUCCAAAAUAAUGAAUUUUCAAGAACAUUGAAGCUCAAGUUAUGUACAAACAUUUAUUUGGAGAAUAGGUUGAAAAUGUUGCUGAUAAAAACAGAAGACUUGCGCCUAGAGGGACUUGAAGGCAUCAAAAAUGUAUUUGUGGAGUUAAAUAAUGAGAAAGAUCUUCCACAUUUAAAGCGACUUCAUGUCAAAAAUGGUAUGCAUGUCCAAUAUAUCAAAAUGGACAAAAUUGAGUUUUCUGAAUUAUACUUCAUCAAACUUAAAAAUCUACCGUAACUCAUUAGCUUUUGCUCUCAAGACGAAAGGUGUUCCAUGAGUUCCAAGUUACUACAACUUUUCAAUAAACAGGUAUUUGCUUGGCUUUAUUCAUAUUUUCUUAUACAAUUUUUAUUUAUAUGCCCAUUGUUUCAUAAUACUUCUAAUAAUAAAAAUAAAUAAUAUUAUGUAAUAGUUUUCGGGGCUCAAAAAUAAAUUUCAAACUCAAAACAUAUGGAAAUUUAAUUUCUAAUCCAAACUUAUUGAAAGUCCAAAAUCAAUUCAAUACUCAAAAUUUAAACCCAACAAUGUUUUUUUUUUAAAUUCUGAAAAUGAAAUUGGAACCCACAAUUCGAACUGAAAUUGUCUUUCAAAUCGAAAAUCAUAUUUCCAAAUUUAUGUUACUAUCUUUCCCUUUCCCCUCCUUUUAGAUUUUUAAGAGAAAAAAAGAAUUGUGUGUAAAUAUGUGCAAUUUGUUUUCCAUCACUUGGAAAGCUUGUAAUUGUGUUCCAUUAACACCAAAAUAAUAUGGCACAACCAGACAUGUCAUUUAUUGGAUUACGAAUUUGAGGAGCUUGAUCAUCAAAGGAUGCGGCAAGUUGGAGCAUCUGUUAUCACCCUCUCUUGCUAGAAGUCUGGUGCAGCUCCAAUGCUUUAAGAUAGAGGAUUGCAAGUGCUUAAGGGACAUAAUACUUAUAGAGGAAAUUGAAGAAGAAAGGAAAGAUGUGAUUUGUUUCCCUCGAUUAAACUCCCUGUGUAUAGAUGGUCUUCCAAACCUCAUCUUCUUCAGCUCAGGAAACCAUAAUAUCGAGUUCCCAUUGUUGGAAGAGCUAUGGAUUGAGCGUUGCCCCAAUUUUAUGGAAUUCAUUAGUCAGAGUAGCAAUGAGUCUGGCAUGCACGCUCUCUUCAGUGAGAAGGUGAUUUAUUUCAUUACUCUUAGGCUCUUAUAUAAUUCUGUUGAUUUGUCCUUGUUAUUUUGUCGGGCAUUAUAUGAGCUAACUUUUGUACCGGCACGAAUUAUAUGUAGGUUGCAUUUCCUAGGUUGGAAAAGAUAACAAUCAACAAGUUGAGAAAUGUGAAAAUGAUGUUUCAUAAUAACUUUGCACCAGGUUCUUUUCAAAAUCUACGAGAAAUAAGAGUUGAGGGAUGUGGGAGUCUGAAAAAUCUAUUUCUAGUGUCAAUAGCCAAAGAUCUUCCACAACUUGAAGAUUUAUGCAUCACUAAUUGUGGAGUGGAGGAGAUUGUAUCGAAAGGGGAAGGAGUGGAGGAGCAGCCUGUGAGGUUUUAAUUUCCGCUAGUGUCUUCCCUUGAGGAUACAUCCCUAAAAGAGCUCCAAUGUUUCUAUGAAGCGCAACAUACAAUAGUCUGGCCCAUGUUGAAAAAUUUGAAAACAGAUUGUUCUGCUUUGCUAAAGAUAGUGGCUUCGGAACAUCUUAGAUUAAUCCAAGGAAAUGAGCAGCCAGUUUUGUUGGUUGAAGAGGUAUGUAUAUCAUUACAACUAUAUUUCUUUUCAUGAUUUAAGCCACCGUCACAUCCAUCUCUUGUUGAUAUAUAUAUUAUUUGAAACGGUGGUUGCUUAUCCAUUUUAAUUCGGAUUUUUUAUGCACUUCUUUCAGCUUAUUUUUAUCAUUUUUUAUUUCUAAGGUAUUGUGUUUCUUAAAACAAAAUAUUCAUCUAUUUUGGAUUGGUUUGAUUUAAUAUUGAUUUUGUUGAGAUUUAAUCAUCGAUAUCAAACACCAAAAUUGUAGAUCUUAUGUUCUUUUUAAGCAUAUAGAUCAACAUUGUGCCUAACUUGUUUAUGUUUAAUUGGUUUCAAGGUCAUUCCCAAUUUAGAGGAACUUGAGUUAUUAAAUUUUGGUGAUAUGGACCAGUUUCCACCAGCCUUGGCAAACUCGACAGCAUGCAGGCCAUGAAGACCAAGUCAUGCAGGAGCUGCUGAUACAAGCUUAUUUUGUUUAUUUUGUAAUUCCCAGUCAAUGAAAUGUAAUCUUAGUUCAUUUCUAACUAAGUUAGAUUGUUGACUGAUGUAAUUAGCUUAUGUAUGAGCUGUAAACACAACUUUGUGUAAGUUUACAAGCCAAAAUUUCAAGUUUCCAUGUCAUUAGUGGAGGUAGGUGAUGUUUAGGUAAUUACUUACUGUUUUUGACAAGCUUAGUGCCUGUUUUAUGUAUUGGCAUUGUGCCAUUAUGCAUUUUAUGAAUGAAGUUCAGUUUGUUCAUCAAUUUCUCUAUUCAUUUUUCUUAGCUUUUCUUCCUUUCUCUUGCUCGAAUUCUCUUGUUUGCUCAGCAAGUCUCGAGACUUGCUUAACAAGUUUGCACUGAAUCUGUUAGUUUCAGUUACAGCACCAACAAUUGGUAUCUAAAGCCUAUUUUCUUAAGGGACCUGUUACACAAAUCCAUGGCUUCAUCAAGCUUUUCACCAGCUGCACCUCAAGUCUUCAAUGGAGAAGGCUAUCACAUAUGGGUGGUCAAAAUGAAGACCUACCUGCAGGCUUUCGAUCUGUGGGAGGUGGUCAACUCUGAUGUUGAACCAGAGCCACUUAGAGCUAAUCCAACAGUGGCUCAGAUCAGGCAGCAUGCUGAUGAAAGGACCAAGAGGCACAAGACUAUGUCUUGCAUCCAGAACUCAGUGUCUGAUGUGAUUUUCACAAGGAUUAUGGCCUGUGAAUCACCAAAACAGGCCUGGGACAAGUUGCAGGAAGAGUUUCAAGGGACAGAGAGGACAAGGCAGCAACAGUUGUUAAACUUGAGGAGAGAUUUCAAGAAUUUGAAGAUGAAGGAAGAAGAAACUGUCAAGCAAUAUUCUGACAGGAUUAUGGCUGUGGUUAACAGCAUCAGGCUCCUUGGAGAGCAGUUCAAUGAAGCUAGGAUAGUGGAGAAGGUUAUAGCAACUCUGCCUGAGAGGUAUGAGGCAAAAAUCUCAUCUCUCGAGGACUCAAGGGACCUGUCCACCAUCUCCCUGACAGAGUUUAUCAAUGCUCUAUAUGCUCAAGAGCAGAGGAGAGCAAGCAGACUGGAGGAGCACCAAGAAGGUGCCUUUCAGGCAAGAACAAAUACUACCUACAAAGGCAAGAAGGCCUGGAGAGACAAGCCAAAGAAUGAUGCUGCAAGGAAAGAAGGUCAGACUUGCAAGCACUGCAGAAAGGCUGGUCAUUCAGAAGAAAAAUGCUGGUUCAAUCCAGAUGCUGUGUGUCAGCAUUGUAAGAAGAAGGGUCAUGUUGAGAGAGUCUGUAAGAGCAAGGCCAAAUCAAGGCACAAUCAGUUUCAACAGAUGAAAGCUGAGGCUCGAGUAGCUAAGGAGGACAGUGACCAAGAGAAGCAAGUUUUUGCUGUGUCAUGCUCAGCUGCUCAGGAAAGGUCCUCAUCUGGUUGGCUCCUAGACAGUGGAUGCACCAACCACAUGACACCUGAUGCUGCAAUCUUCAAGUCUUUAGACAGAAGCUGCAGAACUAAGGUCAAGAUAGGAAAUGGUCAUUUUAUUCAAGCUGAAGGCAAGGGUGAUGUGCUAAUAUGCACCCUUACAGGUACCAAAGUGAUUUCAAAUGUGCUGUUGGUGCCUGAAAUUGACAGAAACCUGCUCAGCAUAGCUCAGUUGCUGGAAAAAGGUUAUUCAGUUGUGUUUAAAGACCACCAGUGCCAAAUCAGUGAUCCAAGUGGAUCCAAACUGAUGGCAGUCCCCAUGGCUGAUAAGAGCUUUGUGGUUGACUGGACAAAGAAGUCAGACAUUGCCUACACAGCCACUUCAGAUGAAUCCAAGCUGUGGCAUCAAAGACUGGGACAUACCAACUUCAUAUCGAUGGCCCGAAUGAUCAGAGAAGACCUGGCUGAAAACUUCAUCAACUCAGUGGACCAUGAUGAUGUAUGUGAAGUAUGUCAGCUAGGAAAGCAGGCCAGACUCCCAUUUCCCUCGAAUCAAGCCUGGAGAGCCUCUGAAAAACUCCAACUGGUGCAUACUGAUGUGUGUGGCCCUAUGAAGACUAAGUCAUUAAGUGGAAACAGGUAUUUCAUACUGUUCAUUGAUGAUUUCUCGAGAUAUUGCUGGAUUUACUUCUUAAAACAGAAAUCAGAGGUGGCCACUGUGUUUUGGAAGUUCAAAACUGCUGCUGAGACUGAAACAGGCUGCAAGGUAAAGUCCAUAAGGUCUGAUAAUGGGACUGAGUACACCUCAGCUCAGUUCCAAGCCUUCUGUGAUAAGGCAGGCAUCAAACAUCAACUUACCAACACAUAUACACCUCAGCAGAAUGGGGUAAGUGAAAGGAAGAAUAGGAGUUUGAUGGAUAUGGCCAGGUGCUUGAUGAUUCAGAAGAAUCUGCCUAAAGCACUAUGGGCAGAAGCAGUUAACACUGCAACAUACAUUCAAAAUAGACUUCCAACCAAGGCUUUGGAUCAAAAGACCCCAUUCGAGGCCUGGUUUAGCUUCAAGCCAUCACUGGCUCAUCUGAAGGUCUUUGGAUGCAUCUGUUAUGCACAUGUACCUGCUGUUAAAAGGGACAAAUUGUCUGAAAGGGCUCGACCUGGUGUUUUGGUGGGCUAUAGCACUGUUAAUAAGGGCUAUAGGAUUUUAGAUCCUUCAACAAACAAAGUGUCAGUAAGCAGGGAUGUGGUAUUUGAUGAGAGGUCAUGUUGGAACUGGGAAAGACAUGAACCUGAAGAAGUUUCUGAAGAACUUGCAACAGACCAAGCUGAGCCAGACCAAAAUGUCCCUGAAAUGGAUAUUGAUGAUGAACCAGUCAGAGGAACAAGGCCAUUGGCUGAAAUUUAUGAAAGGGCUCAUGUAGCCAUAGCUGAACCAAACAACUUUGAAGAGGCUGAGGCUCAGCAAGGGUGGAAGCAGGCAAUGGCUGAGGAGAUCAGCAUGAUUGAGAAGAACCAGACCUGGGAAUUGGUUGAAAGGCCAGUCAAAAGGAAGGUGAUUGGGGUGAAAUGGGUGUACAAAGCCAAGCAGAAUGCUGAUGGUACCUUGAACAAGCUGAAAGCAAGGCUAGUUGUCAAGGGGUUCAGUCAGAGGUAUGGCUUGGACUACCUGGAGACCUUUGCACCAGUGGCCAGGCUCGACACCAUCAGACUGCUGAUUGCCUUAGCAGCACAGCUCGAAUGGAAGAUCCAUCAACUUGAUGUGAAAUCAGCCUUUCUGAAUGGUUUCUUAGAUGAAGACAUCUAUGUUGAACAACCACAAGGGUUUGAAAUAGCUGGCAGAGAGCAUAUGGUCUACAAACUGAAGAAGGCCCUAUAUGGAUUAAAACAGGCUCCAAGGGCUUGGUAUAGCAGAAUCGAUGGCUACUUGACUGAUCUGGGAUUCGAUCGAAGCAAGAGUGAGCCAACAAUGUAUGUCAAGAAACAAGGGACACAAAUACAACUCAUUGUGUCCCUGUAUGUUGAUGAUCUUCUGGUGAUAGGAGGAGAUCGAGUAGUGCUGGCUGAUUUCAAGACCAAGAUGCAGGAAGUGUUUGAAAUGUUUGAUCUUGGGGAGAUGUCAUACUUUCUUGGAAUGGAAGUGUCUCAAGUACAGAAUGAGAUAUUUCUAAGCCAGAGAAGCUUUGCCACAAAGAUUCUGACCAAGUUCUCCAUGCAAAACAGCAAGGCAACUAAAACACCUGUUGCUGUUGGAGAAAAACUAUCGAGCCAAGGUGAUUUUAAGAAAGUUUAUGAAACAACCUACAGGAGUCUAGUUGGUUGCUUGCUAUACUUGACUGCCACUAGACCAGACAUCAUGUAUGCUGUAGGAUUACUCUCAAGGUUCUUGCAUUGCUGCAAUGAGAAGCAUUUCCAAGCUGCAAAAAGAGUGCUGAGAUAUGUCAAAGGCACUUUAAACUAUGGUUUGAAGUACAGCAAAGAAGGAAAUCUGAAGCUGGUUGGCUACACUAAUAGUGACUGGGCUGGCUCGAUAGAUGACAUUAAAAACACCUCAGGGUAUGCUUUUAACCUUGGUUCAGCCAUGUUUUGCUGGAGCUCAAAGAAGCAAAGUCUAGUAGCUCAAUCUACUGCUGAAGCAGAGUAUGUGGCAACAGCAAGUGCUGUCAACCAAGCCAUAUGGCUAAGGAAAAUAUUGGCUGACUUGAAUGUGCAUCAAGAGGAAGCUACUGAGAUCUUCUGUAACAACCAAUCUGCAGUAGCAAUUGCUAAAAAUCUAGUGUUCCAUGGAAGAACAAAACAUUUCAGCAUCAAGUUGCAUGUUGUUCGAGAAAUGGAGCAAGCUCAGGAAGUAAAGCUGAUCCACUGUAAUUCAGAGGAUCAACUUGCAGACAUUUUAACCAAAGCCCUUAGUGUCACAAGGUUCGAAUGUCUAAGAAAGAAGCUAGGUGUUUGCUCUAUGCAAACCAAGGAGGAGUGAUGAAGUUGGUUCAGCAUGCAGCAAACUCGACAGCAUGCAGGCCAUGAAGACCAAGUCAUGCAGGAGCUGCUGAUGCAAGCUUAUUUUGUUUAUUUUGUAAUUCCUAGUUAAUGAAAUGUAAUCUUAGUUCAUUUCUAACUAAUUUAGAUUGUUGACUGAUGUAAUUAGCUUAUGUAUGAGCUGUAAACACAACUUUGUGUAAGUUUACAAGCCAAAAUUUCAAGUUUCCAUGUCAUUAGUGGAGGUAGGUGAUGUUUAGGUAAUUACUUACUGUUUUUGACAAGCUUCGUGCCUGUUUUAUGUAUUGGCAUUGUGCCAUUAUGCAUUUUAUGAAUGAAGUUCAGUUUGUUCAUCAAUUUCUCUAUUCAUUUUUCUUAGCUUUUCUUCCUUUCUCUUGCUCGAAUUCUCUUGUUUGCUCAGCAAGUCUCGAGACUUGCUUAACAAGUUUGCACUGAAUCUGUUAGUUUCAGUUACAGCACCAACAGUUUUUGAAGUGCGUGGUGGUGGUGGCUCUCGAUCUUCUAUAUUUCCUUUCGUUCGAAGAUUUUACAAUUUGGAUAGUUUUAGGCUUCCUUCGAAGAUUUUACAGUUUGGAUAGUUUUAGGCUUCGUGAUUUUGAUUUCAAAUAUGUAGUCCCUUGUAAAGGACACGUUGGGACUCUCACACCAAUUAGAAAUCUGAUAUUGAAUCGUGCCAUAAAUCUUAAACAUAUAUGGAGGAAAGAUUCGGAGUUUGACUAUAUUCUUUCUAAUCUUCAAACACUCAAAGUUCAUAAUUGUGAUGAUUGGAUAAAUAUUACAGUCUCCUCAUCUUUACAAAAUCUCACGACUUUGAAUGUGUCAUUUUGUCAUUUUUUUUUAGGAUGAAUUCUAUGAGGGAGACUAUUUGAACAUCUCUGACACAUUUCCCAAGUCAAUAGAAAUAUGGAUUAGAAACCCUCAAGAAAUUUUGGAAUUCAAAAACCUUGUUUCGUUGCAUUUUUAUAAAUGUAGUAGCUUGAAGUACAUAUUUACUUCGUCUAUGCUUUUGAGCCUCAAUCAACUACAAGUGAUAAAAGUAAAAGAAUGCAGUUCAAUGGAACAAGUGGUUAGGGAGGAAGCAAUGACAGAUAAAUUCACAUUUCUUGCACUCUUCUCCAUAAGAAUUGAGUUGUGUUCCAACUUGACAAAUUUCUAUUUGGGAAGUCAAGCUCUUGAAUUUCCACAGCUGAGAAAUAUCACGAUAGCUGAGCGUCCAAAAAUGACUACAUUUUCUUUCUCAGUUUCAAGAGGAAGUGGUGAUGCAAGUGAAAACGUGGUUGGCGAGGGGGGCGCCUAUGAUAACCCUGCAAUAUUUUUCAGCAAUAAGGUAAGUUUAGUAUUCAAUAUUUAUCUGCACAACUUAUUUCACGUUUUCCUUUUAUUUGAUUAAUUUAUAUGAGUGUGUCUGGUCUAUAUAUAUAUUAGUAUUAAUGUCACGUGAUACGUGUUGUAAAAAAUUAAUAUAAUAAAAUCCAUAAAAAUAUUAAUAAAUAAGAUAAUGUUUUUUAAUUUGAAGUUUAAAGUAUAAAUAAAUAUAUAAAAUAAGAAUAAAGGAAAAACUUAAAAGUGAAAUACUAAUAAACAAUAAGAAUUUAAGAGAAGUUUUAAAGUUAAAUACUAAUGGACAAUAAAUAAUAAAAUAAUAAUAGAAAAUAAAAUAAAAAACUAAUCUUCAUAUAUUUUAAUUUGAAGAAUAUUUGAUGUACUAGCGGUACACAAGCUUCAUGUAUCAUCGGUGAAUAAGAACAUACAAUUAUCAUUAAAUACCACAAAAAUAUAGUAAAGGGUUUAUAAAUAAAUACUAAUAAAUUUAUCUAAACAUAAUUAAAUAAAAAUUAAUUGUAAUUAAAUAUCAAAACCCUAAAUCCUAAACUUGAAAUUCUAAGCCCUUAAACAUAAGAUCUUAAAUCCGAAAGUUAUUAAUAUUUAUUUAUAAUAGCUACGACUAAGGUUAAAUAAAUUUUUCAUCUCUUUUUGCUUUUGAACUUACAUUUUUAUCAAAUCACCUCAAAAUGAAAGAGAAAGUUUAUAUUUGUUAACUUCACUUAUGUGACAAUCCAUGUGUAUGCAAAGUUAGCAAUUAAUUAAUUUUUAAAAUAUUGUAUAUAUUUUUAAAUAUUUUUAUAAAAUUUUCAAAAUAAAAUAAAAAUUAAUUGUUGACAUGUCAUCUACAGCCAAUCCAGUGUAUAUAACAUCAGCAAAGUUAACAAAUGUCAAUUUUUUUUCUCUACUUUGAAUGAUUUGACAAAUAACACAAGUUCAAAGGAUAAAAGAAAUAAAAAUAAAAAUAGAGAGCUAAAAUGAAAAUUUUUUUUUUAUAAAGUUGGGGGUUAAAUAAAUUAUCUAUGCCUAAGUCUUUUUUAAGGUAACUCAUUAAAUAACUUAAGUAAUUAAUGUAAAUCAUUAAUGGAAACUACAUAAAUAUGUGAGUCCAACUUAGUUAGAAACAAGCAUAUUCCCCUAUUCAAUCGCAUCAAUAAUAAUCAUUCAACAAUCAUUAUAGUAUAUAUGAAAGCUCCAAGUUGUAUAGAAAAAGGCUUCUUUCUUUAAAAAAAAAUUUGCUUUAGGUUAGAUUUAUGCUGCUGAACAUUUCAACUAAACAAAAAAGGUCCACGUCUGCUAGCUAUAUUUAUCAGUUUAUAAAUCUUCAUACUCAUCUACUCUUUUUGAUUGUGUUUAUAAGUAAAGAAGGAAGAGUUAUGAUGUUAUCUUAUAAUGAAAUUUAUGUCAACAGGUUGUCAUUCCUCCUUUGCAGCAUCUGGAAUUGUCCGUCGUUAACAUUCAUGAGAUAUGGCACCACCCAUCCUCCCCAUCUGUCGGAUGUCUAAAUUCCUUGCAAGUGAAGAGGUGUCACAAUUUGAAAUACCUGUUCCCGUCUUUCUUGGUAAAAGAUCUUGUGCAACUCCGACGCCUUGAAAUUUUGGACUGUAAUAUGAUGGAACAAGUAAUAUUCACGGAUGGAUUGGUUGAAGAACAUCAAGGGAGGAAUCAGAUGUUUUUCUCUGAACUAGAAUUGCUGUGGCUAAAAGAACUUCCCAAACUCACAAGUUUAUGCUUUGGGAAUUGCUUUGAAUUCCAAUGUUUGACAGAUUUAGAACUAACAAAUUGUCCAUUGCUUAAAACAUUCAUCACUAAAUGUGUAUCUGAAGAUGAACCUAAAAUUGGCCAACAUGUACAAGCGAGUAACUUGGAGGUUCAUAACUCAUCUCUCCUCAAUGAAAAGGUCAUUUCUUUAUGGGUUCUCCUUUUAAUUUGUGUUGCUUCCAUUGCUCUUAUUCAUUUGAAGUUCUUUCUUUUCCAUGCAUAUUUCAGUUAUUAACCUAAUGAAAUGAUUUAGCAGGUUGUUUUCCCUAGUUUGGAGAAUGAUGAAGUUGGUUCAGCAUGCAGCAAACUCGACAGCAUGCAGGCCAUGAAGACCAAGUCAUGCAGGAGCUGCUGAUGCAAGCUUAUUUUGUUUAUUUUGUAAUUCCUAGUCAAUGAAAUGUAAUCUUAGUUCAUUUCUAACUAAGUUAGAUUGUUGACUGAUGUAAUUAGCUUAUGUAUGAGCUGUAAACACAACUUUGUGUAAGUUUACAAGCCAAAAUUUCAAGUUUCCAUGUCAUUAGUGGAGGUAGGUGAUGUUUAGGUAAUUACUUACUGUUUUUGACAAGCUUCGUGCCUGUUUUAUGUAUUGGCAUUGUGCCAUUAUGCAUUUUAUGAAUGAAGUUCAGUUUGUUCAUCAAUUUCUCUAUUCAUUUUUCUUAGCUUUUCUUCCUUUCUCUUGCUCGAAUUCUCUUGUUUGCUCAGCAAGUCUCGAGACUUGCUUAACAAGUUUGCACUGAAUCUGUUAGUUUCAGUUACAGCACCAACAAUUGGUAUCUAGAGCCUAUUUUCUUAAGGGACCUGUUACACAAAUCCAUGGCUUCAUCAAGCUUUUCACCAGCUGCACCUCAAGUCUUCAAUGGAGAAGGCUAUCACAUAUGGGUGGUCAAAAUGAAGACCUACCUGCAGGCUUUCGAUCUGUGGGAGGUGAUCAACUCUGAUGUUGAACCAGAGCCACUUAGAGCUAAUCCAACAGUGGCUCAGAUCAAGCAGCAUGCUGAUGAAAGGACCAAGAGGCACAAGACUAUGUCUUGCAUCCAAAACUUAGUGUCUAAUGUGAUUUUCACAAGGAUUAUGGCCUGUGAAUCACCAAAACAGGCCUGGGACAAGUUGCAGGAAGAGUUUCAAGGGACAGAGAGGACAAGGCAGCAACAGUUGUUAAACUUGAGGAGAGAUUUCGAGAAUUUGAAUAUGAAGGAAGAAGAAACUGUCAAGCAAUAUUCUGACAGGAUUAUAGCUGUGGUUAACAGCAUCAGGCUCCUUGGAGAGCAGUUCAAUGAAGCUAGGAUAGUGGAGAAGGUUAUAGCAACUCUGCCUGAGAGGUAUGAGGCAAAAAUCUCAUCUAUCGAGGACUCAAGGGACCUAUCCACCAUCUCCCUGACAGAGUUGAUCAAUGCUCUAUAUGCUCAAGAGGAGAGGAGAGUGAGAAGACUGGAGGAGCACCAAGAAGGUGCCUUUCAGGCAAGAACAAAUACUGCCUACAAAGGCAAGAAGGCCUGGAGAGACAAGCCAAAGAAUGAUGCUACAAAGAAAGAAGGUCAGACUUGCAAGCACUGCAGAAAGGCUGGUCAUUUAGAAGAAAAAUGCUGGUUCAAUCCAGAUGCUGUGUGUCAGCAUUGUAAGAAGUAGGGUCAUGUUGAGAGAGUCUGUAAGAGCAAGGCCAAAUCAAGGCACAAUCAGUUUCAACAGAUGAAAGCUGAGGCUCGAGUAGCUAAGGAGGAGUGUGACCAAGAGGAGCAAGUUUUUGCUGUGUCAUGCUCAGCUGCUCAGGAAAGGUCCUCAUCUGGUUGGCUCCUAGACAGUGGAUGCACCAACCACAUGACACCUGAUGCUGCAAUCUUCAAGUCUUUAGACAGAAGCUGCAGAACUAAGGUCAAGAUAGGAAAUGGUCAUUUUAUUCAAGCUGAAGGCAAGGGUGAUGUGCUAAUAUGCACCCUUACAGGUACCAAAGUGAUUUCAAAUGUGCUGUUGGUGCCUGAAAUUGACAGAAACCUGCUCAGCAUAGCUCAGUUGCUGGAAAAAGGUUAUUCAGUUGUGUUUAAAGACCACCAGUGCCAAAUCAGUGAUCCAAGUGGAUCCAAACUGAUGGCAGUCCCCAUGGCUGAUAAGAGCUUUGUGGUUGACUGGACAAAGAAGUCAGACAUUGCCUACACAGCCACUUCAGAUGAAUCCAAGCUGUGGCAUCAAAGACUGGGACAUGCCAACUUCAUAUCGAUGGCCCGAAUGAUCAGAGAAGACCUGGCUGAAAACUUCAUCAACUCAGUGGACCAUGAUGAUGUAUGUGAAGUAUGUCAGCUAGGAAAGCAGGCCAGACUCCCAUUUCCCUCGAAUCAAGCCUGGAGAGCCUCUGAAAAACUCCAACUGGUGCAUACUGAUGUGUGUGGCCCUAUGAAGACUAAGUCAUUAAGUGGAAACAGGUAUUUCAUACUGUUCAUUGAUGAUUUCUCGAGAUAUUGCUGGAUUUACUUCUUAAAACAGAAAUCAGAGGUGGCCACUGUGUUUUGGAAGUUCAAAACUGCUGCUGAGACUGAAACAGGCUGCAAGGUAAAGUCCAUAAGGUCUGAUAAUGGGACUGAGUACACCUCAGCUCAGUUCCAAGCCUUCUGUGAUAAGGCAGGCAUCAAACAUCAACUUACCAACACAUAUACACCUCAGCAGAAUGGGGUAAGUGAAAGGAAGAAUAGGAGUUUGAUGGAUAUGGCCAGGUGCUUGAUGAUUCAGAAGAAUCUGCCUAAAGCACUAUGGGCAGAAGCAGUUAACACUGCAACAUACAUUCAAAAUAGACUUCCAACCAAGGCUUUGGAUCAAAAGACCCCAUUCGAGGCCUGGUUUAGCUUCAAGCCAUCACUGGCUCAUCUGAAGGUCUUUGGAUGCAUCUGUUAUGCACAUGUACCUGCUGUUAAAAGGGACAAAUUGUCUGAAAGGGCUCGACCUGGUGUUUUGGUGGGCUAUAGCACUGUUAAUAAGGGCUAUAGGAUUUUAGAUCCUUCAACAAACAAAGUGUCAGUAAGCAGGGAUGUGGUAUUUGAUGAGAGGUCAUGUUGGAACUGGGAAAGACAUGAACCUGAAGAAGUUUCUGAAGAACUUGCAACAGACCAAGCUGAGCCAGACCAAAAUGUCCCUGAAAUGGAUAUUGAUGAUGAACCAGUCAGAGGAACAAGGCCAUUGGCUGAAAUUUAUGAAAGGGCUCAUGUAGCCAUAGCUGAACCAAACAACUUUGAAGAGGCUGAGGCUCAGCAAGGGUGGAAGCAGGCAAUGGCUGAGGAGAUCAGCAUGAUUGAGAAGAACCAGACCUGGGAAUUGGUUGAAAGGCCAGUCAAAAGGAAGGUGAUUGGGGUGAAAUGGGUGUACAAAGCCAAGCAGAAUGCUGAUGGUACCUUGAACAAGCUGAAAGCAAGGCUAGUUGUCAAGGGGUUCAGUCAGAGGUAUGGCUUGGACUACCUGGAGACCUUUGCACCAGUGGCCAGGCUCGACACCAUCAGACUGCUGAUUGCCUUAGCAGCACAGCUCGAAUGGAAGAUCCAUCAACUUGAUGUGAAAUCAGCCUUUCUGAAUGGUUUCUUAGAUGAAGACAUCUAUGUUGAACAACCACAAGGGUUUGAAAUAGCUGGCAGAGAGCAUAUGGUCUACAAACUGAAGAAGGCCCUAUAUGGAUUAAAACAGGCUCCAAGGGCUUGGUAUAGCAGAAUCGAUGGCUACUUGACUGAUCUGGGAUUCGAUCGAAGCAAGAGUGAGCCAACAAUGUAUGUCAAGAAACAAGGGACACAAAUACAACUCAUUGUGUCCCUGUAUGUUGAUGAUCUUCUGGUGACAGGAGGAGAUCGAGUAGUGCUGGCUGAUUUCAAGACCAAGAUGCAGGAAGUGUUUGAAAUGUCUGAUCUUGGGGAGAUGUCAUACUUUCUUGGAAUGGAAGUGUCUCAAGUACAGAAUGAGAUAUUUCUAAGCCAGAGAAGCUUUGCCACAAAGAUUCUGACCAAGUUCUCCAUGCAAAACAGCAAGGCAACUAAAACACCUGUUGCUGUUGGAGAAAAACUAUCGAGCCAAGGUGAUUUUAAGAAAGUUUGUGAAACAACCUACAGGAGUCUAGUUGGUUGCUUGCUAUACUUGACUGCCACUAGACCAGACAUCAUGUAUGCUGUAGGAUUACUCUCAAGGUUCUUGCAUUGCUGCAAUGAGAAGCAUUUCCAAGCUGCAAAAAGAGUGCUGAGAUAUGUCAAAGGCACUUUAAACUAUGGUUUGAAGUACAGCAAAGAAGGAAAUCUGAAGCUGGUUGGCUACACUGAUAGUGACUGGGCUGGCUCGAUAGAUGACGUGAAAAGCACCUCAGGGUAUGCUUUUAACCUUGGUUCAGCCAUGUUUUGCUGGAGCCCAAAGAAGCAAAGUCUAGUAGCUCAAUCUACUGCUGAAGCAGAGUAUGUGGCAACAGCAAGUGCUGUCAACCAAGCCAUAUGGCUAAGGAAAAUAUUGGCUGACUUGAAUGUGCAUCAAGAGGAAGCUACUGAGAUCUUCUGUGACAACAAAUCUGCAGUAGCAAUUGCUAAAAAUCCAGUGUUCCAUGGAAGAACAAAACAUUUCAGCAUCAAGUUGCAUGUUGUUCGAGAAAUGGAGCAAGCUCAGGAAGUAAAGCUGAUCCACUGUAAUUCAGAGGAUCAACUUGCAGACAUUUUAACCAAAGCCCUUAGUGUCACAAGGUUCGAAUGCCUAAGAAAGAAGCUAGGUGUUUGCUCUAUGCAAACCAAGGAGGAGUGAUGAAGUUGGUUCAGCAUGCAGCAAACUCGACAGCAUGCAGGCCAUGAAGACCAAGUCAUGCAGGAGCUGCUGAUGCAAGCUUAUUUUGUUUAUUUUGUAAUUCCUAGUCAAUGAAAUGUAAUCUUAGUUCAUUUCUAACUAAGUUAGAUUGUUGACUGAUGUAAUUAGCUUAUGUAUGAGCUGUAAACACAACUUUGUGUAAGUUUACAAGCCAAAAUUUCAAGUUUCCAUGUCAUUAGUGGAGGUAGGUGAUGUUUAGGUAAUUACUUACUGUUUUUGACAAGCUUAGUGCCUGUUUUAUGUAUUGGCAUUGUGCCAUUAUGCAUUUUAUGAAUGAAGUUCAGUUUGUUCAUCAAUUUCUCUAUUCAUUUUUCUUAGCUUUUCUUCCUUUCUCUUGCUCGAAUUCUCUUGUUUGCUCAGCAAGUCUCGAGACUUGCUUAACAAGUUUGCACUAAAUCUGUUAGUUUCAGUUACAGCACCAACAGAGAAGUUGCGGAUUCAGAAUUGUGAUUCGUUAGAACAAAUUAUUGAGCUGCAAGGAGUCAUUGCUGAUGAGUCACAGUCAACAUCAGCUGCUCAAUCUAUUAUGGCUGAAACAGAGACGACCAAGUUUGUAUUUCCCAAACUAAUAAACCUCGGAUUGGAUAAGGUGCCGAGAUUGAAAAGUUUCUACUCUAGGAUGCAUACCACCCAGUGGCCUUUAUUGAAACAAAUGGACAUUAUUGAAUGCCCCAAAGUACAGAUAUUUACUCCACAAUGUCCUGAGAGUCAGGUUGGAAUCUCAAACCAACAACCCUUGUUUUGCGUUAGCGAGGUGAGCUCACUAACAGUUUCAUACUCCAUGUUCAUUACUUGAGAUUACCUAUAAAAUGCCUUUUGAAAUAACUAAUAUUCUCACCUUCCUUUUAAAUUUAUGAGAAAGAAAAUGGAAAUUAUAUUCAUUCUGUAGUCUAGUUCUUACUAAUUGAAAACUCUUUGAUCAAUGUUUAAUAUAUUCGUUGCCAUCCAGGACACUUUCCCUGUAUUAGAAGAACUAACACUGAAGACGAAUGAUAUGGUGGAGGGGAUAUGUGAUGGACAACUCUCAUUGCAGUGUUUCCAAAACCUUAAGCAUCUUAACCUCCAGUUCUUUACUGAGACAUCCACUACUCUUCCGUAUUCCUUCAUUCGGUCUCUACCAAUGCUUCAUAAGCUUGUUAUAGACAAUGCUUCCAUUUGUCAAAUAGUACAAUCUGAAGGACUCAGCGACCAGGAAAGGCAUACAUCAGCAUUCUAUCAGCUAAAGGAAUUAAGUUUGUCUCAUCUUCCAGAGUUGACGUUAAAGACUUUUGAACCAUCUUUGCUGUCUUUCAAUAAUCUAACAACACUGGAAGUUUCAAGAUGCCAUGGGUUCAUCAAUUUAAUCGUAUGCUCAACAGCUAAGUGCCUGACGCUACUGGAAAGAUUGAGCAUAGAUGAUUGUGAGAUGAUAGAGGAAAUUAUAGCGUGUGAGGCUGAAGAAAUACAAGGCGGCAUUGUAUUUCCCAAACUGAAGUAUUUGCAACUAAGCUGUCUGCCACGUCUAGCAAGCUUUUCCUUGGCCCAUCACUCGUUGGAAUUCCCAGUCUUGCUAAUGGUGAAGGUGACAAAGUGUCCCAAAAUGAGGAAUUUCUUCCAAGGAGAUUUAAGCACACCAAGGCUGGAACAAAUGCACUUAACAAGAGAUGAGGAACGUGAACUACAGUGGGAAGGCGACCUUAACACUACCAUAAAACAUAUGUUCGAUGAAAUGGUACAAAUCAUUUAAAGGAUUUAAAUUCAUGUGUUUUUACAUACAUACAUAGUUAACUAAAUAAUUCUUGGUUUGUUAUGAUCAUGCACAGAAUGUGCAAAAUUCUGAGGUGACUGAGGUUACUGAUCGGUUGCCCAAGCUGGAAUAAGGAAAUAUGUUUGGGUGCUUAUGCGAAAAGCUCAAUUUCGUUUCAAACCAAAACGAAUGGUAAUUGACCCUUCUAUUUUCAUCAUGGCUUAACUAAAGAUUUAUAAAGUGACCAUAGAGACGCCCUUUUCAUUGUAGGUUGAGUUGCUCUACUGAAGCACAUGGCUGCAUCUGUUGGUAGAACGUGAAAGGUUAUUUCAGUUUUUGUAAAACUACUAUUUGAACUGUUCCAUUUCGCAUUAUAACCUCACAAUUGUAUUUCAAGUGCAUCAUGCAUGGCAUUGGGAACUACAAACAUGUAAACUUUUACUAGUAAGCAAAAUAAAUAAAAAAAUCAUAAAUUAGAGUAUGAAAGUAAACAUAUUAAAGCAUACUUUUUGGUUUCAGAAUUUAAAUGAUUUGAGUUAAUUUGAAGCCAUAAAAAAAGAUAAAUUCAAUUAUAAAUUCUGAUAUUUGAAAAUUUUACAAUAAUAAUAAAUAAAUGCUUAAUGAAAUAAUUAAGAUUAUAAGGCAACAAGCUUAAUUAAGAGGGGUAUUUGUAAAUAUUAGUAAAAUUUACGGUAAAUAUUAUAUGAAAUAAGCAAAUUUAUGUUAUUAAUUAACCAAAUAGUUGUUUUUGGGUAAAAAAAAUGUAGUAAUAUGUUACAAUUUUUAGGGUGUUAAAUUAAUAUGAUUUGUCUUGAUUAAAUGUAUUAAAUUUAAUGUAACUAUUUUGAAUUUUAUUUCGGGAAUUGAAUUGAUCCGCAAAUCAAUAUAUUAAAAAAAUAAUAUUUUAAAUUUGGGAAGGUUUACUAGUAAUAAUGCUAUCUAUCUAUUGAUAAAAAUAUAUUAUAAUCAAAAUAAUAUUUUCAUGGUAAGCUUAGCUAUCCUUUACCGUCAACAUCCUUUAUGGGUUGCUUAGAGUAUUAUAUAUAGAUGAAGCUUUAGUUCAACACUGAUCUUAAUUUAAUAUUUUGAUUUUACAUAUUGACAGAUUAAAAUUCUUUUUGAAGUUUUAUAAGUCAGAAAUUUUUUUAUUUUGAAUAGUCAACUUACAUUUUAAUUCAUUUAGGGUGAGUUUGGAUGGGCGGUGUAUUUACCUGCGGUUAGUGUAAAAACAACGGUGGCGGUGAGAUUAGAUACUGUAGUGAUACUGUAGCGUGAGACAAAAAGUAUGCUAAACACACCACACCGCACCCAAUCGCCCAUCCAAACCUACUCUUAGUAUGUUUAAUCACUUUAGGUACAAAUAUAUUUCGUGUACCAAUCUAAUCAUGCACUAUAAUAGCUAAUUUUAAUUAUAACUUGAUGGUUGGUGGUUGUUGUUGGAUUUGGUGAACUCUCAAGUGCUCGAGUCUGUUGAUCUAAAGGUUGUGGCCUUUCAUCUUUAAUUUCAGGGUCAGCAAAGGUUUGAGAAGGUUGCUAGUCAUCCUAAUUCCAAGUGUUCUCCCCAUCAAAAAUUACGUCUUGGGUAAUCACAAUUUCUUCGUUAAAGGAUUAAACAGUUUAUAUGCUUUAGAUGUUUCACUUGCACCUAGAAAGACACACUUUUCUCCCUUGUUAUCAAGCUUCUUUCUCUUUGCAUCUGGAAUACGUGCAUAAGCAAUGUAACCAAAAAUUUUGAAGUGAUCUACCGUUGGUGGUCUCCUUCGACACCAAGCUUCUUCAGGUGUCAUGUUUUGAACAACAAAAGUUGGGCUUCUGUUCAAAACAUGGAUGCUCCAAUUUACUACUUCUAGCCAAAAUCGUUUUGGGACCCUUCCACCAGAAAGCAUGCUCCUCACCAUAUUAAGUAUGGUUAUGUUUUUCCUCUUUGAUACGCCAUUUUGUUGGGGGGUAUAUGCAGUAGUAAGCUCUUUUCGAAUGCCAUGACUCUCACGAAAUGCUUCAAAUUCCUUGGAGCAAUAUUCUCCUCCACAUUAAGUGCAAAGAGCUUGAAUGGUUUUCCCGAUUUCAUUCUCAACAAAUGCCUUGAAGCUAGUAAAUGCACUAAAUGCUUCUAAUUUCUCCUGUAAGAACUAAACUCAUGUUUUCCGAGAAUAAUCAUGAAUGAAAGUAAGGAAAUAUUUUUUUUACCUCCAUUAGAUGAUGGUUUUAUUGGCCCUUAGAUAUUUGAAUGAACCAAUUCCAGCCACGUUUUGCUCUCAAAGACUUUCCUUUGGGAAAUUGUUCACGAUUUUGUUUGCUAACAACACAAUCUUCACACACAUGGGAAAGAAUGACAAUCUGAGGAAGGUCGCUGACCAUUUCUUUCUGUCUAAGAGUCUUCAAACCCCCAAAAUUAAGAUGACCAUAGUGGAAAUGACAAAACCACGAGUCAACCUUCACUUUAGCCAUCAAGCAAGGUUUUAAAAUAUCUUUGCUUCUUCCCAAAGGUCUCAAAGCAUGUUAUGGAGUUUGAGUCUGAUUCAAUGGUUGCGUUAUGUGGCUUGGCUGUAGUUUAUUGCACCUUUGUACUUCUUUCUUUUAUGAAUAAAAUCAAUGCUUAUUAGAAAAAAAGAAAACAAAAACAAAUAGUAGAUAGCAACAAACAAAGAAAAAAAAACCUUAUGCCCCACUAACAUUUUUUUUGUACGUUUAGUCAAAAUGAAUAUAAUUAAAAAUAUUAAAUAGAUGCCAAUUGAGUUUUAGUGUAGUUGGUAUUGGUAUUAUUAACUUUGCUUAGUCCAUAUCCCCAUAAUAUGCGAUGGUCAUAUGUGACUUUUAAUCCAUUUAAUCUAAUUUGUUGGCUUUAGUACUGAUUGUACUGACUUUUAUUCUUGUUGUGGUCUAAUGAUUUGAUUCUAUUUUGUAAUUCCUUAUAUCAUUCGUGUUGUAAUAGUUUGAUACUUGUAACAAACAAAUACAAUUUAAAAAAUGGCUAGUAUUUGGUACACUGUUAGAAUAUUAUUAUGAGAUAUUAUCUUUUUGGAAUAUCUAAAUAUAUUGUAUAUUAUUAUAUAUCUUUUAAGCAUAUAUUUAGGAAUAUAUUAUCUAUCUUUCCUAUUUCUACAUGACUAUUGUUAUAUAAAUAUUAUGUAUAUUCUUGAAGCUUAUCAAUAAGAUUGAAAUGAAUUACCCUAUUCUUGUCAUGGUAUCUAAGCUUGGUGUUUAACACAAAAAAAGAGAAAAAUUUAAUCGUUUUCAAUGGCUGGUAGUGAUUCUACUUCUCCACCACCAGGGGCAAGAUAAUCAUCAGGGGAAGGGCGACACUUCUUGGUUUUACUGCUGAGCAAUGACAAUCUCUUCUGGUGGUGUUUGGUAAUACACAAUCCACUACCAAUCAGUUGAAUGGACAUUCAUUUUGAGGGGGUUGAUUAGAGCGGGUGAGAGACGAGAUGGACUUUAUUACUCUGUUGGUUAAUAAGAAUGAAGUUUUCAAGCAGGGGAGAAGGUAGAAAAUUUUUCUAAGAGGGUCGAAAUUAAAUUGUAAUUUUUAAUAGUCUAUAUUUUUAUAAUUUUUAAAGGAUUAAAUCAAAUAUUAUCAUUUUAAGGGGACUAAAGUGUAAUUUUACCUUUACUAAUUUAAAAUGUUAAAAUUUCUAAAGAGCCUAAAUGGAUGAUUUUCCAUUUUAGGGGGAUUGGGGCCUUUGCCAACCCUUUAGAUCCGCCACAGUUUUCAAGAUUUUCAUGUCAUUUAUUACUAUGAUUCAUCGUCAUUUUUCUUAAUUAAUAGAUAAAGUUUGUUAGAAGUGAUAAUGAGACUGAAUUUAAUUGCCUUCGAGAUUAUUUUCUUACAAAUGACAUUAUUUUUUCAAACAUCUUAUGUUGGUACUCCUCAAAAAAAUGGGAGAGCGAAGAGGAAACAUCAACAAAUUUUAAACGUGGCUCGUGUUUUGCGUUUUCAAGGUAAUCUGUCUACAUUGUUUUUGGGGAGUGUGUUUUGCUGCAUAUAUUUAGGAAUAUAUUAUAUAUCUUUCCUAUUCCUACAUGACUACUGUUGUAUAAAUAUUAUGUAUAUUCUUGAAGCUUAUCAAUGAGAAUGAAAGGAAUUACCCUAUUCUUGUCAUGGUAUCUAAGCUUGGUGUUUAACACAAAACAAGAGAAAAAUUUAAUCGUUUUCAAUGGCUGGUAGUGAUUCUACUUCUCCACCACCAGGGGCAAGAUAAUCAUCAGGGGGAGGGCGACACUUCUUGGUUUUACCGCUGAGCAAUGACAAUUUCUUUUGGUGGCGUUUGGUAAUACAUAAUCCACUACCAAUCGGUUGAAUGGACAUUCAUUUCGAGGGAGUUGAUUAGAGCGGAUGAGAGACGAGAUGAACUUUAUUACUUCCGGCAAGUAUCAAUGGUCAAAGUGGUUUCGAUUAAAGCUUUAUCCUCUUUGGAACUUUGGCAUAGAAGAUUGGGUCACCCUUCCGAGAAAGUAGUAAAGUUAUUUCCUUACGUUAGUAACUCUAGAGAUUAUUUGAAUAAAGCAUGCAAAAUUUGACAUCGUGUUAAACAAACAAAAAAUAGUUUUCCAGUUAAUGAACAGAAAGCCACAUGUAUUCUUGAGUUAGUUUAUUGUGAUUUAUGGGGUUUUUAUGAUACUCUUUCAUAUUGUGGAUCUCAUUAUUCUUUUACAUUGGUUGAUGAUUUCUCUUGUGCUAUUUGGGUAUAUCUAUUGGUUAAUAAGAAUGAGGUUUUCAAGCAGGGGCGAAGGUAGAAAAUUUUUCUAGGAGGGUCGAAAUUAAAUUGUAAUUUUUAAUAGUGUAUAUCUUUACAAUUUUUAAAGGAUUAAAUCAAAUAUUAUCAUUUUUAAGGGGACUAAAUUGUAAUUUUACCUUUAUUAAUUUAAAUUUUUAAAAUUUCUAAAGAGCCUAAAUGGAUGAUUUUUCAUUUUAAGGGGCUGGGCCUUUGCUAGCCCCUUAGAUCUGCCACAAUUUUCAAGAUUUUCAUGUCAUUUAUUACUAUAAUUCAUCGUCAAUUUUAUGAAUAGAUAAAGUUUGUUAGAAGUGAUAAUGAGACUGAAUUUAAUUGCCUCCAAGAUUAUUUUCUUACAUAUGACAUUAUUUUUUCAAACAUCUUAUGUUGGUACACCUCAACAAAAUGGGAGAGUAGAGAGGAAACAUCAACAAAUUUUAAACGUGGCUAGUGUUGUGCAUUUUCAAGGAAAUCCGUCUAUAUUGCUUUUGGAGAGUGUGUUUUGCUACUUUUUAUCUUAUUGAUUGAACUCUUUCACCUCUUCUUCAUCAUAAAACACCCUAUGAAAUGUUGUUUGGUAGACUUCCUUUAAUUGAUGAUUUUUGUGUGUUUGGUUGCUUAUGUUUUGUUCAUAAUUAACAUUCUAAAGGUGAUAAGUUCAAUAGUCAGAGUAAAAAAGUAUGUUUUUGUUAGCUAUCAUUUUGUCAAAAAUAAAUAAAAUAUAUUUUAAGCUAUCAUUUUGUCAAAAAUAAAUAAAAUAUAUUUUAAUAUAAGACAUUUUGGGACUGUUGGCAUGUCAUUUCUGAGUUGUUUCCACGAAAUGCAAUCGAUACAUAAAUUAAUCAUUUUGUCAAAGAUGAUAUCUAAACCUUGAAAACAUUUCCUUAUUUCUUGUCUGUUUCUACUUUGGUGGUGAUGUGCUUUGUUUGAUUCUAACUACUCCAUUAAAUAAAUCAUCCAAAAACAUAUAUUAUAUGAGGAAUAGGUGGUUGAAGAAAGAGAAAGCAAAAAUAAUAAUAAAAGAAGGAAAUUAAUUAGGAAAAUGACGUUAUAUGAAAACACUCAUACAAUUGGAUAACUCACUCACUCGACCUUUAAGAGGAGAAAAAGAAAAACCUUGUUUAUGUAAUACAUGGAUACCUAAUAAUUCAUUUAUUUAAUAACUUAUUUAUACUUUGGUAUAAGACAUUUUGGGUUGUCAUUUCUGUGCUGUUUCCAUGAAAUACAAUCCAAACUUCCUUUCCUACUUUUAAAGUAAGUAAGAAGUCGUCUUUCUCAGUUUACUACUUUCUGGCUUUGCUCUGCUAAGAAGAAAAAAACAGAAGGGGGAAAACUAUCGGUUAUUGAUCAUAGCCAAAAGGUACGCCAUCUGCUUUUCCUUUCCCUGCUUUGCUCUUACUCUUUUGAAAUAAGCUUAGGCAGGCAGGUUUAACCAUGAGAAUAGACUUCUUUUAUGCUUUAAAUCUCUAAAAAGCUCUUUAAAAUUCGUAGAAAAAAAGGGGUGAGUAUUAGGAAAGCUGCAUAAGCAUUUGUGUUUGGGAUGUACCAACAACUUGUUGCUUCAUGGUUAUUCAGAGGUUGGGUGAUUUAUCUUGUAGUCGACCACCUUUUUUUUAUUCGAUGCUUUAUUUCCAUUCAAAACUAUAUGUGGUUGGAAAGCUGGUUUGAUAGUCCACUAAAAUUAUAUGAAAAAUCAUUUAAAAAACAGAUUAAAUAUAUAAUUUUUAUAUAUUUAAAAGUGUUUGUUUAUAUAUUAUUUAGAAAUUGCUUUUAUAACAUAAUUAUUAUUUUACUAUUUUAAAUUUUGAAAUUUCAAUAUUUAAAAAUUUAACUAAUUUAAAAAAUGUGCAGCGAACUAAAAAAAACAUUAAUAAACAAAAAAAUUAGCAUAUAUAAAAAUUUAAAAUAGGAUUUGAAAUAUAUUGUUAAUAUUUUCAAUCUAAAUUUUAAAAUAUUUAAAUUAUGAAAAUAUGUUGAUUUAAAAUUAUUAUAGAACUUAUAUUCCAAAAAAAACCAUUAUAAAAAGUAUUUAUUCAAGAAAAAACUUUUUGUUUUGGCCUAUUUAUAUAGUAUUAUAAAAUGUCGAUUUUAAAAAAUUAUUAAAAAGUAAUACUAAAUAACUAAUUUAUAUAUAAAGAAAUUAUAGUUUCUUAAAAUCUGAAUUAAAAUGCUUUAAACUAAAACUAAAACUAAAACCAAAAUUUUCUUGUAUUGUAAAAUUAUUGUUAGAAAUUUUUAGUAUAACAAAAAGAUAUUAUUGAUAUUAGUCACUUAAAAACUAAAACAGUUUUAUAGACUUUAGUAAUUAUUUAUAUGAUUAAUAUUUUAACGAUUUAACCGUUUAAUUUAUCAAUAUAAUUGUACUUGUAAUGCAUGUAAAUUUUCGAACCGAUUCGAUAUCUCUAUCGUAUCGAUCUAAAAUACUCUAUAUACUAAUAUAUAAUCAACGAUUGAAAUUUUUUUACAAAACGAAUAUAGUUAGAAGUUUUAAAUUUACAUUAAAUUUGACAUGUAUAAUCUGCAUGAAUAGACUAUAAAAUAUAACAGUUGGAUCGUUAAAAUAUUAAUUAUAUAAAUAGUUAGGUAAGUGUGUAAAAUUCCUUUAGCUUUUACAUAUAUAUAAGUGGAUCCUUCUCCUUAAUGUUAAUAAAUGUUAAUUUUGUUAUCACAUAAUAUUUUAAUUAUGAAUUAAUAUUAAAAAUAAAUAAUAAAAAAAAUAUAAAUAUAAAUAGGGCGAGUAUUUGGUACACUGACAAUGUACUUUUUUUAUUCCACGAGUAAUCUUAAAAAAUUGACAUAUUUCUCUCUUUUUUAAAUAUGUUACGACACUCUUAUAAGAUAUUUGUCAACCUCCUGACCCUACUUGUAGAGUCUAAAACCUCCACUUACUAAAUAAUUUCCACAAUUUAUUAUUAAUGUUUAUUAGACAAAACACGUUAGCGAACAAAAUAAAUAAAUUAUAAAUAAAUACAUAUGAAAUAAAAUAUAAAUAGAAUGAUUUAUAAUUAAUUUAUUAAAUAUGAAUCAAAUAAAAACAUAAGAAAAAGUUGAAAUAAAGAAGAAUUGAGAUUUUACGAAACGUUGAGGCCUUUGAAACACAGUUUCCUUAAAACAUAUUCGGCCGCUCCUACAGUACUUGGAGAAAUGUUAGUCGAAAUUCUCCCAGGAUACAACAACAAAAGUAAUCAAAGUAGUAGUACAUCUACAACAAUCAACGAACAAAUUUUGUUUUUUUUAUCACCGAUAUGUAUGAAAAAUGGAGAGAAAAAGGAAGAGUUUUGAAAUGAACAGAAUUUCAUUUGAAUAUGUGUUUAAUCCUUUAGAAUACACAGCCUUUUCUAGGCAUUUAGGAUAAGGAGCCAAAAAUCAAUUUGAUUUAAAAAUUAAAUCAAAUUAGAUACUGUCCAUAUAUAAGCAGAUUAUGUCUGCUGAGGAAAAAUAAAUUCGUGUUGAGCUUAAAAUAUUCACAUGGGCCAAACCAGUUUGAACAUUUUGUGUCACCCACGUCAUACAAGUGCGCCCAACCCAAUCAGAUUUAGACCUACACCACCCCUACGCAUGAGACAAGGUUGCAAGCAUAGUUAUUCAAUUAAUUUUAGAGAGAGUUUACAUAUAAAAGCACAUCUCACACUUGAUAUUUAACCAAUGUAGGAUCUAAGCCUUUACUUUUUCUCAACAAUAUUUUCAAGUAGCUUACUUUAAGCAUCAAUUUCUCAUUCACCACUAAACCAUUUUGAGCAUAUGAUAUACCAUUGUAAAAGUCUCAUGGGGUAGAAUAUGAAACCAUAAAAUUAUGAUUCAACUCUCCACUUUUACCUAUUAAGAAUAUGCCUCAAAGUUCCCAUAAAAGUAAUUUUUCAGACAAUGUUUUUAGACUCCAUCAGUAAAGUCAAGGGAUUAACAAGUGUCCUAUAGAAAUAUAGUAAAAUAUCAAAAAAUUAAAUAUUUUAAAAAAGAGACACAUAUAAGUUUUUUAAAACGACUUGUGGAGUAAAUAAAAUAUUGUUAGUAUACCAAAUAAUCACCCAUAAAUUAUUGCUUUAAUCAAAAUAUAAGAACUAGGUAUAAUUUUGAAUUAGUUUAAAUUAAUUUAAAAGAAAUUUAAUUUAAUGAUAAAAAAAUUAUAUUUCAAAAUAAUUAGAAAGAUUUUAUUUUUUGAAUAAUAAUUAAAAACAAAUUUUUAAAAGAUGUGUUGUAAAAAUAUUCAAAGUGUAAAAAGACAAUUUAUUCCUUCAAUGCUUAGCAAAAAAUAUUCCUUAAAAAAAGAUAAUUAUUAGAAAAUAUCAUUAGAUAUAUGUCUAUAUUAAUAAAAAGUUAUCUAUUAACAAAAUCACUUUAAUUGUCAUAAAACUAAAACAUUAAUCACAUAUUUAUAAUUUUAAAAUUUUAACUCUUCAAUGGUAGUUAAGAUUAUGCAAAUGAGUUCUUUUUAAAAAAUAUAUAAGAUAAUUCAAGUUUUGGUCUUUGUUAUCGCUGUGGUUAUUCAGUUUGCUCUCUCAAUGGAGUGUGUUAUUGCCAUCGUUGGUUCUAUUGUCGCUAAAGCUGUAGAGUAUACGAUCUCUCCUAUCAAAAACCAUGUCAAAUACCUUUCCAAUCAUCAGAAAUAUGUUGAGACCCUCAAGAACCGAGCUAAUAGGCUAAAAGAUGCAAGGGACGGAGUGCAGCAUUCUGUUGAUGCAGCUAAGCGAAACGGUGAAGAGAUCGAAGGUGAUGUUGACAAAUGGCUGUCUGCAGUCGACAAAAAGAUCCUUGAACAAGUAGAGAAAGUGAUGCAAGAUGAAGAAAAAGCAAAUAAAAAGUGUUUCAUUGGUUUGUGUCCUAAUUUCAGGACUCGUUACAAGCUUAGCCUGAAAGCUGAAAAGGAGGCAAAGGCUGUUGCCGAGCUACUUGAACAUGGAAACUUUGAAAGGGUUUCCUAUCGUGCAGCUCCGAAAGGUAUCGUGGUUGCACCAGUUAAAGGUUAUGAGGAAUUCGAGUCAAGAACGUCGAUUCUGAACGGAAUAAUGGAGGCACUAAAAGAUGAUAGCGUCAGCGUUGUUGGGGUGCAUGGUAUGGGUGGGAUUGGAAAAACAACGCUGGUCAAAGAAAUCGCUAGAAAGGUCAAGGGCAAGUUGUUUGAUUCGGUUGUCAUAGCAACCGUAACUCAAGCCAUCGAUAUUGAGAAGAUUCAGAACCAAAUUGCAGACUUCUUGGGCUUGAAAUUUGAGGAACAGAGUAUGGUUGGAAAGGCAUUUCGACUACGAGAAAGAUUGAAGAAAGAGGAGAGGAUUCUGGUUGUCUUGGAUGACAUUUGGGAAAAGGUUGAUAUUGAGGAAGUAGGGAUUCCUUUGGGAGAUGAACACAAGGGCUGCAAAUUACUAUUAACUUCUAGAGAGCUCAAUGUUUUAUCAAAUGGGAUGGAUGCUCAGAAAAAUUUUCCCAUUGGGUUUUUAAAUGAAAAGGAAGCCUGGGACCUGUUCAAGAAGAAGGCUGGCGACUGUGAUGAAAGUUGCGGUUUGAAGCCUAUAGCUAUGGAGGUAGCCAAAAAAUGUGCAGGACUGCCGAUAGCCAUUGCGACAGUUGCAGGGGCUUUGAGAAACAAAAGAUUGUUUGAAUGGAAGAAUGCUUUACGAGAACUGGAGAGGCCUUCGUCAAGCAACUUCACGGGGAUAGCUGUGGCAUAUUCAGCUAUAGAGUGGAGUUUUAAUUAUUUAGAAAGCGAGGAAGUUAAGCUGACUUUCUUGCUUUGCUGUGUAAUAGGCCAUAAUGGUCUCGUUGAGAACUUGGCAAGAUAUACUUUAGGUUUGGGUUUAUUUGAUGGUGUCCACACUAUGGAAGAAGCUAGAAAUAAAGUAUUGACGGUUGUGGCUAAUCUCAAAGCGUCUGCCUUGUUGCUUGAUGGUUAUAAUGAUAAGCGCUUUGAUAUCCAUGAUGUUGUUUGGGAUGCUGCUAUAGCUAUUGCAUUGAAGGACUACCGUAUGCUUGUUUUGAGAGAUCAUGCUCCAAAGGAGUGGUCCGAUAAGGAGAAAAUGAAGAUGUGGAGUGUGAUCAGCUUACGGUGUCCUCAGAUUAUAGCUAACCUUCCUAAGGAGAUGGAGUGUUCAGGACUUUCCUUUUUCCAUAUGGCCUAUGAUGGCGCGGUUAAAAUUCCUCUCACUUUUUUCAAACAAACCGAAGGCCUCAAAGCCUUGGAUUUGGUCGGAAUGCAGUUUCCAUCCCUCCCUGAAUCAAUUAUUCACCUUGCAGACCUUCGCAUGUUGUGUCUGAAAAAAUGUGCAGUUGAUAACAUAACUAUCCUUGGAGAGCUCAAGAGUUUACAAGUACUCAACCUUUCUCAGUCAGGUAUCAAAGAACUACCUAAGGAGAUGGCACAAUUGACUCAAUUAAGGUUGUUAGAUUUGCGCUCGUGUAGAGAACUCAAAAUCAUCCCGCCGAAUGUCUUAUCAGGUUUGUCUAAAUUAGAAGAAUUAUAUAUGAGUGGGAGCUUUGUUGAAUGGGAAAAGGGAGGAGUAGUUGAAAAUGAGAGGAAAAAUGCAAGCCUUGAUGAAUUAAACAAUUUGCCUUGUCUAACUACUUUAUAUGUUCAUAUUCUUGAUGUCCAAAUGAUACCAAAACACCGGUUUGUUGAAACAUUGGACAGAUUCAGGAUUUUCGUAGGUAAUUAUGGUGAAUAUAAUUGUUUCCACAAUUAUGAAAUAUCUCCGAAAGCAUUGAAGCUCAUGUUAUAUAUAAACAAUGAAUUGGACAAUGGGAUGAAAAUGUUGUUGAUAAAGACAGAAGAUUUGUGCCUAGAGGGACUUGAAGGCGUCAAGAAUGUACUUGUGGAGUUAAAUAAUGGGAAAGAUCUUCCAAAUUUAAAGAGACUUCAUGUCAAAAAUGGUAGGCAUGUCCAACAUAUUAAAACGAACAAAAUUGGAUUUUCUGAAUUAUGCUUUAUCACACUUGAAAAUCUACCGCAACUCGUUAGCUUUUGCUCUCCAGACGAAAGGUGUUCUACUAAGCCCUUUCUACUUUUCAAUAAACAGGUAUUUGUUUGGCUUUACUUAUAUUUUCUUAUACAACUUUUAUUCCCAUUAAUACAACUUUUAUUCCCAUUAUAUUUUUGGAGCUCAAAAAUAAAUUUCAAAUCCAAAACAAAUGAAAAUUUAAUUUUUAAUCUAAACCGAUUGAAAGUAUAAAGUCAAUUCAAUAAUCUAAAUUUAAACCCAACAAAGAUUUUUUUUUUAAUUUUGAAAAUGAAAUUUGAACCCACAAAUCGAACUAAAAUUAUCUUUAAAAUCGAAAAUCAUAUUUUCAAAUUAUGUUUCCCUAUCGAAAAAGAAUUGUGUGUAAAUAUGUGCAAUUUAUUUUCCCUCACUUGGAAAGCUUGCAAUUGUGUUCCAUUAACACCAAAAUAAUAUGGCACAACCAGAUAUGUCAUUGGAUUACGAAUUUGAGGAGCUUGAUCAUCAAAGGAUGCGGCAAGUUGGAGCAUCUGUUAUCACCCUCUCUCGCUAGAAGUCUGGUGCAGCUCCAAUGCUUUAAGAUAGAGGAUUGCAAGUGCUUAAGGGACAUAAUACUUACAGAUGAAAUUGAAGAAGAAAGGAAAGAUGUGAUUUGUUUCCCUCGAUUAAACUCCCUGUAUAUAGAUGGUCUUACAAACCUCAUCUUCUUCAGCUCAGGAAACCACAAUAUUGAGUUCCCAUUGUUGAAAGAGCUAACGAUUUGGCGUUGCCCCAAGUUAAUAGAAUUCAUUAGUCAGAAUAGUAAUCAGUCCGGCAUGCACGCUCUCUUCAGUGAGAAGGUGAUUUAUUUCAUUAGUCUUACACUCUUGCAUAAAUCUGUUGAUUUGUCCUUGUUUUUUUUUCUGCCUUCAUUAUUUGAGCUAAUUAACCUUAUUAUGGGCAUGGAUUAUAUAUAUAUGAAUAGGUUGCAAUUCCUAGCUUGGAAGACAUGAGUAUCUUCGACUUGAGUAAUCUGAAGAUGAUAUUUUAUAAUGACCUAGCAGCAGGUUCCUUUAAAAAUCUUCGAAAAGUGUGUGUUUGGCGAUGUGAGAGUUUGAAAAAUCUAUUUCCAGUAUCAAUAGCCAAAGAUCUUCCACAACUUGAACAUUUACGCAUCACUGAUUGUGGAGUUGAGGAGAUUGUAUCGAAAGCGGAUGGAGUGGAGGAGCAGCCUGUGAGGUUUGAGUUUCCGCAAGUAUCUUACCUUGAGGUUGCAUUGGUAGAAAAGCUCAAAUGUUUCUAUGAACGGCAACAUACAAUAGUCUGGCCGAUGUUGAAAAAAUUGAAAACAGAUAGUUCUGCUUUGCGAAAGAUAGUGGCAUCGGAACAUCUUAGAUUAAUCCAAGGAAAUGAGCAGCCAGUUUUGUUGGGUGAAGAGGUAUGUAUAUCAUUACAACUAUAUUUCUUUUUAUGAUUUAAACCACUGCAACAAGCAUCUCAAGUUGAAAUAUGCCACGAUAAUACAUUUCUAAUUAUUAUAUUUUGUUUGAUUUGAAUUUUUUCUUGUAUUUUUGAAUUUUUAAUAUAUAUUUUAAAUUUUUUGUUACACUUAUAAUUAUUUUUUCAAUUUUUAAAAACAAGACUGAAUAAACAUAAUAGGUAAAUAUUGAGUGUUAAUCUUGACUUUUUAGAAUGUAGUUCAAUUUGAUAAAAUGUAUAAAUGUUGAGGGUUAAAUUUAUUAUUAUGCGAAAAAAAAUGCAACAUUAGCAUCCCGUUAGGGACUUUGUAGCAUAGCAAUUAAGAUAUUCAAUUUCUCUAACGACAGUGAUUAAAUUGAAAUUUUAUUUGUUUUUAUGUGACCAUAAUAAAAAUAUUUUAACACUUAAGUGGCUAUAUAUGUAAUUUACCCUGUAUUUAAGUAGUGGGUCGAAACUAAAUAGAAAGUUUACCUUGCUAAAAAAAAUCGCCACUCAAUAAAAAGUCAAAAUUUUAAAAGUUAAUUACACUAGACAUAUCAAACUAUAACCUUCAUUUUAAAUUAGUCCCAAAAUUUAAAAUAUUCAAAUUACAUUCUUAAACUAUUGAGGUUAUAUCAAUUAGGUCUUUCUGUUAUUUAAUUCAUUAAUUUAACCAUCAAAUUAUAUUAGUGUAAUAUUUUAAAAUCUUGGUGUUUUAUCUACACUGUUCUGCUUAUAUUUUUUAUCAUAGAAAUAUAUAUAUAUAUAACAAUGGUUGUUUCUCUAUUGUAAUCUAAAUUUGCUACUCUUCUUUCGGUUUUCAUGUUGUGUAAUUUUUAUCGGUUCUUAUUCUCAAGGUAUUGUGUUUUCUUAAAACAAAAAAUUCAUCUGGUUUGAUUUAAUAUUGAUUUUGUUGGGAUUUAAUCAUCAUAAUCAAACACUAAAAUUGUAACUCUUUUGUUUGUUUGUUUGUUUUUUUAAAGCAUAUACAUCAAUAUUGAGCCUAACUUGUAUAUAUUUAAUUGGUUUCCAAGGUCAUUCCCAAAUUAGAGGAACUUGAGUUACGAACUUUUGGUGAUAUGGACCAAUUCCCACCAGACUUGUUUCAACAUAUUAAAGUUUUUGCACUGAGAGCUGGCUCUCGAUUUUCUUUAUUUCCUUUCGUCCGAAGAUUCUACAAUCUGGAAAGACUUGAGUUGUCUUAUUUUGAUUUCAAACAUUUAGUCCCUUGUAAAGGAGAUGCCGGGACUCUCCCACCAAUUAGAAAUCUGAAAUUGGUUUCUGCCAGAAAUCUUAAGCAUAUUUGGAGGAAAGAUUCGGAGCUUGACCAUAUUCUUUCUAAUCUUCAAACACUCACAGUUCAGAAUUGUGAUGAUUGGAUAAAUAUUAGAGCCUUCUCAUCGUCUUUACAAAAUCUCACAAUUUUGAAUGUGUCACGUUGUGAAAUGAUGACAAACUUAGUUACACCCUCAGUACUUAAGAAUCUUGUGCAAUUAACGACAAUAAAGGUAGAAGACUGCACUAAAAUGACAGAAAUAGUGGGAAACGAGGGAGACUGUCAUCAGACAAUAGUUGUUAGUAAAUUGAAAUGUUUACAACUAUGCAAUUUGAAUAGCCUCACAAGCUUUUGUCCAUGGUAUUACAACUUCGAGUUUCCUUGUUUGGAAGAAUUAGUUGUGGAACAUUGUCCUAGGUUAAAGAUCUUUUCUGAUGGAGUUUUAAGCACCCCACAAUUACAGAGAAUAAAACAGUCGCGUUUCCGUGGGAAAUGGAGGUGGACAAGUGACCUUAAUACCACCAUACAACAGCUCUACACAAAAAAGGUACAAAGUUAAUAAGUUCAUAAUGCUAGCUAGAUUUCUCGUGUCCUAAUACAAUUAAUUUUAUUGCUACUUCAAUAACCAUUGAAGAGUGUUAAUCGUUAUUUUGUUAUUGUCUGCAGUUUCUAUUUAUGAUCCUUAUCUAGUGGAAUAAUAUCAGAUUAAUUUUUAGGAUGGACUCCAUGACCCAUAUGAUUUCAACAUCUCUGAAACAUUUCCGGAAUCGAUAGAAAUAUGGACUAGAAACCCUCAAGAAAUUUUGGGCUUCAAAAACCUUAGCAGCCUGCAGUUUUAUAAAUGUAGCAGCCUGAAGUACAUAUUUACUCCGUCUAUGCUUUUGAGCCUCAAUCGACUACAAAGGAUAGAAGUGGAAGAAUGCAGUUCAAUGGAACAAGUAGUUAGGGAGGAGGAGGAAGCAAUGACACAUAAAUUUACAUUUCUUUCGCUACUCUCCUUAAAAAUUGAGUCGUGUUCCAACUUGACAAAUUUCCAUUUGGGAAGUCAAGCUCUUGAAUUUCCACAGCUGAGUGAUAUCACGAUAGCUGAGUGUCCAAAAAUGACUGCAUUUUCUUCCUCAGUUUCAAGAGAAAGUGGUGAUGCAAGUGAAAACGUGGUUGGCAAAGGGGGCAUCUAUGAUAACACUGCAACUUUUUUCAGCAAUAAGGUAAGUUCGGUAUUCAAUAUUUAUCUGCACAACUCAUUUCACAUUUUCUUUUGAUUUGAUCAACAUGAGUGUGUCUGGUCUAUAUAUACAUACUAGUAGUGCUACACCUUGUCAAAAUUUAAUAUAAUAAAAUCCAUGUAUUAAUAAAUAAGAUAAUAUUUAAAAAAAAUUGGAGUUUAAAGUAUAAAUAAAUAUAUAAAAUACGAAUUGAAAGGAAAACUUAAAGUGAAAUACUAAUAAACAAUAAGAAGUUUAAAAUUAAAUAGUAAUAGACAAUAAAUAAUAAAAGAAAAACGAAAACUAAUCUUCCUUUAUUUUAAUUUGUGGGUGUAUAAGAAGGACAUAAUUGUGGAAGACCUUCACAAAGGUCAUUUGAGAUCAAAGGAGAAGAAGCAAGAAAACAAAACGUGAGGAGUUUGAAGGAGAAUUGAAGUGAGAGAGUGGAUGGGUUUUAUUUAAAGAUUUAAUGCUUUUUUUUAAUCUCAUAUAUAGAAAAAAUCAUUGAAAGAAAAAAAAUUUAAUAUAAUUAUUUCAAUUUACAUGUCGGGUUUUUAUAAAAGUAACUCAAAUUUUUUAUUAAUUAUGAAAAUGACUCAAUUUAAAAAUUAUGUACAUAAAUUAUUCGACUUCUAUAGUAUUUGUUGGUGCCGCUAGACACAAUGGCGGCACCUACCUACCAUCAUCGACAAAUGAUUGUAUUUUAUUUCAAAAAUAGUAGUCUUGUAAUAGUGUCGUUGGAAAAAUUGGCGAUAUCGAACUGAAGUGUGAUUCUAUAAAAUGUUCAUGGACUUGACGAAGUAAUUAUCCUUUUUUAAUUAGCGGAAAAAGGGGUCUUCCCGUGAAUUUGGGGCACCAAAUUAAAUGCUUUUUAUCUUUUAGUCUAUUUGCAUGUUAAGUCUAUCCUCUUUUGAAAUUAAAUUUAAAUAACCCCUUAAGAAAUAUAAGAAUAACAAAAAUAAAUCAUAAUCAUUUAUUUUAUUUUAUUUUUAAAAAAUAAACUUAAAAAAUUAUAUAAAAUUCUUAUUUAAAUUACCUAAAUAUAUCCCUCACAAAAUUUCCUCAAGUUUAUCUAAAUUCAAGCAUUUUCAAUUCAUUCCCUAGCAUAUUUAAAUUUAGAUAAACUUAAAGGAAAUUUUUUGAGGAAUAUGUUUGGGUUGUUUGAAUAAGAAUUUUAAAUAAUUUUUUAAGUAUUUUUUCAAAAAAAUGAAAAUGGUUUUUUUUUUGUUAUUCUUAUAUUUUUUUAAGUGCUAUUUAAAUCUAAUUUUAAAAAAGGAUAAACGUAACAUGCAAAUAGGUCAAAAGUUGAAAAACAUUUAAUUUGGUUUAGAUACCAACGACACCCCUUUUUCAACUAAUCUAAAAUGUUAACCGCUUCAAAGGAUCCCUGCACGUUUUAUAUAAUCACAUUCAGUCUGGUUCCGUCAAUUUAUUAAGCAGCACUACUACAUUUUUUUUUAAAAAGCAAUUAUUGGAGGAUGAUGGUGGCCGGUGUAGUAAGCACUGUAGAAAUUAGGUCAUUUAUGUACAUUAUUUUUGGAAAAUUUUUUUAAUUAACCAAAAAAUUUUGGUUACUUUUAACUGUCUAGUUGAUGUAUUAACCUUUAGAUAAGUUUAUAAAUCUUCAUACUCAUUUUGAUUGUCUUUCAAAGUAAAGAAGGAAGAGUGAUACUAUCUUAUAAUGAUAUUUAUGUCAACAGGUUGUCAUUCCUCGUUUGAAGCGUCUGGAUUUGUCCUCCACCAACAGUCAUAAGAUAUGGCACCACUCAUCCUCCCCAUCUAUCGGAUACCUAAAUUUCUUGCAGGUGAAGAGGUGUCACAAUUUGAAAUACCUGUUCCCGUCUUUCUUAGCAAAAGAUCUUGUGCAACUCCAAGUCCUUGGAAUUUCGGACUGUAAUAUGAUGGAACAAGUAAUAUUCACGGAUGGAUUGGUUGAGGAACAUCAAGGGAGGAAUCAGAUGUUUUUCUUUAAUCUACAUUCGCUGUGGCUAAAAGACCUUCCCAAACUCACAAGUUUGUGCUUUGAUAAUUACUUUGAAUUUCACUGUUUGGCAUAUUUAGCACUAAUAAAUUGUCCAUUGCUAAAAACAUUCAUCUCUAAACGUGUACCCGGAGAUGAACCUCAAAUUGGCCAACAUGUACAGGCAAGUAACUUGGAGGUUCAUAACUCAUCUCUCCUCG